rnacentral:lncRNA from 1 species
GGUUCACAGUAUCCUAUUCGGAUUAGAAAGCUCUCCCUAAUCCGACUUUAAUUCGAAUUCAAAGUCAGAUGAUGCCUUUAUAUAUAAACAGGGGUGUUGGGUGUUGACAUAUCGAUAGACAAAAGCAAUGGCUGGUGCUUUUGAUUCAGAACACCUCUUGGCAGAAAUCCUGAAAAGACUACCUCCAAAAUCUCUAGCACAAUGCACUUGUGUGGAGAAAUCAUGGUAUGAUCUUAUACAAUCUCCUAAUUUCAAAGCUCUGUACUCUGAUUCUAAUCAAUUUAUUUAUAUGCUUGCAAAACUAUUUAAUGGGGGCUUUGCUUUAUAUAGAAUGGAUCCACUACUUCACCCGCGAUUUAGUAGCAAUAGUUGUAGCUCCGACUCUACUUAUCUUCAUGACUUGCGUCCUCUUCUUGUUUUCCCCACAGAUUCGCAUUUAGGAGACAAUUAUUUCAAGUGCAUAAAUAAAAUUAGGUUCCAAGAUAUAUUUCUAUGGACUUGCAUUGUCGUCGGGUAAUAAAUACACUAGCUUUUAUACCAUGGAAGAAAAGGAUCUUAUGAGUAUAGAACCUAGUGAAGACAAUGUCAUUACGAAUUUUAAACUUUAACUAAAAUUAAAAAUCCCAUGCAUGAGUUAAAGCUUUUUCCGAUUGUUUUUGUCGCCAAUGACAAACUCUAUAUUCUAUCUGGGUGCUUUCUCGAUACCAUAUUUGAAGUCUUUUCUCCUGCUGACGGGACUUGGCAAGUGUUGCCCAAUCCAGAAGAUGAUGCAUUAGAGUUUCAUUAUUAUGCUGAUGGGGUUUCUUAUCUUGUCAUGGAACAAGAGCAAAUAGUCUAUUUUGCUACUACUAGACUACUCUCGUCCUUCAAUCUACAAACACAUCAAUGGGCUAUACACACAUAUUUUAAUAGUCCAACUCCUGCACAUUUUACAUUCGGUCAACAAAAAUUUCGUUACAUAUGUAAUCCAAUAAUCGGUAAUUUGGCUUUUGGUAUACUCCCCGAUCAGCUUGUUAGUUAUGUCUGUGCAUCAAAGAUGACCUCCCGUGGUGAAGAAUUUAUGCAACCAUACUUGGCACCUGACAAAGCCUUCCUGGAAGUUUUACGAUAUUCUAGGUUCACCUACAUGUUCAAACAGUGUUCCACCGACUACAUUGUUGCGUUUCAGGACUCUGAUGGCAAGCAACAACUCUGUAUUAUAACCUACGGCUGCAGGCCACUUGAGAAGAGGUUUUCUCCUUAUGAAACAACCUGCUAUGUCGCCUUAAGCUUUUAUGACAUCCCAGGUGAUUUUUAUACCUCAGAAGACCGACAUUUCCAUGAACCUGAUGUUUAUGCUUCAUAUGCAGAUGAGAAGACAAAAGAUGGUGGCGUGAUCAGGAGGUACUUCAGUGCCAAAUUUUUGUAUACUAAGGCUGUGUUCACUUCAUGGAAUGGAAUGAGGGGAGAAUGGAAUGAAAAAUUAUAUAGAAGUUUUAAGGAGAAAGAAGAAAGUAUGAGAUAAUGGUGACAAAAUAUGAAUGUAGUUAAUUUUUUUGUGAGAAAGAUUGUGAAGAAACAUAAUGUUCAAAUGGAAUGAGCAUUCCUUCCAAAACAUGUGGGUUAUAAUUAUAGUUAAAAUAGUAAGGUUGGAAUGAUUGAAGGAAUGAAAAUUAUAUACAUUUUCUUUGAUCAACACCAUUUUAGAAUGUAAAAUUCAUUCCAUUCUCCCUUCAUUCUAUUCACCCCAAGUGAACACAACCUAAGCACUUCCUCAUCAAUAAUUUUUCCUUUGGAACAAUUGAAACAUGUUUUCUCUGAUUAAUGUGGCCAAUACAUGCUUAUUGCUUCAUUCAUCUGAUGCGGGACAGUGUUCUUCCCUACUUCUGCACAUAUUGCCAAGAGUGCUUCUUCAUCUGGGAUUUCUAUUUCAGAUAUAUAGAGAUUAUAGAGUUUGAAGUUGCCUGUCCUUUUGAGCAUUGAACUUCUCAAGUUAACUGACUUAAGAAGAAUUCCGGUCGAUAACCCUUGAGGUUUUAGGAAAAGUGGUCACUUAACAGUAAUUAUUAUUGACAUGAGCUCCUGAUUUAUAAGUGAGAUGACUCACAGAUGCAGAAUGAUCUCAAGGACUCCUGAGUUAAGAAUCAUUCUGAAGGUUUUCAUGAACUGGUGAAAUCAAAAUCGAGAAAGUAAUAGAAGAUCUCCAAGCUUCCUUCAGAGUUUUUUGAUAAUCAUUUCUAUAAAUCUUACAUAACAUACAUGUUUUAUUCAUAAAUUACAUUAUAUAUACAUGAUAGGAUACUUAAAGUAGCACAGUACAAUAUGAUCCAAUAAUUAUAGCUACAACUCGCUAUAAGUUCUUGAGAACAAAGAUAACAACCUACACAAAGUAAUUUAUGAACCGUGCUAAAUAUUUGUAGUAGUCCAGGGGCUUUAAGUGCCCGAUAACACACUGCAUUUAUCUAUGCCUAUAGUGAAGUGAGUGGUACUUUAAUGUUGGUAUAACAAAAUAUCCACUAAGAAAUAUUGUCGAUACUGAUGCAACAAAGCCAAGCGGAAAUCCAAUCCACAGUCCUGUCCACAAGAACCAUGGCGCUUGUUUACCAUCACCAUUAUCUUCCUGUGCAUCAUCUGGUGUUGGCUCAUCUUUCGAACAUUUCACCCUGAUUUGCAUCCCACAUAAUCCACUAUUGUUAGCGAAAUGACUCAGAUCAUUCAUCGUGUCCAUUUGUCCACCCCGUGGUAUCUGACCACUUAGCUUGUUGUUACUCACAUCUAACACAGAUAUCUGCUUUAGCUUUGUAAACGAUUGUGGAAUUGUACCAACGAUAUUAUUUCUUGAUAGGUCCAAGGUCUCUAUACUCUCAAGAUCGCCAAAACUUUGUGGUAUGUGUCCAGAAAGUUUAUUAUUGGAAAUAUUGAGUAACUUAAGUCCCUUGAGAUUCCCUAAUGAAAUUGGAAUGUCACCUGACAGCUUAUUGCUUGACAAGUCCAGGAAAGAAUAGAUAUGACGGCUACGACUUGAGAUGCCUUGUUCAGCAUUUUUCCAGUUUACUGUCAAGUCAUUCAUCUCAAUUACAGAGGUAAACAUGCCAGUUAGUAAUGUAACUGUAGACUCAGUCCAUUUUACCUCUAUUACAUCGAUACGCAUACUUAUUAGAAAGAAAGAACCGAUGUCAGUCAUUUCUACUAGAUUUCGCAACUCCGAAGGGAUACUUCCAACGAGAUUGUUACUUGAGAGAUCAAGAAUUCGGAGGCUACUUUGGUUGUAAAAAGAGUUAGAUGACAGCGAGCCAUGCACAGAGUUGGUACGUAGACUCAAAACUUGAAGAUAGGAUAGUUGAGAAAUAAAUUCUGAUAAAUCACCGGAUAUGUUGUUGUCAUGGAGAUCAAGAUACUGAAGUUGAUUCUUAUUUGUGAGAUUCUUAGGCAAAUUGCCUAAGAAUUUUUGUGGGAAUUUUUUAUUUAUUUCAGUUGAAUGAUUCUAACGGUGAAUGAUAUAUACAUGUGCAAGUGCAACUUACACAGAAGUUACUGGUGUUCUUUUUGAUGACUUCUCUUUUCCUUCUCUUACAGUCCUUAGUUGUCAGCAAAUAGAAUUGUAAUGUAGUUCGAUGUUGUCAUCCUCGGGGGCAACUAAAACCAGAUAUCUGCUCCGCUAUUAAAAAUCCAGAUAGAAUAACUUCCUAACAACUACGAAUAUUACCAUAGAUAUUGUUGUUAUAUGUGUCCAAUGAUCGACCAAGCAAUCAAGAUAAUGACACUAAUAGAAACAGAGAAGCAACAAUUCUUUAAACACUCACUUUCGACUUCCAGUUUUGAGUGAGUCAAGCACUCAAGCUCCACGCCAAAAAGUCACAUUUCUUUAAUUUUUGAUAUGAGGUCACCACAAAGUAGUCGAUUCCUAAGUUCAAUAAUUUACGGAAGAAAUAAUAAAUAAUUAAUAUGUCGAUUAAAUUUAAUUCAAACAACUAAUAUAAAAUUCAUCACACAUCUUUACGAUAGAUAAUACUAAUAGGUAGAAGGAUAUAUUUACUUGUAUCACACGGAACUUUUGGUCUACAAGUGGUUUAAAUGAGCCGACGAAUUGCCAUUUAAGGUUGCAAGUUGCAAGACAUAUUUCCAGUAGGACGUAAAAAGUAUUAAUGAUCACUUAAACAAGACUGAUCGCAAGAAAUGGAAAAAUGUUGCACAAGAUCCUGUUCUUUUGUUGUUUAAAGAUUUUUCACAUACUUUCGUGUCAAAAAUCGUAUAGUGUUGCUCCAAUGUCAAGUAAUUGGGUUUUGGAUCCCAAAUCUAACACAGUUCAAGUUGAUGCAUUGAUUCAUUCUGGCUACUGUGGCUUAUAAGAGGCCACAACUCUUCCAAAAGCACAGUGGGUAGAAGAGUAGUAAACAGGCUCAAGUAGUUAGUACAGAAAUUAUCAUAGUAUUUUAAUAGAGUAUAUAUACUUGUGAAACAGACAUCACCUGAUAAUCUUAGGUACAAGAAAAUGCCAAAAUUUAAUUAUUUUGAGUUUUAGUGAUAAUCUUUUCUAUAUAAUAUGUUUAUUCAUGAAUUAUUUGAUGCAAAAAGAUAGGAAGCGGCGCUAACAUUUUAUAGAGCAUGAGAAUUAAAAUUAGCAAAUCACAUCAUAAUAUAAUUACAACCCGCAAUGUUUUUAUUUCAGAACAAAGAUAACCUGGGCAAUGUAAUCAAGGGCUUCAAGUCCUAGAUAACACACUGCACUCAUCUGUGCCUGUAGUGGAUCGAGUGGUACUUUGCUAUUGGUAUAACAAAAUACCCACCAAGAAAUGCUGUUAAUACGGAUGAGAUGAAGCCAAGUGGGAAUCCAAUCCACACUCCUAUCCACAACAACCAUGGCUCCUUUUCAUCAUGGUCAUCCUCAUCCUCUUCUUCGCCAUCAUUGGGUGUUGGCUCGUCUUUUGAACAAUUCACUCUGAUUUGCAUCCCACAUAAUCCACUGUUGUUGGCAAAAUAACUCGGAUCAUUCAUCGUGUCCAUCUGUCCACCCCGCGGGAUUUCACCACUUAGCUUGUUGUUACUGACAUCAAACACGGAUAGUUGAUCUAACUUCCUAAAUGAUUGUGGAAUUGCACCAGGGAUAUUGUUGUUAGACAGGUCCAAUGCCUCUAUACUUUCUAGAUCUCCAAAACUUUGUGGUAUAUAUCCAGAGAGUUUAUUGUAGGAGAGGUUGAGUAGCUUCAGCCCUAUGAGAUUUCCGAAUGAAUCUGGAACAUCACCUGAAAACUUAUUGUUCGACAAGUCUAUUAGAGUAUAAAUAUGUCGAUCCUGACUUGAGAGACCUUGCAUGGCAUUCUUCCAGUUCACUGUUAAAUCAUUCAUCUCGAUUGUAAUGGUGUGCAUGCCACUAAACAAUGAAACUGUGGCCUCGAUCCAGUUCAACUCUAGCUCACCAAUAGUAUAGCCGACCAUGUAUCCUGAGAGUCUUCCACUCAUUCCCGGUAGAUUUCCCAAUUCUGUAGGGAUACUUCCAACAAGACUGUUACUUGAGAGAUCAAGAAUUUGGAGGCGACUUCCAUAGAAUGAGUUGGACGGCAAUGGGCCAUAUAGUGAGUUGUUACGUAAACUCAGAACCUGAAGGUUGGAUAAUUGUGAAAUUAAAUAAUCUGGAAAAUAACCUGUAAUGUUGUUGUCAUGUAGAUCAAGAUAUUCAAGGAGCACAUCAUUAGUGAGGUUCCUAGGGAAGCUUCCAGAGAACUUAUUUUUCCCUAGUGCAAGAAUAAAAGUUCCACUGACAAGUGACACGGGAAUGUCACCAGAUAGUUCAUUAGAGGACAGAUCAACAUAUGAUGGUGACAAAUUAGAUUUGAAAACCGGGAGUGUGUUGCCAGAGAGUCUGUUUCUUGACAAGUCUAGUAGCAUUAGUGAAGGGAGAUCUGCGAUGGAUUUCGGGAACGACCCUGAAAAACUGUUUCCAGAAAGCACUAGUACCUUCAUCUUUAAAGCAUGACCGACAUUUUGUGGCAACUCCCCUGAGAAAUUGUUUCUUGAAAGAUCCAAAACGGAUAAGUUUUGAGACUGAAAAAGAGAAAAAGGUAUUGACCCAUUUAGUUUGUUCCGUGACAGUAGGAGAUAUUCAAUUUCCAUCUCUGCAAUCCAAAGUGGGAAGUUUCCUGUGAGCUGAUUAUCACUCAGUUCGAGUAAAUUAAGAUUCUUUUGAGUGGAAAUCCAUUCUGGAAUCUCUGCAGAUAUUUUACAUGAUUUGAGGGAGAGAUGGGAAAGCAUACAGCUGGGAACUAUUUUGACGUGGUUAUUCCAAAGAAACUUGUUUCCUCCAAGAUACAAAUUCUUCAAACUCUCAAUGUCAAAUAACCAGGAAGGGAUUUCUCCUGAAAGCAUGUUAUCUUCCAGCUGAAGCGUGUCCAAUUCGCUCAAGUUCCGUAUUGAUGGCGGGAUUAAUCCUGUUAAACUGUUCCCGCUCAAAUCCAAGAUGGAAAUGUGGAACAAGGUUCCAAUCCUAUCCGGAAUAUGCAUUUCUAAAUAAUUAUUACUCAUGUCCAAUUUUUUCAAUCCUUUCAAAUUGAAAAUUGAAUUAAUCUGGAAUCGGACCCGAAAGUUUGUUCCAGCUGAUAGAAAAUUGCUGCAAUCUGGUGAGAUUUCCUAUCUGGACAGGGAUUCCAUCAAUAGAAUUCCGAUCCAACUUCAAUGACCUUAAAUUUCCAAGCUUGACAAUUUCUCUACUUAAACCAUCCUUUAAUGAGUUAUCACUCAAAUCAAGAGACUGCAGAAACCGCAACUGAAAAAGUUGUGCUGGGAUUGUGCCAUUAAGAAAAUUCUACCUCAUGUCGAGGUAAAUUAAUUUUGUGAGAUUAGCCAACCCUUCACCAGAAAUUUCGCCUUCUAUCCCAGUGUAGGAGAUAUUAAGAAACCUUAAGGAUCUAAUGCCAUAAAUAGGAUCCAAGAUUCGUACAUCCAGCGGUCUGUAUUCAUUGUAUCCAGCACGCAUAUGGAGAUCGCCAAGCUGCAAAGCUGUUACAUCACGAGCAUGAGAACUGCAAACAACUCUAGUCCACUUACAACAGUCAGAAAUGGAGUCCCAAGACUCCAAGCCAAAGGAUGUCGAGUUUGAGGUUUCGUAGCUGGUCAGCAAGGAGGAUUUUUUAUCUAGAAUCCGCGUAGAAUCAAAAUCAGAUACAAUGCAUUAAAAAAAUUUACCAUAUAAAAUUUAUUAAAAUUCCAGUUAAAUACACCCCUUAAAAUAUUAUUUAUGUGUUUGAUGGUGUUGUAAUGACUUUAUUUAAUUUUAAACAUUAUCAUGUUAUUAAUUAUUUUAUCUUAUUUUAUUAUAUAGAAGUUUAUAAAUAUUUUUUAUUAUUAAAAUUUAUUUGUACAUAUAAAUAUUCGUACCAUUUUUUCAUACUAUCUUCCAAUGAGCAUUUAUAUUUGAGCAAAAAAAUAUAUAUAAAGUGUUUUUUCAUAAACAUUAAAUGAUAUUGUUAUAAACUUAGAAACUUAAAUUUUCAACGUGUUUGCCGACAAGAACACGAUUUGCACGCUACAUAUUUUAUAUUUGUUUCUCAAAAGAUGUGACGUGACAUGAGGCUGACGGUUCCUUCAGUUUUCUAGGAUUCAUCUACUUGCGUGAUUUUUAUCAACCCCUUAAUCUUAAACUUGUGGUCCGCUCGUCUGGCUUUGCGUUUUGCCCGUCUGGCAUGUUUUAUUUGCCCGUCUGACACGCCACUCUGUCUAUAACAAAGCUGCUGGUUCAUCUUCCUCAACUUGUGCGAGGUUCACUUCUUGUUUCUGUACUUUGUCUCGUCGAUAUUUAUAACAUUCUGCAGCAUAAUGUCCAAAGAUGUUGUAGUUAUAGCACUUUAUUUUGCUCUUGUCACGUCCAUCAUUCUUGCCGUAUGAUCCUUCACGGCCUCUUGCCUUCCAUUUCUGAGUUAGAAGCAGCUGAUUCUCAUUGUCUUCAAUAUGCCCACUAACCCUCUCUUCAUGAGCUUUUAGCCUCCCGAUUAGCUCUUCGACAGUCAUUGUCUUAAGGUUACCAAAUUGUUGUAUCGUAGAAGCAAUUUGUACAAACUUGUGUGGGACAGCACACAAUAUUUUUUUCACCAUGUAGGACUCUUCCAUCGGUUCACCCAGAGUGCGUAUGUUUGUCACAAUACCACCUACCUUCAUGUAAAACUCGUCCAAACUCUCUGUCUCCUUCAUGGACAGAGCCUCAAACCCAGGCCCAGAGGUCUUCUGUUGUAACUACACGUGUUAUCAGAGCCGUGUUAUCAGAGCCUGGUUGUUUAUGCCAAAAUAUAUGUCGAGGUUGAUGACUAUGGAGGCAUCAAAAGUCAAGGAGGGAACAUCCCAUUUUAUCCAUCCGUCUUGUUACAUCCACCUUCGGGUCACUAGGCUCCACAACCUCCCAAACUCCCCGAGCUUCAAUGAAGACCUGCAUCUUCAUUGACCACGCCGUGUAGUUGGAUUUUGACAACAUCGGAUAGUUUAUACUCAUUGUUCCCUCCUUGACUUUUGAUGUCUCCAUAUAGUCAUCAACCUCGACAUAUAUUUUGGCAUAAACAACCAGGCUCUGAUACUACGUGUAGGAUCAACAGAAGACCUCUGGGCCUGGGCUUUACUUGAUUAAUAUUGGUUUUGCACGUCAAAAGACCUGUGUGUGUUUACUGGUGUAAAUGAAACGUAAACCAACAGAUAUGAGCAAAGCGCUUUGAUUUGUUAUAUUACUGAAAAUGAAAGAACUGAAUUACAAGGCCAUACAUUCAGUGUAUAUCCUGAACGUGUAUAUAUAAGCGAAACUACUGACAAGGGUGAAGAUAGUGGCUUUAAAAUAGGUGCCACUCCUAUUCAAGCUCCACUACUUCUAACCAACUGCAUCACCUCCUAACAACUCGCUCCUGGGCUAGACCUAGUCUUUGCUGACAAUGACAAACGUACAACUAUUUAUUUAAACAAAACAACUAAAACAAUAAAACAAGUUAGAAGUUUAAGAUUAAAUCCCAUCAAUUUCUUCUACUUUGCCUAAUUCAUUUAACGCAUAGCUCCCAGAGGCAUGUUAAAUCAGUUAAACAUGCAUGAAAUAGUAAUCUACUUGUAAUGUGAUAAAGCCAAAUUUGACAUCCUAACCGUUAGUUAAACCUUAUUUAUCAAGUCCGAUUUUCGCUAACCAUCCUAUAAAUACUUGCAUGGUCUACUCUAACAUCAUCCUCAACAUCUUUACAUAUUUGGUAAGAAUAAUGGCAAAGGUUGCAUACUUGGCAGUGGUAUUGGUGGUGGUGGCGGCUCGUAUGCUGGUGGAGCCGGGUGAGGCUCUAACAUGUGGUGCACCCGAGGAACAGAGAACAGGAGCUGUCUGCAAUGUUUAUACCAGAGGUGAUCAAUCAGAGCCAUCUGGUGAGUGCUGCCAUGCGUAUAGAGCACUACGUGCGACAGCCAAGACACGAGAAGAAAGGAGGCAAUUGUGUUCUUGCGUCCAGGAAGCAACUUCACAAAGCAGAUAUAAUCAUGGGGCUAAUGCUAAACCUGCUGCUCGUAUUCCAAGAUUUGAUUCUCUGUCAGAAAAAUGCGGACUUCCUUUUCUAUUCUCUGCUGAUCCUGAAUUCGAUUUUAAAACGUAAGUGACUCUGAUCUGAUCUUUAAAAGCUUGCCACAAUAAUACAGUAGUCGAUAUGCUCUCAUGGAUUUUUAUUUUGCUUCUCUUACACAGAGUAAAUUGAUGUCACUCUCUUGCAUGGAAAAGCAGUUGGAGGACAAACAAUAAUGCUAUAGCUACCUGUAUUUCUGCGCUAUCCAUAAAUAAGAGAUAACUAUAUGUACGCGGGUGUUACAGCUCAAAGAAAGAGUAUUUAACCAAACUAUUCAAAUAGCUACAUGAAUAAAAUAUAUUUACACACAUUGCAACAUUUCUCUGUGCUCGACAGUAUUACUAUCAUAAACUCUAACUAAAUAACUGUGAACUAAUGAUGUGUAUAUAUACAAUGCGGAAGAUUCUGUUAUUGUUAUUUGAGAGAUCAAGAAUUUGAAGUUUACUUUGGUUGGAGAAUGAGUUGGGUGCUACUGAGCCAUGUAGAGAAUUGUUAUGAAGACUUAGAACUUGAAGGUAUUAUAAUUCAGAAAUAAACUCUGGGAAAUCAACUUUGUUGUCAUAGAGAUAUAUUCGUUAGGUCCUUGGACAACUUGCCGGAGAAAUUAUUGUCCCCUAGUGCAAGGAAACUAGUUAGCGUGCAAAAUAAUACAGGAAUGUCACCCCACAGUUCAUUAGAUGAGAGAUCUACAUAUUAUCUUCUAGCUCAACACUAGAGUGGAAAUGUUGGACAAGCUUUCACUCUCACUUGGAAUCUGCAUCUGUAAACGAUUAUUUCUCAAAUCCAAUAUUUCCAAUCACUUCACAACUUCAAUAUCCUCAAAUCUUUGAGCUUGCCAACUUCACUACUCAAACCACCCUUUAACAAAUCAUGACUUAAAUCAAUAAACUGCAAGAACCUUAACUGAAAUAGUUGUGUACGAAUUGAGCCAUUAAAUAUGUAGCUUAAGUUCUUAAUUGAACAAAAUUAAACUUAAUAUGCAAUGAAGAGGUAGGUAAGAUAAUUUCCAAAAUGACACAUAUUUUUAUCUGUAAGCUUAAAUUUUCGAUGAAAUUAAAAGAUCAUUCAAUUUUGUAAACUUUCCGGAAAAAUUUUAAAAUUGUGCAUUAAAAAUAUAAUCAAACACCAAUAUACACUUUUUGGAAUUUUCAUAAAAUCUACCUCUCCUAAAUCUCAUAAUAUACACUCAAUUAAUCUGAUAAGAUCCACACGUAUUGAUCUCCAGCUAUCCAAUCGUAUUGAUUUCCAUCCUCGAGGUGCAUCAUGUACUUUUAGAUAAUUAUGUUUAAAUAUAAAUAAUAUAAAAAGUAUGAUAUAUAAGUUCCUCCAUUAUCUUACGAAAAAUUUUAUAAAAAAUUAAAUGUUUUUUUUUGAGAAAUCAUAGCAUUACUUUUUACUGAGAUAUAAUAUUGAAAGUCAUGUAUGCUUUGCCAAAGCAGCAAAGGCAUGCAAAGCGAAAUGUUACUGAUCAAGCUCAUGCAUAAAUCGUUACUCCAAAUUUCCUAGUCUUGUCUGAAGUAUAAAUGUAUAAUAUAUUAAUACACAGAUAUGAGAUUGUGAUAAUAAUGGUGUUCAUGGUUGCUCAUUAUCGAUAGAUUUUGUAGGUGACAAUUUGACACCAUUAAGGAGAUUUGCUACAUUUCUAUGUGCUUGACAACAUUACAAUCAUAAAAAGGCCUAAUGUCUAAGGAUUAUUAUAAAGUGCUAUAUAACUCUUAAAACUACACGUUACUCAUAACGUCUUAGGACUCUUAUAAAGUGUUGUAUAACUCUUAAAACUACGCGUUCCUAUUUGCCUGUGGUGAACGGAGUGGUGCUUUUGUGUUGGAACAAGAUAUCCACCAACAAAUGCUAUAACUACUGAUAAAAUGAAACCAAGUGGGAAUCCAAUCCCCAGUCCUGCCCACAAAAACCAUGAUUCCUGUUCACCGUCGUUACCCUCUUCGUGUGCAUAUAGUGUUGGCUCAUCUUGUGAACAUUGCACCCUGGUUUCAAUCCCACAUAAUCCCCUGUUGUUAGCAAAAUAUCGCGGAUCAUUUAUCUUGUCCAUUUGUCCACCCCGCGGGAUUUUACCACUUAGCUUGUUGUUACUUACAUCUAACAGGGAUAGUUGCUUUAGCUCCGUAAAUGAUUGUGGAAUUGUACCCGAGAUAUUGUUGUUAAAUAGGUCCAAGGUCUCUAAACUCUUUAGAUCCCCAAGAUUUUGUGGUAUAUGUCCCGAGAGUCUGUUAUUGGACACGUUGAGUAGUUUUAGUCUCUUGGGAUUUCCUAGUGAAUCUGGAAUAGCACCUGAAAGCUCAUUCUUCGACAAGUCAAUCAAUUAGUAGAUGUGUUGGUUAUGACUUGAUAGACCUUGUGUGGCCUUUUUCCAAUUCACCAUCAAGUCAUUGAUCUUGAUCGAAAAGGGGAACAUGCGACUAAAUGAUGUAACUGUAGCCUCAAUCCUGUUCACAACUAUGUCGUCAGUUCCCAUGCCAUUUGUAUACAUAAUCUCAUGGGGAAUCAUUUCUUUUAGAUUUCCGAACUCUGAAGGGAUACUUCCAGCAAGAUUGUUAUUUGAAAGAUCAAGAUUUUGGAGUUUACUUUGGUUGGAGAAUGAGUUGGGUGCUAGUGAGCCAUGUAGAGAAUUGUUACGCAGAACUUGAAGGUAUGUCAAUUCAAAAAUAAACUCUGGGAAAUUACCUGUAAUGUUGUUGUCAUGGAGAUCAAGAUAUUCAGACUCGUCAAAUUCAUUAGGUCCUUAAGCAAGAUAAUUAACUUUCUGGAAUCAAUACACUCCUGUUAGAAAGAAUCUUGAUAGAUAGAGUGGGAUUAGUUCGACUGAUGUUCUCUUCAAUACAUUUAUGUGCCCAAAUCAAUCCUCAGGAUUCAGCCUUGUGCAGUGAGGCCUAGAGCUCUUUGGUCUCAACACUUAUGAUCUUUUGUCGCGAUCAGUGACCAUUAUUUUUUUACUCGGCUCAUUUCCAAGAUUAAUGUGUUUGCAUAAGUGAGUAUGCAGUUGCUCUUCCAAGUUUGAUGCAGAGGUAGGUAAGAUAAUUUCCAAAAAUGAAAAAAAAUAAAAAAUAUCUAUGAGCUUAAGUUUUUGAUGAAAUUAAAAGAUGAAUCAAUUUUUUAAACUUUUGUGAUUUUUUUUANNNNNNNNNNNNNNNNNNNNNNNNNNNNNNNNNNNNNNNNNNNNNNNNNNNNNNNNNNNNNNNNNNNNNNNNNNNNNNNNNNNNNNNNNNNNNNNNNNNNNNNNNNNNNNNNNNNNNNNNNNNNNNNNNNNNNNNNNNNNNNNNNNNNNNNNNNNNNNNNNNNNNNNNNNNNNNNNNNNNNNNNNNNNNNNNNNNNNNNNNNNNNNNNNNNNNNNNNNNNNNNNNNNNNNNNNNNNNNNNNNNNNNNNNNNNNNNNNNNNNNNNNNNNNNNNNNNNNNNNNNNNNNNNNNNNNNNNNNNNNNNNNNNNNNNNNNNNNNNNNNNNNNNNNNNNNNNNNNNNNNNNNNNNNNNNNNNNNNNNNNNNNNNNNNNNNNNNNNNNNNNNNNNNNNNNNNNNNNNNNNNNNNNNNNNNNNNNNNNNNNNNNNNNNNNNNNNNNNNNNNNNNNNNNNNNNNNNNNNNNNNNNNNNNNNNNNNNNNNNNNNNNNNNNNNNNNNNNNNNNNNNNNNNNNNNNNNNNNNNNNNNNNNNNNNNNNNNNNNNNNNNNNNNNNNNNNNNNNNNNNNNNNNNNNNNNNNNNNNNNNNNNNNNNNNNNNNNNNNNNNNNNNNNNNNNNNNNNNNNNNNNNNNNNNNNNNNNNNNNNNNNNNNNNNNNNNNNNNNNNNNNNNNNNNNNNNNNNNNNNNNNNNNNNNNNNNNNNNNNNNNNNNNNNNNNNNNNNNNNNNNNNNNNNNNNNNNNNNNNNNNNNNNNNNNNNNNNNNNNNNNNNNNNNNNNNNNNNNNNNNNNNNNNNNNNNNNNNNNNNNNNNNNNNNNNNNNNNNNNNNNNNNNNNNNNNNNNNNNNNNNNNNNNNNNNNNNNNNNNNNNNNNNNNNNNNNNNNNNNNNNNNNNNNNNNNNNNNNNNNNNNNNNNNNNNNNNNUUUAUUAGAAUAUUACAAAGAAUCUGAAUAUUAUGAAGAAACAAUAAUUAACUUUAAUUAAAAUCUCUACGUUAAACGAAAUCUAUAAUUAAUAAUUUAAACUAAAAUACAUAAAUUUACAAGUAUAUGCAUCAGUCCUGAAUGUUUAUAAAUAUAAUUAAAGGAACAACUAACGGAAUCCAACAUUAAAUUAAUAUAUACUGUUCAUUUUUAAAAAAUCCUUAUACUACAAGUUAAAGAAUACUGAGAUUCUGUUAUAUGUUCGACUGUAUAUUUUGUCAAAUAUUCAAAAUGUCUUAUGUAUUACAAAAUCAUUAUAUAAAAUACUCUAAAGAAUUUUUAGAUUCUAUUAGGUGAUUUUUUAAAUCUAAUAAGUAAUAUAAUAUUUAAAUAUUAUAAAUUAAGUUAUUAUAGAAAAAUUAAUAUUCAAUUAUAGUCGGAGUUGUAGAUUCUACUAUGUGUUUUUUGCCAAAUAUAUACAAAAUAUGUAAAUAAGAGCUUGAGAUUUUUUUUUUUUGUUAUAUUAGAUCUUAAUAAUAUUUUUUUAUUAAGUGAGUGUUUAAUAAAUUUAAGCAUGUUUUGAUUAAAUUAGGGAUUCCACUAACUAAUUUACUACGUGUUCCUAUUAUGUAAUAGUUCUUAUUCUACUAACUAAUUUCAGCGUAUUUUUUGUUAAGUAUUAUUACACGAUUCUGCUACGUGUUCGUGUUAUAUGUUAGGUGUUCGUCUAAUCAGAGAACAUCAAAUAAGUAUUUCUUUUAAAUUUUUUUAAAAUAAAUACUUUAAAUAAAAAACUUUAUUUUUUAAUUACAUUUUUAGAUUUUAGUAUGUGCUUGUCAUUAGAUUCUACCAAAACAAAUAAAUCAAGUCAAAAUUAGAAAAAAAAAUAGAAUUAAUUACUUAAUUGAGAAAUCAUCAAUGUAUUUUUAUGAACAUAUUUUUAAAUAAAAUAUAAUUUUGUAAUAAUAAAAAUUCCAAGAAUCAUUCCAAUUUAUCAUAUUCUCGUAAGUAUUUUAAUAUGACUUAUUAUAUUAUUCAACAUUCAAGUAAGUGUUCUUUGUAAUGAUAUGCUAUUAUAAUUCAACUUCAAUUCCAUAUAUCAAAUUAACUACCAUAAUUAAGAUUUAUAAAUUUGUUUAAAUUAGUGUUUUCGUGUAGAAUAUAAAAUAUGACAAAUAAAAUUUAGUUCACUAUUUGUUCAAAUACAUGUGAUGUACAAUUAUUAAAAUUUAAUUAAGUAUUUUAUUUUGGAUUCAUAUAAGUAUUUUAGUAUCUGAUGAAAAUUGAUCAACUAAAUUCAUUUAUAAACACGAAACUAGGUACAUAAGUUAUGAUUCUUCAAAGUAUUUUACAUGUUGAUCCAAUAUAAAAAUUAAAUAAAAUAUUUUUUCAAUAAAAUCUUUUAAAAUUUGAAAUUCAAAUUUAAUAUACACUAAAUGCUUGAUUGAUUGAUUAAGAUAUGGAAAAUAUAGAUUAGGAAAUUAAUUAAUUACAUAUCUUAUUAAUUAUGUUAAUCAAAUCAUGUAUAUAUAUUGUCAAAAAUGGAAAGUUGCUCAAAAGAAUCUUUAUUUUCAAUGUCCAGAUAUGCCCUUAUACUGAAUUGUUAAUAUAUUAAUAUUAAAUAUCCUAAUUAUAGUAGCCAUUAGAUUAAAAUGGCUGAUCUACGGUAGAUAUGCUAGUUCUCUCGAUAAAAAAGUUCUCUUAGGAUCUUACUCCUAUAUAUAUAUAUAGAGUGAGGUUCCAGAGAAAACCAUGUUAUCAAGAAAACCGAGGAACCCUCUUAGAUACCGUUGAUUAUUUUUGUCAUAUUUAAUCAUUUCCUAUAUAAUAUCAAUCAAAUAUAUAUCCUAAUCUAAUACAUACGGGGCAAAAUCGUAAAGAAUCUGUUGCUGAUUAAGUAACAAUCUCUUAUUUUUGGCAUGUGCCACAAUUCAAUCAAAGCACAAAAUAGUCUGAAAAUCAUUACAUAUAUUAUCCUCUGAAAAGAAUCUUUCUCACCGUAAGAAGAAGACAGCCACGUUAAAACACCAUGCUCCAUCAAUUCAAGGUUUAUACUACGUCUCAUUAUCAUGAAUCUUUAAACUUUUUUACAAAAUUUACUUGUUAUCACAUUCGUAUAAUCUCCAGAAGCGUCCAAUCUUUUUCGGGAAUUCAAUGGCGGAGAAGAAUCUCCGUAACAACACCGGCCUUUUGUUGGUUCGAGUAAAACCUAUCGUCUUAAAGAGAAUCGUGGGCAAUCUUUUAGUUGGACAAAGGAAGUGCCUUGUUGAUGGUUGAGUUCCCAUGUUGGGGUAGACUUCGAGUUCCCAUUUUGAUUAUUGGAUUUUUGGGACUGAUUCAAGUUGUAUAUUUGUUUUCGAUCUUGCCGUGUUUUUGCUUGUUCAGAAUACUUCCGCAUUGAUCAUGAAUGUUGGUGGGGUAGGUAAGAAUUGGUUGUUGAUUGCUUUUUCGUGAUCGAUGAUAAGGUUCAAGUGACUCUGAUUAAAUUGGUCGGAUAUGGGGUGGGUUUCUUGGAUGUUGCAUAUUAUAAUCCCUUGAAGUUGCAAGCAAUGAAGGAAAAUGAAGCUCAGAAGAAGGCACGGGACGCUGAUGAGGAAUGUUGAAAGUUGUUGGAAGAGGAAUAGGAAGAAGUUGGGAAGAAGAAGAACGAGGCGGAAGACUGAUUGAUGAGAAAAUUGGUUCUUCUAUGAGUUCCCAAGUCUGAAGGAUAAAAUGCGCAAGAUGUGCUAGAGGAUAAAAUGCUCAGGAAUCUCCACGAUCUAAACAUUUCAGAGGAUUCUAAUCUAGGUUCUGAAGAGCUUUUGUUUUCCUCGAAGGUCCUCCCUUUUGAUUCUCUGCAACAUGAGUAAAGACUUGAUGGAUGUUGAUCAGGUUCUCCACGAGGUGGAAAGCCUCGAUGAUUCUAAAUGAUCUCCUCAGAAUACUAGGUUGCUGGAAGUUGAUCUUGAGUUAGUUUUUAGGUGUUCUAGUUUGUAUUCUAGUUAUGUUUAUUGUCAACCUGGAUUCUCUUUUGUUGAUCUUUUGAUGGCUAGCUGGUUGUUUCCCAGGGUCUCUAUAUUCUCAAUUGUAUUCGCUUAUCAAUAUAACCAUAAAAAAAAGUGUGCUGUUAUGUUUCUAAUUAGAAUCAAAUUGUUUUUUAAGUAUAUAAUUUAUAAGGGUUCUAUUGUGUGUUCACAUGUUUAAUUAGUAUUCUAUGUUACGUUAAAGAAUCUUUAAUAAAACAUAAUAAAACCUUUAAUAAAAGAUAGUAACAUACAAAGAGUAUGACAUAAAAAGUGAAUAAUAUUAAUCAUGGAGAUUCUUUAAAUUAUUCUUUAUUCUAAUCUUUACCGCAACUCUUUAAAUCACACGUGGAACUAUUCUUUGUGUCUUAUUUGGAUUCCUAUUACGAUUCCUUAAAAAAGUUUUAAAAAAAAACUAUUUCGUCAAAAAUUCAAGGUUUUGAUAAAUGUUUUAUAUAGCAAUAAUUUUUGAAAAUUAUAUUAGAUGUAAUUUUUUAAUGAUUCAUUUUUGCUAAAUUUUAUAAUCUAAGAUUCUCUAAGGUGUUUUUAAAAGUGAUUUUAGAAUAUAUAAAUUAAAAUUAAGGGCUUAAAUAUUAAAUAACUUAUGUCAACAAUAUUUAAAAUAUUUAUGAUGGAUUCUCUUAGCAUUGAAAUUAUAUAUUUUUAAUAAAAGAUUCUUCCAACACUAAAAAAAAACAUGGCAAAAUCGACGGUCGAAAACGGUCAGUUACGUUCUACAACAAUCAAUUUUAGACCACAUUAAUUAUUUACAAAUUUAUAUAAAUAAUAAAGUCUUGUAUGUUAUCAUGUUAUGCAUAUAAAAUACAUUAUAGAAUCUCACAUUAGUCUAUACAUAAAAUAAUAAAUCUUAUCAUAUAAUAAUAAAAAAAUAUUUUAUUAUAAUUUAAAUAUUGCUAAAUAAUUUUUAUUCAUUUUUAACAUGUAUUAUAUUAAAGUUCUAUUUAGUAUUAUUUAUUUUGCUAGAAUCUUUGGUUUUAUUAAAUUCUUGUAUGUUUUGAACCAAAUAGAUAUGGCCGAAAACUAAUCAAUGAAAUAUUAAGAGAAAAUAAAUUUUUUAAUAUUAUUUGGUUUUCUAAUGUAUUUACUGAAUGAUUUUGUAAGAAAUUUUCUUAACUCGUUAUCAAUUUAAAAUAACUUAUAGAAUCUCAUAUGAGUAUUAUACAAAAGUUUAAUAAAUCUUAUCACAUAUUUAUAGAACAGGCUUGAUUAUAUUUAUCUUUUCUUUUUAAAUUAUUAUAUUACUAAGAUUCUCUUAAAUAUGCAUCAAAACACAUAAUGAAAUCUCGUUAGUAUGAAUAUAACACGUGAGGGAAUCCAAUUACACUUAAACUGAAAUAUCUCUCCUAUAGUUAAAUGAGAAAUUAUUUUUUCGGAUUCUGUUAAGAGAUCUCCUACCUACGACAAAAAAAUUUUAUCUUAAGAUUCUUUAAAAUAUUGUCUUAAAUAAUAAAUAUCAAAAGAGUCUCGAAGAUAUUUUUGUAUGAUUAAUAAUAAAUAUUUGUGCCAUGUAGGAUUCUUUUAAAAUUUGAGAAUUUUCUUGUAUAAAUUAUUUACCUUAUGAUAUUUUUUUGACUAUUUUGACCGAAUUCCAUUGAGUGAUUUCCUACAUGCGAAAAAUGUAAUUCAUAUCAAUGUGUAUUAAGACUUUAUUAAGUUUAAAAUUUUUAAAUAUUUAUUUUCAGAAAAACACUUAAUAGAACAAUACGAGUGGAAGACUUUAAUUUUUAUAUAUAAUUUUCAUCAAAAGAAUCUGCAUAAAAAUAUGCAUCAAAACACAUAACUUAAAUCUUAUUAACAUGAAUAUAAACACUUGAAGGAAUCCAAUUACAUUUAAACUAAAAUACCUCUCCUAUAGUUAAAUGAGAAAAUAUUUUUUCGGAUUCUAUUGGAAGAUCUCCUACCUACGACAAAAAAAAAUCUUAUCUAAAGAUUCUUUAAAAUACUAUCUUAAAUAAUAAAUAUCAAAAGAUUCUCUAAGAUAUUUUUUUAUGAUUAAUAAUAAAUAUUUGUUCCAUGUAAGAUUCUUUUAAAAUUUGAGAUUUUUAUUGUAUAAAUUAUUUACCUUAUGAUAUUCUUUUGGUUGUUCUAAUAUUUUAAAUAAUUUCUUUGAGUGAUAUUCUUUUGACCGAAUUCCAUUGAGUGAUUUCUUACAUGUGAAAAAUAUAAUUUAUAUCGAUGAGUAUUAAGACCUUAUUAAGUUUAAAAUUUUGGAAUAUUUAUUUUCAGAAAAACAUUUAAUAGAACAAUACGAGUGAAAGAUUUUAAUUUUUAUGUAUAAUUUUCAUCAAAAGAAUCUGUAUAAAAAUAUGCAUCAAAACACUUAAUGAAAUCUGGUUAAAUCAUAUUAGUAUGAAUAUAAACACUUCAAGGAAUCCAAUUACACUGAAACUGAAAUACCUCUCCUGUAGUUAAAUGAGAAAAUAUUUCAUCAGAUUCCGUUGAAAGAUCUCCUACCCACGACAAAUUUAAAAUUUGAAAUUCAAAUUAAAUACUGAUUGAUUGAUUGAGAUAUGGAUAAUACUGAAAAGGAAAUCAAUUAAUUGCAAAUCUUAUUGAAUGUACUGAUUAAAUGCAUUAAAUAUAUUACCGAUUGUAUGCAUUAAAUAUAUGUACAAGAUUACUAUAAUAUCCCUUGUGAAUUAGAUUUGAUUGAUUUUUUGAUAAAUCAUAAUUUAUAUUAUGAUUAUAAAAUCAACGGUGAUUAAGUGGGUUUCUCGGUUUUCUUGAUAAGCUGAGUUUUCUUAGGAUCUUCCUCCUAUAUUUCUGUGGGACACUAUUUUUUUGGAGAUAUUGGAGUCCCUAAGAUCCACCAUUGAUUUUUAAACAGAUCCAAAGGCUGAGAUUUAAGGAUUGAAAAAAACGGCUGCCAGUUAUUAUUUUGUUUUUGAAAUCUAUUCACCCGCACGACUCUGCCGAGUUCAGCCCGCAUCAUCUGGUGAAGGACACAGCAACGAUAUCAACCAUCCUCCACUUUCGCGCUGUGCAGCCCUAUUUGAAGGACGGUGUAUACCUAAUCUACCCAGCAAUUUGAAGGUCGGCGAAUACUGUGCAGAACAAGGCGAAGUUGGGCGACAAUGACCUCUGGUAUGUCCUUCAACUGAGAUGCAUGUCGUUUUAGGCACCCUUACUAGUCUGAUUUAAUGAAAUCAUGGGGCGAACUGAUGUGGUUGUCCUGCAUUUGCACUGUCGUAGGGUUUUGCUCGUUUUGGGGCUUUUUUUUAUGUAAGGGUUUUGUGAUGAACAUGAGUUUGUGAGUGUUAUGAUUGUAAAAUUUGGGCCUUUGGUUGUCUGGUAAACGUGGGUAUUUUUAAGUUACAAGAUAUCUACAGUUUGUUUUUGUUGUCUGGUAUAUGUGGUUGUUUCCCUGUUUUUAGGGAGGUGUGAAGAACAUGAGUUUGUGACAAAUUAAGUGAAAAUUAUGUUUGCCUCCAGUUUGGGAAUGUAUUCUGUAAGCAUUGUUGGGGGAGGUGUACUGCAAUUUGGAUGAUGGGGAAUAUUCCAAGGUCUAUUUGUGUGAUGACCUAUGUAAUGUUCCGGCUUACGUAAAACUAUACUUAUUUUGGUACUUUUGUGUCCUGUCAUUGCUUCAUUGCGACUUGCUACUGUGGUUGUUUUUUUGGUUAGUGUUUAGUAGCUGAACACUAUAGUGACUGAACAUGUAAUUAAAGAUGGAAUUUUCUCUGGACUUGUUCUGCAUUUUGCUUUCUAGUUCUGCGCUUUGUGUAUGCUUUAUUUGAAAAUGCUAUUGUAUAUGCUGCUGUUGAGCGUACUUGUUUUGGGUAGAUAUGAAUUUCUGGAAUUUUUGUAGUUGGCUAGCAUUGUAUUAAGGUGUUUGAAAUGAGUCUUGCAAAGUUAAUGCUAAUCUUUGUCGACUCAUUUGGAUAGAUCGAAGGAGAAGCAGCAGACUAAUUGCUAGCCCAUGGUUAUACAAUUGGACGAAGAAGAAGCCCGAAUACGUAACUAUUGAUGAUGAUGGCUCUAGUGGAAAGUAUCCUGGAAUUGUUUCGGGGGGAUCUUUACUUAGGAAAAAGGUAAGCGGUAGCGUGGUUGGCAAGGGGCCAGGUGAGGUGACCACACCGUUGCCAAGAUUGGACAUCCGCAGGGAAAGGAUGGAAGCAGAUGAAAUGCGUCGGAGUGCUGCGGACGAAGAGGAUGACGAGUUUAUGACUCCAGAAGAGCGCUUUGGCAGCUCAGGUAAGAAGACUGCAGGACUAGAUGUUGGAAAGGACGGAUGCUCCAGGUUGUCCGCGAAAUCGCGGGUUUCCACGGCUUCUAUUGUAAAACGUUUGCGAAUCAAGGUAAAUAAUUCUGCAAGUAAAAGUAUUUAUAUAUUUUUGGUCUUUGUUUAAGUAAUGAAUUAAAACAGUGAGAUUACUUGAAGAGACCAGAAGUAGACCAAAAUAAAUAUAUUAAAUUCCUUGCUGCUUUAGCCAGAAAAAGUCCCACAAGUCACUAUUUUAGUGUAAAUGAGUUUUGGUGUAAUUUUCUAGAAAAAUGCUUCAAUUGUCACUUCAAAACACGAAAUUAGGGAACUCAUUAAUUUUGUGGUUAUUUGUUUGGUGACGUACAGACUCUGCAGAACAGUAGCGAUGGGCGGGAUGUCUCUGGACUUUCUAAGCCUGAAAUGCCGAGAGUAGGAUCCUCCUCCUCUAAAAUGCCUGAGGUAUUGUCAGUAACAGAGAGAGUCAAGAGUUUUGUGUGUGUUUAGUGUCAUUGAUGUGCAUUUUAUUGUUAAAAAAACUGUGAUUAUAUGCUGCACUCUAGUUAGUCGGCAUGAUAAUGUACUGCAGUAGUAUCUGAGUUAAAAACACACGGGCAUCUAACCUGUUAUUCUUGUGCUUAGAGACAAGCCUUGUAUUUCUCAGGAACAAAACCUAGAUCUCUGUGUACAUAUAAUACUGGGGGUCGGGAUGUUUUUUUUUGUAACCAACGAUAAAGAAUAUAAUUAAUACAACUCAUUGAUCCAUGUAAAUAUACAAAGCAUGUCUGUCAGAUUUGUAUAUGAAAAUAUGGUAUGUUCUUGGAAAAUAAAAUGUAGGGAACACUGUACGAACCAGGGAACAUCAAAUUCAAAACUUUUAAUAUGAACGUCCUCAACAUAGGUAAUUACAGUUCCUAGAUUCAACCAGCUAACCAACAAAUCUGUGUUCUCCUGGUCUUGCAAUUUUGUGAAGUGAGUUUCCGUUCACAAGUUUGGAGUGACUUAAUAAUAAAUACAAUAUUGCAUUCUGUAAUCCACCAAUAUCUUGCACUGUCAUAAUUUGAUCCAUUUGUAGUCCAGAUAGGAUUGUGAGUGAUUAACACUGCCAAGGGCCCUGCACAUUGUGUAAAAUUUUAUUAACAGUUUGUAGUAAUAUAAGGUUGGUGCCAACUUAAAAUGCAGUAUCGAUCCUUAAGGGACUGCUUCUAAACUUCAUGCGGGCUUAUAUAGAUGAAAUUAUCUUGCAAUCGUAAUGAUCUAUGGUAAUAGUUGGUUCAUCUGUGUGCACUAUACAGCAUUUCUAGAAAAGCAUUUCACUUUAAGUUCUGUAUUAGAAUGUGCAGUAGGAUCUUCCAAGCAGACCAAGCCAAACUGUAAAAGAAAAUAUCAGGCACUUAUUAUAAAAACCAUUAUAUAACUUUUAAUAUCAACGCGACGUUGUUCUUCUAUCUUGAGAACUAUCGGCAGCCGUAUCAUCUUUAGACUUUAGUUUGCCCGGAGUAGGAUUGCCACCACAAUUACACUGCAGGACUUUGGAAACGACAUUGCCCCUUCUGUCGGAUUUUUGACCAGACUUACGAACAUCAAACCCACCUUGCCGCCCAUAUUCUCGAUAAAAAAGAAAUGCAUCUUCUAGAGUUGGAAAAUGCUGGUUUGUUUGUGGUUUAUAAAUAUCGUCGCAAGAUGGAGUAUAUAUUUUAGCCCCACUAGGCGAGAUGAACACUUUUGGAGCAGGCACUUUGGGAUACUCACGUUCAACAUCUAUAUUGCUCUCCUCUUCAACAUCCUCAACACUUUCAGAAGUUUCACAAUCGGAAUCUUUGUAUGAAUGCUCGGAAUCCGAACUCUCGAUGUGGGGGACAUCUUGAACACCUAUCCAUGAAAAAAGAUAUUUCAAUACACCUUUAAAAUUGCAGCAUAGAAGCACAUGUGCAAAACUUAAAAGCCGAAAGGAACAUUAUUACAAAGCAAAUACUCAUAUGGGCAGUAACACAAUUGCACGAUUCACCACAUAAAAAUCAAAAACACAAACUCCAUAUUCGACUGAAGCAUAUAAAAAAUGUGCGGAACACGGCGAAAUAAAGCCAAAACCAUGUGCAGCACGAAAAAUACAUUAACCAUAGAUAUGUCCUGCAUGCAGUACAUGACCUACAAUGAACACAAGAUGCAAUGAAAAAACGCAGAAAAAAUUACUUGCUUCGGCCUUCUUAUUAGACAUUAGACGAUUUAGACAAAAUGAUCCCGUAUUAAAGAAAUUGCCUCCGAGUUUUGAAGAACACAAUCUGAGAAAAUGUAAUAAGAAAUGGUUGCGUUGGCGCAGGACACUACUUCUUCAAACUCCCCUGUAAACACACUGCGGCAGUUGUAACUGCCUGAUACAUUAGGCACGCAACAACUUUUCAAAAAAAAGCACGGGUGGUUUUUAGAUAAAUAAAAAACUAAGAAUUAAAAGAUUAAUCAAUAAAACAUUACAGCCCUUGGAUGUAACACAAAAUGGAAGGCCAAGAUUAGGACUCCAAGGACUCCAAACUUUAUAGGACUCCAUAUAACUUUCUUCUAUAUAUAUAUAUAUAUAUAUAUAUAUAGGGUGACAAUCUAGAGAGUGCACCUUAUAUGGAGUUAUAGAGUACACCCGAUCUGAACCGUUGAUAUUAAAAAAAAAGUAACGGCGGUGAUUAAACCUAUUAAUUACCUCUUAAAACAGUUGGAUCUAACUUUAAUUUUGACAACUAUACACACAGAAGCUAUACACACACAGGAGCUAUACACACAGAAGCAAAUCGAGACUCUACUACGCACAGCAGAGGUUCAGAGAUUCGAACCACGAAGCUCAAAAACAAGCUCGAAACAAGGAAUCGAGCUUCCUUGUUUAGCAAAUCGAAGGUUCAGAAGCAAAUCGAAGCUAAUCGAAGCUUAUCGAGAUUCAAUUUUGUUUUGAUAAAUUAGGGUUUCAAAUUAAUCGAAGGUAAUCAAAGCUAAUCGAAGCUCUUUUUGUUUGUUUCAGGUGAUUUAGAGGAGUAUUAACAGCUUAGAAGAUGCUCCGCCGAAUAGGUCAGUAAAACUCCAGAGAAUUGUUCAAAAUUUUAUAUUCUACAAUAGAAUGUUGUGCUUUAGCUAUGUUCGAAACACAGAUGUUCCACAAUAGAAGUAAUUUUGAUUGUUCUACAUUAGAAUAAUAUCAUUCUUUAUAAAACAGAGCAUGUUUAUUAAGUUUAUAGAGCAUUAUUCAUUAUUUUGCAUCUGUAGUAGAAUAUAUUACAAUUUCAUAAAGUUUGUGCUACAUUAGAAUAAAAUCAUUGUUUAUACUACAUAGCUUUUUAUCUUCCACAGUAAAAUAUAUUACAAGUUUGUCAAAUAUGUUGUAUAUUAGAAUAAAUUCAUUGUUUAUAGUAUAGAUUAUUUUGCUUCUUUGGUAGAAUAUGUUACUAGUUAAUGAAGUUUGUUCUACAUUAGAAUAUAGUUUAUGAAUUUGUCAAAUAUGUUGUAUAUUAGAAUAAAUUCAUUGUUUAUAGGAUAGAUUAUUUUGCUUCCUUGGUAGAAUACUAUUUUAUGACAAGGGUUAUAUAUUACUUGUAUUCAUCAGAAUAAUUAGUCGUAGAAUAUUUUUUAGGAAAUAGUCACCUUGAGUUUUACAGGUUAUUGUUUGGUGUUUGCUUAAGGUAACAUCGGUUGAUCCCACUGAUCAUGGAUUCACUUUGGUGAUUGGUAUACUGGUCGCUGAAUUUUUUUUUCCCUUAACAGGCUAGAAAAUGUCAAACUGGUACAAUAUAUCAAGAAUAGCAUGGGCAUUUAUAGUCCUUAUCACAGGAAUAUGUGUACAUGUGUGCGUCGUGGAAGUUUUAUGGUCAUAUAUAUUACUCACCAGCACUUGCUCUGUACAUGAUUUUGUUUAAUAUCUAUUAGCAUAAAUUUUUUUUCUAUCUAAUGCAAUUUUAACGGUGUUUUGUUUAUAUGUAUAAGGGAUAAAGUUAAUUAUAUCUUGCGACAUUCUUCCAAGUCUAAGAUCAGGGUAGAUAGAUGACUUCUAAAUAUAAGAAAAGAUAUUAUUGUGGUUUAUAUAUUUUGGUAUGGGGACUCUUUUCUUAAAGCAUUAUAAUUAAUAGUAGGAAAUUGGUGUAUAAUCUUCAAAAUAACAAGUUCAAAAUGAAGGUAUUGUUUGGAUGCUUCCCUUGGUGUAGCAAUAACUUCUACCAAAUUAUAUAUUUUUGGAAUUAGUUAAGUAGGGUUAUUUUAACUUAAUUGUCUUGGUUAUACAAAACUUACAUUCUGUUUCCACUAUUUGGAUUAGCAUACAGAAGACUAUUGUCAGAUUAAUAUCAUUUUUGUCAUUGGAGUAAUGUAGACCAAUAUGAAGAUUAUGAUGAAAAGAAAUAAGUAUCACUUAAUCUUGUAUGACAUUUAGUCAUUGUCUCCUGUUAUAAUGGUAUGGAACAUUGUUUACAGGCACAUAUAGUUGAACAUAUUUAGAGUACGACUUUAAAACUAUUUGCUCUUUCCAUAUUUUAACUCAAAGUGUAUCUCUUACUAGCUCUGUGGAAUAACUCAAAGUGGAUCAUAUAAAAUUACUCUGGCUCUGCCUCUGGCUCAUAUGAAAGCACAAUCUAAGCCUCAAAUAAUUCAAAGUGUAUCAUAUGAAACUGAAUCCUACUUGUUUAUUCAAACUGUAGUUCUCCUUUCAUUAAUUAAAGCGUUUUAGGGCGUCUCGGUGGUGUAAGCUUUCAUUUAUUUGCAUAAAUGAAAUACUUGGUUUUGAUUUUCCUAUUUAAUUAUUUUAUUAUCUUCACUACUUCUAUCUAAACAUGGCAGGUACAAGGUCAGGAGGAAAGAAAUAUAAAUUCAAAAGUUCAAGAUCUGCAAAACAUGGCAAGUCGCAAAAGAGACUUAAGCAAAAUUCUGAUGAUGAAGUAGAAGAACAGUUGAGCACAGCAGUCUUUGAUGAUUAUUGGAGGUAAUAUAUUCUUGCCAAAUUAUACAAGUGUUUUCAUAACAUUUAUUUUCUCUGGUCAUGCAAAUAUUUUUUUUUCUAUGUAGUUUAAUCUGGAAAAGAAUACCUUCAGAGAGAAUACAAGGAUGUCUGUGUUACCAUCCUUUAUCUUUUCGAAGAUAUUUGAUGAAAAAUAAGCUAACAAACUGAAAAAAUGGGUAUCAAGACAAAAAGUGUUCUCAAGCAGAUAUGUCUUCAUUCCAAUGUGCCAAUCGUAAGUAAAUUAAAGAUAUGAUGUUAGAUAUGUACUAAACAUUCUUCAAACCAAUACUAAGAAAUUUAUAUUUGUUCAUGACAGAAAUCACUGGAACUUGCUCAUUAUCUGUAAUAUUGGCGAGGAUAUGAAUUCUGAAACAAAGAGUCCAUGCAUAUUCUUACUGGACUCGCUGCAAUUCGGAGAAGCUACAAGACUUGAAACAAAAUUAAGAGAGUAAGAUCUUAUAUUAACUAUUAAUUAUAAUUUAAUUAAUUCUUAUAUAUAAAUAAUAUAUUGUAACAUACAAUUUGAUAUGAUGCAAACUUCAGGUUUGUAUUUCAUUUAUAUGAAUCUGGAAAUCGAAAAGAAUCUGUUGAGGAAAUCUUUAAUAUACCAUACAACAUACCAUCAAUUCCACAACAAGAAGAUGGGACUAAAUAUGGUUAUUACAUGUUGUUUUACAUGUUCAAAUUCCUCACUGCUUGUCCCUAUCAAUUUGACAUGUCUAAGGAUUGUCCAGGAUUUGUAAGUUUGUAAGUUCUUAUUUAUUGGUUUUCCCUAAUCUAUAUGUUCUUAAUUUGUGUUAUGAUUUAUAAAAUAAAAUGAUGUAUUUAAAACUUCUCUGUUGUAACAGAUGAAUGAAGAUUGGUUUGAUUUGGAUGAAUUCCAAAAAUUUUACGAAGACUUGACAUCAGUAAAAGAAAAGGAGUUUAGUUUAUCUGACACAACUAUAGAUAAAAAGAAAGAUGGUGAAGGAAGUAGCAUUCAAAAUAUUAACAAUGUGAAUCAUGAUAUGCUGCAAACACCGCCAUCACAUGAUCUAUUCAAAUCUAAUGAUGCCCUCCCUGCACUGGUAUCAUACACCCCAGAAAGUUCACAAGAAGAGCAUAAAAUAACUCAAUAUAAGAAAUUCUACACUUUCUUAAGUUUAUAUUCUUUAGAACUUUCUUUAUUGCAAAUUGCUUUAAAGAAACAUAAUGAUGUUCUUUAAUUAUGUCUCCUUGUAGGCAAUAAGCCAUCCCCUUUGCCAGCAAUUCAAAAAUCAAAGAUCGAGGGUGAUGUUUUAUUUGUAGUAUAAAAGAUCGAGGGUGAUCUUUAAUUAUGGUGCCUAUAAAUAUAGUUAUUUGUAGGAGUUUUAUUGUAUUGCAAAAGUUAGAGAGUUGUGUGAGAGAUACACAAGAGAGAACUUUUGUGAUCAAGUUGAGGGGUUUGUAUACAAGAGUGUUGAGUGAGGGAGCGACUCCAAUCUUGUAAUACAUUCAUAUUUAGUGGAUUGGUGGUUUUACCCUCCCUAAAUAUGAAUGUAUUACAAGAGUGUUGAGUGAGGGAGCGACUCCAAUCUUGUAAUACAUUCAUAUUUAGUGGAUUGGUUGUUUUUACCCUCCCUUGAGGGGUUUCCACGUUAAUUGUUGUGUUCUUUACUUUCGUGCUUGUUAUUUUGUUUGAUUAACGUCAAUCUAUAGUGGAUGCGAUCCUAACACUCUCUUUCAUAUAUAUGCACAAAUAUGGAAUCUGUCUAUCUUUUGAAUUGUGUAAUUCAAAUACUAAAUCUUUUCCUUUAAUCUGGAUGAUAUUAGGUCAAAAUUAAAAGAGCCAAGAAACGAAAAAAUGUCAAAGAAGAAGAAGAAGAAACAGAAGAAGAGGAACCAACUGAGAACAUAAGAAAGCCUGAAACAGACAUGCCAAAUAAGAUAUUGUUACGUGCCUACCCGAAAACCUUCACCGAUGCUAUCCAGGCGUUGACAGAAGAUCAGAAAAAAUGGGUGACUGAAGCGGGAUUUGGCCUUCUCUUAUCAUUUGCAAUGAGAAAAGUUCCGCACUCAUUGUGUGUGAAUAUAAUUUGGUGGUAAGAUUUGACCAAGGAUGAGAUGCUCUUCCAUGAUCAAAGGGUGAAGAUCACAGAGCAAGAUGUGGCUGAUACCCUUGGGCUGCCAAAGGGAGAAAAAGAAAUCUGUUUCGAAAAAGGCAAAGUUAAUAGAGACAAAUUCUCUAGAUGGAGAGCGCAAUUUCCUGACAAAGAUGAAAAUAGAAUCACAGAGUUGACCGUGUAUGAGGCGAUAACUAGAUCAAGAGUAGUAGAUCUUCAUUUCAAACAAAACUUCAUGAUUCUAAUGAUGAAUCUGUUCAUAUACACAAACAACAGCUCUUUCCUUUGUCAAGAUGUUUUGGGAUUUGAAGACGAGUUUGAAAACGCGAGCCAGUACAAUUGGUGCAAGCUUGUCAUAGAAUCUCUUCGAACUUCUCAUGAGGAAUGGUGGGAUGAUCCUCACAAGAAGUACUACACUGGUUCACUAGUGUUCCUCCUUGUAAGUAAACAUAAAAUAUUAAUAAUUCGUACUUGUCCUUAAUAUCUAUUGUGCAUUAAUUUUAACUAACAAUGUUUUCAGUUCUUCUACCUUGGCCGAAGCGUCCAUACUGAAUAUAGAGCAGAAAGGACAAGGCAUGUUUUCAUUGGUUGGAGGGACUCACUCAUUGAGAAUAGAAACAGAAGUGAAUCCAUUGAUGGAACCUUUUUGAAAGGAGAAAUUGUAAGUUCAUUUGUCCAAUUAAUAUAAUUCUCAACUGAUUUCUUUGAAAAAUUGUGAAGACACAGCCUAUUAAUGGAUCAGAAGUGUAUGUUAAUGUUCUUAAAAUACAUUUCAGGUUGGACCAUUGCACAACGAAAACACUGGAGAGAGACAGACUACUAAAAAUGUAUCACUUGAACAACAAAGGCACCAGGUCUAAAUAACAAACAUAUCAUAAACUACAUUCUCAAUAUAAACAUAUGUGAUAAGUAAACUACAUUUCUCAUUUGUUAUUGAACUUGGAAAAUUUAGGAUGGAAAUCAGGAUGAUGAGGAGGCUGCAAUUUUUGAAUUGCGUAAAAUCAAAGGAAAGUUACCCGCUGAAGAUUUUGUGGAUGUAAGCUUCUCAAUUAUAUUCUCUAAAAAUGAUUGUAAUUUAUUUGGAUUUCAUGUUUUAUAUUAAAAAAAAGUUUAUGUUCUAUAGUACAAUAUUAAUUUUGUGCUUUAUGGAUAGUUCAUGCAAGCUCCUGCAUACACUUACAUUUAUAUGACAAAUAGGUUGACUACUCAGAAUUCAUGGCCUCCUAGAGCCUUCUCUUCUCCUCUUCUGAUUAGGAUCCUAGUGAUUUUCCUGUCGGUCACAGAAUAUUAGAUUUACUUGAUGCUUGAUUCUUUUCUUGCACAUUUGGCAUUUGCAUAUCAAGAAACAGAAUUUUAUCCUAGAAGCACAUCGUAAGCUGAAUACAGAGGGUUCUUUCCACUCUAACUAGUCAGGUUUUGUAGUUGAUUUGUUUGUUGAAACAUGUUACAUUACUGUUCCGUCGCCUGUUAAUUUUUACACUGACAAUCAAGAGGGCUUUCGAUUCGGUUUCCUAUCCUGUUGAAAAGAAGCAAAUCACUCAACUUGAUUAUUAGUCGAUCAAGAAGAAAAGAUAUUACAGCACCAUUUUUCCUGUUGAGCUUCCAGCAAGGACCAAUUAGCAUACAUAUUAUCACCUAAAGGAUGAGCAGAACAAACAAGUCACUGGAACUUUACUCCAAGUUGAGAUUACACAAUCGAUGUACUCAUCCAGGUUGUGGGGAAUGCCCUGAGCCCCUUGGCUAAUAAUGAGCCUGGUUAAGUCCAAUGCUAACACAGUUAGGCGUUAGCACUUGGCACUACAUCUCCAACUUAUAUUACUAACUAUAGUUGGAGCUCAUCAGUCUUAACCACAUAAAUAUUAAACUGCAUCAAUCUUAUAUUGGUCCAUAUAAAUUCUUCUGCUUUUAUUAACCACAUAAAUAUGUCUUCUCUUACAGAUAUUUCAAGAAGGUGACAAUUUAAAAACACCGAAAGAAACCUUAAGAGGAGUAGAAAUGAGUCCACAACUAUUCAAGGAAGCUGAAAUUAAUACUGGAAUCAUGUUUGUGACGAGAGAUAUUAACUUCAUGUAUGAAGAUAAUGAAAUUAUCACUGAAGAGGUACAAAACAUUUUUUUAUAAUUCUAUAAAAUCUAGUUUCUGUCAUGUGAUUAUAUAACGUUUUGAAUAAUAUUAUUAUGUCUAUGAAACUAGGAAAUGAUGUCACAAGUUGAUAAGACAUCAAAGAAUUGGAAUUUGUGUAUAAGAAAUGCAAAAACAACUUGAAGAUGGCAAAUGACCUCUUCCCAAACAACCCUAGCCUGAAGCUGUAUGAAGACACAUUUGCAAAAAUGUAUCAACCACCAAAUCAGGAAGAAGAAGAAGAAGAGCACCAAAGGUAUUAUAACAACACUUAGAAUAUAAUGUAAUUUUUGUGAAUGUUUACUUUGAUAAUUGUAUGAUUCAAUAUUCUUAUUUAUCAUAUGUCAUUCUCUUCUAUUCUAGUAAUCAUUAAAAAAUAAUUCAAUUGACAAUAAUAUAUUUUGAAAAACAAAGUCGAACCAGACAGUGACAGAGACCCAGAGUGGCCUUACUGCACGAACAAAGACUGGAAAACAAUUGAUAUUUUAGCGCUUCCAAAAUUCGAUAAAGCAUAUAACAAAAUGAUUGAUAUCGAUGACUUUCUAGGUGAUCUAACAUUGGGUGGUGAACGUAUUGAUUUUGAUAGAUUUGAAAGAGAAGAAGACAAUGAAUAUAUUCCGGGAAGACUAAGGAGAGAGGUAAAGGUUGGAGACUCCCAAAAAUCACCAUAUCUUGAUCGCACAAUUGACUUCAACAGGCAAAAGAUUACAAAAGCAGAGGAGGAGGUGUGGAAUUGGAUCAUAGGAGAUACAUCAGAUCCAACGUAUGUUUCACUAACAUAUUUGAUUAAAUUUAAAAACACAUCAUUACUUAAUCUAGGCAGUACUUUUAAGUAUGAAUAAUAUAAUAUUAAUGCAGCCAAAUUAUUUUCUUCUGGGAGGAUGUAACUUGCAUGAAGUACCAGAUUAAAACUUUUCAAUUUAAUGAAAGAAUAUCAACUGUUGUCGUUGAUGUAUAUGCGAGCAUCCUGAAUGAAGACGAAAAAUACAGAUCCCCAGACUCUCCACACCGGUUCUUUUGCAACACUAGUAUCACGGUAUUCUACUAGAUGAAAUAUUUUAGACACAAUGAAGGUCUUUCAUAAUAUAUAAUUUGCACUGAUUUCUAUUAACUUCUGUAGUUUAUAUUAACUUGAGAUUGUUUCUACAAUACAGGGGAUGUCAUUGACAAAAAGGAACCAUGUUGAAACUCCUGAAGAGGCUAAAGCAAAGUAUAUAAGGUUUUGUUCAAGAUUAAAUAUAUGGCUUCUGAAACAUGAUUCAAAAAUUGAUGAUAUCGAUCUGGUACAUUCUAAGAAUUUAAUAAAUACUUUCAAUUUCACACAAAAACACGAACAUAGAUUGACAUAGAUAGACUAAAUUAUAUAUUUCACAUUUAUUUAUGCAUAUAUUUUUCCCCAUCCAUGAUGUAGAAUACUAUUAUGUUGUCUGUUUCAACAUUAAAAAUCCAUCAAUAGAGAUCCUUGACAACAAUAGAAUUGGAGAUGGCAGCAAUGCAGUCUAUGAUGGAUUACCGGAAUGCUUGGUAUUUUUCUACUUUUAUUUGUAACUAUAAAUUGUGUUAUAUGUAAUUAUGGUUAGCUUAACGGACAUUAGCCACAUCAAUAUCAUUCAUACCACGUAAGUAAUUUCUGUGUACAGAUUUUUACUCAAUUGACGAAAUGUACACCUGAUUUAAGAAAGUGAGUAAGUGACCUGAUUGAGACGGGUUUUAGUGACCAAUUUCAUUCUACUCUGUUGAACCCAAACCAGGGACUCUUCUAGUUCUGGAUAAUGACUUGCUUGUAAUUAUAAAAUCUUAAUUGUAACUAUAAUACUUGUUUGCUCUUCUAGUUCUGGAUUAUGCUUGGUAUUUUUCUACUUUUAUUUGUAACUAUAAAUUGUGUUAUAUGUAUUCACAAAAAAAUUAUUUUCAGCAACAACAUUUUGUGACCUACUUGGAAACAAGCAGUCCGGUCAAGAGUAAACAGUUGGGCAGCGUUUCAAUUGUUCGACUAGAUAUGAAAUGGCGAACAAUGUAUAAUGAGGUGGAUUCUGGAGUGUUUGCCAUUAACCAUAUGGAAACCUACAAAGGCAAUGGAUUGCGGAACUGGGAAUGCAAAUUUGCAUAUGAAAAGGUAAGACCAUUCCAUGUCUGAUUUGAGUUAAAUAGUAAUUAAAUUAUAGUCUCACCAAAAUGCUAUGUGGAUACUUUACUCUAUUACUGUUGGUAUUCAAUGUUCUAAUAUCUAUUCAGUUCUAGAAUACUUUAUGCUCCGAACAAACUAACUAGGUAAAAUGAUCAAUAUAUUGAUGCAGGGAGUUCAACAGAAAAAACAGCUGGAGAAGGCACAUCAGAUUUACGCCUCAAAGAUUAUAUAUUCACCAACAAAUCUGUACAAAAACAAAAUGGUGAAUGAGAUCAAGUCGCUGUGUCAACCAAGAUGAAUAGUACUUGUCUUUGAAAGUACUUGUCUUAGAAAAUACUUGUCUUUGAAAGUGAUGUGAAUAGUGAGAUGAAGCAAGUACUUAUUUUUGAAAGUGAUGUGAAUAGUGAUCAACUGCUAGUAAAAAUAUUGCAGAUUUUCAUUUGCUACGUAUUGGAAUAUGAUGCUAGAAAUUUUAAAAGAAAUACUCUCUUGUAAUGUCUGUUUUGCUAUCUAUCAUUCUAUCUAUAAAAGAAUCAUUGUUAUGUAUUAACUUGUGUUAAUCUUCAUAUGGAUUGUAAGUUAUUAAAAAUGAAUAGUAAGUUAAUAAUAGUAUUCUUUAGUGGAAUCAUUAUAUUUUACCUAAACCAAAAAACCUACAAUGUUCACAUCAAUAUUCAAUAGUAGAAUAAUUUAAUUUAUUAAAAAGAAUUUUGGUUUUCACUGUAAUACACUUAGAUUUUUAUAAUGUUCUACACUAGAAUCAUAGUUUUUCAUGUACAAUAGAUCUGUUUUUAGUAUUCUAUAAAAAAACUCAUUACAUUCCUCAUCAUAUGACUUAGGUUUAUCAUAGGAAUAAUAUAUCACUUACAAAACUAAAUGAAAGCCUAAAAGAUUAGCUCAACUAAUCCACCACUUUCCGAAAGCGCAAGCAGGCCAAGCCUCAAGGGAUGGUACAUUAAGCCGAAUAAUUUACAUCAUCUCUACUCCUGCACUGAAAUACCAUGUGAAUUUACAAAUUUACAUCAUCUCUACUCCUGCACUGAAAUACCAUGUGAAUUUACAAGGUAUCCUCCAACUCAUCUGGUACAUGCAGCUUCUCUAUGGCAGCCUGCCAAAAGAUUACAACCUGGACUUUAGGUUGUGCAUUCAAGUACAUAUAUAGAAUCUGUAUAGCCUAGCUCCCCCGCGAGAACACAUUGGUCUAAAAUCCAAAUAUCAGACUUUCAGACAAUCAUUCUUGCUUAGUAAAAUUUGUAAUUUAAUCUCAAGAACAAUGUAAAAUUUGUUCAUUUACAUUGCAAGAUAAUCCAAGAACUAUAAACUUGACAAAUCCACAUUUUUUGGCUCAAUCCUUGUUUCUUCUUGUCCGCUGAUCCAUGCAAACUAGCUUAAUAUUCCUAAAAAGAGAUAUAUGGAAAUAAGUUAUAAAUUGGAAUCAACCUGCCUCAAUUAGCAUUAGAUAAAAAUAUUUAACAAGCAUAAUUCCAUGGAACUUUAACUUGCAGAAUACAUGUAUUGAUGGUUUCGUUAGUGCUAAUAUGGUCAACACAAAUAUUAGCAGCUUGCAUGAUUGGAUUUUGCAUCUUCUUCUUCAGGCAAGUACGUGAAUCGUGAUAUCCUUCCAUCAUACAGAAUUUGCACACCCUUAAUUUCCUCUUCUUUCCAUCACAACUUUUUUCUGCAGGACCAACAAGUCUUUUUCGGCUACCUUUAUUAUUACUUUGGAGUGGUGGAUGAACAGUAGUUAUAGUUGAAGGUCUCACUCCGAAACAUUCUUCUAGCAUAUCUUCUUUUGUAGCUCUGGAACUUUCAAAUUUUUCUUCAACCCUUAUUUUCAAACUAUUCAUCUCAUCAAACAAAAACUGCAUACCAUUACCAUUGUUUGAAACAUAUUCAAUGCAUCCUUGGAACACAGUCCAUACUUUUUUUGACAUAUCCCUAAUGUUCUGUACAUUAGUACUUUCCAUCACAUCUGAAAAUUUUGAUUUACAAAAUCUGUCCUCUGCAUUUCUCAUCCAGCGACUACACAAAUACUGAUGUGGAAUUCGUUCAACACCCCAUAGACCCAAACAGUAGAAACAAUGCCGACAAAGGUAUCCCACUCUAGUAAAAAGCUUGCAAGAACACUCCACAUUGUUUGUCAAGAACGAAAACUGAACCUCGAAAUACUUCUCAUCAUAAGUUUUAUCACGUACAAUAUACUUACUAACACCAUCAACCACAAUUGGCUGUCCAGCCAAACUAAUAUGAAAACAACUAGCUUUAAUCUGUUUUUGAACCUUGUAAAACAUUGUGCGAGUGUAAAGCUGGGCUGCUUCCUUUUCAAUUUCUUUUUCAGUGAUAGUCUUAGGUAUACAUCUAUCUCCAUCAUUAAGUUUUUUAUUUUCAUAAAUCUGUUUCUCAAUGGCACUCUCAUAGCAUAUAUAGAACUCUGACAGUGUGUCUCUCCUCUGCACAAAAUGAUUAAAGAAAAAGUUACUACUUUCUGACCUUGAUGUCGUUCUGAGCAACGCUCCCAUGGGCUUGUCCCGAAAAAAGGCAGGAAUCCACGAUUCUCUCAUAAGGUACAUUUCAUUCAACCAUACAUGUUCACUCAAUCCAAACUUAUUCAACACAAAAUUCCAACCUUCUUCAAAUUUAGAUAUCGUCAAAUGUGAUGACCAAACAAAUUUAUUAAGUUUCUCCACAAAACCAGAUUCCGCACAAAAAACAGGACCAACCUAUAAUAAAAAUAUUAUUUUUAAUGGAUUUAGACAAAUGAGAAGGUAUUUCUAACACACAACAGAUAAUCGAAUUAAGUAGAUAAUCUACAACUAAUCUAUUCCUCUAAUAGAAUAAAAGAUAAAAUAUAAUAACUCAAAUAAUACUAAUGAGUAUCUAUAUUACCAUCAAACAUAUAACAGAUACAAGUAAAUCAAAAUCAUUUAAUUUGCAUAAGGCAGAUGUAUUUGAUUACCUUAGCUGUAAACUUUUGCAUUAUAUGCCACAUGCAAUAUCGAUGAAUUGAAUUAGGGAAUAUCUUGUUGAUAGCAACUUUCAUAGCCGGGCAUUGAUCAGUGAUAAUACAUUUUGGUGCCUGCUGAAAGACUUUCAAAAACAUCUCGCACACCCAUGUAAAAUUUGUCGAAUCCUCGUCAUUAAGCAAAGCAGAUGCGAAGGUAACACUUUUCCAGUGAUUGUCAACACCUAUAAAUGGUACAAAAACCAUGCCAUACCUACAAUUACACAAUAUAAAUUAUAAAGAAGCAGAGGUGAAAAAAUAAAACAAAGAGUAUAAACUUAUACACAUAUAAGAUUAACAUACUUAUUUGUGCGAUAAGUUGCAUCAAAAGACACCACAUCACCAAACACGUAAUAACUUUGGCGUCCUGGAAUAUCAGCCCAAAAUAGACGAGUAAGAUGACCAUCCGAAUCUGUUUCAUACUCAUAAGCAAAUCCAGCAUCUGAUGUCUCUCGCUUAUUUUGGAAAUUUUGAAGCAACAUAUCCGCAUCAUGCUUUCCAAUAUACAACUUAAUAUCCCUUACCCAAUUCUGAAAAUCUGUAGCAGUUGCUCCUACAUCAGUGUAGGAACCGGCUAUAGAUUUAUAGAGGCUAUGCGCUCUAUGAGCACCAAUAUUUGAUUUAGCAGCAUCUAAAAUGAAUCGGCGUUGAAGUGAGGAAAUAGUUCGAUUGAUACGAAGAAAUUGCUUUCCAGAUGUGGAUGCUAAAGGAUGAUUGUGACCUUCAACAAAACAAGAUAUUAUAUAUUGAUUAAAACCACCAUAUUUCAGUUGAACCUUUGCUUCACAUUGACAUUUUUUUGUAACUGUCCUUCUUCGCCUUCUUACAUCAACUCCUGCAGUGCUUGAGACAAGAGACAAAUCCGAAUUACUAUCAGAGUUUUUCGACAUAGAAGUUUCAUGAUCACCUCCCUUCGAACAGACAAAAUACUUGUAAACUACAAUACCAUCUCUGACUUUUUGUGAUGACUUGCGAAUAUCGAAACCACCUUGCCUCCCAUAUUCAGCAUAAAACUUAAAACAUGUUUCAAUAUCUCUAAAAAUCUGACCAGAAUAAGGCUUCACUUUGUUGUCAUCAACCUUCGGUAUCCAUAAUCCACUACUACUGCUAAACGAAUCAUCAAAACCUUCGAUAAAAUUCUCAACCUCAUCAUCACGAGCACACUCAACAGUGAAAUCAUUGUUAUUAGCAGUGGAAUCAACUUGUAAAUCACUGUAUCUAUUGCAACUGUUAUGUAAAUUUCCUGGUCAGAAGAAAACUAUAUUUCAAUAGAAAAUAGAAUAAAAUUGCAUUCAAAAUAAACUAAAAACUUAAUUUCCACUAUCUAUGAUUCUCUAGUAGCAUAAAAAAAAAUUAUAUGUUCAAUAAUAUAACUAUAAGGACUCAUAUCUGCUAUACUUUAGCUGUACAACUCAAACAUGUAAUAUGAAAUUAAGUAAAUCAACACUUAAAAGAAAUCUCAUGGUAUUCAGAAUCCACAACACAAACAAAAAUAAAAAUAAAGUUUCAAAAACAACUACUAGCUAGUGCAAGUACAAUCACAGAUUAAAAGAAGUACAAAAUCUACUAAUUAUAUUAGCUAAACACAAUGAAAUUGAAGAUAAAUACCGGAUCAUAAUUGGAUCUCAAAUUUUGAUUUAAUGAUAUUACCUUGAUUCGAAGAAGACGCCAUUGUUACUUUACUGUGUUUGACAGAGAGAGGGAGGGGAGAGUGUAAAGGGGGAGGGGGGGACGGAGGCGAGGGAGGGGGUUUUCUGCAGUGAGACUGACGGAGGGAGUGGGUUUGGUUUGGGGAGGGAGAGUGCAGUUGGUUAUGAAUCAACUGUAUCCAUUAAGUUUGGGCAUUUAUUAUUAUUUUUAAUAUUGUUUUAUUUAUUAAUGUCUAUGAUAAUAAAAAUAUUAUAUAAUAUUUAUGAUAUUCCAUAAUAGAAUAAUCUUCAAUUUUCAGAUUGUAUGUCUUUUUCUGGUUUCAAAACAAAACUGUAUGUCCUCAGCUUAUUACGUUAAACCAUGUUAAGUCGUAAAUCAUAAUUUUUAAACAUGACCAUAGAAGACUCAACCCCUGUGUACAAUUCCAAGCACUGAACAGCAGAUAAUGGUAUAAUAUCAUUGUAGUGAAAACACAGAAUAAGAUACAACCAUACUUAUAUGAAGACUAGCUCUAUAAAAACCAUACACUGUAGGUUGAGACAUAAAAUAGUAGUUCAAAAACAACAUGAGUGCAUGGUAAAUAAAGAGGUACAGCCUAACUAUACAAGUCAUCUUCAUCAGCUCCGCCAGCAGAAGUUGCAAAAGGAUCAUAUGCAGUAGCUGUAGCACUAGUGUCUGCAAAUCGGAAUUCAGAACCAAAUCCUCUAGACUGCUGCAAUGUUUGAGCAAAUGCUUGAUAUUUGCGAUACUGGUGAUUUCCUGAGGCAUGACUAGACGACCAGGCCGCAGUAGUUCAGGAUCAAUAAUAUCAAGCCUGUUAAUAGCUCCAAUGAUAAAAACCGUUUUCUUAGUGGACAUUCCAUCCAUUUCAGUCAAAAGUUGAUUUAAAACUCUAUCAACAGCUCCACCAGCAUCUCCAGAAUUGCUUCCCCUCUGUGAUUGAUUAAUAAACAAGUGUAAAUUAGAAGUGUCCAAACAGCAACAAAUAUUUAAUAUACAAGAAUUUAUAGUUAAAAGCAGUGAAAACAAACCUGAGUGGCAAUAUAAUCUAGUUCAUCAAAGAAUAGCACACAAGGGGCAGAUCCACGAGCCUUGUCAAAUAGUUCUCGUACAUUUGCCUCCCUCUUUCCAAACCACAUGGUGAGCAACUCAGGGUGCCUUGAUACUAAUAAAAUUUUCUUGACAUUCAUUGGCAAUAGCUUUGACCAGCAAGGUUUUCCCACAUUCAUUAAUCUUUGUAAAUGACAGAAAUCCCUGGCAAUAUAUACUUGUUACAGUUACAAAAGCCAAAAUUACCUCUUGAAGCUCUCUCUUAACAUUAUCCAGGCCACCAAUAUCUUCCCAACUAACAUUGGGAACCUCGACAACCUGCUCAACAAAAAAAUCAUGAUCAACUACUAAUCAAAAGAGAAUCGAUCCUAAAGAAGAACAUAAAAGCUACCGGGAAACAACUUACAGUUUCACGCAGAGCAAAUGGAUUGCUAGCAAUAAUGUAUAAACUACUCUAUAAGAAAAUAAUAUUUAAAUGAUUAAUUAUAUUCAAGAGUAGAAGUGUGUAAGUAUCAGUAGAAGAAUUUUUGCUGUUCUGCACAAGAAUGUUUUGCACUAUAAAAGUAGAUACAAAAUCAAAAUUUACAUUUGCUUGGAACACAAAUUACACAAUUUCUUCAAUAUGUGACACAAACUCAAAUAUUUACAUACUAUUUCAAGCAUAUUUACAUUAGCAAAAAGUAUUGCUUCUAUACAUAAUUUGAUUCAAGAUACUACAUCGAAAUCUAGUGUCUUUUUCUCAACUUUUUCGGCAAAUUUUACAGCUUCAAACCACCAACCAUCUUUCAGGCAGCUAUCCACAAUGUCUAUCGUCUUGUUAUCAACAUUAUGCUCAUAAAUUUCAUGACGCUUAACACCUUCAAAAAAAAUGGUUGUAUCAGGUACAAUUUCUUCAGGAACUGGACGUAGUGGAGAACGAUAACCUGUUAUAACAUUAACAACAAUAUUUAAAAUUGAUUAUAUUUUUCAAACAUUUAUUUGUAUAACUAAUAGUGACACAUAAGUUAAUAACCUCUGCAAUUUGGAUCAUGACAUUUUUGAUAAUAACCAGCUCUUCUUAGAUCAACAACAUAAAUAACUACAAUGUACAAGUCAACUUACAAUCGAAAUAAAAUAACCAAACUCAAAGCUACAAUAUAAAAUCAAAAAUAGAUACUACUAAGUGGGAUAAAAUGUAUCAUGAUUGCUUUUGUGUUGUCUACCAAUUCUCUCACAGUAUCUAUUUUUGACAUAUUAUACACCAUUAUACCAUACUCUGAAAACCAAUGCCAACUGUGAAUUUUUCCUGAAAAGAACAUGUAAUAUCCAACCUACUAAUCAUAUAAACGAUUAUAUAUUCAAAUAUCAAUAAAUAUAUAUUCUUCUUAUGUUUCUAAUAUUCAAUUAUACAUAAAUCAAAAUCACUUAAUGGAUACCUGAUAUAUUUCCUAAGGAGCCAACAGACUCUACAAACAUAUCCAAAAGUGGAAAUGGUGAUCUCCCUGUCUGAAAUAUUCUUGACGAAUCAAUCAUGCAAGAAUUUGACAGAAGAUUUCUUGGGACUCCAUAAUCUUUAUGCAAGUUGACAUGAACCUGAAUCGAAUUACACUUUAUUUUAAUUUAAAAUAAAAUUAGCAAAUAUGCAAAUCACAACGAUUAUAAGGGGAAUGGACACAUUCUAUCAAACAAAAGACUUUCAGAGGUGAUAAUAGUUACUUGUGUAGCAAAUUGGAGAGUCUUUGAACAACCAAUAUCCAUUUCACAUAUAAGAAUCUUUUGAACAUCAACAUCCACUUUGCAGAUCAAAGAUGCCAUAAACAUAUCUUCCUCACUCUGUUUUAGGUAGACCCGUCAAAUUUUCACACGACACGAAAACGACACGAAAAUUUAGUGUUUGUGUUUGCAUUUUGAGUACACGACACGAAAAGAUACACGACACGAAGUACACGACUGAGAUGUCGUCCCGGUUUUGUGUUUACCCUUCGGGUACACGACACGACACGACACGAGAUACACGAAAUAAAUAUAAUUUAAUAGUUAAAUAUUAAUAUUUAAUUAUAUAUAUGUAUAUUUAUAAUAAAUAUAUGUAUAUUUUCUUUUAAAAUAAUACAUAGUUUAUAAUAUUGUAAGUGUAAAUGAUUUAAAUAUAUAUAUUUCAUACUAUUUUGUAAAUUUUUUGCCUAGAAAUCUAAUAUUUACAUUAAUUUAUAUAUUUAUUUAUAUUUAUAUUUAAAUUCGAUUUUACACGAAACACGACUCGAGAACGACACGAAAACGGAGGUACACGACACGAAAAUACACAAACGCUAAACAGGUCGGUUUUGUGUUUGGCCUUUGAGUACACAACACGAAAAGGUACACGACACGAAAGUACACGAUCUGCACGAAUUGCCAGGUCUAGUUUUAGGAAUAUUUCAUUUCAUGUAGUUGAGUAACAAAUAUAAGCAUAGGACAAAUAACAACUUAGAGUCUUAGUCUAGUAUUUUACCAUGAACCUGCACUUAAAACGUCCAGUAGGUACAAGUAUAGAAGUCUUUCGUGCUUUUGAAGACAAUGGUAGGCGAAAGCAUCGAUUUCUGGAAUACACUGCUCUAUCAAUAAAAACUUCUUUAUUCACAUGAGAUGAGUUCCUAUCUUUUAAUAUGAACAAUUUUUCGAAUCUUCCAUCUCUUCCCCUUUCAUUUUGUAUCCUUGAGCAAAUCUAAAAUUCAAAAAAAUAUGAAAGCUUCAUCAGUUUUCUGAUUAAACAAUACAAAUCCCAAGAACCUAAACCUUGAUGAAUAAUAUCUAAUUUAAAUCUGAAUUACACCUCACCAACAAAUGCACCAGCAUGUCGGUUGUACUUAAAAGGGAAACAAAUUAUUAUAUGGCAAGAAAAUUUUUUUGCCAAUAAUAGUAUAAAUACAUAAUCAGAAUCCAACUUAUAAUUUGUUAAAAAAGACUGUUUAUGUCAAAAUAAUACCCUGUUUAUGUCAAAAUAAUACCUUCUGUUGAUGAAUCAAGUUCAACAACACACUCUUUAUCUUAUUGAAUUCCAAAUCAAAAUAAAGGUGGCAUGGUAAUCCCUAAUCACAAAAUGAAACUUUAAAACACAUUAGAUAAACAAGAACUCACUAAUUACACUGUGUAUUACACUAAUACUACAUAAUGCAAUGGAACAUAAUUACCUCCUGAAUAACUUCAUAAUGAUGACGAUAUUUGGGAUUCAUGUUCUUGUACCUAUGAUUACAUGACAAAUUUAUAAGUUAUAGCAACCAUAAACAUCAAAAUUACGUAGAUAUAUUAAACCAAAUAAAAAAAGAUUAUAAGAGCCUUCGCCAAAACUCCUUAUAGCUUGAAACAACAAACCUCCUCUGACCAUUAACAUGGUCUUGAUAGCUAAAAAUAAAAACAUUGCUAUGUUCUUUUUGAUAACUAAUAGCUUGCUCUUGUCUAGGAAAUGUUACCCAUACUUCAUUCCUGACAAAUAUCAUAUGCAACAAUAAAGCUUAAUAAUAGUUCAUUGAUAAUUGUAAAAACAAAACUAACUAAAACCACAUCAUAACAUUUAUCCAAUGUACCUUACUGCAUUUUGUUCACUAAUAUCAUCACGAAUCUCGUGUAAUAAUCGCAGCACUCUAUCUGGCAAUGAUUAGGACCAUGAAAUGGACUAUAUUAAUUAUAAGUUUAAACAUUCAACUAUAAAUCAACAAUUUUAUUCCACACUAGAAUAAAUAUUAAAAACAUUGCAGAUAACAAUAUCUAAUCUGAUUCUAUAGUAGAAGCAUUAAUUAAACAGUAUAAAUAAUUAUAAAAUCACCAAAUCAAUUCUACAGUAGAAUCCAAAUCCAAAUUAAUUAUAAGAUACAAGAACAUAAAAAUCUCAUGUGUAAUAUUAUUCUACGAUAGAACAUAAACAACCUAUCAAGAUUAUAAUCAAUCCAGUAUACAAGUUCAACAAUACAAUCACAAAUCACAUUCAAAAUAACUAAACAACAUAUAUGACUGUGAAAUUGUAACUUUACACAAUCUCCAACGAUAUGCAGCUUGAAAAAAUGAAAAUCAAUUAGAAUAAACAAUACACCUGAUAAACUUGGAACAUCACCGACUGAUUUGAUGCUUUCAGAUCCAUUGUAAGAAUAAUCCAUACUUCGUUUGCAAGAAAAAGAGUAGAGAGAGAAAGUGCGAGAGAGAAAGAAAGAGCGUUGAGAGAGAAAGAGAGAGAGUAGAGAGAGAAGUGCGAGAGGAAGCUUUGAGAGAGAGAGAGAGAAGUGCGAGAGAGAGCGUUGAGAGAGAGAGACAGAGAGUAGAGAGAGAAACGCGUUUGACACAACGGUCGACUAGCAAAAAUUUCAGUUUUUAUUCAAAUAUUACCAGCCGUUGGAUAAGAUACAAAUGAAGGGUGGAGAUUGAAUUAAAGGUUUACUAUGUAACUCUAUAUAAGAUGUCCCUCCCUAGAAUUUUACCCUAUAUAUAUAUAUAUAUAUAUAUAUAUAUAUAUAUAUAUAGGGUUGCACUCCACACAAUAACACUUUAUUUUUCACAAAGAAUGAUUUGUUAAGAUUAUAAUUAUAUAGUUAAACACCAUUUAAACUUAAUAUAUGAAAUAUAACAUCCAAAUUCAUCCACAUUAUUACUAUGAAAUAUUAUAGAAUCCAGAACAGAAUCUAAGAUAGAAUCCAGAAUGGAAUCAUAUAUAUAUUUUUUGCACGAAUAAUUUUACAUAAAAUCAUGUUAUUUUUAACCCAAAUUUAUUGUUAAACAUGACGGAUUCUAUUAUUAUUCAUAAUAACAAGUUAAUCAACUUCAAAUUUAAAAGUAAUUUAAGCUUUAGAUGAGAUUCUAUAUUAGAUUCUAAAGUGUUCUGUGUUGUUCUUCUUUUAAGAGUGUUCUUUUUUGAGCAAUGCCCUAUAUAUAUAUAUAUAUCGAUUCCGAAAAUGAGGUCGAAAAUGACAUUUGAAAACUGGAACUUGAAAUCAGGAAUUCAGCUGCAUAUGAAGUUGCAAAAGAGGUUGCAACACGGCUGGCGCCGCCUGUAGUUGCAAAUGAGGUUGCAAAAGUUGCAAACAGUAUUUUUGAAAAAAAAAACUUUAUGAAAAGGUAUUUUUAAAAAUAAUUCUGGAAGGUAGUAUUUUUGAAAACAAUAAAAGAAAAGGUAGGUAGUUUUGUAGAUUUCCCAUGUAAACAGCGAUUUUUAUUAUCAAAAUUGAGAUAAUCUACUUAUCUAAACUAUUGAUAAUCGAUUAUAGAUGAUCAAUUUCAUCCGUAGGAAGGUUCUUGGCGGUAGGAAGCCGCAAGAGAAGUUGUAUGAUGAUGGUAAGUAGUCCGUUAAUUUUGUAAGUUAGAUGGAAAGUGUAUGUGACUAUUGGUGAUGAUAGACAGUGGUGGCAAGUGAUAGAAACGUCUAGUAAUGAUGGUAAGAGGUCCAUUAUUACGAUCUGGGUGAAGAUGAUGGUCAUAUACGUUGCAUAUAUGUGUAUAUAUAUUUAUAUUCGCGAGAUAUGCUAUAUAUAAAUUAGUGAUAUGUUAUGUACUAAUUAGUGAUUUCUGUAGUUAAAAAUAGUGAUAAAAACUGUUCAGAAACUGGUUUUUAGUUUUUAGGCUAAUUUGGUUUCUAUUGGAAUAUGACUCUUUCUAUAUAUAUAUAUAUGCAAGUGAUCAAAUAGAAACUAAUAUUAUUCUAGAAACUAGAAACCACUCCUUGAAUCACUAUUUAUAACUACAGAAAUCACUAGUUUCUCUGCUGUUAAUCACUAAUUUAUACAGUAUAUUCACCAGUUUUUUAUUUUUAAUAAUUGAAGAAAAUUUACUUAGGAUUGACCUUGGUGGUCGAUUAUUGAUGAUCAGAUAUAGUUGUAGAAGAUAUAUAAUGGUAGAAAAUGGCGGGAUGAGGUAUGUGGUGAUGGUAGAUAGUCCUUAGUAGUGGCAAGUUAUGAUGACAAACGGUGAUAGGCAAAGUCAUGGUUGUAAGUGAAGGCGGCAGUAGUGGAAGGAGUUGAUAAUGAUGCCAGGAGUUUCAUCAAUGUAGUAUGAUUGAAUAUGAUGAUGAUGUACGUUGUAUAUAUGUGUAUUUAUACAUCUAUAUUUGUCAGAUUUUUGCAUAUAUAAGUUAAUGAUUUCUGAUAUACAAAUGAAUGAUUUUUGUAGUUAAGAAUAGUGAUGAAAAACUGGCCAGGGACUAGUUUCUAGUUUCUAUACUAAUUUAGUUUCUAAUGGAGUAAGCCCCUAUAUAUAUAUAUCCUCUAAAUUUGAUAAGAUCCGCUCCAAUUGAUUUCCAACCCGAACGACUUGUUUUUCAAUCUUUGCGGUCUUGGUUCCGUAGUAGCAAAUCAGAAAGAUUGAGAAAUAGAACCAUCUAAUUUGAUUUGUUCUCGAUAGCCAUGAGAUGAUCGGCUCCUAUUAUACCCGUAGUCUCUGGAGGAUUUCUAGAUGAGAACCAACUAUGUAGCAUCUACAUCGAGAAUUAAAGUAUUGUAUACGUCAUUAGUCCGAUCCUUUACAGGAACUACCCGUAAUAACAGACUUGCUAUUGAUCCUGUCACCUUAAUUGUUAUUUGAACAAGUCAAUGCAUUAUGUACUUUUAAAUAAUUAUGUUCAAUAAUAAAUAAUAUAAGAAGUAUGAUAUAUAAGUUCCUCCAUUAUCUUACGAAAAAAAUUAUAAAAAUUUAAAUCAACUCCGAUAAGUAAAACUUAAAUCAAUUCCGAUAAGUGUUUUCUAAGAAACCAUAGCAUUACUUUUUGUUGACAUAUAUAAUACCGGAAGUCAUGUAUGCUUUGCCACAGCAGCAAGUGCAUGCAAAGCGAAAUGUUGGUGAUCAAGCUCAUGCAUAAAUCGUUAUUGCAGAUUUCCUAGUUUAGUCGGAACUCUGAAAUUUAAUAUAUUAAUACACAGAUAUGAGAUUGUGAGAAUGGUGUUCAUGGUUGCUCAUCAUCUGUUGAUUUUGUAGGUGACAAAUUGAUGCCUUGAGGAGAUUGUCUACAUUUCUCAUUAUUUACCAUUAUAAUGUCAGUACCUGUACCCAUGCCCAUCCAAAACACAAUGUCACCUUAAAUCAUUCCUUUUAGAUUUCCCAUCUCUGAAGGGAUACUUCAAUCAAGAUUGUUACUUGAGAGAUCAAGUAUUCAAAGGUCACUUUGGUUGCAGAAUGAGGUUGAUGCUAGUGAGCCAAUGAGAGAGUUGUUACGUAGACUCUAGAACUUGAAGUUCAAAUAAUUGGGAAAUAUAUUCUAGGAAGUUACCUGUUAUGUUGUUGUCAUGGAAAUCAAGAUAUUCUAGAUUUGUCAGAUUUAUUAGGCCCUUAGGCAGCUUGCCAGAAAACUUAUUUUCCCCUAGUGCAAGGAUACCUAUUAGUGUGGAAAAUGACACAGGAUGAGAGAUCUACAUAAUAAAGUAAGCCAAGAGGAUUAAAAACUGGAAACAGACUUUGGAAUGAGCCCAAAUUUGUUUCCAGAAAGCAUUAGUACCUUGAGUUUCUUAGCUUGACCUAUAUUUCCCCCAUCAAAAUUGUUUCUUCGGGGAGCCAAGAAUGAUAAAUUUAAAGAUUUAAAUAGGUGAGAAGGAAUUCAACCAGUAAGGUUGUUAGCUGACAGUAGUAAACUUCCAACAUUUAUCUCAGCAAGCCAUUGCGGGAGUCUUCCUGUGAGGUGAUUGUUACUCAGGUCCAGAAUAUCAAGAUCCUUUAUUGUGGAAAUCCAUUCUGGAGUGUCUCCUUCAAUUUUGCAAGAUCUUAGAGACAUUUGAGGAAGCAUACACUUUGUAUUUAUUUUAACAUUGUUUUUCCAAAUCAUCUUAUUUUAACUCUCCAUCUCAAAUAGCCAGGAGGGUAUUUCUCCGGAAAGCAUAUUAUCUUCAAGCAUAAGUGUUUCUAACUUGCUCAUGUUUCGUAAAGAUCGUGGGAUUACAGCUGAGAAACUGUUUUUGCUCAAUGCCAAAGUGGAAAUGUUUAACAAGCUUCCAAUCUCACUUGGAAUCUGCAUUCGUAAAUAUAUUAUCCCUCAAAUCCAACGGUCAGAAUUAUAACAAAAAUUUAAUACCUCCUGCGCUUUUUAACCGCUAGACGGGGUCAUUUUACCUCAUCCAGCUAGGACUGAGCAUUCGGUUCGGUUAACCGAAUACCGAACCGAAAUUACCGAAAUAUUUCGGCACCUAAUUCGGUUAUUGUUUUCUGGCUAUUUCGGUUUGUUCGGGUUUUUUACCGAAUUAACCGAAAAAACCGAAUAACCGAAAUAUUUAAAAUAAAAAAAUAUAUUUAUUUAUUUAUUUAUUUAUUUUUCAAUACAUUAAAACACAAUGGGGUCACCAUUGAGUUGAAGAUAUGAUAUUUCGCCACCAUUCGAUAUGAAAGUCUCUCUUAAAACAAUAUCUAUAAUAAGAUUGCGAAACAGUUUCGCUGAAAUAACUGCAGAAAAACAAAAUAAAAGCAAGCACCAGAAAGCACUGACAUGGUGAAAUGGUAUAUGCAAAUUAUGCAGAGUGCCUCCAGCUUUAAAGGUGAAGUCUAAAGAGUUCUGGAACCGUAUCGCAUGAGUAGCUGAUUCAAAGUACCUCAUAUAUAGACUCAAGUUAACACCACAAAUUAAUAAUUAUAAUUAAAAAGAUAUAAUAAUGUUGGUUGCUUGCCUCCUAAAUUUUUUUUCUCCAUUAUUUUCAUAUUUUUUUUAUUAAUUAUAAAAUUUCGGUUUUUUUUUUCGGUAUUCGGCUUUAACCGAAAUAAAAAUUUCGGUUCGGUAAAAUAACCGAAUUAAAUUCGGUUCACUAUUCGGUUAUGAUUUUUGAGCUUAUUCGGUAUUUCGGUAAUUCGGUUCGGUUUUUACCGAAUAAUCAGCCCUACAUCCAGCGGUUAAAAAACGCUGAUCGGGUUACAUGAUGUAUAUAUAUAAAAAAAAUUAUCUUAUAAUCUGGGCCGCUCGAUAUUAAUCCAAUGGCCCAGAAAAGUGAUGCUGGCUAAACCGUCCCCGGCGAGUGCCAGGGAUCGGCGCCCAAUAUGUAAUGCCUGAGUUUGCACGGACUCUGUUAGAAGUCUAUAUGGUAAACUGAGUGCCUACUUGUAGUGGUGUUGUGUUCGAUUUUUCCCUUAUUUUCCUUUCCUUAUACUUUUAAGCCUCCAACUCUGAACGAGUCAACUGAGAUUUGUCACGGUACUUAGAAGUGUAAAUGACGUUAACUAUUCAUGAGACAUUCAACGCUUUUAUGAUUUGAUCAUGACAAAGGAAGGCACGCGUGUUUUUAUCAGGCCUAGUGGUUUGCCAUUGUUUUACUUCUGUUACUUGUUUUCGUAAAGUGGAGUGGGCUGGUGGAUGCUAAAUCAUAAGGAUGUAUGAACACAAUUGAACAAUGUAAACUUUCCAAUGAAUUAAUCAUACACUACAACAAUUCUGGACAUUUACGACGGAUAUUUUACAACGGAAAAGGUGGAGCGCAAAACUUACUGACGGAAAACCAAAGAAUAAAUUUUUUAACUUGAAUGUGAUUCAGAUGAGUAACAUGAGCCGUACGUCUAUGUAAUACGAAAUUAAUGUUGCUUAAUCAGUUUUUCUCUCUGUUGAUCUUGGUUAUAGAUUAGUUGGUUACCGAAUUUUCAUUUAGUUGCAUGUUAGAAAUUUGAUUAGAGAAAUGUAAUACAUGUUAGAAAUUUUCAUUUAGUUUCAGGUACAAUUCCAUAAUCAUUUCAGAAACUAAAUUAAUUAUCAGUAUUAGAUGUGAGUAGCAACAACCUAAGUGGUAAAAUCCCGUGGGGCCGACCUUUCUAAAAACUCUACCUGGAUACAGCAUCUAUCAGUCUUGAAGCUACUCACUAUUAAGUGAAAACUACGAUUAGGAGUACGUGAAGCUACUCACUAUUAAGUGAAAACUACGAUUAGGAGUACGUAACGCGACUGUUAUGCGAAAGUGACUUAAAUUUGAAGCUUGCUACAUUAAAAACAUUUUAUAGUAUAAUUUUUUUUUAAAACACAGGAUUGUAUAUAUAAUACUUGUACUACCUGGAAUAGUGUUUAAAUUGUCAAUCUAAUUAGCAGGAGUAUGUAUAUAUGCAUAAUAUUUCUAGAACAUGACUGAUACAUUAUUUGAACAAAGAAUUUUCAAUCCUAAUCCCAAAGAAACUACAAGUCUACCAAGAUUUAUAAACAACUGUCAAUGAAGGGGAGCGCUAAAACCGUGAACUCUUGGCGAGGAAAACUAUUUACUACAGUAGGUAUUAAGCUUCUUCACUUUUCUUUAACACACUUUGCUGACAUAUUUGGCUAAUCAACUUGACAUGGCUAAUCAACUUGAACCAUGCCACUUUUGCGACAACUAAUCAAAAUUACACUAUACGGUUUAUCACAUAAAAUUACAUGAAAAUUCUGUAAAUAACUAAUCGAUAACUAUUUUGUCAAAGAAAGCUUUCUAGUCUGUGCCCAUUAGCACAUAGUAACAACAAGUUCCUACUAGGUGGCAGAUUUUAUGGGUGGAAAUUUUUGUAUAAACAGGGAUCAUCAUUAUUAAUAAGAUUGGAGCCCAUAAAAAUUUGUCACCUAGUUAAAUAGUUAUCUUAUUGUGUGUCCCUGGACACACCCCAGAAAAAUCAGGUAAAAAACUAAUCGAAGACUACAAGAGAAGGAGAAGGAAAAGAAAAGUCAUCAGAAGAAUAGCAACUUGUGUUACAGAAAGACACAACCAGACGGUGUCUUGUUGAACUUUUCUCCGGUUCUUGUAGAUUAGUCUUAAAAUCAAUAAAUGAUCAAUAAUACUUCUGUGUCCUACUUGAAAAUUGUCUUGCAACCACUUAAUGGCCAUUAAUCUGUUCAUAUAAACAUUUUAGUAUUGGUCCCAGACUUGGAACCGGUAUCAUUUCAAAUGGUAUUAAUUCAGAAGGUUUCACAGUAGACAUGUGCUUUACUCUAUUAAACAACUCUGCUUCACAACAACUAGCAAAAGAAACACAACCCAUCAAAAACAGUCCCUUCUCCGCUUCAAGUCCUCCUUUAUCGAUGCCUACAACACCUCAGACCCAUCACUUUUGGACUUGGGGUCUUGGGACUCCACUUCUGAUUGCUGUGCAUGGAAUAGAGUUGUUUGCGGUUCCCAUUCACGUAGCAUAGUAGCUCUAAACCUUAGCGAUAUUUAUACUCAACUACAACACUAUAGUAUCAAUCCAAAUAUCUUAGACCCCAUUUAUAGCAUCACAUCUUUAUCGCUUCUUAAUAUCUCUUAUAACUUUAUAGGAGGGGAAAUUUCAGGCAAAGGAUUGGCUAAUCUCACGAAACUAGUUCACCUUGACAUGAGUUCGAAUGAGUUUAACGGCACAAUUCCAGCACAAGUUUUCCAGUUGAGGAAUCUGCAAUUUCAUGAUUUAUCUUAUAAUUCACUGAAGGGUGGUUUAAGUAGUGAAGUUGGCAAGCUUGGAAAUUUGAGGACUCUAAAGUUGGAAGAGAAUCGGCUUGAUGGAUAUGUUCCUGUGCAGAUUGGAAAUCUGACAAAGUUGCAACACUUUUCUAUCAAUUACAACAAAUUUUCGGGGCGUAUUCCAGAUUCAAUAGGGUAUUUGAAGGGAUUGGAAAGAUUAUACAUGAGCGAAAACAGUUUCAGUGGUUUAAUACCUCCAUCAAUAAGUAACUUGAUCAGGUUGGAAACACUUCUCUUGGAAAAUAAUAGGCUUUCUGGAGAAAUCCCUUCAAGUUUAUUUGACAUAGAGAGUCUCAAGAUCUUAAAUCUUGGAGGAAACACAUUAACUUGGAAUAACAAUGUCAAAAUAGUUCCCAAGUGUAUGCUUUCUCAACUCUCUCUCAAAUCAUGCAAAUUUUCUGUAGACAUUCCGGAAUGGAUUUCCACUCAGAAAAAUCUUGAUAUUAUCGAUCUGAGCGACUGUAAUUUGACAGGAAUAUUUCCUAUUUGGCUUGCUGAAAUGGAAGUUAAAAGUAUACUUCUGUCGCGUAACAAGCUUACUGGUGCAAUACCAUCUCGCCUUUUUCAAUCUGCGAGUUUAUCCAUUCUAGCUCUUUCAAAAACCAAUUUUUCAGGAGAGUUGCCAAAAAAUAUAGGUGAUGCUAAUAACAUCAAGGUACUUAUGCUGUCUGCAAACAGUUUUUCCGGGGCCAUUCCAAGAUCCAUUGCUGAUAUCCCUCAACUAAUGCUAUUAGACUUGUCAAGAAACAAAUUAUCUGGCAACACGUUCCCAGUUUUUGAUCCUGCAGAUUGCUCACUCAUUUAUGUUGAUUUGUCCUCUAAUGAACUUUCAGGUGACAUUCCUGUGUCAUUUUGCGGAGGAACCAGUAUUCUUGCACUGGGGGGAAAUAAGUUUUCUGGUAUGUUGCCUAGGAAACUCACAAAUAUGAUAAUGCUUGAAUAUCUUGAUCUCCAUGACAACAACAUUGUUGGAAAAAAAUAAUAGUGAAUAUCACAGCAACAAUGUGUAGAGCAGUUAUAUUAUAUACGCAAGAACAGGCAAACAAAAUCACAACUAUAUAGCAUGCACGAAGAUCAUAUACACAAUUAAUCAGCGACUGAUAAUUAACAAGAAAAGACAAGAAAGGCGUACCUUACACCGACGCUCGGAAAAGAGCACUGAACAGCUGAGUCACCUAGCCCUUCGAUGAAGACUAGGCUGUUCUUGAAGUGAUUAUUGCCCCACUCCGCUGUGAUGGGUGUCGCAAUAUCGCUCCCAGGAUAAAACAGCACAGACCGAACCGCUCACAGACACGGAAACGAUCAACAACGACUAGCACCUCAAUUCGCCCAAAAAAUCUAUGCAACUCAUAUACGUUUGCAAGAUAGGCACUUAGAGAUCCUACUUAGAAAAUUCUCAAUUUGCCCAAAAAAUCUUUGCAACUAAUUCACGUUUGCAAGAUAGGCACUUAGAGAAUUCUCCCUUAAAAAAAAAUCUCAAGUGUCCUUCUCUUUAUAUAGGGACAAGUAGUUGCUCUCUUACUAUUUUACUCGAUGUGGGAUCAAGUCACAAAAUAGUAAAAACAAAACAAAACAGGUUUUGUUCAUUAUUUAUAUUGUUCAGAUUACUUAAUAUUAAUAUUAUAUAAUAUAUUCAGAGUCUGAUUAUUUAAAAUAAUCCCGACUCAAUAUAUUUAAUAUUAAUAAUAAAAUAAUCAAUAUAAAUAAACUUGUAAAAGAUAUAGAAGUUUUUACUAGCACUAGGCCACACACAAGCAUUCCACUUGUAUUAGUAGUUGUAAACACACUAAUACAAGAUGCUAUAUAAACUCCAUAAUUUUCUUUUACAAAAUCAAUGUGGGACUAAAUCCACAUAACCCAUUUCAACUGAGCAACUUUGCCUCAAUAUAUUUAUGGAUUUCACUAAGAAAAUAUCUUAGAUCCAAGUACGAAAGUUUAAGUCCUCAUAGCAAGGAACAACCUCCAACUAUUAGUUUCCGGAAAUUACAUCAAGAACAUAUAUAAAAUAUGACUCAAACUUUUCCAUUUUCUAACAAUCCCCCACAAAUCCAUAAUAGAAUUGCAUAUCAGAUUUCAUCAUGACUUGUUUUUUCAGAGUCGGUACCCUUCCGGGUUUGAACCCUCCUAAGUCCUCUACUUCGAUGGCUACUGGAUAUAGAUGGAAUGUUUCACCUUGAAUCUUUAUCCAUUGGGUGUAACCACACUCCAUAGACGACGACAAGUCAAAGGCUAUGGUGCCAAUCUACGGCUCUGAGACAUUAAUGGUCGUGUCUCGAUCCUGUUCGUCGAAUGUUUCAAGGAAUAACCCUUUCCUCUAAUUGCGACACUUUUACAAUAGAAAUCAAUGACCUUACAGUGAAUUGGAAGAAUGCUAUACAAGGUCUCUCAAGUCAUAACCAGCAGUUCUAUUCUUUGCUAGACUUGUCGAAGAAUNAGCAGUGACAGUACCUUUUAGGUUUACANCGCGGGGUGGACAAAUGGACACGAUGAAUGAUCCGAGUUAUUUUGCUAACAACAGUGGGUUAUGUGGCAUGCAGAUCAGGGUGAAAUGUUCAAAAGACGAGCCACCACCAGAUGAUGGACAAGAAGAGGAUGACCUUGAUGAAAAAGAGGAAUGGUUCUUGUGGACAGGAGUGUGGAUUGGAUUCCCACUGGGCUUCUCUCAGGUGUAUUGGGUUCCCGCUGUAGAUGAAUCAUGAUGGGUUAUCAGUCCCAUCCCCAACCUCGACUUAAGGACCAUAGCAUGCUCAAGUCCUUUAGUCAGAGGAUCGGCUAAGUUAUCUUGAGUACCAAUGAACUCAAUAGCAAUAGUCCGAUCAAACACCAAACCCCUUAUAGACUUAAGUCUAACUUGGAUGUGCCUAUUUGUUUUAGCAUUAUACUUCGCACUUCUGAUCUUGUCGAUAGUUGUACGGCUAUCACAAUGAACAGAAAUUGCCGGUAGCGGACGACUAACUACAGGCAACACAGACAUAAGUCCAUGUAACCAUUCAGCCUCCGUCCCCGUGGCAUCCAAUGCACACAACUCAGCCUCAAACGUAGACCGAGUUACAAUAGUCUGUCUAGUCGACUUCCAGGAUACUGCUCCACCCGCAAGGGUAAACAGAUAUCCAGUCACUCCAUUGGAACCAGACUUCUUAGCUAUCCAACUUGCAUCACUAUAUCCCUUGAACUUGGUUAUUAUAAAUAAUUUCAACAAUCUAAGAGUCAUGGCUAAAGUUCCGCACUUUAAAAGAAUUGUAUAGUAUGAUUCUCUAUCUUAAAAUUUAUUUAGCAUUCAAUAGAUUACGCAAAAAAAUUAUCUAAAUUAAACCAAUGUAAGACAAUGAAUAUAUGCCUAUAUGAUAAUAUUAAUUCUAGCACAUUAUUAUAAAGUGUCAUUAAUCUAAAAAGGGUCAAAAAAAUUUACUAAAUCUCUAUCAACAUUAUCAAACUCACAAAUUCCAAUGUACAACUAUACAAUUAGCAUCAACACUAUUGAUGUUCUUAAUAUUAGAAAUUAUCAAAUUGGGAUUUUGGGUUUGAUAAUUCAUGAAGAGUGUCUGUGUAGUGUAGUUUAUCAUCUUUUUUUUAGAGGACAAAGAGUGCUUGGAUUAUUCAUCUUCACAAGCCUGAUCGAUAUAUAUAAGUAGCGGAGAUAGUGAAUUGGCUAAUAUAUCCUUCUUUCACUGAGUCCAAAUGUUCUCUUUAUUAGCAAUUCAAGGUUGGCAUGUUUGAUGCAAUGAAAGAUGUUAUAUUGGUGUUUGUGUGAAAGUAGAUAAGUGAGCAAAUAUAGUAAAAAUGUAAGAUGUAAUAUAGGUGUGUGGAAACAUGUCCUUUUAUCGAUCAGUUUUAAACAGAUCAGUAUUAUAAUUGAUGAGGAAAACAAUAUUCUUAUAAUUGCCAAUGGAGUAUAUUGCUGAAGAAUAUAUAUGUAUGGUAUCAUUCCUUAAAUGAAUCAAAUUUAAUGACCACAAUAAUAAUUAUACAACAUCAAACCUCAAACUAAAAUAACCAAAAAAAAAAAAACUGAAAUCAAUUGCAUUGUAAUCUUGCAUCUAGAAUAUUAAAAUGUUAUAAUAUAGAUAUAAUUUGCAACAAGGUGAAAUUCUUAUUUUUAUAGAAAAUGGAAACAUAACAAUGAUAAAAAUAUUAAUUUCAAUCCAUACUUUGAAGAGACAUAGAUCUCUCUCCAAAGACAACAAAAUAUGAGAACGACUAAAUAGAUGGAAACAUAGUCAAUUUAGAAUCUUGAAUCUAUAGCACUCAAACAAAAGGUGCCUCAAUAAACAAAGGAUUUCUAUAAAUUACUACAUCUAGACCCACGUAACUUACGGUGGUCAUUGUCCGCACUGUCCCAUAAUUUAUGUCGCCGUUCCAUCUGCGCACCAUGACGUUGAAAAGGGUAGGUAAUGAGAUAGGGGAAAAACAAGCCCCUGAGAUAAAAAUCAUGUCAAGAAAUUCUUCUCGGAUCUUAAAAGUCUAUUCGGAACUUCCGAAUACAUAUUGAUAAAAUCUACCAGCGCGACCCUGCCAAAUCCACGAAGAACAUUAACACAAACACGAUUCAACAUAGAAAAGCAAAUUAUCCAAUUUAUUAAUUCCACUCCGGGUGGAACAUUUAAUGACACCACAUUCGGGACAGAUUGCCCUCUAUUGGGUCUAUUUCUCGACCCACGACGAUGUCCAUGACGCCGGGCUGAAGAAACUCCUCCGCCGUUACCCAUCGCAACAUUAACAUUUGACAUAUUUGAUGAACGCGAAUGAAGUUGGAAAGUAAUUUGGCAGCGGCGGAUCAAAAGAACAAUGCACAUAUAUAGACAGAGAUUUAGGGCAGGGUGUUUUUACGGCGCCUUGAGCCUAAGAUUUUAAAAUUUUAAUUAUUUAUUAUGUAUUCAUUUUUAGUUUAAUUUUUUAAUUGCCCUAUUUUGUGGAAAAGUGAAAGAAAAAUAAAAUUUGUUUAGCUUAUUGAGUCAUGUCUAAAAAAUAAUAUUUACAUACUUGUAAAACUAUUUAAUAUAAAAUGUGUGUAAAUUGCUAGAAGGUAUGUAAAUAUGAUAUGUAUUAUUGUACUCAUAAAUGUAUUAUCUAACAAUUUACACAUUUUAUUUAAAAUUAUUUUUUAAAUAUAUAAAAAUUUUAUUCUUAAGCAUAACUUUAUGAGUUAAACAAAUUUUAUUUUUCUUUCAUAUUCCCAUUAAAUAGAGCAAUUAAACUAUUCGGUUUGGCUAGUGUGUGCCCAUGGGCACAUGCUAAGCGCGGAAAUUUUUGUAUUUGGGAGAUUUUGAUUGGUGUGGUUGGUGUAUUUGCAGGGGGGUCCACCAUUAUCAUGAGAUAGGAGCCAAUCAAAAUGAUCCAAGCACAAAAUUUUCCGCGCUUAGCAUGUGCCCAUGGGCACAUCAUAGAAAAAUCGUAAACUAUUAAAUUAAAAUUGAAUAUAUAAUAAAUAAUUAAAAUUUUAAAAUCUGAGGCUCAAGACAUCAUGAAAACACCCUCCCUUGUAUCUAUGUUUAUAUCUGUCCAUUUUUCUUUUAUUCUGUUGCUGCCAAAUUACUUUCCAACUUCAUUCGCAUCCAUCAAAUAUGUCAAAUACUAAUAUUGUAGUGGGUUCAGAGGACUUUCUCAUUCCAAGCGUCGUGGACAUUCUCGUGGGUUAAGAAAUAUACCCGAUAGAAGCAAUUUGUCCCGACAUUGAUGUCACUCAAUGUUCCACCCGAAGUGGAGUUAAUAAACUAUAUAAUUGGCUUCUCCAUGUUGAACAAUGUUUGUGUCGAUGUUCUUCAAGGAUUUGGCAGAUUUGCACAAGUGGAUCUUAUCUAUUUGUAUUCGGAAGGUCCGAAUAGACUUUUAAGAUCUGAAAAAUUUCUGGAUUGAUUUUUAUUUCAAAGCCUUGUUUUUCCCUAUCUCAUUACCUAGCAUUUUCAACGCCAUGGUGCGCAAAUGGAACGGCGACAUAUAUUAUGGAACUGUGCGGACAAUGACAAUUGUAAGUUAUGUGGUUCUAGAUGUAGUAAUUUAUAGAAAUUCUUUAUUCAUUGAGACACCUUUUCUUUGAGUAUUAUAAAUUCAAGAUGCUAAAUUAACUAUGUUUCCAUUUAUUCAAGCCUUCCUUGUGAUUUUGUUGUCUUUUGAGAGAUUUAUAUCUCUUUAAGUAUAGACCGAAAUGAAUAUCUUUAUUAUUGUUAUGUUUUCAUUUUCAAUAAAAAUAAGAAUUUCAGCUUGUUUGCAAAUUAUAUCUACGAAAUAAAAUUUUAAUAUUCUAGAUGCAAAAUUACAAUUUAAUUGAAUUAAGUUCAAUUUUUUUGCUUAUUUUAGUUUGGGUUCAAUGUUGUAUAAUUAUUUUGUUGCAAACAAUGAUACCAAACAUAUUCUUGUGGCUACUCCAUUGAGAAUUACAAUAAUAUUGUUUUCCUCAUCAACUAAAAUACUGGCGUCAACUGCAAUACGAUCAGUUUAAAACUUUAUUGUAUAUAUGCUCACUGUAUCUGCUUUCACAAAGACACCAAUAUAAUAUAUUUCAUUGCAUCAAACAUACUAACCUUGAAUUGCUAAUAAAGAGAGCAUCAUGACCAUUUAGACCUAGCGAAAAAAGGAUAUAUUAGCCAACUCGAUCAAUUAUCUUCUCCUACUUAUAUAUAUCAAGCAGGCUUGUCAAGAUAAUAAUCUGGACACCCUUUCUCUUCUAUAAAAAAAAUGAUCAACUACACUUUACAGACACUCUCCAUGAAUUACAAAACCCCAAUUUCUAAUAUUAAUAACACAAGUUCUCUGGCUUUGAUAAUGUAUAUAGAGAUUUAGUAAAGAAUUUUAACCCUUUCUAAGAUUAAUAGACCAAUGACACACAUCUUAUAAUAAUGUGCUAGAAUUAAUAUUAUCAUAUAUUCAUCGUCUUUUAUGAUAAUUGUUGAAUUUAUAUUUUGAGUAAUCAAAUGAAUGCUAAAUAAACUUUAAGACAAGAAUCAAAUUCUACAAUUCUUUUAAAGUGCCGAACCUUAGCCAAGCUCCAACAUUCUUGAUUGUUUAUAAUAACCAAGUUCAUUAUUUUCUUACUAAAUAAUAUCAAUCUAUUUUAAUAAGAGAAAUAAUAUUUAAUUUCUAUAUUUUACAUAAUUAUUAAUGUUUUCUUUGAAUACAUUGUGCUGAUUUGAAAUAACAAAAAUCACAAAUGAGAUGAUACAAAAAUAAUAUUCCUUGUUUUUAAUUCUUUGAAAUAUUUUAACUACAUUGAAAAUAUAUCUUUUUUUUACAUUAAAUAUUGUUUAUAUGUAACAACCGAGAAAUUUACAAGUACGUAAGCAUAAAAUUAUUUUAUUUACCACGUCGGGAAUAUUAUUUUAUUUUAUUUUAGAAUUAGUACGGUGAGGUACGGAAUAUUUUAUUUAAGAGUAUGUAGUGGUGUAAUAAUAAGUUUUUGCUGACCGAUAAUAAAUUCACAUAUGUACACUAAUAUUAGAAAUAUUUGUCUGGAUAUAAUGAGCCAAUGCGAGGUUAUAAUUUAGUGUUUAGCUGAUAUUUUAAGUCACCUAGUAUGAAAAAAUAUAGCUGGCUAGCUUAAUUAUUUAUUUAACGAAAAGAGCUACAUUAUUACCCUCUGAUUUAAUAAAAUUUAUAAAAUAUUAAUAUAUCGUAGUUGAGAGCGGAUAUUUUUUUAGAAAACACGCAGCAUUUAAUUGUGCGGGCUAUUUAUUUAGAAUUUUGUUUGUACGAAAAUAUAUGCAGCCUCGAGUAUUUAUUUAGUUACCGGCUCAGGAGCUAAUAUUAUGUUUUGAGCCGGAAUAAUUAUUUUAUCUCCAUAUCUCUUUAAUUAAUUUAGAGAUUGGUCCAAAAAUAUUAUAACAAAUAAUAAUAAUAUAUAUAUAUAAUUUAUUCGAUAAUUUAAAUUAUUAUUUUAUUUCAGUUUCGGAAAUUACCCGAAAUAAACGAAACGAUACGAGAAUAAGUUGAGCCGAGCAGGAAAUUUGUUUCGGAUAAGGGUGCCUUGGAAUUUGAGCCAGGAGAUUUUAAAAUUUGCACUCAAACAAUUUUGAGUAGCGACCAAGGCACUUGAGUGGUCACCAAGUUAUGCACAAAAAUUUAGGUUAAAAUAAUGAAGUAAUUAAGAUUUAAUGGUAAUUAAGAGUGCCUAUAAAAGGCAAGGGAAAUCAGUAAAAUUUUCUUUUGAUACUUCCACUAAGGAGAAAACAGAGGAGCUAAGUUCAAGCAUAUUGAUCAAUAGUUGUUUCAGUAAGGUAUUUAAACCCACACUUCAUCUUUUCCUUAAAUAUGGAAUUGAUUGAGUUUGGUUUUAGUGAUUGUUUAUUGAAUAUUAAACUCCUGUGGACCAUUUUAUCUAUCACUUUUGCCUUGAUAAUUGAUAAUCAAUAAAACCAGUACAUAUAAAUCAACAUAUAACAUCAUGAAUUCCACCCAAAUAUUUAACAAUUAGGGUUAGGGUUCUUAAUUAAAAAUUGGGUUAUUGGUGAAUAAUUGAAUAUUGGGGGGAUUGAGUUUGAAAUUGAUUAAGCUUGGCGGAGCAGUUGAGGCGGAGGAUUGGAAUUGGGGGCCGCCGGAGGGAAGGCCGGAGCUCGCGUCGGCAACGCCGACGGAGCUCUGCAGAGGCAACUGGUGUAUACAAAGGGGGGGGAGGGGUUUGUGUAUGUAUAAUUGAUUGUGGCGAGGGGGAGCACAGUGGAGCGAUGGGGUGGGUAGGAGGGUGGAGCAGAUGAGCGAGAGAGACCAGAUGGAGGAGGAGGGAAACGAUCGGAGGAGGAAGGGAGAAGUCGAAGCUGACGACGCGCACGGCGGUGGAAAGGCUGCGACGGCCGGAGGCGGCGGUGUUGUUCGAGGCAAAGAGAAACAGGGCGAGAGAUGGCGAGAGAAAGAAAGAGAGGGCGAGAGAGAGAAGAACGAGAGAAAGAGAGAGAGAGAGAGAGAGAGAGAGAGAGAGAGAGAGCGAGAGGGAGAGAGAGAGAGAGAGAGAGGGAGAGAGAGAGCGAACGGGAGAGAGAGGGAGAAAGAGAGGGAGAGAGAGAGAGAGAGAGAGAGAGGGAGAGAGAGAGAGAGAGAGAGAGGAGGAAAAGAAAGACUGGAGAGAUGGUGGAAAAGAAAGAAAAAGAGAGACUAAGGGCAAUAAAGACUUUCCACACAGCUGAGUUUAUUUAAAAAUAAAAUAAAUAUAGAAUUCUUAAUUUUAUAAGAUUAUUUAAAUAAUGGUGUAGAAUAAGAUUAUUAAGCCAGGUACGGAAGGCAAUAGUGUUAAAAUUUGUUAGUAAGCGGACAUAUUAAUAAAAAGGUCAUAUGUAAAUAAAUUAAAAGUAGGAAGUAAUUUAUAUAAUAACUAGGCUAUAGAGUAAGAUUAAUUUGUGGGUUUAUAAAUUAAGAACUUUAAUAAAUAAAUGAGUUAGUCAUUGGGGUGGCAUUGGAAGGUUUAUACUAAAGUAAUUAAUUAAUAUUCCGAGUAAUACAUUUAAAAUAAGUUGAUACCUAAAAACAAGUCGGUAGCUUGAGACGGAUUAUUUGUCAAAUUAAUGACAAUAGGACAAGUGGCAUUAUUAAUAGACAAAUGAAUAAUUAUUAUUUAAAUAAUGGAAGACUAAUUAUUACUCAACCUUAAUGAAGCAUAAAUUUUUUAUAAUAUAAAGGUAAUAAGUUGAAGUAUAGCGUUAGUCAAGAGAUUACAAGGAAAAUUAGUGAAAAUAUUCGUAGUAUUAAAUUAUUAAAUUCUUUUAGAUAAAUUUCUAAACCACGAUUUUGUGUGUGUUGAUUAGAAUACCUAUUUAAUAUUUGGAAAAGCGGAGCCGCUAAUUAUAAAGCUAAGGACGCCAGGCAAGUUCGCUAUUCCUUUUUCUCCAAUAUGACACCUUCUUGCGUAUUUAAUAUUUUAAAUGUGUUUGUUAUUGACUUGACUGAGUUGAUAUCAAAUAGUAGUGACAAACCGGAAAAUCUUAUUCAUUUCGGGUUCUUCCUUUGUUCGGAAGUAACCAUUCCUAAUAAUAUUCAAUACCUCUCCGACAUUGUGAAAUCUUAAAAUUUCUUGAUUAAUAAAUAAAGGGUGCAUUGUUCGCAUUCCUUAGACGAAGUGAUGUGUACUCGGAGGAUUCUGAUUAAGCUGGUCAACACGAAUUUAUUAAAUUCGUGGAAGAGAUGAUAAUUUCUUGACUGUCUGCUGUGUGCGGAUAGUCUAGGGUUACAAAUGUUAACCCUUAUGCUAGCAAGAUGAGAGUGUGAGGUGUAUCUUGUGCAGUGACGAUCAGACUGCAAAGAUUACACAGGGGGACGGGAAGCACGAAAUGGUUAUGAUCGGACCAUGUAGUGUUACCGAAAGGUGGAAGACCAGCCUUUUCUUAUUUUUGAAAUUGAUCUGUUAAUUGGCAUUAUCUGCUUCCUUUCUUUGUUUUGAAAUGCCUUCGAUGUUUUACUCGAUUAUUCUGCUCUUUGUUGUUAUGUGCUAUGUGAACUUGCUGAGCAAUGUGAUUGCUCAUUCUUGCAUCUACUUUAUAUUAUUUUAAGCAGUAAAAAGCGAGUAUGGCACGACUAAGGAGAACCGCCCGGAAACGGGUACUGGCAAGGGAAAGGAGAAGGCGCAUCACCCAAACUGAGGCCGCUAGAUUACGCCGCUUGGUAGUAUUAUCAAUAGUUAUUAUAGUCUGUAAUCAGACUUCCCAAUAUGUAAUCAAGUUAGACUUGGAAAUGAUGUUAUGAGACGAUCGACCCUGGACUUGUGGGACAAAAAGUGUUUGUUGUAAGAUAUUAUUAAGUAAUGCAAGUGUUGUUUGAUCCAGAUGCUUAGUGACGAGCCAGAUCUGUGGGAUGCGGAUCUGGGGCGUUACAGGUUUGGUAUCAGAGCUAUAGUUAUAUCCUUAGGAUUUGAGAAACCCUAGGAAUAUAACUAGCGAGUACGACACAAAGUUUAAGAUAGGUACCCUUGUUGAACCUAUCCCGUAUGUUAGAGUACAUACGCAACGGGUUAGUAAACCCUAUGAGUAUACAUAUAUAUUUUAUAGUUACGAGUAAUCAUAUAAUUGGUAAUAAUAAUGUUUAUUUUGUUUUGUAGAUGUCAGGAUACGAGGGAGAUUCCGAUACAGACCUCUCUUCCCAGAUAGAGACUAGCAGUGAUUCUACUCUAGAGAUCAUAUCUAUGGACACUGACUCUACUUAUGACAGUGAUCCCUCUAUGGAUGUGAUGAUUAUAGAUUCCAGUGACUCCUCAUCAGAUGUUAUGGUUAUUGACAUCGAUUCUGAUGACUCCUCGAUUCAGAUCAUAGAGCCACCUCCUCCAGAGAUUGUCGAUCUGGUUUCUGAUGAUGACUUCAUAGAGUUGCUAGAUCUUGAGACCCCAUUACCCGAGUUGACCCCGACUCCUCUAGAUACUGCUCCUGUACCACUUAUUCCUGAGACAGUUCCUGUGAGAGAGGAGCCUACUAUCCCUGAGCUGCUUAGUCAGUUCGAGCCUACCCCCUAUCCUUACACUUACGAUAUUCCCAGAGUUACCGAUCAGUACCAGUUUCAGACUUUUGUAUCAGCCGCUACGGGGGAUAUCCCUAUACCUCCACCCGUAUCCACUACUCCUCUACCGACUCCUAUCAUUUCUGCACCACCUUUUACUAUUCCUGUUCAUGCACCCAUGACUGCACCUAUCCAGUUUGAUGGACCACCACCUAUUCCUGACUUCGCUUUUCUACCACCAUAUGAGCACCAGUCAUUGGUCCAGAGAUACUUACAGGCGAGAGAUUCUGUCCAGCAGAUGAGGGCUGGUUUCCAGGGAUCACAGGAUCCCCUGUUUACUUCUGCGGGGCCGGGCUUCUUGGCUCGGGACACUGGUUCAGAGAUCAUGUAUCAGAUUGCUAUUUCAGUGUUUCAGGGACUUCGAGCAGACAUGCAUGGAGUUCCGUCUACCAGUUCUGGCCUAGUUGAUGGCCCUAUGAUCUCUAUGAUGGUGGAUAGAGCAUUCCGUGAGUUUCUCCGUCGGGUGUCAGAGAUAUUUUACUAGUUGACUCAUGGUAUAUGUACAGUUUUACUUUUGGGAGAUAACACACGUAGCUGUGUGUAUCUCAGAUAUAGUUUUGAUAUACUUAGUAGACUUGUAGACACUGGAUAGCAUCGACUAGAGUAUCAUGCACUAUCUUUUAUUUUGCUGCAGAUGCUAUAGUAUCGAUCUAUAUACAUAUCUGGCAGUAGUGUUGUAGUUUGGACCCUUUUGUAUAGUUAUAGCCAGACUAGAUAUGAUGUUGUAGGAAUGACAUGAUCAGAUGUAUUUUGUUUCUAUCAUGACUUGUACUUUUAAAGAUUCGGAUAUUAUGACCAACCUUAUGAUGUUUUCACUUAUGAGUUUUGCUGUUAAUUUCUUUCUGUUUAUUUGCACCCUCGAUUUGUUAUUUACUUUCAACCUGUUCAGUAUUGUCAGAUAUUUUGCAUAUCAAUUCUCAACCAGAAGAUUUCUCUAAAAACGGGAAUAAAAGAGAAAAAGAAAAUAUUUUCAAAAUGACUAAUUAUUUAUUUUAAAAGGGUUUUCAGCGACACUUAAGUUUUGCAGAUUUCUUUAAAAAGUUUUCAAAAUAUGCAACUUUGACACAAAAUCUCUUUUUAAAUAAGAUAUUCAAAUUUAUUUUCAACUUCUGUACUGAGUUUUAAAGAAAUUAAACCAUGUUUUACUUUCAAGUAACCAUGAUUUUUAUACAUUCUGAUGAAAAUUAUUAACAUGUUUUGUCUCUUCUUAAUAGAAUCAAGAUGAGUUCAAAUCCAAAUGACAACCCAGUUGAUGAGCCAACCCCUGAAGUUCCACCGGGAUUCCAACCCCAACCCAACCCUGUUCAAAUGUUUGUUGAUUUUCUUCAACAAAAUCUUCAAGCUAACUCAGAGAGGAAUUCUUCAAGUCAGCUUACUAAACCCACUAUUUCUUUUAAAUCUUUCAAAUCUCUGCAACCCCCAGAAUUCAAAGGGACAGUAGAUCCCGUUGAAGCCAAGAUAUGGCUACGAGAGAUAGAGAAGACUUUUGAGAUAGUCGGUGUAGAAGAAGAGAAGAAAACUAUUUUUGCUGCUUUUAUGCUUAAAGGUGAAGCUAACUACUGGUGGGAAGCUAAGCGAGUAUUAGAGGGAUCUAGUAUUAUAUCUUGGGCUAGGUUUACUGAGUUAUUCCUAGAAAAAUACUUUCCUAAACAUCUAGAGAAUCAAAUGGAGCUCAAGUUUCUGGAGCUCAAACAGGGGAAUAUGUCUGUAGCAGAGUACGAGGCUAAAUUUACCGAGCUUUCUAGGUUCGUUCCGCAUCAAGUAGAUACGGACGAGAAGAAGGCUAGACGUUUUCAGCAGGGCUUAAAGCCCUGGAUCCAAAAUAGAGUUGCUGUUUUAGAAAUUACUAGUUACGCAACACUAGUACAUAAGGCUUGUAUUGUUGAGUCAGGAAAUGAGCUUUAUAACAAAGAAAAAGGCGAUAGGAAGCGAAAAACCCCACAGAAUAGUCAGAAUUCCGGCAAGAAACCCUGGAACCCGAGUGUGAAGAAACCUUUUAUAAAGAGGGAAGUGCCACAGAAUCGAGAGGGAAGUCAAAGAUUUAAGACUGCACAAACUGCAAAUGUGUUACAAGGAAGACCUCCAUUACCCGAUUGUAAGACUUGUGGAAAGAAGCAUCCACCCCCAUGUUAUCAGGAAUCCACUACUUGUUAUAAUUGCGGAAAGAAAGGUCAUUACGCCUCUGCCUGUAAGGAGAAGUCAAUUACAUGUUUCAAUUGUGGAAGGAAAGGACAUGUGGCAAAAGAGUGUAGACAAACCCAGCAGGAAAAUGCUACACCAAAACUACCUGCACCACCAGAGAUCAAAAGUAACAAGCCCACGGCCCGAACCCUCAACAUGACCCUGAAGGAUGCUAUGGUGGAUAAUGAUGUCAUAUCAGGUACGCUCCUAGUAAACUCUGAAAAUGCCUGUGUGUUAAUUGAUUCAGGAGCAAGUAGAUCUUUUAUUUCUAUUCGACUCAUGAAUAAGUUAGGAAUGGAAUCUGUACCUUUAGGAGAAAUGAUGAAUAUAGAAAUAGCCAAUCAAGAAGUAAUCACGGUAGAUCAGGUGUGUCCAAACUGUGAGAUAUUAGUUCAAACACAAAACUUUGCGAUAGAUCUUAUCCCUAUUAAACUAGGAGAGUUUGAUGUGAUUCUUGGAAUGGAUUGGUUAACAAAAUAUGAUGCGCAAAUAAACUGUAGAAGAAAACGUGUGAGUUUGAAAGGUGCUAAUGGAAAGAGAGUCAUGGUGAGAGGUCAAAAGCAAGCUAGAAAAUUUUUGACAAUUAUUCAAACCAAAAGAUUUCUUAGACAAGGGUGUCAAGCAUAUUUAGCUCAUGUAGUAGAUGUAAGUAAGGCAAGCCCUAAGAUUGAUGAAAUUCCUGUAGUAAAGGAAUACAAAGAUGUGUUUCCUGAAGAAUUACCUGGAAUACCGCCUGAUAGAGAAAUAGAAUUCACCAUUGAUCUUGUCCCUAGUACGGCACCAAUAUCUAAAGCCCCUUAUAGAAUGGCACCAGCAGAAAUGAAAGAGUUAGCGACUCAGUUGCAAGAAUUGUUAGAUAAGGGAGUAAUUCGACCGAGUGUGUCCCCGUGGGGAGCCCCUGUUUUGUUUGUCAAAAAGAAAGAUGGAAGCAUGAGAUUGUGUAUUGAUUAUCGAGAAUUAAAUAAGAUGACAAUCAAGAAUAAGUAUCCUUUACCUAGGAUUGAUGAUUUGUUUGACCAGUUAAAGGGAGCAUCUUAUUUUUCAAAGAUAGACUUGAGGUCUGGAUACCAUCAAUUGAAAAUCAAACCCGAAGAUGUAUCUAAGACGGCCUUUAGGACUAGAUAUGGGCACUAUGAGUUUCUAGUAAUGCCUUUCGGAUUAACUAAUGCCCCUGCAGCUUUUAUGGAUCUUAUGAAUAGGGUAUUCAAAAAGUACUUAGAUAAGUUUGUCAUUGUUUUUAUUGAUGAUAUCUUGAUUUAUUCUAAGACGAAGGAAGAACAUGUUGAACAUCUUAAGUUAAUUUUGGAAACUUUGAGGAAAGAAAAGUUAUAUGCUAAAUUUUCAAAAUGUGAGUUUUGGAUGGAGCAAGUACAGUUUUUAGGACAUGUAGUAUCUAAGGAAGGAAUAUCAGUAGAUCCUGCAAAGAUUGAGGCGGUAUCAAAUUGGGAUAGGCCUAGGACCCCGACAGAGGUAAGAAGUUUUCUUGGAUUAGCAGGAUAUUAUAGAAGAUUCGUGAAAGAUUUCUCUAAGAUUGCAACUCCUCUGACCAAAUUGACUAGGAAAGAAGAAAAAUUUGAGUGGACCCUUAAGUGCGAGGAAAGUUUUCAGGAAUUAAAGAAGCGACUUACCACGGCACCUGUGUUAACUUUACCUGAUGAAACAGGAAACUUUGUGAUUUAUAGUGAUGCAUCUCAUAAGGGACUAGGAUGUGUGCUGAUGCAACACGGAAAAGUGAUAGCAUACGCUUCUAGGCAACUUAAGGAUUACGAGCUGAGAUACCCUACCCAUGACCUAGAACUAGCUGCUAUAGUGUUUGCUUUGAAGAUUUGGCGUCAUUACUUAUAUGGUGAGAAGUGUGAGAUAUUUACAGAUCAUAAAAGUUUAAAGUAUCUGUUUACUCAGAAAGAGUUGAAUAUGAGACAGAGAAGGUGGUUAGAAUUGAUAAAGGAUUAUGAUUGUACAAUUAACUACCACCCAGGGAAAGCAAAUGUAGUUGCGGAUGCUUUAAGUAGAAAAGAAAGAAUCAAUGUGAUGUCUCUUCCAAAGGAAUUGGUUAAAGAAGUGGAAAGGUUAGGAUUGGAAAUCAAGGAUUCGGAACAUAAGGAGGGAAGGAUUUAUGAGAUGUUAGUACAACCGGAACUAAUAGAAAGAAUCAAAAAGAGUCAGGAAUUAAUGAUUGAAGAAAGACGAUCUGAAUUGACCGGUGAUGAGUACUUAAGUGUUAAAGAUGAAAAAGGAGUUAGGAGGUUUGCCAAUAGGAUUUGGAUUCCUAACCUGAUAGAUCUUAAAAGGGAUAUUCUGAGUGAAGCUCAUGAGUCAAAAUAUUCUAUACACCCAGGAAGCACCAAAAUGUAUCAAGAUUUAAAGAGAAAUUAUUGGUGGCCUAAUAUGAAAAGAGAGAUUGCCGACUGGGUGAGUAAAUGUCUAACAUGUCAAAAAGUAAAAGCUGAGCAUCAACGACCUGGUGGAUUAUUGCAACCACUAGAGAUCCCAGAAUGGAAAUGGGAACAUAUUACCAUGGAUUUCAUAGUAGGAUUUCCUAGGACUCGAGCAAAUCAUGAUGCUAUUUGGGUAAUUGUUGAUAGAUUGACAAAAUCGGCGCAUUUUCUUCCUAUUAGUGAGAAAUAUACCCUCGAAAGAUUAGUGAAAAUGUACAUGAAUGAAGUUGUGUCUAAACAUGGAGUGCCAAUAUCAAUUGUUUCGGAUAGAGAUGCUAGAUUUACAUCAAGAUUUUGGCAAGCAUUUCAGGAAUGCUUUGGAACUAGGCUUAACCUAAGUACUGCAUACCACCCUCAAACAGAUGGACAAAGUGAAAGGACAAUCCAGACUAUAGAGGAUAUGUUAAGAGCUUGUUCUUUGGAUUUCAAAGGAAGUUGGGAUGAUCACUUACCUCUAGUAGAGUUUUCUUAUAACAACAGCUAUCACGCUAGUAUUGGAAUGGCACCUUUUGAGGCAUUGUAUGGUAGAAAAUGUAGAUCACCACUUUGCUGGGAUGAAGUUGGAGAGAAAAAGAUUUUAGGACCAGAACUAGUUCAACAUACCAAACAAUCGAUUGAGAAAAUACGAAAGAGAUUAGUUGCAGCUCAGGAUAGGCAAAAGAAAUAUGCUAACCUAAAAAGGAAUGAGAAAGCCUUUGAUGUAGGAGAAAAAGUGCUUUUGAAAGUAUCACCUUGGAAAGGAGUAAUUAGAUUUGGAAAAAGAAGUAAGUUAAACCCGAGAUAUAUAGGACCGUUUGAAAUUUUGAGAAAGGUAGGAAGUGUUUCUUAUCAAUUAGCCUUACCCCCAGAUUUACAACAUAUCCAUGAUGUUUUCCAUGUAUCCAUGUUAAAAGUUUACAAGACAGACAACCGCCAUGUUUUAAACUACGAGCCAGUAAAUAUUCAACCUGAUCUAACAUACGAAGAGCAACCAGUGGAGAUAGUAGAUUCAAAAAUUCAAGAAUUGAGGAAUAAGAGAGUCAAGUUAGUUAAAGUAAUAUGGCGAAAUCAAGCUGUCGAAGAAGCUACGUGGGAAUUAGAGGAAGAAAUGAGAAAGAAUUAUCCAGAGUUGUUCGGCCCUAAUCGAGAUUCCGAGGACGGAAUCCCUUAAGGAGGGAAGAAUGUAACAACCGAGAAAUUUACAAGUACGUAAGCAUAAAAUUAUUUUAUUUACCACGUCNNNNNNNNNNNNNNNNNNNNNNNNNNNNNNNNNNNNNNNNNNNNNNNNNNNNNNNNNNNNNNNNNNNNNNNNNNNNNNNNNNNNNNNNNNNNNNNNNNNNNNNNNNNNNNNNNNNNNNNNNNNNNNNNNNNNNNNNNNNNNNNNNNNNNNNNNNNNNNNNNNNNNNNNNNNNNNNNNNNNNNNNNNNNNNNNNNNNNNNNNNNNNNNNNNNNNNNNNNNNNNNNNNNNNNNNNNNNNNNNNNNNNNNNNNNNNNNNNNNNNNNNNNNNNNNNNNNNNNNNNNNNNNNNNNNNNNNNNNNNNNNNNNNNNNNNNNNNNNNNNNNNNNNNNNNNNNNNNNNNNNNNNNNNNNNNNNNNNNNNNNNNNNNNNNNNNNNNNNNNNNNNNNNNNNNNNNNNNNNNNNNNNNNNNNNNNNNNNNNNNNNNNNNNNNNNNNNNNNNNNNNNNNNNNNNNNNNNNNNNNNNNNNNNNNNNNNNNNNNNNNNNNNNNNNNNNNNNNNNNNNNNNNNNNNNNNNNNNNNNNNNNNNNNNNNNNNNNNNNNNNNNNNNNNNNNNNNNNNNNNNNNNNNNNNNNNNNNNNNNNNNNNNNNNNNNNNNNNNNNNNNNNNNNNNNNNNNNNNNNNNNNNNNNNNNNNNNNNNNNNNNNNNNNNNNNNNNNNNNNNNNNNNNNNNNNNNNNNNNNNNNNNNNNNNNNNNNNNNNNNNNNNNNNNNNNNNNNNNNNNNNNNNNNNNNNNNNNNNNNNNNNNNNNNNNNNNNNNNNNNNNNNNNNNNNNNNNNNNNNNNNNNNNNNNNNNNNNNNNNNNNNNNNNNNNNNNNNNNNNNNNNNNNNNNNNNNNNNNNNNNNNNNNNNNNNNNNNNNNNNNNNNNNNNNNNNNNNNNNNNNNNNNNNNNNNNNNNNNNNNNNNNNNNNNNNNNNNNNNNNNNNNNNNNNNNNNNNNNNNNNNNNNNNNNNNNNNNNNNNNNNNNNNNNNNNNNNNNNNNNNNNNNNNNNNNNNNNNNNNNNNNNNNNNNNNNNNNNNNNNNNNNNNNNNNNNNNNNNNNNNNNNNNNNNNNNNNNNNNNNNNNNNNNNNNNNNNNNNNNNNNNNNNNNNNNNNNNNNNNNNNNNNNNNNNNNNNNNNNNNNNNNNNNNNNNNNNNNNNNNNNNNNNNNNNNNNNNNNNNNNNNNNNNNNNNNNNNNNNNNNNNNNNNNNNNNNNNNNNNNNNNNNNNNNNNNNNNNNNNNNNNNNNNNNNNNNNNNNNNNNNNNNNNNNNNNNNNNNNNNNNNNNNNNNNNNNNNNNNNNNNNNNNNNNNNNNNNNNNNNNNNNNNNNNNNNNNNNNNNNNNNNNNNNNNNNNNNNNNNNNNNNNNNNNNNNNNNNNNNNNNNNNNNNNNNNNNNNNNNNNNNNNNNNNNNNNNNNNNNNNNNNNNNNNNNNNNNNNNNNNNNNNNNNNNNNNNNNNNNNNNNNNNNNNNNNNNNNNNNNNNNNNNNNNNNNNNNNNNNNNNNNNNNNNNNNNNNNNNNNNNNNNNNNNNNNNNNNNNNNNNNNNNNNNNNNNNNNNNNNNNNNNNNNNNNNNNNNNNNNNNNNNNNNNNNNNNNNNNNNNNNNNNNNNNNNNNNNNNNNNNNNNNNNNNNNNNNNNNNNNNNNNNNNNNNNNNNNNNNNNNNNNNNNNNNNNNNNNNNNNNNNNNNNNNNNNNNNNNNNNNNNNNNNNNNNNNNNNNNNNNNNNNNNNNNNNNNNNNNNNNNNNNNNNNNNNNNNNNNNNNNNNNNNNNNNNNNNNNNNNNNNNNNNNNNNNNNNNNNNNNNNNNNNNNNNNNNNNNNNNNNNNNNNNNNNNNNNNNNNNNNNNNNNNNNNNNNNNNNNNNNNNNNNNNNNNNNNNNNNNNNNNNNNNNNNNNNNNNNNNNNNNNNNNNNNNNNNNNNNNNNNNNNNNNNNNNNNNNNNNNNNNNNNNNNNNNNNNNNNNNNNNNNNNNNNNNNNNNNNNNNNNNNNNNNNNNNNNNNNNNNNNNNNNNNNNNNNNNNNNNNNNNNNNNNNNNNNNNNNNNNNNNNNNNNNNNNNNNNNNNNNNNNNNNNNNNNNNNNNNNNNNNNNNNNNNNNNNNNNNNNNNNNNNNNNNNNNNNNNNNNNNNNNNNNNNNNNNNNNNNNNNNNNNNNNNNNNNNNNNNNNNNNNNNNNNNNNNNNNNNNNNNNNNNNNNNNNNNNNNNNNNNNNNNNNNNNNNNNNNNNNNNNNNNNNNNNNNNNNNNNNNNNNNNNNNNNNNNNNNNNNNNNNNNNNNNNNNNNNNNNNNNNNNNNNNNNNNNNNNNNNNNNNNNNNNNNNNNNNNNNNNNNNNNNNNNNNNNNNNNNNNNNNNNNNNNNNNNNNNNNNNNNNNNNNNNNNNNNNNNNNNNNNNNNNNNNNNNNNNNNNNNNNNNNNNNNNNNNNNNNNNNNNNNNNNNNNNNNNNNNNNNNNNNNNNNNNNNNNNNNNNNNNNNNNNNNNNNNNNNNNNNNNNNNNNNNNNNNNNNNNNNNNNNNNNNNNNNNNNNNNNNNNNNNNNNNNNNNNNNNNNNNNNNNNNNNNNNNNNNNNNNNNNNNNNNNNNNNNNNNNNNNNNNNNNNNNNNNNNNNNNNNNNNNNNNNNNNNNNNNNNNNNNNNNNNNNNNNNNNNNNNNNNNNNNNNNNNNNNNNNNNNNNNNNNNNNNNNNNNNNNNNNNNNNNNNNNNNNNNNNNNNNNNNNNNNNNNNNNCGUGGAAGAGAUGAUAAUUUCUUGACUGUCUGCUGUGUGUGGAUAGUCUAGGGUUACAAAUGUUAACCCUUAUGCUAGCAAAAAUAGAGUGAGAGGUGUAUCUUGUGCAGUGACGAUCAGACUGCAAAGAUUACACAGGAGGACGGGAAGCACGAAAUGGUUAUGAUCGGACCAUGUAGUGUUACCGAAAGGUGGAAGACCAGCCUUUUCUUAUUUUUGAAAUUGUUCUGUUAGUUGGCGUUAUCUGCUUCAUUACUUUGUUUUGAAAUGCCUUCGAUGUUUUACUCGAUUAUUCUGCUAUUUGUUGUUAUGUGCUAUGUGAACUUGCUGAGCAAUGUGAUUGCUCAUUCUUGCAUCUACUUUAUAUUAUUUUAAGCAGUAAAAAGCGAGUAUGGCACGACUAAGGAGAACCGCCCGGAAACGGGUACUGGCAAGGGAAAGGAGAAGGCGCAUCACCCAAACUGAGGCUGCUAGAUUACGCCGCUUGGUAGUAUUAUCAAUAGUUAUUAUAGUCUGUAAUCAGACUUCCCAAUAUGUAAUCAAGUUAGACUUGGAAAUGAUGUUAUGAGACGAUCGACCCUGGACUUGUGGGACAAAAAGUGUUUGUUGUAAGAUAUUAUUAAGUAAUGCAAGUGUUGUUUGAUCCAGAUGCUUAGUGACGAGCCAGAUCUGUGGGAUGCGGAUCUGGGGCGUUACAUUAUAUUUGUUAAUAAUUACUUAUCUAACUUGACCUUUGACAAACUAGAUAUAUCUUUUGUUUACAUAUAAUAUUGUAUAUAUUUGAUAAUAAUUAUAUGACUUGGCCAUUUAUCAAACCUAGAUAUUUUAGUUAAAAAAAAAAUCCUAUAAGCGGCCCAACUAAAAGUCUGAUAGCCAGUUCUAGACUUCUAGUAUCCAGAUUCAUUCUACUUGAAUUUUAAUAACCUAAAGCAUGCAUGCAGAUGGUAUAACAUAUAUAUUAAAUUUUAUUUAUGAGAUCACGGAAAAACAAACAAACAAACCACAUAUUCCCAUUUUUGUUUAUUCCAAACCAAUUGGGUACCAAAUAAUAACUCUGCUUAUGCAUGUACUAAUAGGAGUGAAGUUGAUUUUCAUUAGGACAGAAACAAAUCAUGAUGCAAUUAGUAUAAACACACAAUGAUUUAACUCUGAAUUAACAAACUAAGGAAAACAAACAAGAUAAAUGAAGGAGCAAAAACAUGUUACAAUAGUAGCAUGUUACGAUAGUAUUGUACUUACGUAAUAGAAGAGGAACAGUGUCACGAGCUUCCAAGUCACAACCUUACGAUAGCUUUCUUUCCAUGCAAUAACAAAUACAAUGUGUACUUUUAUAUUAACACUAUGGUGCUGAUAGCAUGUUAGAACAAAUAUACUAUACUAGUUCAGAUAGCAUAUAAGAGUAGUGAAGUUGUAAUAUUUUUCUCUUGUGUGUUAUACAAGCUCAAUCUUCAUCCCUAUUUAUGUGUAUACAAGAUGUAGGUUACAUAAACUUGACGAGCCAAAAGUCAUGGACUCGUAAUUUGUAAGGACAUGGACUUGAGUUACAUGUAGUUGAAAGAUCAAAGGGUAGAGCUUUGAACAUUCUAGAGUCAUCACCUUGUAUACAUAAUAAGAAGUAGAUUAUAACCAUACUAAUCUGUGGGACUUAAGCUACACGUGUAUGAUUUCGCAUAUGGCUUAUGUCUACAUAGUACCUUAGUACCAAUACUGAUUGAUUUUCAACUAACUGAGCUCCUUCCUUGUCAAGUCAAGUCCAUGUUUUCACUACUACAUUUAUAAGCACCUUAGUUCAUAGGACAUGACAAUUAAAUUUAAGAUAGUCUGUAUAAGCAGUUAGAGAUAAUUUAGCCUAAUAGUGGGGUUUUUUUUUUUGGGGGGGGGGGGGGGGGGGGGGCAAAAAAAAAUUUGGGGGGNAAACAAUACAAUUAAACAUAGUUCCCUCUACGCUGUACAAUAAAACAUGUUCCAAAGCAAAUAAACCACUCAGUUAUAAAGAGGAGAUUAAAAUAAUUUUAUUUUUAUAUAUAUUUGUGUGAUCCAAAUGUGCAGACACUAAAUUCUUUAGAAAGUUUUUUACGGGGUUUGAGAAUGAACUAAUUUGGGAAAAAACAUAUACUGGCUGCCAAUAUUUUAUAAACAACAAUAUGAUGACAAGGAGUAUAUGAAAUACAAUUACUCUAAUUUAUUCCAGAACAAAGACGAAUACAUUUGGGAUUUAUCUAUACACAUUACUUGUGUUCUUGAUGAUUCUUUAACAUGCACCUUAUUUAGGACAAAGAGUAUACAAGUUAUCAGUUUUAUUAAUAAAUUCUGAACAUAUUACUCACUUAUGGGACAACAGUUGCUAAAUAUAAUAAUUGUAUGUAUAGAUAGUAUAUGAAAUCUGUUACCUUAGGCCUGAAGGUCGAGUGAUGGCAGCACAGUUAUCAUCCAACAGAUUAGUACAUAGGCUUAACAUCCCUGUGAAUAAAAAGUGUUAUUAGCUUUAGUAAUGUGCAGAUAAGGCAUCCAUCUUGCUGCACCAAUAAAAAUAUGAAGUAAUAUUAAAUUUUGUACAAAAUGCCCCCUUGCAGUUCCAACACAAUAUACAUUGAUCAAAUAAGCCAGGACCAUUUCAUUAUCCCCUUCGCGCAGUAAACCAAUUAGUGACACGAAAUGUCUGUGCCUAGAAAUCAUUAGGAUAAAAAAUUUAAGGAUCAACAAAGAAACUAAGAAUCAUUAGCUUCAAACUAAAAACCACCCAGGUUCAGUCAUUCCAUCACAGCAUUACAAACAAUUCUCUAUUCAACACCAAUCAUUGGGUAACACUCAAUUUUACCAAAUAAUUUCCAGAAACAAUACAUUACCUACCAACCUAAUCAAACAAUCACAUUAAUAUAUAUCUAAAGAAUAUAACCACUUACAAUACUACCAAAAAAAAUGAAAAUGAAGAGCACGACAAUACAGUAUUACAUGGGUUCUGUAUGUUGAUUCGAUCAUAUUAAAUAUGUAAAGCAUAAGAAGCAGAUACAUAAAGAUUUUGCGAUUGGAGCAACCCAAGCCAAUUACCUGCAAUAUCAGAAAGGCGGGGGUUUCUGUGUAGAUAUACAAGGUAACCGGCGGUUUUUGUGAUAAAAUUUGAAUUAAAAGUGUUAUUAGCUUUAGUAAUGUGCAGAUAAGGCAUCCAUCUUGCUGCACCAAUAAAAAUAUGAAGUAAUAUUAAAUUUUGUACAAAAUGCCCCCUUGCAGUUCCAACACAAUAUACAUUGAUCAAAUAAGCCAGGACCAUUUCAUUAUCCCCUUCGCGCAGUAAACCAAUUAGUGACACGAAAUGUCUGUGCCUAGAAAUCAUUAGGAUAAAAAAUUUAAGGAUCAACAAAGAAACUAAGAAUCAUUAGCUUCAAACUAAAAACCACCCAGGUUCAGUCAUUCCAUCACAGCAUUACAAACAAUUCUCUAUUCAACACCAAUCAUUGGGUAACACUCAAUUUUACCAAAUAAUUUCCAGAAACAAUACAUUACCUACCAACCUAAUCAAACAAUCACAUUAAUAUAUAUCUAAAGAAUAUAACCACUUACAAUACUACCAAAAAAAAUGAAAAUGAAGAGCACGACAAUACAGUAUUACAUGGGUUCUGUAUGUUGAUUCGAUCAUAUUAAAUAUGUAAAGCAUAAGAAGCAGAUACAUAAAGAUUUUGCGAUUGGAGCAACCCAAGCCAAUUACCUGCAAUAUCAGAAAGGCGGGGGUUUAUGUGUAGAUAUACAAGGUAACCGGCGGUUUUUGUGAUAAAAUUUGAAAUAGGCGCCCAUGCAUAUCUGGAGGGUAGACAAAAAGGGUAAAAACAAGGACAGAAGUGUCAUUAUAUACUGAAUGAAUUUGCUCAACCUAACAGUCUUGUUCUCGUAUAAUAGAAUUAAGAUUAUAGAUCCAGAUUGUAAACAAGUCAAAUAAAUUUGGGGUAUUAAUUGUUAAAUUGAGCCCACAAGUUAUAGACGGCUCAUGGCAUAGUUGACAGGUUUGCUUGCUUUAUUUACGAAUAUACAAGCUCAAGUAACUCAAAUAUCCAAAAACAAUUGUGGCAACUUCAGUAAUGACCCCAAAAAUUUGCUGGUGUAUAAACUUAAGCUCAUUAAGACAACAAAGAGAAUGAAACUGAAACUGCAAAGUUACAAUGUAAAUAUUGCAGUAAAAAUGAAACAACAAUGUGAAAAAAUUAUAAAGGCCGAGCCACAAAACCUCUAAUAACCAUUUUCUCUACCAAUUCUUCAUGUUUCUUUAUCUGUCCUGCUUUUCUCAGCUGCUGCAAAACCAUUUCAUACACUGCCUCACUAGGCUUCAAGCAUUUUUCUUCCAUCAUUUCUCUGAAAAACUUGUAAGCAUUAUUCCAGUGUCCCAUCCCACAAUAUAGGGAUAUCAGAAUCCUGUAAGUAUUCACAUUAGGCUCAAUCUCACCCUCGUCCAUCUCUUCUUUAAGCUUGAUAACCAUGUCAGCAGACUUAGAAUCAGCAAGCAUCUGUUGGUUUCAAUGGCCGUAAAUGAUUCAAUAUGCACACUGCUGGUAUACUAGUUUACAGACUAAGGAAUAAACACUUGAACAAAACGUCCAUUUGUUCUUAUUUGCUCAAAAGAUAAACUAAAUGUUCAUUACUUCUAAUAUUAUUUGAUACUGCAAAGUCAAUAUAUAAUGACUUGCCAAAACAUCAGAUGACUACAAAUAAAUUAACUGAUAAACAACUAAAAUCCUAGACUCCUAUACAAACUCUACUUCUCUAUUGCUUAUUCAACUAGCUCCUAAAAACACUCUGCUAAGAUCACGACUAAACCUCAAAACCAGCUAACAAAUAAAAACAUAACCUACUAAAUUAGUUUAAGAUUAAUAUCCAACAAUCACCCCCUUAAUCUUAAACUUGUUAUCAUAAACUUGUUAUCAGCUCGUUUGGCUUUCAACUCCGCCCGUCUGGCACGUCGUUUCUUUACCUGCGGCAUUUCUUAUUUGCCCAUCCGGCACGUCUUUUCUGAAACUUAGACUAAAGAAUUGCCCAUCCGGCACGUCUUUUCUGAAACUUAGACUAAAGAAAGAACUCCAUAUGCAUCCCAUACUACAAAUGAUGAUCUCUCGAAAUGGAACUCUUGGCACACUCUAUCAAAACCAACCUUCUGUCCCCAUCUGGCAUGAUCUUUGGUGCCCAUCUGGCAAGACCUUCGUAAGCCCAUAUGACUUUCUUUAUUGGCCCAUAUGACCUAUUAAACUGAGCCCGUAUGGCUAUUAAACUGAGCCCGUAUGGCUAUUCUUCGGAAGCCCGUGUGGCUUAAUAAUGUUGUAUUCUACAACACCUUCGUCAACCCGUUUGUCUCAUGCAAUCCUUCCAGCCCGUAUGGCUUUCAAUUUAGCCCGUAUGGCUUUCAACCCAUUUGGUUUUCAACUUAGCCCGUAUGGCCCUUUUGUAUAGUUCUCCUCUGUGCACCUCUUUCCACCCAUGUCUAAAACAUAGUCCAGAUUUACCUACAGCAGCUGGACUACAGCUCUCCUGACUGCAUCUUUGACCAUCACCGUAUUGUACUUCACCACCAGCAGAUGAAGCUUUGGGGCACCAUAAGCAUUCCUUGAAGCACCUGCUGGACUCACUACCUUCAUGGGACCUUACAUCGCCACUAGAUAAACCUCGCUCUGAUACCAAGUGUUGGUUUCAAUGGCCGUAAAUGAUUCAAUAUGCACACUGCUGGUAUACUAGUUUACAGACUAAGGAAUAAACACUUGAACAAAACGUCCAUUUGUUCUUAUUUGCUCAAAAGAUAAACUAAAUGUUCAUUACUUCUAAUAUUAUUUGAUACUGCAAAGUCAAUAUAUAAUGACUUGCCAAAACAUCAGAUGACUACAAAUAAAUUAACUGAUAAACAACUAAAAUCCUAGACUCCUAUACAAACUCUACUUCUCUAUUGCUUAUUCAACUAGCUCCUAAAAACACUCUGCUAAGAUCACGACUAAACCUCAAAACCAGCUAACAAAUAAAAACAUAACCUACUAAAUUAGUUUAAGAUUAAUAUCCAACAGCAUCCUCAUCAGUAUAUUGUAUGUCACUGUAUUAGGCUUACACUUUAUCUCUUUCAUCCUCGCAAACAACCUGUGAGCAGAAUUAACAUCCCCUGCUUUCAAAAUACACCUAAAUAUCGGGUUAAAUGUAGAAGCAUUUGCCUCACACCCUUUUCUGACCAUUGUAUUGAUAACCUUAACAGCCUCAUCCCGAUUCCCAUCCCUACAAUGACUCUCUACAAGAAAAUUAUAAGUAAUAGUAUCGGCAUCACAAGAUAGCUUCCUCACCUGCAAAACCUUCUCUGUCCGUCCAGCCUUGACAUGCACCGGAUCAAAUUAUUAAAUGUAAUAAAAUUCGGCUGACAUCCCACGUCAAUCAUCUCCGCAAACACAUCAUGAGCUCGCGUAAUCUGCCCACACCGACACAACGCAUCAAUAACAAUACUAUAAGUAAGGUUUACGGUAUAAAACUUUUUAAAUAUUUUUUUGGUCACUGAGGAACAUAAUUCAUUAAAAUUAAAAAAGAAUUGAAGAUACAAUAUCUCUUUCCUCAGAAAAAAGUAUAUAAUUCAAAAUGAAAAUAAGUAAGUACUCUCUCUGUCCCGUAAUAAUAGUCUCUUUAAUUUUUGACACGUGAAUUGAGGUAUAAAUUAAAUAUACUUCUAUUAAUUAAUUUUUUUAUUCAGAAAAAAAAAUUGAAAAAUAAUAUGUAGAAUUAUGUUUUUUUUACAACUCAAAUCACGGGUCAAAAGUCAAAGCGAUUAUUAUUAUGAGACAGAGGGAGUACUUUCGAAUGUUUGCAUAAUAUCAUAGUAUUUGAUGUCUGAAAAGAUUAUAACCUAAAAAAGAUCACGUUAAAAUUUCACAUUAGUAAAAUUUUAAAAGAAAAUAACUCAAGAAUAAAAAAGAAUGUCGAAGAAAAUAAAUACAUCGUUUAUAAAUAGUCUAAAGACAAAAGGGGGAGAAUGGCCAAUUUGAUUCGUGAACUGAUACCGAUUUUAAAAAAAAAGAAUCAAUUUAGCGUCUUAUGGGAUUAAGGAGUGUAUUAGAUUGAGAUUUUGAAAGAUUUAUAUUCAUAUAUGAAAUCAGAAAAUAUUCAACUCAGAUUUUAUAAAAUGUAUCAAAUUGGUGCGAUAUGCAAUUAUGCUUUAAAUUAUACACAACCUUUGGUGAAUUCAAUUAGAAUUUCAUAUUAUAUUUUAAAAUUUGAUAACAUUCAAUUGAUAUUGUUUAAAAUCCACUAAGAUUUAAUGGAAUUUAAAUGUUAAUGAAUUUUUUUGAAAUUCUUAAAAUGAUGGAAUUCUCACUUGACGCCCCCAUCUAUCGAAGACUCGUUUAGGUCAUUAUAAAUCAAAUAUAUAUAUAUAUAUAUAUCAUUUUUACCCACAUCAUUAGUUAUACAUCUUAAUGAUUUAUCAAAAAAUAAUCGUUUGUUUUUUUUACUGCAAAACCGCUUCGAAUACUUUCAUAAUUUUCUCUAGUAUUUAUCAAAAUAAUUUGAGAAUUUAUAAAGAAACCUAGUUAUGUAGUUACUCGCUCCGUCCCUCUAGUUGUUUACGUAAACUUUUAUUCAGAGAAAAAAAUUUAAAAAUAUAUUACGUAACUAUACUUUAAAUGAGCGUGGAAAAAUGUGCCAAAAAGUAACGUAAAGAAAUGAGGGGGACAGAGGGAGUAAAAUAUAUAUAGCUAUAAAUAUAUAUAUAUAUUUAUGUGAUCAUCCUAGCUAUGUUGUUUUAUAAAUUUCCAAAUUAUUUUGAUAAAUACUAGAGAUAAUUAUGAAAGUACUCGAAAUGAUUUUGUAGUAAAAAAACAAACCUUUGAUUUUUGAUAAAUGAUUGAGUAAAGAUGCAUGAAUAGUUAUGUGAGUAAAAUAAUAUAUAUUUGAUUUAUAGUGGUUUAAAUGGGUCGUCAAUGAGAUAAGUGGGCUAAAUGAGUAUUUUGACCCACAUACGUGAAAGAUUAUGGAAAAAGUCAUUAUAUACUCUUCUCAUAGAGUAAAGUUCAAUGGAGUACACAAUAUAUUGGAGUAUUGGAGUACAAAGUUGGAUAAAAUGUAAUCUAUUCAUCUAAAUUUCAAUUUUUUUGUUCAAUAAUAUUCGUAAACAUUUAAUAACCUGCACAUUAUGUUAUGCACAACAUAAGCAUUGUAAUCAAAUGGAAGAAUAAUGUCUUUUAUAAAUUACAGUAUUGUAUGUUCUGCAAUAUAACUAAUAAGCAGAACAAUAAUGUUAAUACUUGUUAAAGGUGAAAGAUAUUAAAGAUUGAUAGACAAUUAUGUGCAAGACAACUUAUAAAUGAUAGAUUGUAUAUAAAUUUGUAUAAUCAAAUAUAUUAUUUAUGAUUAAACUAAAAAAUUAAGACUUGUACUCCAAUACUCCAAUGUUUUUGUGUACUCCAUGGAACUUAACUCUAUAUUCAUAUUCAUAUUAUGCAGAGUUCGAAGUGAAUUACCACUUUCAAAAGUUUUCUGAUUAUUAAUUUCUUUUAAAUCUUUUGAUGUUUUAAUUGAUGAACUCUGGACAGAGUGUGUAGAUUUAAGAAUGGUGCAUGAACACCAGCUCUGUUCCGCAUUGCUCCACCAUCAUAUAAGCUCCAAGCACCAUCACCAGGUAUGCAAUCGUCGCAAUCUUUCCCUUAAAUAGCAGUGAUUAUAGGCCUCUUAAAGUGUGCGAAGUAGACAAUUUCUGUACUGGUAGUUUGACAAUAUAUAUGCAGGCAGGUUGAGAGUACUUUAGUUAUUUAACUAACAGCCGUGACAAUAUCGGACAUAACCCGAAUCCGCAACCCGAUUCAAUUAGAAAAAAUCCAAAAUUCAUUCGACUGACCCAAAAUUAGAAUUUGAUUCUUAAAAUUUUAAAUUUUCAACUUUAUCCGAUUUCAAGUGAUUUUUGUUUAAUCUGAAAUUGACUUGUUUGCCGACAAGAACACUGCCCGUUAUCACACCUGAUGUGGUGAAUGGUGAUGCAUGCCUCACCAUUCUUAUGUCUGAUUGUAUGUAUGGUUACUUGUUAGGCUUCAUCCGAGAAACUACAUAUUUGCUUCUCAAGAGAUGUGACAUGACAUGAGGCUGGCGGUUCCAUCUGGUAUGUUCAUUUCUUCAGUUUUCAGGGAUUCAUCUACUUGUGUAAUUCAUUUAACGUAUAGCUCCCAGCGAAAUGUAAAUCAUGAUGAAAACAUAUGGUUUGUUAAAUCAGUUCAACAUGCAUGAAAUAGUAAUUUACUUGUAAUGUGAUAAAGCCACAUUUGAGAUUUGACAUCCUAACUGUUAGUUAAACCUAAUUUCCCAAGUCCAAUUUCCGCCAACUAUCCUAUAAAUACUUGCUUGGUCUAUCUGCAAUAUCAUCCUUGACACUUUUAUAUAUCUAGUUGGUAUUGGUGGUGGUGGCGGCUCGUAUGCUGGUGGAGCCGGGUGAAGCUCUAACAUGUGGUGCACCCGAGGAACAGAGGACAGGAGCUGUGUGCAAUGUUUAUACCAGAGGUGAUCAACCAGAGCCAUCUGGUGAGUGCUGCAAUGCGUAUAGAGCACUACGUGCAACAGCCAAGACACGAGCAGAAAGGAGACAAUUUUGUUCUUGCGUCCAGGAAGCAACUUCACAAAGCAGAUAUAAUCGCGGUGCGACUGCUAAUCCUGCUGCUCGUAUUCCAAGAUUUGAUUCUCUAUCAGAAAAAUGCUGACUUCCUUUUCUUUUCUCUUCUGAUCCUGAAUUCGAUUGCAAAACGUAAGUGUCUCUCAUCUGAUCAUUUCAUUAGCUUUCCAUUUUAUAGGCUAAGCUUUUUAUCUGUAAAAGCUAGCCACAAUAAUACAGUAGUCGAUAUGCUCUGAUGGAUUUUUAUUUUGCUUUCUUAUGCAGAGUAAAUUGAGGUCACUUUCUUGCAUGGAAAAGCAGUUGGAGGACAAACAAUAAUGCUAAAGCUACUUGUAUUUCUGCGCUAUUCACAGCUACUUGUAUUUCUGCGCUAUUCAUUGUAACAAGUCCCUUUAAGAAAGAGGCCUUUGUUUUUAUACAAAUGACUACUACACUGAGAAGUUUCUGCAGUGUUCUUACAUGCCCUUGUCUGUGAUGAGUAUAAUCAAAUGAAUGAUGUAUAUCAUCCAUAUUAUCUAAUCAGCAUCAACUUUAUACACUAUAGGUGACGUAAAUUUUUAAACAUCUAGACGAUCAACAAAAGGGUCAAAACCAAGGCUAAACUAUCUUGAAUGUCAGAUGCAGAAUACGACAGACAGGAUACAAUCAACUGCGUCAAAGAAAUAUCUUCUUGAAAAAGGAACCAGAUAUCGGUUAUCAACUGCAACUAGUUUGAAGGAUCGGUCUAGCAUUAGACGAUGCCACUCUUAUAAGGUGUUUGAGAUUAGUAAACUCAACUCCUCGGAAAUGAAACCAAACAAGAAUUUACAAAAUCUAACUUUUAUGAGCGUUGCACAGUAAAAACCAGCAUAUACAUAUACUGACAAUCAAGGAUGCAGUAUUCACCCACAUUUGAAGUUUUUCUGCUUCUUGCAGAAUUUUUCUUACCUCCGCUCUGUGAUCAUUUAGUGCAGGAUUAGGCUACUUUAGCGGUUAUAUAUGAAUUUUCUAUGUAACAAAGGAAAGUAAGUUAGCUAGUAGAGUUAGGUAUAGUGACAACGAAAUCUAGAUUCCGUAAUGAUACUAAUGGUGCUGCAGAGUAAAUUUGGAUAUCAGUAUUUUGGAACUUUGAAAUACAAUAAUGCUUGGAAAAAAAGCCCAAACCCUUUAAACUACGCUUUACUAUUUGCCUGAGACUUUGCAUUCGCCAAGAAACAUGAAAAGAUUAAUGUGUUCACUUCAAUUGAACUUGAAUAUGUUCUUGCGGGGUUUGAUGCAGCGGUAUGUAAGAAUAAUUCGAAAAUGACAAUUAUUUAUCAUCUAAUUCAAUAAUUUGAUCUUAAGUUUUUGAAGAAAGGUCAUUAAAUUUUGUAAAAUUUUCCAGAAAAUCUCCAAACCUAAUGAAUGUCCUUUAAAUCUGAUUAGACUCUAUCUUUUUAUUAUAAUAAAAGAAUUAAAACAACUUAAUUUUCAAUCUAAACUCGAGUAAACCCCAAGUACGUUAGAACUAUUUAUAUUGAACUAUAAAUAAUAUAUAAUAAAUGAUAUAUAAUUUCCUCCGUUAUCUUGCAACAAAGAUAAAAAAACAGAAAAAAUAUCAUGCAAAGUAUUCUUAAAAGAAAUGAUAGCAUGACUCUUUUCUAACAUAUAUAAUAUCAGAUGUCAUGUAUACUUUGUCAAUGCAGUUAUGCAGCAAGCCAGCAACUGCAUGCAAAGCGAAAUGCCAAUAUUCACACUCAUGCAUAAUUCGUUACUGUAACUUUCCUAUAAGGUUCUGAGAAUCAUGUAGGUGGUCAUGGUCGCUCAUCAUCUCUCGAUUUCGUAGGUUGACAAACUGACACUGUUUAGCUGAUUUGCAACAUUUCUCAGGUCUCUGUGCUUGACAGUAUUACAAUCACAAACUCUUUACAGCUCUAGUGUCCUGUACAGCCUUGGUACCGUCUGCAGACUCAUAUAUUGAACAUUUUAGAUCUGAUUAUAAGAUUUCUGAGUAUCAAGAAAUAAUGUAGUUGGCCAUCAAGUUCUCUAGUAUACAAAAUAUAACUCAUUAGGAAAUGAAGCCAAAUGAGAAUAUAAUUCACAAUCAUGCUCAAUUAAUAAUGUCAUACAAUUGUUUGUUAUAGCAAAAAAAGUUACAUUUGACAAAUGAUUACUAAAACUUGAGUAAAUUCUUCAUUCACAUCUCAAAUCAAUCUCAUGGUGAAAUCAUAUGUAUGCUUCAGCACAUUUUUCUUCAAAGCUAACUUUUAUAUGCGCUGUAUAGAAAAAACCAGCAUAUACUGACAGCCAAGGAUGCAGUAGUCACCCCCAUUCUAAGUUUUCCUGCUUCUAGGAGAGUUUUCUUACCUCCGCUCUCUGAUCAUUUAGUGCAGAAAUAGGCUGCUUCAGCGGUUAAUUAUGAAUAUAUUUGUGUGCAUAUAGUGUUAGCUCAUCUUGUGAACACUGGCCCCUGAUUUGCAUCCCACACAAUCCAUCGUUGUUAGUGAAAUAUCGUGGAUCAUUUACCCUGUCCAUUUGUCCACCCCGUGAGAUUUUACCACUUCACUUGUUGUUACUUACAUUUAAUAGAGAGUGGUUUUAGCUUUGUAAAAAUGAUUGUGGAAUACAGUUAUGUGCCGAUAUCAAUCAUCAGCAUUCAGCGAUUCGCUAACAAAUUAAACUUGAGACAAGAGCAAUGGUAUCUGUAGCUUAAGUAACUAGUUGGAUGGAAGCGUCUCAGAACAAGUUUGAACUUCAAUAUGCAAUUAGGUUAGAUAAUUUCCAAAAAUGACAAUUAUUAUUAUUUUUUAUCUCUGAGCUUAAGUAUUUGAUGAAAUUAAAAGAUUAUUCAAUUUUGUAAACUUUUUCAAAAAAUUUUAAAAUUAUACAUUAAAAUAUAAUCAAACACCAAUAUACAUCAUUUGGAAUGUUCAUAAAAUCUAUAUACUUUAAAUCUGAUAAGAUCUUUUUCCUUAGAUUAAUUUGAUAAGAUCCAUCUAUAUACUUUAAAUGUAUAAGAUCCCUUCCCUUAAUUCAUUUGAUAAGAUCCACUCUUAUUGAUUUCCAACCUGUAGGUGAAUCAUGUACUUUUCGAUAAUUAUGUUUAAAUAUAAAUAAUAUAAACAGUAUGAUAUAUAAGUUCCUCCAUUAUCUUACGAAAUAGAUUAUAAAAAAUUAAAUCAAACUCUUGUAUUUUGAGAAAUCAUAGGAUUAAUUUUCACUGAGAUAUAAUAUUGAAAGUCAUAUAUGCUUUGCCAAAGCAGCAAAUGCAUGCAAAGCAAAAUGUUACUAAUCAAGCUCAUGCAUUAAUCAUUACAGCAAAUUUCCUAGUCUUGCCUGAAUUAUAAAUAUUAAUACACAGAUAAGAUAUUGUGAUAAUGGUGUUCCUGGUGCUCAUCAUCAGUAGAUUUGGUAGGUGACAAAUUGACACCUUUAUGACCAAUAUGGAAAUUUAGAUUUGUAUUUCAUUUGAAUUACAUACAUUCAAAUAUGAGUAUAAAUCUGAUAAUUUGAAAAGACAACUAAAAUUCUGUCAUUUGAAAUCCAUCAUUUGAAAAGGAAAUUUGCUACAUUUCUAUGUGCUUGAAAGCAUUACAAUCAUAGAAAGGUCUAAUGUCUAAGGACUCUUAUAAAGUGUUAUAUAACUCUUAAAACUACGCGUUACUCUUUGCCUAUGGUGAAUGGAGUGGUGCCUUGGUGUUGGAACAAGAUAUCCACUAACAAAUGCUAUCACUACUGAUAAAAUGAAACCAAGUGGGAAUCCAAUCCCCGGUCCUGCCCACAAAAAACAUGAUUCCUGUUCACCGUCGUCACCCUCUUCGUGUGCAUAUAGUGUUAGCUCAUCUUGUGAACAUUGCACCCUGAUCUGCAUCCCACAUAAUCCCCUGUUGUUAGCAAAAUAUAGUGAGAUCUUACCACUUAACUUGUUACUUGCAUCUAAUAGAGAGUGGUUUUAGCUCUGUAAAUGAUUGUGGAAUUGUACCCGAGAUAUUGUUGUUAGAUAGGUCCAAGGUCUCUAAACUCUCUAGAUCCCCAAGAUUUUGUGGUAUAUAUCCCAGUUACCUGUGUUGUUGUCAUGGAGAUCAAGAUAUUCAAGAGUCAUCAGAUUCGUUAGGUCCUUGGACAACUUGCCGGAGAACUUAUUGUCCCCUAGUGCAAGGACACCAGUUAGUGUGCAAAAUGAUGCAGGAAUGUCACCCCAUAGCUCAUUAGAUGAGAGAUCUAUGUAAUAAUGGAAGCCAUAAGGAUUAAAAAACCAGAAAAGUGUUGCAUUUAAAAUAUUGCUUAUUGUGAACUUAUAUUAUUCAGUAAAGCGCACAGCAACAUUAACAGCUCUUUGUUGACGCAGAAAGAAUCCUGAUAGAGUGUGAUUAGUUUGACUGAUGUUCUCUUCAAUACAGUUCUGUUCCCAUAUCAAUCAUCAGCAUUCAGCGAUUCGCUAACAAACUUGAGACAAGAUUAAUGGUAUCUGUAGCUUAAGUAACUAGUUGAAUGGAAGCGUCUCAAAUGAGCAAGUUUGAACUUCAAUAUGCAAUUCUCCUUCUAAGUUUGAUGCAGGGCAAGUAAGAUAAUUUCCAAAAAUGGCAAUUAUUUUUUAUCUCGUAGUUUGAGUUUUUGAUGAAAUUAAAAGAUCAUUCAAUUUUAUAAACUUUUCCGAAUUUUUUUUAAAAUUGUACAUUAAAAAUAUAAUUAAACACCAAUAUACAUACAUCAUUUGGAAUUUUCAUAUAUCCUCUAAAUUUGAUAAGAUCCACUGGUUAAUCUGAUAAGAUCCACUAUUCCACUCCCUCGAUUAAUCUGAUAAGACCCACUCCCAUUAAUUUGCAACCUGUAGGUGCAUCAUGUACUUUUGGAUAAUUAUGUUUAAAUAUAAAUACUAUAAAGAGUAUGACAUAUAAGUUCCUCCAUUAUCUUACAAAAAAAUUAUAAAAAAUUAAAUAAAACUGUUGUAUUUUGAGAAAUCAUAGCAUUACUCUUGUAAUAUUGAAAGUCAUGUAUGCUUUGCCAAAGCAGCAAAUGCAUGCAAAGCGAAAUGUUACUGAUCAAGCUCAUGCAUAAAUCAUUACAGCAAAUUUCCUAGUCUUGUCUGAAGUAUAAUACUAUUAAUACACAGAUAUGAGAUUGUCAUAAUGGUGUUCCUGGUGCUCAUCAUCUGUAGAUUUUGUAGGUGACAAAUUGACACCCUUAAGAAGAUUUGCUACAUUUCUAUGUGCUUGACAGCAUUACAAUCACAAAAAAGCCUUAUGUCUAAGGACUCUUAUAAAGUGCUAUAUAAACUCUUGAAACUACGCGUUACUCUUUGCCUAUGGUGAACGGAGUGGUGCUUUGGUGUUGGAACAAGAUAUCCACUAACAAAUGCUAUCACUACUGAUAAAAUGAAACCAAGUGGGAAUCCAAUCCCCAGUCCUGCCCACAAAAACCAUGAAUCCUGUUCACCGCCAUCACCCUCUUCGUGUGCAUAUAGUGUUAGCUCAUCUUGUGAACAUUGCACCCUGAUUUGCAUCCCACAUAAUCCCCUGUUGUUAGCAAAAUAUCGCGGAUCAUUUAUCCUGUCCAUUUGUCCACCCCGCUGGAUUUUACCACUUAGCUUGUUGUUACUUACAUCUAACAGGGAUAGUUGCUUUAUCUCCGUAAAUGAUUGUGGAAUUGUACCUGAGAUAUUGUUGUUAGAUAGGUACAAGGUCUCUAAACUCUCUAGAUCCCCAAGAUUUUGUGGUAUAUGUCCCGAGAGUUUAUUACUGGACACGUUGAGUAGUUUUAGUCUCUUGAGAUUUCCUAGUGAAGCUGGAAUAGCACCUGACAGCUUAUUCUUCGACAAGUCAAUCAAUGAGUAGAUGUGUUGGUUAUGACUUGAUAGACCUUGUGUGGCCUUUUUCCAAUUCACCAUCAAGUCAUUGAUCUUGAUCGAAAAGGAGAAUCAUUCCUUUUAUAUUUCCCGACUCUGAAGGGACACUUCCAACAAGAUUGUUAUUUGAGAGAUCAAGAAUUUGGAGUUUACUUUGGUUGGAGAAUGAGUUGGGUGCUAGUGAGCCAUGUAGAGAAUUGUUACGCGGACUCAGAACUUGAAGGUAUGACAAUUCAAAAAUAAACUCUGGGAAAUUACCUGUAAUGUUGUUGUCAUGGAGAUCAAGAUAUUCAAGACUCGUCAGAUUCAUUAGGUCCUUAAGCAAGAUAAUUAACUUUCUGGAAUCAAUACACUCCUGGUAGAAAGAAUCCUGAUAGAUAGAGUGGGAUUAGUUCGACUGAUGUUCUCUUCAAUACAUUUAUGUGACCAUAUCAAUCCUCAGGAUUCAGCCUUGUGCAGUGAGGCCCAGAGCUCUCUGGUCUCAACACUUAUGAUCUUUUGUCGCGAUCAGGGACCAUUAUUUCUUUUACUUGACUCAUUUCCUAGAUUGCCAGCAGUCAUGGCGAUCGCCAGGCAAGAUUAAUGUGUUUGCAUAAAUUAUCUGUAGCUUAAGUAAUUAGUGGGCGUCUCAAUUGAACAAAAUUGAACUUGAAUAUGCAGUUGCUCAUGCAGAAGUAGGCAAGAUAAUCUUUUGCGAAUUUUUUUAAAAUUUUACAUUAAAAAUAUAAUCAGAUUCUAAUAUAUAACAUUUGGAAUUAUCAUAAAAUAUAUAUCCUCUAAAUUUGAUAAGAUCCGCUCCCAUUGAUUUCCAGAACCAUCUGAUUUGAUUUGUUCUCAAUAGCCAUGAGACGAUCAUCUUAGGGUGAUCCUUUUGUCGACCGAUGAUCCUAUUAUACCCGUAGUCUCUGAAGGAUGAGAACCAAUUAUGUAGCAUCUACACCGAGAAUUCAAGUAUUAUACAUCAUUAGUCUAAUCCUUUAUAGGAACUACCCAUAAUAACAACUUGCAAGUGAUCCUGUCAAGUGCAUCAUGUACUUUUGGAAUUAUAUAUGUUUAAUAAUAAAUAAUAUAAGAAGUAUGAUAUAUAGUUCCUCCAUUAUCUUACGAAUAAAAUUAUAAAAAUUUAAAUCAACUCCGAUAAGUAAAAUUUAAAUCAACUCCGAUGAGUGUUUUCAUAGAAACAAUAGCAUUACUUUUUAUUGACAUAUAUUAUACUGGAAGUCAUGUUACUCAUGUAUGCUUUGCCCCAGCAGCAAGUGCAUGCAAACCGAAAUGUUAGUACUCAAGCUCAUGCAUAAAUCGUUAUUGCAAAUUUCCUACUUUAGUCUAUAGUAUAAUAUAUUAAUACACAGAUAUGAGAUUGUCAGAAUGGUGUUCAUGGUUGUUCAUCAUCUGUCGAUUUUGUAGGUGACAAGUUGAUGCCCUUGAGGAGAUGGAGAUCUGCUACAUUUCUCAUUAUUUACAGUACCCAUGCCCAUUGAAAACACACUCAUUCCCUUUAGAUUUCCCAUCUCUGAAGGGAUACUUCCAUCAAGAUUGUUACUUGAGAGAUCAAGUAUUCGGAGGUCACUUUGGUUGGAGAAUGAGGUUGAUGCUUGUGAGCAAUUAGAGAGUUGUUACAUAGACUUAAAACUUGAAGUUCAGAUAAUUGGAAAAUAUAUUCUGGGAAGUUACCUGUAAUGUUGUUGUCAAGGAAAUCAAGAUAUUCAAGAUUUGUUAGAUUGGUUAGGCCCUUAGGCAGCUUGACAGAAAACUUAUUUCCCCUAAUGCAAGGAUACCUGUUAGUGUGUAAAUUACACAGGAUGGAAGAUCUACAUAAUAAAGUAAGCCAAGAGGAUUAAAACCUGGAAAUUUGUCACCAGAAAAUCUUUUUCUGGACAAGUCAGGGAGUAAUAGUACAGGAAUAUCUGCAACAGACUUUGGAAUGAGCCCAGAAAAUUUGUUUCCAGAAAGCAUUCUUGAGUUUCUUAGCUUGACCUAUAUAUCCUGGCAGCUCUCCAUCAAAAUCGUUUCUUCAGAGAGCCUAUAAUGAUAAAUUUAAGAUUUAAAUAGGCGAGAAGGAAUUCAACCGGUAAGGUUGUUAUCUGACAGUAGUAAACUUCCAACAUCCAUCUAGCAAGCCAUUGCGGGAAUCUUCCUGUGAGCUGAAUAUUGUUACUCAGGUCGAGAAUAUCAAGAUCCUUUCUUGUGGAAAUCCAUCCUGGAACGUCUCCUUAAAUUUUGCAAGAUCUUAGAGACAUUUGAGAAAGCAUACACUUUGGAUUUAUUUUAAGAUUGUUUUUCCAGAUUAUCUUAUUUUAAGAUUCUUUUUCCAAUGUAUAUAUUCUUUAAACUGUCUAUCUCAAAUAGCCAGGAGGGUAUUUGUCCAGAAAGCAUAUUAUCUUCAAGCGUAAGUGUAUGUGUAUCAAACUUGCUCAUGUUUCGAGAUCAUGGGAUUACACCUGAGAAACUGUUUUUGCUCAAUGCCAAAGUGGAAAUGUUUAACAAGCUUAAAAUCGCACUUGGUAUCUGCAUCCGUAAAUUAUUAUCCCUCAAAUCCAAGCUUUCUAAACCCUUCAAAUUCAGAAUUGAAUCUAGAAUUGGUCCUGAAAAUUUAUUUAGAAAGUUGCUGCAACUUUGUGAGAUUCCCCAUCUGUACCGGAAUAUUUCCAUCAAGAAAAUUCUUAUUUAACUUCAAUGUCCUCAAACCUGCAAACUUUCCAAAUUCCACUAAAAUCAAGAACCUGCAGAAACCUUAAGUGGAAUAGUUCUGCAGGAAUGGAGCCAUUAAAUUUGUUUCUACUCAUGUCAAGGUGCACUAAUCUAGUAAGAUUAGAAAACUUUUCUCCUGAAAUGUCCCCUCCUGUACCAUUAAAGGAGAUAUUAAGGAUCAUCAGGUAUCUGAUGCUAUAAAUGUGGUCAAAGAUUCUUGGAUUUGCCACACUAUUGAAGUCUAAAUAAGGCACAAUGAUGCUGUCAAGGUGCAGAGCUAUUAUCUCACGCGAAUGUGAACUGCAAACAACUCGUUUCCAAUCACAGCAAUCAGAACUGGAGUUCCAUGACUCCAAGCCAAAAGCCGUCGAACAUAUUCAGUAUAGAGAACUUAAACUGGAGAAGUGACUGUUUGUGAUGAGUAGUACAAGAUAAACAUCGAAUGAACAUUAACAUGAAGAUGAAAGGCACGACUUGUUUGAUCAAACUUAGUGGCAUUGUUGUGUUUUACUUAAUUGUGAACCGGAGUUGGUUAUUUACAGAGGGAAUAACAUGUUUUUUCAAACUCGAGAGUACAUAAAAAUGGACAGGCUGAGAAAUGUUAUCAUUUUAGUCAUGUGUAUAAUUUCAAACUUUUUUUUCAUUUGAAUGUUAAAUUAUCGGUUAUCAUGAACUUAUAUUACCCAUACCAGAUAGUCGAUUUCUUAAGUACUUACUACUAAUAGUCCUAAAUCAGGUUCUUUAAUAAAAUCAGGUUCUUUAAUAAUUGUCACACAUGUCAAAUAUAAGAUUCUGUUUUGGAAUGAAUGGGUUUACCAUACUUAAACUAUAAUCUACUACGUUAACAAGCGCUUAACUAGUUGAAUUAUGUACAUUAUCAUCAUAAUACGCCUUUAAAAGACAUUCAUUAUUCAUAUUAAAUUUUGUUUACUUCUUGAAUAAUCCUCGGUGUUUUUUGGUAACACCAGCGCCAAUCUUUCUUCAGAUAAAGACCCUUAAUAAAAUUUUGAAAAUAUGAUAAUUAAUUUCCUCCAUUAUCUUGAAAUAAAGAUUAAAAAAAAACAAAUCAACUUCUAAAUGUUAAGAGAUUGUAUGAGAUGAAUUGCACUCCAUUUUAUCUAUUUUUCUACGAUAAAUAAUAUCUAAAGUCAUGUAUAAAGUAUACUUCAUGCAAUGCGAAAUGUUAAAAAACACAGUUCAUGCUCAUGCAUCAUUCGUUUAGUGAAGAUUUCACUGUAGUCCUGAAGUACGAUGUAUUAGUUUCCUAUUUGCUACUGUCCAUGUAGCUCUAGAACGUGGCUCACAGAGAGCUGUGUUAAGCUCAGAGGUAGCAAGGUCUUUUCACUCUAUGCAAGUUGUUAGUUAGUUGUAUGAACCGUAAGCCAUAAGAUCAUGCGUCUAUGUAUAGUCUAAACAAUGUAUCAUUUUGAUUUUUGUGAUUGAAUGAAAUACUCUAGAGACACAAGAGUUAGAGUUUGUGCAUCUCUGAAAUCAAGUUCAAUCACCGUGUUGCUUUUCUUUGUUCUGAUCGCAUCACUCUCACUUGUACGAACUUUUCCGAGUUCAUGGAUGCCACUCACCUAAAAUCGAAAUAAAUUAGGUAUAAAUAUUAAAAAAAAACAAUUAACACUUAGAAUUCAGAAUAAUACAAACAAGUCUUUUUGUUUCAGAAUAAAGAAGAAAAAAACUCAUGUAUUUUUACCUUGCACAAACAAUAGAAUACUCAUGCUUAUUGCAAUUAAAAUCAGAAACAAAUAACACUAUGUACCAAUAAUGAAAUGCAUUGAUAUUAUGUUUUUUUUAUUAUAAUGGAAACAACUUGCACUCCAAUAUUUAUAUCAAUAUAUGAAUAAUAUAAUAUAUAUGAUAAAUAAUUUCCUCCAUUAUCUUAAAAAAAACAAAUAUACUUUGUCAAUGCAGUCUGCAGCAAGUGCAUGCAGAACGAAAUGUUAUAUUGUUAGUUUAGUCUGAAGAUUGUGAGAAUGAUGUAGGUGUUCAUGGUCGCUCAUCAUCUAUCGAUUUUGUAAGUUGACAAAUUAACACUAAGCAGAUUUUGGAUCAACUUUCUUCUAAUUAAGAUGUCCCCUCUCAUAUCAUUAUAGGAGAUAUUAAGAAUCAUCGAGGAUCUAAUGCUGUAAAUGUGGUCAGAGAUUCUUGGAUUUGCCACACUGUUUAAGUCUGAAUAAGGCCCGAUGAUGCUGUCAAGUGCAGUGCUAUUCUCUCACGUACGUGAAUGACUGCAAACAACUCUUUUCCAAUCAUAGCAAUCAGAACUGGAGUUCCAUGUCUCCAAGACAAAGGCAAUGAGACUAACCCGUGGAACAUAUUCAGUAUAGAGGAUUUAAAAUUUAAAUUGAAGAGGGGACUGUUUGUGAUAAGUAGGACAAGAGAAACAUGCAAUGAACAUUAGCACGCAGAUGAAAUGCACAAAUUUUAUCAAACUUAGUGGCUUGGCCAUUGUUGUGUUUUAGUUAAUUUUGUAGAGUGGAGUUGAUAUUAGUAAAGAGAAGCACAUGUUUAUCCAAACUCUAGAGUGCAUAAAAAUGGAAAUGCUAGAGUUAAGCUGUAUUCCAUUAGUACGUAUGGAAAUAUAAUAUCUAUCAAAGAUUCCAGUCAUUGAUACUACGUUUCCCAAGUCUAAAGGGAUACUUCCAACAAGAUUGUUAUUUGAAAGAUCAAGAAUUCGGAGUGCACUCUGGUUGGAGAAUUAGUUAGAUUGUAAUGAACCAUGUAAAUAUAUUUCAUAUUUGUCAGAUUCCGAGGCAAGUUGCCAGAGAACUUAUUUUUCCCUAGCGCAAGAACAAUCAUAGAUAUUCCAAAUGAUGAGGGAACAUCACCUGAUAGUUUGUUAGAAGAGAGAUCAACAUACAUCAGAAAACCAUCAGGAUCAAAAACUGGGACAGGCCCUGAUAAAUUGUUUCUUGACAAGUCCAGUAGCAAUAGUUGAUGCAUAUCUCCAAUGGAUUCUAGGACUGGCCCUGAUAAAUUGUUCCCAGAAAGCAUAAGAACUGAUAUCUCCUUAGCUUCACCAAUAUUAUUUGCCAAAACUAAUAAACUCUGAGUGAAAAAGGCGAGAUGGGAUUGCACCACUAAGCUCGUUAUUUGACAGUAGCAGAUUUCCAACUUCCAACUCAGCAAGCCAAAGUGGAAAUAUUCCUGUGAGCUGAUUAUAACUCAGUUCAAAAAUGCCGAGAUUCUUUUGAGUGGAAAUCCAUUCAGGAAUGUCUCCGGAAAUUUGACUUGAUCUGAGAGAGAGUCUAGAAAGCAUGCACUUUGGAACUAUUUUGACAAUAUUAUUCCAAUUUAUCUUGUUUCCUCCUAGAAACAAAUUCUUCAGACUCUCCAUGUCAAACAACCAGGAGGGUAUUUCUCCACCAAGCAUAUUGUCUUCCAGUUGAAGUGUUUCUAAUUUGCUCAAAUUUCGUAUAGAUGUUGGGAUUGCACCUGUGAAGCUGUUCUUGCUUAAUGCCAAAGUGGAAAUGCAUGACAAGUUUCCAAUAUGACUAGGAAUCUGCAUCCGUAAAUAAUUACUACUUAAAUCCAAUCCUUCUAGUCUCUUCAGAGUGAAGAUUGAAUCUGGAAUCCCACCAGAAAGUUCAUUCAGGCUUAUUGAAAAAUACUGCAACUUUGUCAGAUUACCAAUCUGUAAAGGAAUAUUUCCAAAAAGAGAAUUCCCAUCCAACUUUAAUGUCCUCAAAUUUCCAAGGUUUCCAAUUUCAGUACUUAGACCGCCCUUUAAUGAAUUAUCACUUAAAUUAAGAAACCGCAGAAGCCUCAAGUGGAAAAGUUGGGCUGGAAUUGAACCAUCAAAGUGAUUGUUACUCAUGUCCAGGUGAACUAUACUGGUGAGAUUGGCCAAGCCAUUGCCUGAAAUUUCCCCUGAUAUCUGAUUAUAUGAGAUAUUAAGAAAGCUCAGAUAUUUUAGAUGAAAAAGUUGAGCUGGAAUUGAGCCAUGAAUGUCAUUGUUACUCAUGUCAAGGUGAACUAGUUUAGUGGGAUUAGCCAAACCCUUGAUUGGAAUUAGCCCUUCCAUCGAAUUAGAGGAGAUAUCAAGAAGAAUUAAGGAUCUGAUAUAAAAAAUGGGGUCUAAUAUGGGAAAUGCAAGAAAGAAGACUGCAGAAGGAAGAUGGUCAAGGUGUAGAGCUAUAACGUCACGUGAAUGCAAACUACAAACAACUCUAUCCCAAGUACAACAGUCAGAACUGGAGUUCCACGACUCCAAGCCAAUAACCGACGAGUUUGAGGUAUUGGAGAUAUUGAGCAAGGAGGAUUUGAAGAGCAGAAGGGAUUGUUUUUGAUGAGCAGGACAAGAUGAGCAUGGCAUUAUCAUACAAAUGAAAGGCACAAGUAUUAUUAUCAGGCCUAGUAGCUUGGCCAUUGUUGUGCCUCUGUUCCUUCUUUCGUAACGUGGAGUGGGCUCUAUUAAUAAGAAGUAAACACAUGAACUCUAUCGAAAAACAUAAAUGCUUAGAGGAAUUAAUCAAAGUUAUAGGCCAGUGCCGUUGAAGACAGGGCUCAUAAUCGUCCAACCUAUGGGACAAGAUCAGUCUUAGUUUUCAGCUGCACAAUCUGAACUCGUUCUUAAAUCGAUGACUUUCUUAUUUUUUCCCCCCUAAGUCAUUAAUUGUUUGAAAAUUUAUGCAAGUCCAAGUUCAAAAUCCAUUACUCUGUGACUGUGUAUUACAAAAGAAGUCAAUUAUAUUGUUCUGAGAAAUUCAAUCAACCAAAUUUUGUCGCGAUAAAAGGUUUAUAUAAAUUUCAAUACUCUUGAACGAUCAUAGCACAUAAAUUGAAGUCUUCAGAAUUAUUUUCCAGAAUCUAGAAUCAGCAAGUAUUAGAAUUUUCAAAGACAAAUUAUUAAAAUUCAAUUAUUAAAUCACAAGUCUGUUCUGUUUUAAUCUCAAGAACAAAUAUAAAAACUUCCUCUGCUUUAAGUACUAGUAGACAACAUUUUGGCUUUUAUCUGUACCUAUAGUGGAUUGAGUGGUACUUCUGUGUUGGUAUAACAAAGUACCUACUAAAAAAUGCUAUCAAGAUUGAAGAAAUGAAACCAAGUGGAUAUCCGAUCCACACUCCUCCCCACAAGAACCACGAUUCUUGUUCACCAUCAUCACCCUCUACGCGUGCCUCUGGUUUUAGCUCAUCUUCUGAACAUGUCACUCUGAUUUGCAUGCCGCAUAAUCCACUGUUGUUAGCAAAAUAACUUGGAUCAUUCAUCGUGUCCAUUUGUCCACCCCACGGGAUUAUUCCACUUAACUUGUUGUUACUCACAUCUACCACAGACAGUUCAUUUAAUUUCUUAAAUGAUUGUGGAAUUGUACCAGAGAUAUUGUUGUUAGAUAAGUCAAGAGCCUGUAUACUCUCCAGAUCCCCAAAACUUUGUGGUAUAUUUCCCGAGAGCCUGUUGUUGGAUAUGUUGAGUAGCUUCAGUCCCACAAGAAGUCCCAAGGAGACCGGAAUAUCACCUGAUAACUUAUUAUUUGACAAGUCUAGCAAAGUGUAGAUAUGUCGCUUAUUACCUGAGAGACCUUGUAUAGCCUUCUUCCAGUUCACCAUAAGGCCAUUGAUCUCCAUUGUAAAGGUGAACAUGCCACUGAUUGGUGCAAUCGUAUUUUCAACCCAAUUCAACUCCAUCUCAUUCUUAAUAUACUGGCGAGCUAUAAAAUCAAUAUAACCUCCACUCAUUACCUUUAGAUUUCCUAACUCCGAAGGGAUACUUCCAACAAGAUUGUUGCUUGAGAGAUCAAGAAUUUGGAGGCUACUUUCGUUGGAGAACAACUUGGAUGGUAGUGAGCCAUGUAGAGAGUUGUUACGUACACUAAGAACUUCAAGGCUGGAUAGUUGGGAAAGAAAUUCUGGCAAAUUACCUGUGAUGUUGUUGUCAUGGAGAUCAAGAUAUUCAAGCUCAUUCAUAUUUGUUAGACCCCUAGGCAGCCUGCCAGAAAACUUAUUUUCCCCUAGUGCAAGAAUACCAGUGUCUUUGCAAAAUGACACUGGAAUUUCACCUGAAAGUUCAUUUGAGGAGAAAUCGCCAUAAUAAAGUGAGCCAUUAGGAUCAAAAACUGGGAAUGUGUUGCCAGAGAAUUUGUUUCUUGACAAGUCUAAUAGAACUAGUUUAGGGAUAUCCGCAAUGGAUUUUGGGAUGGCCCCUGAAAAAUUGGUGGCAGACAGCAUAAGUACCUUGAUGUUAUGAGCAUCACCUAUAUUUUCUGGCAACUCUCCUGAAAAAUUGUUUUUUGAAAGAGCCAAAAUCGAUAAACUCGAAGAUUGAAAAAGGCGAGAUGGUAUUGAACCAGUUAGCUUGUUGCGGGACAUGAGUAUGCUUUUAAUAUCCAUUUCAGCAAGCCAGAGAGGGAAUUUUCCAGUAAGACCACUGUUGCUCAGAUCAAGAAUAUCAAGAUUCUUUUGAGUGGAAAUCCAUUCCGGAAUGUCUGCAAAAAUUUUACAUGAUUUGAGAGAGAGUUGAGAAAGCAUACACUUGGGAGCUAUUUUGACAUUGUUAUUCCAAACUAAUUUGUUUCCUCCAAGAUUCAAAUUCUUGAGACUCUCUAUUUCAAAUACACCAUAAGGAAUUUCUCCGGAAAGCAUAUUAUCUUCCAAGAGAAGUGUUUUUAAUUUGCUCAAAUUACGCAUUGGUGGUGGGAUUACACCAGUGAAACUGUUCCUGCUCAAAUCUACUUUUUCCAAUUCCUUCAAUUUCCCAAUUGAAUUUGGAAUCUGACCUGCAAAUUUGUUGUAAUUGAUAGAAAACUGCUGCAACCUUGUGAGAUUUCCAAUGUGCUCAGGAAUAUAUCCAUCAAGCAAAUUCUUUUCCAGCUUCAGCGUCCUCAAAUUUCCAAGUUUGCCAACUUCACUUAAACCACCCUUCAAUGAAUUUUUACUCAAAUCAAGAAACUGCAGAAACUUCAACUGGAAAAGUUGUGCUGGAAUUGUGCCGUUAAAUAAAUUCAAACGCAUGUCAAGGUGGACUAGUUUGGUAAGAUUAGCCAAUCCUUCGCCUGAAAUUUCCCCCUCAAUCAAAUUAUAGGAGAUAUUAAGAAGCAACAAGGAUCUAAUGCCAAAAAUGGGUUCUAAGAUUUUGGAAUGUAUAAUAUCAGAGGGUGGAUACGGAGCAGGGAGAUCGUCAAGGUGUAGAGCUAUUAUGCUACGUGAAUGAGAACCGCAAACAACUCUACUCCAAGUACAACAAUCAGAAGUGGAGUUCCAAGACUGCAAGCCAUCAAACACGCCCAAAAACGAAUAUUCAGAGGUGGCAUUGAGCAAGGAGGACUUGAAGUGCAGAAGGGAUUGUUUCUGAUGAGCAGGACAAGAUAAGCAAGGGAUGAACAUGAAAAUGAAAAUGAAAGACACAACUAAUUUGCUCAGGCUUCCUGUUCUCUUCAUGGUUGUGUUUCUUUUGGUCUAUUACUACAGAGUUGCUUAUAACAGAGGGAAGCACAUAGUGUUCGAUUUUUCCCUCUUCUCCUUAUAGUUACAAAAUAUGAAUUACCAAGAAAAUGAUAAUAUUGAGUGGGAUAAUGUUUCUUAAGUCGCCGUGUGAGUCAACUGAGAUUAUUUAUAUCAUAUUUGCUCUGCAUAGUAGCAACUAAUCAAUACCCAAGAACAUUUCAUCAGCUCACCAAGUGACUCAUUGCCGUGAAAGACAAGGUACUUGACAAAUGAGACCUAAGAAUAAGCAGAAUAGAAGAUAGUAAAUGCAGCUGUUCACUUGACUUGACUUGUAAUAAUAUAUAUACAGUUUAAGGUUACGUUCACUUGGAUGAAAUAAAAUGAGAAGAUAAUGGAAUGGAAUGAAAUAUAAAGGAGUUUUAUAAAGAAAGAAGAAAGUAUGAGAUAAUAAUGACUAAAUAUGUGUGGGUCUAAAUUUCUUAAGAUGAAGAUUGGAGAAAAACAUGAUUAAGAAUUGCAAUUAGCCUUCCUUCUAAAACAUGUGGGUUAGAUGUCUAGUUCAAAUAGUUGGAAUGAAAUAAUUGUAGGAAUUAAAAAUUAUAUCACUAAUUUUAGUGAGUCGAGUGAAAUCCCAUAUCACUAAUUUAUUUUAGUGAGUCGAGUGAUAUCCCGUGGACAUCAGUGACCUACUUGAUAUUAUUCAACGACUUUGAUGAUUAAUUAUAUGAGUUAAUUACUUCGCAUUUCAAAACAGAAUAUAAGUGUUCAUUCGACUAAUAUUUUCAUAUUUCGGAGAGUACUAUAUAAAUAUAAUACACAGUACAGUAUGGAUUGAGCAAGGAUAUGAUGAAGAAAUACCACAAUGAAGACAAGAUGAAAAGUACUGUCUUACUGCAGGCAAACUCUUAGCGUAAAGGAACUUACUUGGAUUCAUAUUCAUAAUGUUAUUACAUGCUGCAAUGUUUUUAUUUUAGAACAAAGAUAAAAACCUGCACAAUGUAUUUUAUUCACCGUGCUAUAUAUUUAUAGUGAUCCAAGGACUUGAAGUGCUAGAUCACACACCUGCAUUUAUCUCUGCCUGUAGUGAAUCGAGUGGUACUUUUUUGUUGCUAUAACAAAAUACCCACCAAGAAAUGUUGUUAAUACCGACGAAAUCAAGCCUAGUGGGAAUCCAAUCCACACUCCUGCCCACAAGAACCAUGCCUCUUUUUCAUCAUCAUCUUCUUCUUGGCCAUCAUUUGGUGUUGGCUCAUCUUUUGGACAUUUCACCCUGAUCUGCAUGCCACAUAGUCCACUGUUGUUAGCGAAAUAACUCGGAUCAUUCAUCCUGUCCAUUUGUCCACCCCGCGGGAUUUCACCACUUAGCUUGUUGUUACUCACAUCUAACACGGAUAGUUGAUCUAACUUCCUAAAUGAUUGUGGAAUUGUACCAGAGAUAUUGUUGUUAGAUAAGUCAAGAGCCUCUAUACUUUGUAGAUCUCCAAAACUUUGUGGUAUAUAUCCUGAGAGUUUAUUGUAGGAGAGGUUGAGUAGCUUCAGUCCUUUGAGAUUUCCUAAUGAAUCUGGAACAUCACCUGAAAACUUAUUGUUGGACAAGUCUAGUAAAGUAUAAAUAUGUUGAUUAUGACUUGAGAGACCUUGCAGAGCAUUCUUCCAGUUCACUGUUAAAUCAUUAAUCUCGAUUGUAAUGGUGUGCAUGCCACUAAACAAUGAAACUGUGGCCUCGAUAUAAUUCAACGUUAGCUCACCAAUUCUAUAGCCUACUAAAAAUGCUGAAGGGAUUCCACUCAUUCCAGGUAGACUUCCCAACUCUGAAGGGAUACUUUCAUCAAGAUUGUUACUUGAGAGAUCAAGAAUUCGGAGUCUACUUCCGUUGUAGAAAGAGUUGGACGGCAAUGAGCCAUGUAGUGAGUUGUUACGUAAACUCAGAACCUGAAGGCUGGAUGAUGGUGAAAUUAAAUAAUCUGGAAAAUAACCUGUAAUGUUGUUGUCAUCUAGAUCAAGAUAUUCAAGGUUUACAGCCUCACUGAGGGUCCUAGGAAAACUUCCAGAGAACUUAUUUUUCCCCAGUGCAAGAAAACUAGUUCCACUAAAAAGUGACACGGGAAUGUCACCAGAUAGUUCAUUAGAGGAGAGAUCAACAUAUGCUGGGGCAUAAUAAGAUCCGAAAACCGGGAGUGUUUUGCCAGAGAGUCUGUUUCUUGACAAGUCUGGUAGCAUUAGAAAAGUGAUAUCUCCAAUGGACUUCGGGAUUGCCCCUGAAAAAUUGUUUCUAGAGAGCAUCAGUACCGUCAUCUUUAAAGCAUGACCAAUAUUUUGUGGCAACUCCCCUGAAAAAUUGUUCCUUGAAAGAUCCAAUAUGGAUAAAUUUUGAGACUGAAAAAGGGGAAAGGGUAUUGACCCAGUUAGUUGGUUCCGUGAGAGUAGUAGAGUUUCAAUUUUCAUCUCUGCCAUCCAAAGUGGAAAGUUUCCUGUGAGCUGAUUAUCACUCAGUUCGAGUAAAUUAAGAUUCUUUUGAGUAGAAAUCCAUUCUGGAAUGUCUGCAGAAAUUUUACAUGAUCUGAGAGAGAGUUGUGAAAGCAUACACUUGGGAACUAUUUUGACGUUGUUAUUCCAUAUGAACUUGUUUCCUCCAAGAUACAAAUUCUUCAAACUCUCAAUGUCAAACAACCAGGAUGGAAUUUCUCCUGAAAGCAUGUUAUCUUCCAGCUCAAGUGUUUCCAAUUUGCUCAAGUUCCGUAUUGAUGGUGGGAUUAAUCCUGUGAAACUGUUCCCACUCAAUUUCAAAAUGGAAAUGUGGAACAAGGUUCCAAUCCAAUCCGGAAUAGGCAUCUCUAAAUGAUUAUAACUCACGUCCAAUAUUUCCAAUCCUUUCAAAUUGAGAAUUGACUCUGGAAUCGGACCCAAAAAUUUGUUCUGGCUGACAGAAAAUUGCUGCAAUCUGGUGAGAUUUCCUAUCUGAACAGGGAUAUUACCAUCAAUAGAAUUCCGAUCCAACUUCAAUGACCUUAAAUUUUCAAGCUUGCCAAUUUCUCUACUUAAACCAUCCUUUAAUGAGUUGUCACUCAAAUCAAGACUCUGCAGAAACCACAACUGGAAGAGUUGUGGUGGGAUUGAGCCAUUAAGAAGAUUCCGACUCAUGUCGAGGUGAAUUAGUUUUGUGAGAUUAGCCAACCCUUCACCAGAAAUUUCGCCUUGUAUAUAAGUGUUGGAGACAUUAAGAAACCUUAAGGAUCUAAUGCCAUAAAUGGGGUCCAAUAUCUGUACAUUCACCGCGUUGUAUUCAUUAUGGAUAUAGAGAUCGCCAAGGUAUAGAGCUGUUAUGUCCCGAGAAUGAGAACUGCAAACAACUCUAGUCCACUUACAACAGUCAGAAAUGGAGUCCCAUGACUCCAAGCCAAAGACCGACGAGUUUGAGGUGUCGUAGCUGGUCAGCAAGGAGGAUUUGAAGUGAAGAAGGAAUUGUUUCUGAUAAGCAGGACAACAUAAGCAAGGCACGAGCAAGAAAAUCAAAGGCAACUGCAGAAAUCCAUUCUGGAAUGUCUGCAGAAAUUUUACAUGAUCUGAGAGAGAGUUGUGAAAGCAUACACUUGGGAACUAUUUUGACGUUGUUAUUCCAUAUGAACUUGUUUCCUCCAAGAUACAAAUUCUUCAAACUCUCAAUGUCAAACAACCAGGAUGGAAUUUCUCCUGAAAGCAUGUUAUCUUCCAGCUCAAGUGUUUCCAAUUUGCUCAAGUUCCGUAUUGAUGGUGGGAUUAAUCCUGUGAAACUGUUCCCACUCAAUUUCAAAAUGGAAAUGUGGAACAAGGUUCCAAUCCAAUCCGGAAUAGGCAUCUCUAAAUGAUUAUAACUCACGUCCAAUAUUUCCAAUCCUUUCAAAUUGAGAAUUGACUCUGGAAUCGGACCCAAAAAUUUGUUCUGGCUGACAGAAAAUUGCUGCAAUCUGGUGAGAUUUCCUAUCUGAACAGGGAUAUUACCAUCAAUAGAAUUCCGAUCCAACUUCAAUGACCUUAAAUUUUCAAGCUUGCCAAUUUCUCUACUUAAACCAUCCUUUAAUGAGUUGUCACUCAAAUCAAGACUCUGCAGAAACCACAACUGGAAGAGUUGUGGUGGGAUUGAGCCAUUAAGAAGAUUCCGACUCAUGUCGAGGUGAAUUAGUUUUGUGAGAUUAGCCAACCCUUCACCAGAAAUUUCGCCUUGUAUAUAAGUGUUGGAGACAUUAAGAAACCUUAAGGAUCUAAUGCCAUAAAUGGGGUCCAAUAUCUGUACAUUCACCGCGUUGUAUUCAUUAUGGAUAUAGAGAUCGCCAAGGUAUAGAGCUGUUAUGUCCCGAGAAUGAGAACUGCAAACAACUCUAGUCCACUUACAACAGUCAGAAAUGGAGUCCCAUGACUCCAAGCCAAAGACCGACGAGUUUGAGGUGUCGUAGCUGGUCAGCAAGGAGGAUUUGAAGUGAAGAAGGAAUUGUUUCUGAUAAGCAGGACAACAUAAGCAAGGCACGAGCAAGAAAAUCAAAGGCAACUGCACAAGUAGUUUGAUCAUGCUUAGGGGCUUGGCCAUUGUGUUUUAUCUGUCUUGUUCUUGUGAAAUGGAGCUGGUUAUUCUAUAUCAUAGAUGGCUGAUAAGUUUUCAUUUUCUUUGUUAGAAAAUCAUCUAUGUUGAGUUGACAUGGAGAGGAUUUCUAAUAACGAAUGACAGACUAGAUCUUAGUAAUCUGUUAAUUUUAUUACAGAUUAAUAAGCUAGUAAUAACACACUUGACAAUUUUUAACAAUCUGAAACAUCACUGAUAGUGAUAUCUGUGUAAAAACUCUGAAGCCAUAUCAAACAUCAUUAUGCAGAAAUAAUUGACAUAUAUUUAUAUUAUUUGCUUGAGACCUGUUCUUAGCUAGCUGACGAUGUUACUGAGUUGAACUAAAUUUACAAAGGGAUCAGUGCCGGACAACAAGAUACCAAAGGUAUCUUAACAAUUAAACCAAGAGGAGAUUCUUAAGAUUUAUAUCCAGAGCAAAGAUUAAGAGAUUCUUAAUAAUUCCUGUGGCACAGGCAUUCCAGUUCCGCCCAAGUUGUACACACGUAAACAAUCAACACUCUUUAUUGAUAAAUAAAACCCCGUUUAAUAGAACAAGUUGGACAUACGUAUACAAUCAACACUCUCUAUUAAUAAAUAAAAUUUCUUUUAAUAGAGUAUAUACACUUGUGAAGCAUGAAAAUGAAAGACACAACUAAUUUGCUCAGGCUUCCUGUUCUCUUCAUGGUUGUGUUUCUUUUGGUCUUUUACUACAGAGUUGCUAAUAACGUAACUAAUAUAUAUGUAUAACACAACGUAACUAAGAUGAUAAUAUUGAGUGGGAUAAUAUUUUUUAAGUCGCCGUGUGAGUCAACUGAGAUUUAUAUCAUAUAUGCUCUGCAUAGCAGUAACUAAUCAAUACCCAAGAACAUUUCAUCAGCUCACCAACUGACUCAUUGUCGUGGAAGACAAGGUACUUGACAAAUGAGACCUAAGAAUACGCAGAAUGGAAAGAAAACACAUUACAGGACAUUCCUACAACAAUAUUACAGGACAUUCCUACAACAAUAUUACAGGACAUUCCCACAACAAUUUAAAUAAUGUUGACAGUAGAUCUUAUCUCCGCUAUAAUUCUCUGGCCCUCAUUGCAGAUAAGAAAAGCUGCAAUGCUCGACGGUCGACCAAGCAAUCAAGAUGCUGACAAGUACUUUGAGUGGAACAGUACAAUUAUGCACUUGCAAUAUGCAACUGGCAGAAGGUAGCAUAGUUAUGACUCUCAUGUUGCAAGAAUUUCAGCCCAGGCUGUGAUUUCGACAAGUAAAGCUUAAUUCAGAAUGGUUGAUGGAUAGUUGGACACUGAUUGUAUCAGUCCUGUAUUAAGACUCCUGUUAUUAGGGCCCAUUUGUUCUUGCUUAUUUUUCAAGUUUCCGAGCUUAUAAAUCAAAAACAGCUUAUUCGUACCGUUUGUGUCAAGAACUUAUUAGUCAAAUUUCUGACUUAUAAGUGAAUCUGACAAGUUGAAAAUUCUAAUUUUUUUAGUUACUUAUUUUUAUUUUUGAAAUUUAAUUUUACAAAAAAUGUACAGGACCCCUAAUUUAUAAUAUGUUUUUAUUAUAUUAAUAAUUUUAUACUCAAUAAGUUGUAAAUAUCAAAAAAUUAUCCAAACACAUAAAUUAAAAAUUAAUUUUCACUUAAAAUUAACUUCUCGUAUAUAAACAAUAAGCACUUCUCUUGCAGGAAAAAUGAUUUCUUAGCAUGUAUAUUUCAUGGAAUUUAUGAUGCUACCUUAAAAUUUCUUAUCAUUUCCUACUAUAGACACCAUAUAUAUUUAUAUUGGGGUUAAUUAUCAAUCGGAUCAUUUAUUCCGGCUCAAUGUAUCAUCCGCAUCUUUGCGAAAUUUUUGACAGACUAACGAUUGCAUUCCAGUAAAUCAAAUAAAAAAAGCUUACGGUAGCAGUUGAGGUGAAAAAAUAACAGCUACUUUUGCUAACUAUAUAUUCCACUUCACUUCAUUCCUCAGUAAAUAUAAGUGUGUGUACCCGGCGUUUUAGACUUGUACUGAAAUUAAAAACUUAAUACUACUUUCUAGUGUUAUUAAUAUAAAAAUUUUUGUCAUAUUUUUUUUGUAUUUGAUUUAUUUACUUUCUAAUUUUAUUAAUAGAAAAUCUCUUUUUUUUUGUAUUUGAUUUAUUUACUUUCGAGUUUUACUGGAAUUGAAAGAAUCAAGAGCUGCAAAGUUUAAAUAAAAUGUAAAGACAAGCAUAGAUACUUAAGUUAAAUUUAACAUCUAUUUUGAUUUGAUUUAAUGGCAUGUAAUUGUUAGUCUGAUGAGUGGUUUAUGUGAGACCAAAAAUUUCGCAGUGAUCACUAAGGUUGUGUUUGGUUGGGAUGAAUGAAUUUUAGUAGGAAUGGAAUGAAGGUGUGAAUGGAAUGGUGGGAGAAUGGAAAGAAGGUUGAAUGGAAUGAUCAUUCAAGGCUUUUGUUUGGUUCAUUCUUUUGGGUGGAAUGGAAUGAAGCAUUCCAUUCAUUUUAGUUGUUUGGUUAGUCAAAGGAAUGGAAUGGAUUUAAUAAAAUAAAUUAUUUAUUUACAAAAAAAAAUUAUUUUUUUAAAUUUAAAAAUAAACAUCAUGUGUGAAAUAGCAAAUUAAAUUAUAAAUGAAAUAAUAUCACCAAAAUAAUACAAAAAGAAAUCCAAAAUAUUUAGUUGAAAGAUAACAACUUUCUACUGUUAUCAAAGCAUUAAACACUGGCUUUAUGGAGUUACCAAAUAGUUACCAAAUAUAGUUGGUGAAAUGUGUCAAAUGUUAAUAAAAAGUGCAGGAAUGACAUAAACAAAAUAUGGUCUCAAAUCUCCUUGUUUAGAAUAGCAUUCAGCAAAACAGUUUUUUCUGCGGCUGGUGCUUCAAAAAAUAGUAUCAUCAAGUCUUCAUCACUGGCUAUUCUCUUUGCAACUUGAAGUUUCUGGAGCACUUCGAGUUCUGGAAUCUUUGAAAGUUCUUGAUUGAGUUGUUUCUUUUUCUCCCGCAUAUCUUCUUCAGCUGCGAUGAGGAGUUUAGUGGAAGCCUCAAACUGAUUUGCGAGCCUGUCUGAAGCAGCAUAGACAGCCUCUAACAAUGCAUCUGCAUUUCCUCUUUUUCUUUUCUUCAUGCUUGUCGACUCGUCAGAAUGUGUGACUGGUUGAGCUUCCUGGACUGAUAGUUCAUCUGCAGCCUCAGUAUUAAGUUCUUCCACAACAUCAGCAAGAUUUUCUGCUAGAUUUCCGGUUGCUCUAUCUUUUCCAAAGAUAGUACAGAGUUCUGUGAACCAUGGCAUAGAUGUAGUCUGCCAUUUAGAUGAUCCUGGGUGAACCUACGAUAAAAAUUAGAUACUAAGAUAAAACAACAAAGUUAAAUUAUCUAGGAAUCCUUUUUCUGGGCAGCUGACUAUAUAAAUCAAUGAGAUGAGUUAUCCGCUAAAAGUUCUGAUCACCCUUUUAACAAGGUGCAGGCCAUUAAACUAUAUUUGUAACCUUUACACAAUUCAGCUCUAACUAAUUUAACACCUUCUUGUAGAAUAUUUAUAUUAAGUUAGAUGACUAGUGUGUGUAUUAGUAAAUCCUAGUUGACCUCUUCUGCUAUUUGUCAUUCUUGUAGUUUUAAAUGUGCUACCGGAAAAUUUAACCUAUAGUCAAUAUCAGAACUUAUCAGAACUAAAAGGCCUCGCAAAAAUAGAUGUACAUGAAAAAAAAUCUCCUGCUUAACUCCACAAAAAAAGAUGUUGCUUUUUGUUAGCUAAGUACAAGUGAACAAGCCAGAUUAGAAUCAUGUAGCUAAAAUAACAUGUCUUACCCAUCUCAUAUAUCCUUGGUUUAAUUGCCUGGAGAGUAGCAACAUAGAUUAUAGUUUAUACCAUAAUACAUGACGCUAGACAUGUUUUUUGGCUUUAAGGACAUAAACUACUAGUCAUGCAUUCACACCAAAAAAAAUUACAAAAAUAAAAUCCUAUUAAGCAGCAAAGCUAACUACAAAGUACAGUCUACAAGAAUAAUGCACAAAUGAUGUGUGGCUUAAGCAGAUAGAGGUUGUUUAUCAGAGAAAACAGAGUUCACAACUUUACAUUUCACCAGCUAACUUGUAUCUAGUUAGUGGAAGCCGUGCCAUACUGCAUAUGAUCAGAUUUGAUCCUUUGAGGAUAUUUAUCAAACAUACAGGUACAUAAAUAUAUACAAAAUACACACAACUGCAGAUAUACCGAGCAAUACACAUUAACUUCUACGAAUUCUAUUCAGAAUCUCAGAACAUUAACUUCGACAGAUUGUACACAUCUCUAAACAACCACAAACAGGUUUACACAUCUCGAAUUUCAUUCAAAUCUGAUUUGAAACGAAAUAGCAAAGCGUAUAUACAUACAAUAAACUAGGCUGCAUUUAUAUAUGUAUGAACAAACAACAAUCAUCUCUAAACAACCAAAAAUCAACUAUGAACACACAAGAUGCGAAAUCAAAACUAGAUCGAUUUUACCUGGUAAGAGAAAUCGACCGUGGUUUAAAAUGGAGGAAUCGACUGUAUGAUGCCUAUGAAGAAGAAGAGCUUGUGAUAGCAAUAAUGGAGACUGAAAUGAGAGCAGCCAUGGAGAGAGAGCGAGAUGAGGGCAGCAGCGAGGAGAGCGCGAUGACGAGAGCAAUUGACGAGCUGCGACGAGAGAGAAAAAUGAGCGUGACUGAUAUAAUUUGGGGGAGAAAGGAAUGGGCUUAUCCAUCAGUUUUAAUCAGGAAAGUGUUUUAAAUUUGACCGAUGGAAAGGAAUGAACCAAAGAAUGGGCCAUUCCAUUCCUUGGCCCAACCAAACAACAGAUUUUUUUUCUGGGCUGAAUGAGCCAUUCUAUUCCAUCCGGAUCUUAUUCCUUUCCCACCAACCAAACAGAGCAUAAAUCUCUUCCUCUCCACCCCAUCUCUUACCUAAAUUUCUUAUAUCUACUAUUUAAACACUUAUUAUUUUCGGAUUUUCGGUUGUUGCUAUGAGUUCGAAUGUUGAUUCCGAACGUUGUCCUAUUGACCAUGAUGGUAAUCGCUUGGAGGAUGGCGCUUUCUUGUAACCAGCUAAAUAUUAUUGUGGUAAGAGUCAAGGUCAAAGGAGUAGGAAUAUAAAAUAACAGACAAUACGGAGUCGUUUUGAUUAUUAACAGUAGCAUCAACUUGGGAUCAUGUGCCUAACAGUUGGAGAAAAGAAGCCAAUAGAAUUAAGCCAGGUGUCCAGUAGGGAGCUUAAAAGUUGGAGUUGUCACAUGGGAGAGCAUCUUGGAAAAUCUGAUGUAUAGCAGUCCUUCUUUUGUAUUUUCCUUCCAGUAUUAUCUUGUCCAGUACUCCAUCUUUAUUUCAGUUUAGUAUGCAAAUUGAGAUUUCUAUUCUGUUUUAGUUGCUUGUUUUUGUUACUUUUGCUUCUUCACUAUAACAAGCUGGUUACAAAGUGGUAUCAGAUCCACCGUUCCUUGGCUAAAUCAUGGCUGAGGGCACUCGAUUUAGAGAGCUUGACACUAGGAUGGGUGCCCAUGAGUUGAAGUUAUCGGAGUUGAAUGAUGAGUUGACAAAAACCGGGACUGAAGUCACUCAUCAAUUCACAGAUAUGAAUGUUAAGAUGGACAAAAGAAUGGAGGGUUUUGGAGCAAGGAUGGACAAAAUGGACAGCAGCUUUGUAGAGCUCAAACAGCUCAUUUUGGGGUUGCAACUCACCAAAUCUAGAGAGGCUUCCAAUGAUGUUGAGAUAAAGGAUGCCUCUAAUGGAAUGGGUCCUGCAAAAAGAUCUGAGGUAAAUAAUUCGACUCUCUUCUCACAUCCAUUUACCACACAACCACCCAACAUUCAGUACACCAUUCCACACACACCACCUCCUCCUCCGUUUGUCACAGGAGUUCAUUCAAGACCUCAAUUUACAUAUACACCCGCAUUUGUUCACCAUUCUAACUCUUCCCUGGGUCCAAACAUCUCAACCAUACCCAUUACUCAAUCUCAGUUCAGUUACAUUACCACAACAAACCCAACCACUAACCUGAACCAUCAAAUCGUGAUUCCUCCCUACAACCCAUAUACAUACCAGUAUCAUACACCAACUACAGGGUUUCCCAACUAUAAUGUACCACCAAGUCCCCACAACUAUAACCCAAACCACUCCCAUAAUUUCCACCCAACCCCAAGAUUGAGUUUCCUCGCUUCGAUGGUAAUGACCCCAAAGGAUGGGUUAUAAGGGCAGAGCAAUAUUUUGACUUUAUAACAGUAGAGGAUGUUAAAAAAGUCAAGUUGGCUGGGCUCCAUUUUGAAGGCAAAGCAAGCAUCUGGUUUCGAUUCUACCAUUCCACCAUAAUUAAUGUGGGUUGGAAGGCCUUUGUGACUGAUGUUACUAUACGAUUUGAAAAUCCGGAAAACAGAGAUGUGCAAGACUUAUUCAACAAACUCAGUCAAUUAACCACAGUGACCGAUUAUGAAGAUAAAUUUGAGGAGUUAAGGUCACUAGUUGCAGGCAGAAACAAGGGGUUUACUGAGGAAUACUUUGUGUCCAGCUUCAUAAGUGGCCUCAAGGACCAUAUUAAGACGACAGUGGGAAUGUUUCGACCACAAAUAUUAGUGGAUGCAAUCUUUUUAGCCAAAUAAGAGGAAUCCAAAAUGCAGAAAUCGGUGGUGCAUACCACCAAAUACUCAAGUCCCAAACAUUAUUCCACCACUAGCAUGGCACUGGAACCCCAAACCACCAGUACUAAGUUUGUUGCAGCUGGGAAAGGAACCAAGGAAUUUAAAAAGUACAUGUCUACUUUGAGUAGUAAAGAAAUCUUAGAACGUAGAGAGAGGGGCUAGUGCUUUCACUGUGAUGACCCAUAUCAUCCUGGACAGGCUUGUAAAGCCAAGUUAUACGCACUCAUGGGUGAAGAGGUUGAGGAAGAGGUGAAGGACAUUAUAGAUGAAAUGGAGAAAUUGUUAGAAGAGCCAGCAAACCCGAGAGAAAUAUCGAUCAAUACGUUAUCUGGAAACCAAUCAGCCAGCACCAUCCAGCUACAAGGUAGCAUCAAGGGCAAGAGGGUGAAUAUAUUAAUUGAUAGUGGCUCAACACAUUCUUUCAUUGAUGCCGGAAUUAUAAAACAAAUGGGAGCAGUAGCCGAAGUAGACGCCCCAUUAUUGGUCCAUGUUGCAGAUGGGUCAAAAGUUGUGGUAGACUUCAUUUGCAAGAAUUUACAAGUGCUGAUUCAAGGUCACACAUUCAACCAUGAUUUAAGAGUGUUUCCUUUGGGAGGUUCUAACGUGAUUUUGGGAGUUGAGUGGCUUAAAAUUCACAAUCCAAUCACCUUUGACUUCUGCUCAUUGAAAGUCUCCUUAUGCAAAGAUGGUCGAAGGAUCGACUUACAAGGUGAAAAACAAACCGGGGAAAUAUCAGCCAUUAAUGGAAAAUGGUUAUUUAAAAUGCUCAGAAAUUCAAAAGGCUUAGCCCAAGGUUACAUAUGUAUGAUGACAGCAAGCAAAAAGGAAAGCUCGGUAAAGAAAAACACCACUGUGCAUCCUGAAUUACAACAAAUUGUGCAGGACUUCAAGGGAGUUUUUGCCGAACCAAAUGGCCUCCCUCCAGUUAGAAGGUGCAACCACAAAAUACCACUCUUACAAAGGUAGCCAACCUGUAAAUCAGAGAGGUUACCGAGUGCCAUAUAUACAGAAAACAGAAAUCGAGAGGCAGAUUAAAGACAUGCUUAAGACAUGCAUUAUACAAGAAAGUUGCAGUCCAUAUGCUUCGCCUAUAAUACUGGUGAAAAAGAAGGAUGGGAGCUGGAGACUCUGCGUUGAUUACAGGAAGUUGAAUGAGAUAACAAUAAAGAACAAAUAUCCAAUUCCGUUGAUAGAUGAAUUGUUGGAUGAGCUUAAUGGUGCAAGCUGGUUUACAAAACUGGAUAUAAGAUUCGGGUAUCACCAGAUCAGAGUGGCACCGGAGGACAUACAUAAAACUACUUUCAGAACACAUCAAGGACUCUACGAAUUCAAGGUGAUGCCGUUUGGGCUCACAAAUGCCCCGGCCAGUUUUCAGUCACUUAUGAAUUCAGUGUUUCAGGCCUUCUUGAGGAAAAGUGUUCUAGUUUUUUUUGAUGAUAUUCUUGUUUACAACAAGACAUUAUCAGAACAUAAGGUGCAUCUCAGGGCUGUGUUAGAAUUAAUGAAGCAACACGAGUUAUAUGCGAAAGAAAGCAAGUGCGUUAUUGGGAAGCAACAACUUGAGUACUUGGGACACAUAAUUUCGGCAGAAGGGGUGUCCACUGACCCAGACAAAGUGGCUGCAAUGAAGAAUUGGCCUAUUCCCACUAGUAUUAAGCAACUUAGAGGGUUUCUUGGGUCGACAGGGUAUUAUCGACGGUUCGUUAAAGGAUAUGGGGAAAUCAGUCGACCCUUGACAAGUUUGCUGAGAAAGGGUGCAUUUACAUGGGGAGUAGAAGCUACGAAAGCGUUUGAACAACUCAAAACAGCCAUGAUCUCCACUCCAGUGCUAGCUUUACCAGAUUACACCAUUCCCUUUAUUCUAGAAACAGAUGCUAGUGCCUUGGGGGUAGGUGCGCUUUUGAUGCAACGAGGAAGACCCAUAGCAUUCAUGAGCAAAGGAUUAUCGUCAAAGCAUCAAGGUCUGUCCACUUAUGAAAAAGAACUGCUAUCGAUAGUACUUGCCACUCAAAAAUGGUAUGCAUAUUUACAAGGACAUCAUUUUGUUAUAAAAACUGACCACCAGUGCCUGAAAUACUUACUUGAGCAGAGGUUGUCCACUCUCCUGCAACAAAAAUGGUUGGCUAAACUACUGGGGUUAGAUUAUGAGAUAGUGUAUAAGAAGGGUACAGAGAACCGAGUCGCAGACGCGCUCUCUAGAUUACCAGGAGAAGUAAACACAGGAGAGAUUUCUGCAAUAUCUCAGUUGAAACCGGGAUGGACACAAGAAGUCUUGGACAGUUAUUGUGGGGAUAAAUCGACUCAAGAGAUCACGAAAGGGGUUGUUACUGGUGAAACGGCGUACGCGCAAUAUGAGUACACUCAAGGCCUCCUCCGAGUAAAUGGGAGAAUUUAUGUGGGAAAUGCCGGAACUCUCAAGAAAGACUUGAUUAAAGAACUGCAUGAUGAACCUAUCGGAGGACAUUCUGGACAAGAGGCCACUAUUAAGAAAUUGUCGCAAUUUUUCUUUUGGCCUAAGAUGAAAGAUGAGGUAAUCGAAUAUAUCAAAAGUUGUGAUCUCUGUCAGCGCCUGAAAACGGGUAACAAAUUUCCAGGAGGGUUACUGCAGCCCCUUCCAAUUUCGGAACAAAUAUGGCAAGAAAUCUCUAUGGAUUUCAUUGAGGGACUACCUCAAUCUGGGGAUAAGAACUACAUUAUGGUGGUUAUCGACCGUAUGACAAAAGUAGGUCACUUUAUUGCAUUGGCUCAUCCUUUUACAGCAACAACAGUAGCUCAGGUGUUUCUUGAUAACAUUUAUAAAUUGCAUGGGCUACCCAACUCCAUUGUAACUGACCGAGAUAAACUAUUUACAAGCCACUUCUGGAAGGAGUUGUUUAAAUUAGUUGGUAUGAAACUUAACAUUAGCACCUCCUACCACCCUCAAGUGAUGGACAAACGGAACGAUUAAACAGGUGCGUGGAGCACUACUUGAGAGCCAUGACGAGUCACAGGCCUCACAAAUGGGCUAAGUGGUUAGCGUUAGCGGAAUGGUGGUAUAACUGCAGUUAUCACAGUGCUAUUAAGAUGACUCCGUUUGAAGCCUUGUAUGGCGUACAACCCCGACAAAUGUUCUUGAAACCUGCUAGUACUUCUGUUGUUGGUGUUGUCAAAGAAUUCCAAGUUCAAAGGGAAGCUAUGAACCAGUUUUUGAAGGAAUCUAUUGUUGUUUGCCAGAAUAAAUACAAACAGUUUGCUGACAAGAAGAGGAGGGAAGCAACCCUGGAAGUAGGAGAUUGGGUGUUUCUAAGACUACGACCCUACAGACAAUUAUCAGUGGCCGUGAGGAAAAACAUGAAGUUAGCGCAUAAAUAUUUUGGGCCGUAUCAAGUGACAGAAAAGAGAGGAGAGGUGGCAUAUAGAUUUAAAUUGCCUGAAGGAAGCAAGGUCCAUCCAGUAUUCCAUAUUAGCCUUCUGAAGAAAAAAAUUGGGUCACACUUUACAGCAACUACAAGUCUGCCACACUUGGGACAUAAAGGUCAGUUUUUAGCAUAUCCGGUCAAGGUGCUGCAGAGGGGGAGUAUUAAGAGGAGCAACGCGACAGUGGUCAAUCACUUGUGCAAUGGUCAAAUGCUAUUCCUGAAGAUGCAACAUGGGAGGAUGCUCGCACAGUCAUGCAGCAAUACCCAGAGUUCAACCCGAACAUUGAUUCCUGAGGACAAGGAUUUUUUUGAGAGAGAGACAUUUGUAAACAACUAAAUAUUAUUGUGGUAAGAGUCAAGGUCAAAGGAGUAGGAAUAUAAAGGAACAGACAAUACGGAGUCGUUUUGAUUAUUAACAGAAGCAUCAACUUGGGAUCAUGUGCCUAACGGUUGAAGAAAAGCAGCCAAUAAAAUUAAGCCAAGUGUCCAGCAGGGAGCUUAAAAGCUGGAGUUUUCACAUGGGAGAGCAUCUUGGAAAAUCUGAUGUUUAGCAAUCCUUCUUUUGUAUUUUCCUUCUAGUAUUAUCUUGUCCAGUACUCCAUCUUUAUUUCAGUUUAGAAUGCAAAUUGAGAUUUCUAUUCUGUUUUAGUUGCUUGUUUUUGUUACUUUUGCUUCAUCACUAUAACAAGCUGGUUACAUUUCUUCUCAGGAGCACCCGUUGCCAUUCGUGGGGAUAUUUUUCAAGAAAUAAUGUCCGGAUCUGGGAAAGAUGUUGAAGGUCAACAUCUUAAUGCUGAUUUUCUUGAUGGGUCUUGGGUGAAACAGAUUGCGUUGGGUGGGGGGAUCCCUGUAGUUGAACGUGUGGAGAUAGAGGAUGUCGCUGAGGGAUACUCUAGUGAGGAUGUUGGAUCGCCAAGGGCUGUGCAAGAUGCCUCGAUUUCGGCUACUGUUCAAGUCAUUCUUAGGACAUCCAAGCAUGAGCGGGAUGCUCUCCACUCUACCAGGAGGAAGUUGGGGGAGGUUCUGCCGUUUCUCAUAAAGAAGGGUUUUAGUGAAGAACAGGUGCUUGUCGAGAUUAACUCUGAGUGUUAGGUCCUGUAAACUCACUAUAUAAUAUGAUAUAGUGAUCACAAUCUGUAACACAGUAAGACAAUAUGAGUAAUUGGAAUCAAUAAACUCUUAUAUUCACAAAGCUUUGAUGGUUACAAAAACUCUCUCAUUGAUUGUAUCACUAAGAGCUGCUAGGGUUCUAAACAAUAUACUCGAUAACUCAACUCAUAUAGAGUAACCUUAAUCUGUGUUUAUAUAGACACAGUUACAAAAUCAAUCUCUGAUUUGAUAUCCUAUAAAUCAGCUAAUAAAUCUAUCAAUCAAAGAUUGCUCCAGUUUUCUGUUUAGUUUCCAUAGUCAGCAAAUCACUCCUCAGCUUCUAUCCUUCCUUGAAGUAUAUCCGCUUCUGAGCUCUUUCCACGUGUAAACUCUGACGAGUCUUGACUAUGUAAACUCUGAUCAGACUUUAUUAAACUCUGUCAGACUUUGCUAAACUCUGAUCAGCUUCCAGUUUAAACUCUGAUGAUUCCUGUUCUAAAACAAACUUUAAGAACAUUAGUAAUCAUCAAUUAUAUCUAACAAUCUCCCCCAACUUGUGCAUAAAUAAGUUAUGUGCAAGUUAACAGAUAAUUGAUGAUGUCAAAACAAAUAAGUCAAAUGCAACAGAGUUUAACUAAUUAUAACAGAAAACUUUUAACACUUACAGAUACUCUUCUCCUUAGCUGCAUAGACACCAUUUGCUGUCUUUAGAUACUCUCUGAGGAGUUCUUUUUCAGCAUCAUCAAGCACUGUAAUCAUUUGUCUCUUGAUCUCUCUCAAUUCUGGAUCUGAAACUCCAGUUUGAUAAAUUGCAGCUCUGAGAUCAUAGAUCUUGUUCUUCUUCAAGUCUCUAUCCAGCCUUAUAUUGUAAGCUUUAUCAGACUCUUCGGGAAUGAAAGGUCCAUAUCUCAAUUCCUCCCAGUGUUUAGCAUAGAGAUCUGCUUCAAGUACUCUAAGCACUGUUCCAUCAGACAUGAAGUAGAUAAGAAUAUUAUCUCCUCUGUCAUUCUUUGCCAACUGAACUGAAUCAAGUUUUUCCAUUUUGUCUUGCAAUACUCCAGUCUUGGGAGCACAGAGAGAUGAGGGGUCAUCUGGUCUUGAUCCUAUACUCUGAUCAAAUUUUUCAUAUUUGGAUCCCAGCCCUCCUUUAUCUCUUCCUGCUUUACGAUGAGAGAUUGGUUGAAUUGGUCCCUUUUCAAAGCUUAUCUCAGUCAUCAGACUAGGCUUUGCAAAUCCAGCUAAUGGAGUAGUUGUUGGUUUGAACACAGCUUGAGCUUUGUCAGAGGUUGUGUCUUUCUUUGCAUCCUUAUUAACUUGAGCUAUGUCAGAGGUUAAUCUUUCUUUUUGGUGUUCUGCAACAUGAGCUUUGUCAGAGAUUGCAGCUUCUGUCUUCUUUUCCUUUACAACUUGAUCCUUGUCAGAGGUUGUAGACUUCUUCUUAUCCCAGCCUUUCUCCAGAUGUUCAUCUACUUUGCUUUUACCCUUGGAGGUGUAUUCAUCUUCAGAGUAUACCUUUUUGACUGGUAAACUCUGAUCAGCAACAGUAGCUUCCUUGAUCAGUAUUCCUUUUUCUUUUGGCUUGGUAGUUGACUUUGCAGGCUUUUGGAUCUUUCCAGAGUUUAUGGCUUCAAUAUGUUCCUUUUUCAGCUCAGCUUCCUCUGCAGCAAUCAACUCCAAAUCCAAAUUUGCUUCUGGAUUUUCUUGUUCAAAAACCAAUCUAGCAAGCUCUUCAUCAGUCAUGGGUUUGUCUGAUCCAGUCACUGGUCUUUGCUUAGAUCCAGAUGUGAUGUUGUGAGUUGGACCAGACUUUGUGCUUUGCUUAGAUUGUUUCUGACUGUCAGAGUUUGAAACUCUUCCACCAGUCCCUGCUUGAAAUCUCUUGUGCUUUGUGAAAUCAUCAGCAUCAUCAUCAUCAUCCUUCUUCUUCCUCUUCAGAGUUUGAGUAGUAGACUUGCAUUUGACUUGAGCUACUCUCUCCCCCUUUUUGACAUCAUCCUCAUCAGGAAUCAGUAUGGAUGUGAUCAGAGAAAGUGAUGAUUGGAUGGCUUCAAGCUGUUUGGACAUCUUCUCUUGAGUUGAUUCAAUCAUGGUCAUCCUCUUGUCCAGAGAUUCAUUGGCAGUCACCAGCUUCUGUACAUUCUCUUUCAGAGGUAGCAUGGUCCUUUUCUUUUCCAGUUCAUUUGUCUCCUUGACAUUUGCCACCUCUGUUCUUAGACCAUCUAUUGAUUUAGAUGUCUGGGCAUGAGCAGGAUGAAAUGUCUUCAGAUAGAGAAUUGUGCCUUUGAGGCUUGACAUAACAUCAGAGUUUGAAAUUUUAUUUUCUGCCAUAGCUAAGAAUUCUUCAGCUUUAGGUGUCUCCAGGGAAUGCUGGUGGCUCAGCCAGAGUUUAUCCCAGACUUCAUUUGGUGGAUCAACCUGAAGAUCCUUGGGAAGUGGCUCAGAGUUUGUAUUCAGAGUUUGUAGCCUUGCAUUGUACUGGCUAGUAGAUUCCCACUUUUGUUGUGUCAGAGGGGCUCCAUCAUUUUCAUCUUUGUCAGUAUCUGAACUGUCAUCAUCCUCAGUAUCAGAGUUUGCUUUGUCAUCAUCAGGAACAGGAUCAGCAACUUUCUCUACAGUAUCUUGAGCAGAUUUUUCUUGAGCUUCAGACUGUGAUUUGAUAGGUUCUUCACCAGUCUGAGCAAGAGACUGUAGAGCUUCCAUAGCUACUUUGUCAGAAUCAUCAACUACAUCAGACCUGUAGUUUUCUGGAGCUGUAUCAUGAACAAUGGCAUCCUCUGGAAUUUUCAUUGGAGAUUGAGGAAUUGGACCAUGAGCAGAUAAUGGAGUUUGAGAAUCAGACAGAUUUGCUCCAGCUUCAGUUGUAAUUGGUUCAUCACACUUGAUUUCUUCAUCUACUUCAGAAGAUGAAGUAGAUGCUGUAGGAGAUGUUAGAGGAACAGCUUGGAUAGGAAGCACCAUCAGAGCUUGAGAGUGUUCAGCAACUGGAGUUGAUGGUGUCUGGUCUUCCUCAACUGUGAAGUCUGUGAUUUCAGUAACUGGGAUUUUUGCUCUUGCAGGCUUUUGAGCCCUUCUUUUGAAUCUGGCUGGCUUCUGUGGACUGGCUUGAACAGGUUCAGAGGCUGGUGUAGGAGUAGAUUCAGAGUUUACAUCUUGUGCAGGUUCAAGAUCAUCAUAUUCAUAUGCUGCAACAAGCCUCCUUCUUUUCUGCUUUGGAGUAGAAGCAGCUGCAGAGUUUACUGGAACAUCAGAGUUUGGAGCCUCAGAGUUUAAAUGAGGGUCAGAGUUUAAAUGAGCCUCAGAGUAUACUGGCUCAUCAGUGUUUGUCUGCUCAUCAGUGUUUGGUUUCAGAACAUGUGUAGCAACAGAGGUUCUUGUUCUUUUUGCAGUAGAAGGGGCUGCAUCAGACUUUGCAGCCCUUUUGGACUUGGAUGCAGAAGUUCUGGGUGCUUGAGAAGAGACUGGAGAUUGUUGAUUUGCUGGAGGCAUGUUCAGUCUAUCUCUAAUUUGAGCUGGAACUUGUAACGGCCUGAGAACUGGCCUCUUUUCAUCUUUAGAGAUGAGAUCUUUGAAAGCCCUUUUAUGCAACUUAAAAGGUCUGAUCUCAUCAUCAAAUGCUACCUCUCCAACAGAUGCAUUGAACAAUAAUUGGCAAAAUCGAGAAAAAUAGACAACUUUACGAUUUUCAUUCAUUCUCUCACCAAUAUUUCUAAUAACUAAUCUACCAUAAUCGAAAUUAGUAGAAUAGAUCAGAGAAUACCCAAUUUGUAGCAUGUCCAUGGGUAUUGCAUCCCAGUUGGUAGAUUUCUUCUGGAAAGCCCUGGUUAUGCAAUCAAAGAAGAAACUCCACUCCUUCCUUAGUCCAGGACGCUUCAGUUGGCCCAAUUUGUCCAGAGAGUCAUAGUAGCCCAAGUCAGUCAUCAUGACUCUCAGAUUUGCCUCGCCAUGUGUGAUGUAGUUUGAACGUUCAGGUAGGUUAAGAGCUUGACGGACUGUGGCUGGAGUGACAGCAUACUCCUCUCCUUCGUAAGAAAAUACAAUGGAUGGAGAUCCAUCUGUACCACCAUUAUCAUAAUGACCCGUCCUCCAAAAAUUUAUAAUCUGACUACCAGAGAGUCUGGCAGGAGCUGUAAGGGCUGUGGCUAGAGCACUCUGUGCCAAGAAGCGCUGGAAAGGGUGAUAGUCCCUUGGGGCUUCAGCAGUGUCAAGGAUGGCUGCAUAGUUAUUGGGGACAAAGUCCACACCUGCAUGGGUGAAUGUAGUAGUUGCCAUUAUAUCAGAGAUUGUGAGUAGAGAUAUGUGUUUGAGAAAAUGUGUGUGAGAAGAUUUGAAUUUCAGAGAAAAGAGAGCAAGAGUUUGUGUGUAAAGAUUAAGUGUAAAAGUGAAGAAGAAGCAAUAAAAUCUGAUGAUAAACUCUUCAGAUUUUGUUUAGCUGUACACGCUUGGCUUCUGUGUUCACUUGGACACCUGUCAGAUUUUAACUGGUAGUUGAAUGUUAGUGGGAUAGAGAAACGAGAGUAAUAAUCAUGAGCGCAGUAAAACAUGUGCGGUAGUAACUGCUAAUUACACGUUCUCCUAUGAAAAUGUUUUUCAUGCAAACCCACUAACGAUACACCCGUUUGAAAUACUCCUUUCAUAUUCUCUGAAUAUUUGAACUCCUGUAAUGUACAAGAUAUUAAAAAUCAAGAUGAAAUCUCUCGAAUUUUAAACUCUGAGAUUUUUAUCAAAGAAAAUAAAUUUCUAAGUACCUCAGAAUAAAGACAUAAUUUCCAGAAUAUUCAUCAAUAAAUCAGAGUUUGUCCUAGAAUCCAUAGCUCAAUAAUGUGCUUGUGAAAUAAUGUGUGUGAUUUAACAUAUUAAAUCAGAGACUAGAGAAUUUCACAAUUUCGUAAUUAUAAGGUAGACAAGAAUAAUUUAUUUAAACUCUCAAGUGGGAUAGAGAAACGAGAGUGUAUGGGAUGAUAAUCCCUUGGAGCUUCGGCAGUGUCAAGAAUGGCUGCGUAGUUGUUGGGGACAAAGUCCACACCUGCAUGGGUAAAUGUAGUAGUUGCCAUUAUAUCAGAGAUUGUGAGUAGAGAAAUGUGUUUGAGAAAAUGUGUGUGAGAAGAUUUGAAUUUCAGAGAAAAGAGAGUAAGAGUUUGUGUGUANNNNNNNNNNNNNNNNNNNNNNNNNNNNNNNNNNNNNNNNNNNNNNNNNNNNNNNNNNNNNNNNNNNNNNNNNNNNNNNNNNNNNNNNNNNNNNNNNNNNNNNNNNNNNNNNNNNNNNNNNNNNNNNNNNNNNNNNNNNNNNNNNNNNNNNNNNGUAACUGGUAGUUGAAUGUUACAUGCAUAUUGUGUAAAAUAGUAGCACAAAAUUGAGAUCAAGAUUAAAGAACUGAACUGAGAUUCAUGAUUACUAAUUCAUAUCAUGCUUCAUAGUAUCUUCACAGGUUUGUUUUCUCAGAGAAAUAAAAUGAGAUUAUUAAUCAAGAUUCAGAGUUUACAAACAUCAGAGUUUAUCGUCAGAGAAUGACGAUCAGAGAAUAUCAUCAGAGUAUAACACACAGAGUAUGUCAUCAGAGAAUGUCAUCAGAUUUUAACAAUCAGAGUAUAGCAUGGCAAAUUUGUGAGCAAUACAUAUGGUAAUUUGAAAGAUCUGACCAGUAUGUUUACUCAGUUCCUGAUAUCAUUCCUAGCUCAUUCACCAGUCUAGUGAAGGUUGCUUCACUUAGUGGUUUGGUGAAUAUGUCUGCUAGCUGCUGUUCUGUGGGAACAAAGUGAAGUUCAAUGGUUCCUUCCUCCACAUGCUCCCUUAUAAAAUGAUAUCUUAUACUGAUGUGCUUUGUCAGAGAAUGUUGAACUGGGUUUCCUGUCAUAGCAAUAGCACUUUGGUUAUCACAAUAAAUAGGAAUUUUAGAAAAGGAUAACCCAUAGUCCAACAGUUGAUUCUUCAUCCAAAGAAUUUGAGCACAGCAGCUGCCUGCAGCUAUAUACUCUGACUCUGCUGUUGAUGUUGAAAUGGACUUCUGCUUCUUGCUGUACCAAGAAACAAGUCUUCCACCCAGAAAUUGACAACUCCCACUUGUGCUUUUCCUGUCAAUUUUGCAACCUGCAAAAUCUGCAUCAGAGUAUCCAAUUAGACUAAAAUCUGAUUCUCUAGGAUACCAUAAUCCCAAUGAUGUGGUUCCCUUGAGAUAUCUGAAUAUCCUCUUUACUGCAAUCAGAUGAGGCUCUCUUGGAUCUGCCUGAAAUCUUGCACAUAGACAUGUGGCAUACAUAAUGUCUGGUCUACUUGCAGUCAGAUAAAGCAAAGAUCCAAUCAUUCCUCUAUAGUUUGUGAUAUCCACUGAUUCACCAGUGUCUUUGUCUAGUUUUGUUGCUGUUGCCAUAGGAGUAGUUGCAGCUGAACUGUCUUGCAUACCAAAUUUCUUCAAAAGAUUUCUGGUAUACUUGGCUUGAUUUAUAAAAAUCCUAUCUUCAGUCUGUUUAACUUGUAAACCUAGAAAAUAGCUGAGUUCCCCCAUCAUGCUCAUUUGGUACCUAGACUGCAUGAGCUUGGCAAAUCUUUGACAGAGUUUAGCAUUAGUGGAGCCAAAAAUAAUGUCAUCAACAUAGAUUUGAACUAAAAGCAGAUCAUUACCAUGAUUCAAAUAAAACAGGGUUUUAUCUAUGGUACCUCUAGUAAAUCCACUUUCAAGAAGAAAUUGAGCCAGAGUUUCAUACCAUGCCCUUGGAGCCUGCUUUAGUCCAUAAAGUGCUUUGUCCAACCUGUAGACAUAGUCUGGAUGUUUUGGAUCCACAAAUCCUGGAGGUUGUUCAACAUACACCUCUUCAUCCAGUUUUCCAUUAAGAAAAGCACUCUUGACAUCCAUCUGAAAUACUUUGAAUUUCUUGUGAGCAGCAUAGGCCAGAAAGAUUCUGAUUGCCUCCAAUCUUGCAACUGGAGCAAAUGUCUCAUCAUAAUCAAUACCUUCCUGUUGUGAAUACCCUUUUGCCACAAGCCUUGCUUUAUUCCUUGUAAUGACACCCUCACUGUCAGUUUUGUUUCUGAACACCCAUUUUGCACCAACUAUGGAUCUGUCUUUAGGUCUUGGUACUAGGGUCCAUACUUUGUUUCUCUCAAACUCAUUUAGCUCCUCUUGCAUAGCCUGAAUCCAGUCAGCAUCUUGAAGAGCUUCCUCCACUUUCUUAGGUUCAGUUUGUGACAGAAAGCAAUGAUGUAAACACUCAUUUGCUGUAGCUAUCCUUGUUUGCACACCUGCUUCUGGAUUGCCAAUUAUUAAAUCAGGUGUGUGAGAUUUUGUCCACUUCCUAGCAUGUGGAAGUUGACCAUUUUCAUCAUUGGAUCCUCCCCCUUGAUCCAUGCUCUCCUGAUUCUGUUGAUUAUUCUCUGUAGCUCCCCUAAGUUUGUGCUAUCAGAGUUUGAAUCAGUAUUCUCUGAUGAGUUUGAGUCAGCAUUCUCUGAGGAAUCUUGGGUAGAGUCUGAAACAUUCUGAUGCUCCCCCUCAGCAAGUGCUUCAUCAUCAUGAACUUGUAAAUUUUCAUCAGAGUUUGCUGUAUUUUGUUCACAGUCAGAGUUUGACUGUUCAUCAGAGUUUGUCGAAUCAGAGAAUAUUUCUUCAUUUUCAAAAUGCAGUUUUUCAUGAUCAUCCAUAUCUGUUAAGCCCAUAAUUUUCUUGUCAUCAAAUCACACAUGUAUGGAUUCCAUGAUCACCUUGGUUCUUAGAUUGUAGACUCUGAAGGCCUUUGUUGUCAGAGGAUAACCUACAAAAAUGCCUUCAUCAGCUUUUAAAUCAAACUUGGUAAGCUGUUCUGGAUGAGUCUUCAAUACAAAGCAUUUGCACCCAAAUAUGUGAAAGUACUUCAGAUUUGGCUUCUUUUUCUUCACCAUCUCAUAUGGGGUCUUGCCAUGCUUAUUGAUCAAGGUUGCAUUUUGAGUGAACAUGCUGUUNNNNNNNNNNNNNNNNNNNNNNNNNNNNNNNNNNNNNNNNNNNNNNNNNNNNNNNNNNNNNNNNNNNNNNNNNNNNNNNNNNNNNNNNNNNNNNNNNNNNNNNNNNNNNNNNNNNNNNNNNNNNNNNNNNNNNNNNNNNNNNNNNNNNNNNNNNNNNNNNNNNNNNNNNNACCCUUGAGAUAUCUGANNNNNNNNNNNNNNNNNNNNNNNNNNNNNNNNNNNNNNNNNNNNNNNNNNNNNNNNNNNNNNNNNNNNNNNNNNNNNNNNNNNNNNNNNNNNNNNNNNNNNNNNNNNNNNNNNNNNNNNNNNNNNNNNNNNNNNNNNNNNNNNNNNNNNNNNNNNNNNNNNNNNNNNNNNNNNNNNNNNNNNNNNNNNNNNNNNNNNNNNNNNNNNNNNNNNNNNNNNNNNNNNNNNNNNNNNAACAUUUGCUUCAUGAACUUGUAAAUUUUCAUCAGAGUUUGUUGUAUUUUGUUCACAGUCAGAGUUUGACUGUUCAUCAGAGUUUGUUGAAUCAGAGAAUAUUUCUUCAUUUUCAAAAUGCAGUUCUUCAUGAUCAUCCAUAUCUGUUAGACCCAUUAUUCUUUUGUCAUCAAAUGACACAUGUAUGGAUUCCAUGAUCACCUUGGUUCUCAGAUUAUAGACUCUGAAGGCCUUUGUUAUGAUAGGAUAACCUACAAAAAUGCCUUCAUCAGCUUUUAAAUCAAACUUGGUAAGCUGUUCUGGAUGAGUCUUCAAUACAAAGCAUUUGCACCCAAAUAUGUGAAAGUACUUCAGAUUUGGCUUCUUUUUCUUCACCAUCUCAUAUGGGGUCUUGCCAUGCUUAUUAAUCAGUGUUGCAUUUUGAGUGAAACAAGCUGUUUGAACAGCUUCUGCCCAGAAAUAAGUAGGUAAUUUAGCCUCAUCAAGCAUAGUUCUGGCAGCUUCUAUUAGAGUCCUGUUUUUCCUUUCAACUACACCAUUUUGCUGUGGUGUACCAGGUGCAGAGAAUUGUUGCACUACACCUCUUUCUUUGCAGAACUCUUCCAUUGUUGAAUUUCUGAACUCAGUUCCAUUAUCACUUCUAAUGAUCUUCACUUUGUCUUCAGAUCCAUGGUCCAGUUGUGUCACAUGAUCCAUCAGAUGCAAGGCUGUUUCAUCUUUAGAGUGAAGAAAAUAUACCCAAGUGUAUCUGGUAUACUCAUCAACAAUGACAAGAGCAUAUUUCUUCCUUGCAAUGGAUGGUACAUUAACUGGUCCAAAUAGAUCAACAUGUAGAAGAUAAUAUGGUUUCUUUAUUGAGAAUUCAGUCUUACUCUUGAAAGAUGUCUUUCUCUGCUUGGCCUUUUGACAUGAAUCACAUAAUCCAUCAGAUGUAAGUAGUGAUGCAGGGAGUCCUCUCACAAGCUUUUUCUUUAUAAGCUCAUUUAUGGAGUUGAAAUUCAGGUGUGAGAGCUUCUUAUGCCAUUUCCAACUUGCUUCUGCAGAGAUCCUUGUAGACAAGCAAAUUGCUUUUCCUUCAGAGUUUGUAGGCAAGUGGAUUUCAUAAAUAUUCCCAUGUCUGUGAGCAGUUACUGCCACUUUGCCUGUUGACUUGCUUACUAUCUCACUGUGUUCUUCAUAGAAAUCAACAUGAUAUCCUCUGUCACAGAUCUGACUGACAGAGAGUAAAUUGUGUUUCAGCCCUUGAACAAGAGCAACAUUUGAUAUGAUGACAUUUCCAAGAUUGAUGUUGCCAUAUCCCAGAGUCCUUCCUAUGUUGCCAUCUCCAUAAGAAACACUUGGGCCAGCCUUCUCCACAAACUCUGAUAGCAGGGCUUUAUUUCCGGUCAUGUGUCCUGAACAUCCACUGUCCAAGACUAGAAUAUUCUUCCUGUUGCCCUGCAAUCACAAAGACCACUAAUUGUUAGUUUUAAGGACCCAGACUUGCUUGGAUCCCUUGGCCUUAUUAAGUUUGUUAGCUUUUGCAGCGGUAUUAUUAUCAGAGUUUGAGCUAACAGACUUUGCAACAGAGUUUGUACUAGAGACAGAGUUUGUACUUGCAGAGUUUUUAUUAACCUUUAAAGAAGGUUUCAAUUGAUAAUAAUCAUAAUACAAACUAUGAUAUUCUUUGCAAGUAUAAAUAGAAUGCCAUAAACUACCACAAUGAAAACAUGGAUCUUGUGGUUUAUAUCUAAUACUACUUUUUCUAACUCCAGACUUUGUAGGUAAAGAGUUAAUGUCCUUGUUCUUCCUGCAAAAAUUAGCAAGAUGAUUAGUAUUACCACAGUUAUGGCAUGUCUUCCUAGGUGCAUUUGGAACAGGCAUGUAGUUAUUACUCUUGUCUAUACCAAUCUUGCCAUUUCUGUUUUUCCCAGGCUCCUUGUUUUUGUCAUCAGACUUUACCUCUUUAAGCUUAUGUUUAAGCUGUUUCUGAGUCAUUAGUCCUAUGUUAACCUGUUUGGGCUUAUCAGAUUUUGGUCUACUCUGUUUAGACUUAGAGGAUUCAACAACAAAUUUGACAGGUUUAACCUUAGGUUUUUGAGUUUUAACAAACUCUGUUUUUGAUGACUCAGCUUCAGAGUUAUCAGUGUAACCUAGUCCCUUCUUCCAGUUUCCACUACCUAAGAUAUCCUGAGUAGUUUUGCCUGAAUUAGUCCAUGUCUUAAUGAUCUCCCUUUCCUUAGCAAGUUCUGAUUGAAGAGAUGCAUACCUCUUUAAUAAUUCAUCUUUGACAAUGACAGCAUCAUCUCUUUCUUUCUGAACUUCCAACAUCUGAACUAAUUCUUUUUCUAGAUAAUCAUUCCUUUUCUUUACACUUAGAGUUUCAGAUUUUAAUCUUUCAUUUUCUAAAGUCUGAUCUCUAAAGCUGAUAUGCAAAGUUUUAAGAAACAAUCUUAACUCAGUUAUAUCUUCAGUAUCAAAGGCAAGAGUAGAAUGAGGUACCUUAGCAGUAGAUUCAGAGUUGUUGUCAGUGUUUGCCAUCAGAGCAUAAUUGACUUCUUCUUCUGAAUCAGAUGUAUCUGUCCAGUUUCCUUUCUUGGUGAUAAAGGCUUUUUCUUUUUCCUUCUUGGCUUUCUUGCAUUCAGAUGCAAAGUGUCCCUUUUCACCACAGUUGAAACAGGUAUACUUGUCAGCUUUUCCAGCUUUCCCUUCUUUGCCCUCAUUCUUCUUAAAGUUCUUCUUGUCAUAAACUCUGUCAGAGUUUCUGUCUUUCCUUGAAAAACUUUUGCCUUUGUUGAACUUUUUGUAGGCCAACUUCUUGAAGCUUUUCACCAUCAAUGCUGCUAACUGCAUCAUCUCAUCAUCACUUUCUUCAGAGUCUGAGGGAACAUCAGAGUUUGAGUCAUCAGAGUUUGAUGACUCAAUGUCAGACUUUGUGACAUGAGCUUUUCCUUUGCUCUUAGCAGCUUCCUCUUGAACUUUCAGAGCAACAGACUUUGAUUUUCCUCCAUGACGUUUGCUCCUUUGCUCCAUCUCAAGUUCAUGAGUCUUCAGUCUUCCAUAAACAUCAUCAAGAGACAUUUCUCCAAGAUCAAGAUUGUCUCUUAUUGUAGUGACUUUCAAAUCCCAUUUUUCAGGAAGAGCUAGAAGGAAUUUGAGGUUUGAGUCUUCAAGAUCAUAUUCCUUGUCCACCAGAGAUAAGUCAUUCAACAGUUUGACAAAUCUGUCAUACAGAUCUGUCAGGGACUCACCAGAUUUUGAGUCAAAGUGCUCAUACUCCUGUGUAAGGAUUGUUUUUCUGUUUUUCUUAAUAGCCUGAGUUCCUUGACAUCUAGUUUCCAGAGCAUCCCAGAUUUGUUUAGCAGUUUUGCACCCAAUCACCCUAUUAGACAUUGCAUUAUCAAGGGCACUAUGCAACAGAUGCUUCACCUUUGCAUCUUUACUGAUGGAUGAGAUGUCCUCUGGAGUAUAAUCUUUCUUUUCUUUUGGAACCAUCUUUUGAGGUUCAUCUGCAAUCCCAACAGAGAGCUUGGUGGGCAUAUGUGGUCCAUCAAAGAUCCUGUCAAGGUAUUCUGGAUCAACAGAGUCUAAGAAUAUGAUCAUUCUUUCUUUCCAGACUGGAUAUUCAGAUGCCUUAAGGAUUGGAACUCUAAAGGAUGAAGCUUGUGAUUUUUCAGACAUGAUUGUGUUUAAGAUCUCACUGUAGUAAUCUUAACAGAGCUGGCUUUGAUACCACUUGUUAGGUCCUGUAAACUCACUAUAUAAUAUGAUAUAGUGAUCUCAAUCUGUAACACAGUAAGACAAUAUGAGUAAUUGGAAUCAAUAAACUCUUAUAUUCACAAAGCUUUGAUGGUUACAAAAACUCUCUCAGUGAUUGUAUCACUAAGAGCUGCUAGGGUUCUAAACAAUAUACUCGAUAACUCAACUCAUAUAGAGUAACCUUAAUCUGUGUUUAUAUAGACACAGUUACAAAAUCAAUCUCUGAUUUGAUAUCCUAUAAAUCAGCUAAUAAAUCUAUCAAUCAAAGAUUGCUCCAGUUUUCUGUUUAGUUUCCAUAGUCAGCAAAUCACUCCUCAGCUUCUAUCCUUCCUUGAAGUAUAUCCGCUUCUGAGCUCUUUCCACGUGUAAACUCUGACGAGUCUUGACUAUGUAAACUCUGAUCAGACUUUAUUAAACUCUGUCAGACUUUGCUAAACUCUGAUCAGCUUCCAGUUUAAACUCUGAUGAUUCCUGUUCUAAAACAAACUUUAAGAACAUUAGUAAUCAUCAAUUAUAUCUAACACUGAGUAUUUUGGGGCUUCAAGGCCAAAUCGUGAUGAGUUUGGUCUUCCUAUGGAUCCUCCAAUUGCACAGAGGGUGUUUGACAAAAGUCUGGAGAAAGCUCCCAUUCCUAAUCCGUUUAAGGAAAAAAUGAAAGGGCAAAUCCCUGAAGGUUCUUCUGUUAGCCCCAUAUUGGGUGCUGAUUUGCCCCCCCCGUUGAUUCUCCUGGUGGUGAGUAAGCAAAGUCAGGUGGUGACUUGGCAUCAAGAUCUUAGGCCAGCAUUGCCAAAGGUAAUUCGGUAAGUCCUGUUAAGUUUGAUUAUGUGCCUCUUAUGAAAGAUGCAACUGUUGUCUCGCUCCCUGAUGAGGUCUUUAAAAAAGGCGUGGAGAAAUUUAAAUAUUGUGUGGUGGGGAGUUUUUCUAAAGGUCGAGCUUCAUAUGCUAAUGUUUUAUCUUUUGCAAGAAAUAUUUGGAGUAAUAAGGGGCUAAUUAGUGUGGCUCAAAAAGAUAAUGCUACAUUUCACUUCAAGUUUAGCUCGGAGAUUGGUAUGAACGAGGUGCUUUCUCGGGGUACAUGGUAUGUUGACAGGAGGCCUUUGAUUCUUCGGCCAUAGGGCAAUGUUUGUUCUACUGAUUAAAUCAAAAGUAUACCCCUCUGGUUAAAAUCUCUAACAUUCCAGAUUGCUAUUGGAAACAAGAAGGUUUGAGUCGUCUUGCUAGUGUAGUGGGGGCUCCACGUUGCGCUGAUGCUCAAACUUCUAAGCUUGAAGUUCUGCCGUUUGCAAAAAUGUGUGUUACUCAUGUUUUGGGUGAUGAUUUACCUGAAUCAAUUCAGGUUAUGUCCAUUAACCCGAGUUCUGGACAAAAAAUUCAAUCUGAGGUUCAGUUCUCCUAUCCAAUUCGGCCUCUUUUUUGUAAGGGCUGUAAUACUCCGGGCCACUCAAUUGGCGCUUGUCCAUCUACAAUGCGCACUUGAGUUCGUAAAGAGAGUAAGCCUAGUGUGGAUGUCGAGUCUAAGCCGAGUCCCAGCACUGACGAGGUGAAGGAUGCUUGUCCCAAGCAGUCUCAUGAUGAUGAAUGGCAGACUGUUCCCUCUAAAAAUAAAUCCAGGUCUAACAAUGCUUCUAUGAAGCCUCCACAGCCCUUGGUUCCUGCUCCUGGUUCGAGCAAUGCUUCUGGUUCGAGUAAUUCUUCUCUCAGCAUGCCAAUUUAUACAUCUCUUGCCAAAUCUCUGUCUAAAAAGCAGCAUAAGCGUCAGAAACGGCCUUCCGAUGGGAGGCAUGGGGAAUUUUUGUGCUUACAAUAUUCGAGGAGUUAAUAAGAAGGUGCCUUUUGCGCAGGAUUUCAUCCGUGAUAAUAAUAUUGGUAUUAUCGCUCUCCUCGAAACUCAUGUUAAGCAGGCCUCGACCAUUUUUGUCUCAGAAUCAAUUCAUCCUGAUUUUUGUUGGCAUUUUAAUUACCCUCACCAUGAUAAUGGGCACAUCUGGAUUGGCUGGAACCCUGUGUUGUGGAAUGUCACCCCUCUAAAAACUGAAGAUCAGCAUGUGGCUUGUGAGGUGACUUGUCUCUCCAAUAAUGAAAAGUUUUUGGUUUCCUUCAUUUAUGCUUUAAACUCUGCUGUGCAGCGUAGGUCCUUAUGGCAUUCUUUGUCCCAGUUCCAUGAUUAUAUAAAUAUCUCUAGUGCUUGUCUCCCUUUGAUUGCGCUUGGUGGUUUUAAUGUUUGUUUAAAUAUUAAUGAGAAUUGUGGUGGUAGUUCGGCUAUUACCUCGGGUAUGACUGAGUUUCGUGACUGUAUCAACAGCCUUUCUCUUGUCGAUCUUUACUAUACUGGCCAAUUCCUCACUUGGUGGGAUAAAAGGAAUAUUCAAAAAAAGCUUGAUCGUGCCCUCGUGAACCCGGCUUGGUUGGAUUCCUUUCGUAAUUCUAAUGCUCGAUUUUUACAAGGGGCCUGUCAGAUCAUUGCCCGGUGGUAGUUUGUACUGGCUCUGUAAUUGAUAAGAUCUACAAGCCUUUUCAAAUAUUUCGUCACAUUAUUGAUGACCCCUCUUUUCUUUCUGUAGUUGCUGAAGCAUGGAGACCUGCUGUGAUUGGUGACCCCUGGUUUGUGUUAGCUACCAAACUCAAGCGUGUCAAAACUGCUCUCAUUAAAAUGAACAAGUCCAAAAGAGAUCUCCAUAUUGCUGUGAGCAAAGCGAAAGUGGAAUUACUUCAAUGGCAAGCUGCUAUGCCUUCUCAGCCCUCUCAGAAUUAUAUUGAAGAGGAAGCCAUACUUUGUACCAUUUAUAAAGAUGCUUUGAAUACGGAGGAAUGUUUUCUGAAGCAAAAAGCGCGAGUAAGAUGGCUUCAACUUGGGGAUGGUAACAAUAAAUAUUUUCACAAUACUUGUCGUGGUAAAUGGAACACAAACAAAAUUUUGACUCUUGAGGACGAGUUUGGUGUCAUUCAUAACACCCAUAAGUCGAUAUCUGAUGCUGCUGUUGGUUACUUCGAGCGCUUACUGGGUCAUGAAGUGGUCACGGACUUAAUUGACCCUGCUAUUACUCUACCAACCCUUUCGGAUUCACAGAAAAGCUUGCUGAUUAUGAACUUCUCUGACAAGGAGGUCUUCGACACUUUGAAGCACAUGGGUAAAGGUAAAAGCCCGGGUCCUGAUGGGUUUUCUCUGGAGUUCUACCUGCCUUCAUGGUCUGUUGUUGGUCGUGAUGUGGUCUCUGCCAUCUUGUUUUUCUUUAGUAAUCUGCAUAUGCCGAGAUUUGUUAAUUCCACGGCAAUAUCCCUUGUCCUCAAGUUUCCUGGUGCUUCUAAGGUUACUGAUUUUCGGCCUAUUUCAUGUUGCAACAUCCUGUACAAGUGCAUCUCGAAAAUGCUCACCUCCCGAUUAAAACGUAUUAUCCCGUCGAUAAUUUCGGAUAAUCAGUGUGCAUUUGUUCCUAAGAGGAAUAUUGGUGACAAUAUUAUGUUAGCUCGGGCUCUUUGUAGGGGUUAUCACAGGGAUGUUGGCCCUCCUAGAUGCGUCUUCAAGCUUGAUAUUCAGAAGGCAUUUGACAAUAUCAGUUGGAGUUUCUUAUUCAAUACCAUGGAACGGUUUGGUUUUCCCCUUUUAUUCAUCAAUUGGGUCCAAAUCUGUGUUACUUCUAGCAUGUCCUCGCUGAAAUUCAAUGGUGGAAUUGAAGGAUUUUUUAAAAAUAGGGUGGGUCUGCGUCAUGGCGACCCAUUGUCCCCUUACCUGUUUGUAAUUUGUAUGGAGGUAUUAACUACUUAUCUUAAUAGAGGUCUUAAUAGCAAUCCUGACUUUGUGAAUCACUGGCGCACCAAGGAUCUUAAUCUUCAUCAUCUCAUGUUUGCUGAUGACAUAUUGAUAUUCUGUAAAGGUUAUGACAGUUAUAUUGCUGAAUUUAUGAAAUGCAUUACCAUGUUUUCUAGAUGCUCUGGUCUUCGUCCCAACCCCAACAAAAGCUAAGCUUUUUCAGCAAUGUAGACCAAGCGGUGAUUCUCAACGCUCUCAACUUAACUGGUUUUCAGCUUGGUACUCUUCCAUUUCAGUACUUGGGUCUUCCACUUAUUUCGUCUAAAGUUAGGCUCCUGGAUUGUAAAAUCUUGAUUCAGCAUCUGUAAUCGUAUUGACUCCUGGACUAAUGGUUUUCUACGGUUCUCUGGUAGAUUACAACUGCUGAAAACAGUUCUCUUUGGUAUGCAAAAUUUCUGGGCCUCCCAUUUAUUUCUGCCUAAAUGUGUGCUUCUCAAAAUUCAAAGCUUGUUUGCUAAAUUUCUCUGGUCUGCGAAGAAGGAUGAUAAUUGUCAUCAUAAGGUCUCUUGGCGAGACUAUUGCUUGCCAAAAAAUGAGGGAGGCUUGGGUCUGUUUUGCCUCCAUGCUCAGAAUAAAGCUUCCAUUUUGUUUCAGGUAUGGCGGGUCUCUCUGCCUUCCCCCGAAUCGCUUUGGAUUCGAUGGAUCCACACUUGUUUCCUGCGUGGAAAAUUUUUCUGGUCUGUCAAGCCAAAUUGUAACACUCCCUCGGCUAUUCGGCAAAUCCUCAACUUACGGCGUGAGGCUUUAAAUUUCUUUGAGUAUUCUAUUGGUGCUCACUCGAACUUCUUCAUGUGGUGCGAUCCGUGGCUUCAAAGAAAAUCGUUGAUUUCUCGUUAUGGUGAUUCUAUUGUUUCUUUGGCGCGCUCAUCUGUAAACGAAAAGAUCCAUGAAUUUAUUUCUAAUGGUUCCUGGGUUAACUUCCCCUCUAAUCAUCUUAGUAUCUCUCAGUUGCGUUUGUUGCUUGGUAAUGUACAGUUUGGGGUUGAGGAUGUUAUUUCUUGGCAGGGCUGUAAGAAAGUUUCGACUUCUCUGAUUUUUCACUCUGUUCGUUCGGUUGGUACCUCGUUGCUGUGGGUUCAUGCUGUUUGGCACCCCCUCUCGAUUCCUAAGUGCAGUUUUUUCAUGUGGCUUGCUCUAAAAAAUAAGCUUCUCACCAAGGACAAGAUGAGGGCAUUUGGCUGGAGGGUUGAUGAUCGAUGUGUUUUAUACAGAUGUACGGAGGAAAAUGCUGCUCAUCUAUUCACUAACUGUCCGUAUGCCCAUCUAAUUCUUCGAGGUAGUCGUGUUCCUAUUUCGAGAAAUUGGUCUGAUUGGCAAAAUGGUAUUUUUUGUUCAGAAAGACUAACUCAAAUGGAGCGUAACAUUGGCUGGUUAUUUGUUUCUAUUGUUAUUUAUGAAAUUUGGUUGGAGAGAAACAGGCGUAUCCACAAUUUUAGGCCCCCAUUGCUACUGUGCACAUGCUUUGCAAAGUGAGGAAUAUGAUUAGAGAAAAGCUGUUCUCUUGUACUCCCUCCGUCCCACCAGGUUCUUUACAGUUACCUGUUUUGGAUGUCCCAUCCAAUUCUUUACAUUACAAAACUUUCCCAAAAUAGUUAAUGGGUCCCACCACUUUAUCACUUUUUCUUCCUUUUCACACUUCUUUUACUCCACUAUCUCUCUUUUAUAUAUUAAAAAUCGAUUGGUCCCAACACUUCACCCACUUUUUUUCAUCUUUUUCACUACUUUAUACAUAUUUCUUAACCUCCGUGUCCAAAUCCAAUGUAAACAAUUGGGUGGGGCGGAGGGAGUAAUAGUUUUAAAAAUUAUGUUCGAAACAAUCCCUCUGUAGUCCAUCGUUUAUAUUAGUGUGUUGACUAGUUGUUACCUAAGUUGAUUUGGUGCUAGUCUGACCUGGCAGAGGGCCUGUCCUCUUGCUUUUGUUGGCCUGGGAUGUCUAGCUUUGUUUCUAGGUCCAGUUCUAGCAUUCUGCUAUUUUCUUUCGCGGGGUAUGCCCCUAGACGGUGUAUUCCUUUUUUUCCCUUCUUUUAUAAAUUGUUUUUUUUUUUUUUGCUAAAUUAAAGUUUUAUAGAAAAAGAAAAGAUAACAUUCUACAAGGGGCAUACCCCAGGAAAAGGUUUAGCAAAAGAAAAAAAAAAGGUUUAAGUCAACUGAGAUUUAUGUCAUAUAUUAGAAUUAUUUUACAUGUAUACUCCUGUUAUUAAGGGCUGUUUGGCCUGGCUUAUCUUUCGAACUUCCAGGCUUAUAAGUCACAAGCAGCUUAUUCGUACCGUUUGUAUAAAUAACUUAUAAGUUAAUUUCCGACGUAUAAGCCAGAAUCUAAUAAGUUGAAAAUCCCAACUCUUUUUAGUGAUUAUUUUUAUUUUUAAAAUUUAAUUUUACAAAAAUGUAUAGGAUCACUAUAAAAAAUAAUUUAUAAUAUUUUUUUAUAUGUUAAUUUUUAUACUUGAUAAGUUGUAAAUACGAAAACAUUAUUCAAACACAUAAAUUAAAAAUUACUUUUAACUUAUAAUUUACACUUGGCAUAUAAACAAUAAGCACUUCACCAUAUGUUUUUAUCAUUUCCUACUAUAGACAUCACAUAUAUUUAUAUUGUGAAUUUGUGAUCUACAUAGGACCUCUCUCAAAGACAUUAAUAUUAUAGAUUAGUUAAUUAAUUCUCAUCUCGAAGAGACUAUUAUAUAAAUAGCAACAUAGCACAUUACUACUACGGGAGCAAGAAUGAAGAAAAACCACAACGAGCAUAUGAUGAGAAGUACUGUCUACUGCAGGCAAACUCUUAGCAUCAUCUUAUUAUUAAGUUACAUCUUGCAAUUUUUUUAUUUUAGAACAAACAUGAAAACCUGCACAAUGUAUUUCAUUAACCGUGCUAUAUAUUUAUAGUGAUCCAAGGACUUGAAGUUCUAGUUAUCAAACCUGCAUUUAUCUUUGCGCUUUGCCUGUAGUGAAUCGAGUGGUACUUUGCUGUUGGUAUAACAAAAUACCCACCAAGAUAUGCUGUUAAUACCGACGAAAUCAAGUCCAGAGGGAAUCCAAUCCACACUCCUGUCCACAAGAACCAUGCCUCUUUUUCAUCAUCAUCCUCUUCUUGUCCUUCAUUUGGUGUUGGCUCGUCUUUUGAACAAUUCACUCUGAUUUGCAUCCGACAUAAUCCACUGUUGUUGGCAAAAUAACUCGGAUCAUUCAUCGUGUCCAUCUGUCCACCCCGUGGGAUUUUGCCACUUAGCUUGUUGUUACUCACAUCUAAUACGGAUAGUUGAUCCAACUUCCCAAAUGAUUGUGGAAUUGUACCAGAGAUAUUGUUGUUAGACAGGUCCAAUGCCUCUAUACUUUCUAGAUCUCCAAAACUUUGUGGUAUAUGUCCAGAGAGUUCAUUGUAGGACAGAUUGAGCAGCUUCAGCCCUAUGAGAUUUCCGAAUGAAUUUGGAACAUCACCUGAAAACUUAUUGUUUGACAAGUCUAGUAAAGUAUAAAUAUGUCGAUCAUGACUUGAGAGACCUUGCAUAGCAUUCUUCCAGUUCACUGUUAAAUCAUUCAUCUCGAUUCUAGUGGUGUAAAUGCCAUUGAAUACUGAAACUGUGGCCUCGAUCCAGUUCACCUUUAUUUCAUCACAUAAAAGGGCUGUUGAAUAUACUUCAUCGAUUGAUCCACUCAUUCCUGGUAGAUUUCCCAACUCUGAAGGGAUACUUCCAUCAAGACUGUUACUUGAGAGAUCAAGAAUUUGGAGGCCACUUCUGUUGUAGAAAGAGUUGGACGGCAAUGAGCCAUGUAGUGAGUUGUUACGUAAACUCAGAACCUGAAGCUUGGGGGAUUUUGAAAUAAAAUAAUCUGGAAAAUCGCCUGUAAUAUUGUUGUCAUGUAGAUCAAGAUAUUCAAGGUCUACAAUAUUAGUGAGGUUCCUAGGAAAGCUUCCAGAGAACUUAUUUUUCCCUAAUGCAAGAAUACUAAUUCCAAGAAUACUAAUUCCAGUGAAAAAUGAUGCGGGAAUGCCACCGGAUAGUUCGUUAGAGGAGAGAUCAACAUAUGAUGGUGAAAUAUAAUGAUUGAAAACCGGGAGUGUGUUGCCAGAGAGUCUGUUUCUUGACAAGUCUAGUAGUAGUAGGUUAGGGAUAUAUACAAUGGAUUCCGGAAUCGACCCCGAAAAAUAGUUUCCAGAAAGCAUUAGUACCUUCAUCUUUAAAGCAUGACCGACAUUUUGUGGCAACUCCCCUGAGAAAUUGUUUCUUGAAAGAUCCAAAAUGGAUAAAUUUUGAGACUGAAAAAGUGAAAAGGGUAUUGAGCCCGUAAGUUUGUUCCGUGAGAGUAGUAGACUUUCAAUUUCCAUCUCUGCCAUCCAAAGUGGGAAGUUUCCUGUGAGCUGAUUGUCACUCAGUUCGAGCAUAUUAAGAUUCUUUAGAGUGGAAAUCCAUUCCGGAAUGUCUGCAGUCAUUUUACAUGAUUUGAGAGAGAGUUGAGAAAGCAUACACUUGGGAACUAUUUUGACUUGGUUAUUCCAAAUGAACUUGUUUCCUCCAAGAUACAAAUUCUUCAAACUCGCAAUGUCAAAUAAACAGGAGGGGAUUUCUCCAGAAAGCAUGUUAUCUUCCAGCCCAAGUGUUUCCAAUUUGCUCAAGUUUUGGAUAGAUGGUGGGAUUACACUAGUGAAAGUGUUGUUGCUCAACACUAUAGUGGAAAUGUUGGACAAGCGUCCAAUCGCACUCGGAAUUUGCAACUGCAAAUAAUUAUUGCCCAAAUCUAGUCUUUCCAGUCCCGUCAAAUUCCCAAUUGAGUCUGGAACCUGACCUGAAAUAUCAUUGAGAUUGAUAGAAAACUGCUGCAACUUUGUUAGAUUUCCAAUCUGAAGAGGAAUAUGUCCAUCAAGAAAAUUUCUUUCCAAGAGUAAUGUCCUCAAAUUUCCAAGCUUGCCAACAUCACUACUUAAUCCACCCUUUAAUGAAUUUUUACUCAAAUCAAGAAACUGCAGAAACCUCAGGUGGAAAAGUUGUGCUGGAAUUGUGCCAUCUAAGUUAUUGCCGCUCAUUUUAAGGUGAACUAAUUUGGUGAGAUUGGCCAACCCUUUGCCUGAAAUUUCCACUUCGAAGCCGUAGUUAGAGGAGAUGUCAAAAAACUGUAAAAACCUCAGGUGGAAAAGUUGUGGUGGAAUUGAGCCAUAAAAGGAAUUGUAGCUCAUGUCAAGAUGAAUUAGUCUGCUGAAAUUAGCCAACCCUUUGCCUGAAAUUUCGCCGUCUAUCCAACUAUUGGAGAUAUUAAGAAGCAAUAAGGAUCCAAUGCCAUAAAUGGGGUCUAGAAUUCUUGAAUCUAAAGCAAAGUAGUUUGGAUUAGGGAUGCUGUCAAGGUACAGAGCUGUAAUGUCGCGUCAGGGGCGGACCCAUAGCUUUGGCUAUGGGUUCCGGGGCACCCACUCAACUUCCCGCCGAAAUGUAAUUAUAAAGUAAAUUUUGGUUAAAAAUUAAUUUAAAAUUUAGUAGGAACCACUAAAAUAUUUACCGAACUCAUAAUUUACCUCAAUAAUUCAGAAAUCUUAUUAACUAUUAAGCGAUUGGUGUUUGAAAUAAUUUAAAAUCUUAUAUUUAUUAAAAUAUUUGUCUAAAUAUAUACUUUUUAGUUUCCAGUGUUCUUUAAAUUAACAUUUAAUAUUAAUAUCAUAAUUUAAAUAUUAAUAUUUUAAAUAAAUGUUUAUUAUUUAUAUUAAUAAAGUAAAACAAGGAACCCACUGAGAAAAUUUUCUGGGUCCGCCACUGUGUCGCGUGAAUACAAACUGCAAACAACUCUAUUCCAAGUACAACAAUCAGAAUUGGAGUUCCACGACUCCAAACCAACAGACGAUGAGUUUGAAGUUUUGUGAAGAUUAAGCAAGGAGGAUUUAAAGUGGAGAAGGGAUUGUUUCUGAUGAGCAGGACAAGACACCACGCAUGGCGUUAACAUGAAAAUCAAAGGCACUAAUAAUAUGAUGAGGCUCAGUGGCUUGCUCAUUGUUUUCUUUGCUUGUUUCUUAAAGUCUGGUUAUUAUCAAUAGAGAAAUGUAUGUGUGUGCAUAGCAAGGUAUUUUCGAGUGAGUCCUCUGAGUCGAGUAAGUUAAUUCUCCGGGGAUCAGCUGUGAGGAUUCCUCCAGUCAACGAGUGAGUCGUCGCCACAAGUCCAUUCGGUUUCAACUUCACAGACGUCCUUCUCGUCGUUCAAAUGAACCAAGACCAACGGAUAUCCACCCAACUGGUUGCAAGACAUUUUCCAAGCAGGCAGGGGAAAGAAGUGGAGAUAAGAGCCAGCCCUGUCCCUGUCAACUUUGCAAUAAUCCCAAAUUUUCGUAUAAAAUCUUAGAAUUUUGUGUAAUAAAAAGUUUUGUCUAUUUUCUGUAUAAUACAUGAUGAGCAAUAUAAGCACUAAUAUCUUAUUCAAUAUUAAUGCUCAAACUAAUCUCUAUUAGAUACUCCUAUUUAAGAAAAUUGUUAGUGAUAUAGUGUAAUAUAUAUAUAUAUUAGUAUAAUAACACUAAUUUUGCACAACGCAAUAUUCACACGAACAAAAAAUAUAUAAUUAUUGAUAUAGGUUUUGUUAUAAUUUAAUUAAUUUUUUUAUAAUUCAUACAAUUUUCAUUUUUCAAAAAUAUUUUUAGAUAAUUAAUCUACAAAAUAAGAAAAUUUUAUUUAAAAAUUACAUUAAAAUAUUUUUGUAAAUUGCGAUACCAAUUUAAAUAUGUCUAGGGUACAUCCUGCAAAGCUAUUUUUGUCAAAUUAUAAAACAUACACUAACUAUUACUCAUACUUAAAAAAAACACUGUUAUGAAAAACAAACAAAAUUCUUAUUAAUUAUACACCAAGACGGUGUUUGUUGAAAUUGAUUAUAAUCCCGGAUAAAUAUAUUAUUUUAUUAUAUUCGAUUUAGAUAAUUAUAUUCACAUUAGAUUAUAUUACAAUCACUUUCCUAAUACAUGUUGAUGAACAGAAUAUUAUAUAUAAAAUUGGACUACAAUGAUGAUUGAAAUAUGAAUUAGAAUACCUCCAAACAAACAUACUGUAGGUUUAAUUGUUACUAGACUUUUACAUUUCGGGCAUUCACUCUUUCAGCCAUAUUCACUUGCCCCAAUGAAAUUGAUCUUUUAUCCUGCGAAUUUGCAGAACUUGGACAUUUCCCUAGUAGGAUACAGAUAAAUGUACAAGACUUUGCAGUGUGGAUAACUGAUGCACAAGGGUCUAUUCAUCUAAAACUAAUUAGACUUGCCUGCCCUGUUUCAUAAGUUAGCAUUAGAUACAUUUUUUUUGCCCGCCUUGUUUUAUAAGUUAGCAUUAGAUGACAUUUCUUUUUCCUGGCCUUUCAGUGACAUUGGGGGUAGAUGUCAAUUUCUGGCAGUUGUCUGAAGUCAUGGUCAAGCCCCGAUUAAAGGUUUGCGUAACAAAUAAAUUUGAACCACCAAGUUAAUUAUCUCUGAAAUUAGGGUUUUGACAGUCGACUCCCAAAACUAGCGGUCACUUCUCCAUUCUUCACUUUCAUCCGCUUUAUCCACCAAAUCAUUUCGCUCUCCCAUCUUCUCUAUUAUUUACCAGUAUACUGUUUUUCAAUAAAAUCGAGUGUUGCUUAACCUCGAAGAUUCCAAUCGAGUUUUAUUCUCGGAUCUGUUUCGGAUUUGAACUUGGACUUGAUUGUUUUCUGAAUAAAUCAGAUUUUUUGAAAUCAAAGGCCGGGUUGUGCUUUCCCGUCUCGCCAUUUGACGUGUGUUGAUUUAGUACCUGAUUUUUGGGUGAUUCUGUGUUGUUAUCUUUGUGGUUGUUAUGUUUUUUGGUGUCAUCAAUGAGAAUGAUUGGGAUGGAGUUUUUGGAGAUCUGGCUUAUCGCAUUAUUAAUACUUUCGGCAUGUCUAUAGCUGGCUCCCUCCAUGUAGAUAGCUGGGGUAUGCUUAGAACGGUGGCGAUCGCAUGUGCUCACCUUUCACAAAUUAUAGUUGUUCAAUAUUAUUCGAGGACUCUUGUUCCUCAUUGCUUAGUUUUUACAACUGAGUCGCAUGAACACCGCAACAGCCAUGGAACUAUUGUGAAGGUCAAUUGUGAAGCUACCAUUUUCGGGAUUGAUGUAGGCUAGAUUACUCGAGAAGCCUUUGUAUUCAUUUUCAAUUUCAAGAAUCCUUGGAUUCAGCGUGUUAAGCAGUCUAGAAACAAUGCGGCUAUUUGUUUAGCUCGUUUUAUUGUUUAUCAACCUGAUUGCAUUGUGAGGUGGAGAUUUGUCCCGACUAGACUUGUUUUAAUUUAAUGGAAUGAAUUUGCAUUUUGUCAAAAAAAAUAAAAAUUUGAACCACCAAAAUACAGCAAAAAUGUAUAGAACUUGCUAAGAAGGAAGCAUGAAAUGACAAAAGGAAUCAAUUUCUAUAUAUAGAUUGGUCGGCAAGGUGCCAUGUAAGCACAUUGAGUUGAAGAGUGGUAAAUCUGUAAAGAUAUUUGAAAGUUUACUCUCUCUGCAAUGCAAGGCAGGAUACUUCCGGUCUAAGACUGAGGUUGUGUUCACUUGAAAUGAAUGGAAUGGAGGUAGAACUCUAAAAUGGUGUUGAUCAGAAAAAAUGUAUAUAAUUUUCAUUCUCUCAAUCAUUUCAUUGUCACUAUUUUAACGGGUUAAUUAUCAACUGGAUCACUUAUUCCAGUCUAAUGUAUCAUCCGCAUCACUACGAAAACCACUCAUUAGACUAAUGAUUGCAUGCCGUUAAAUCAAAUUAAAAUGGAUGUUAAAGUUAACAUUUUCCGUUAAGCUCUAGUGACAUGGCGCUUAUGUGGACCAAAGAAAUAAAAUAAGCUUAAACUUAACAAAUAAACUAAAAAGAAACUAAAAGAAAUAAAAAAGAAAACAAAAGAAAAACACUGGAUCAAAAGAAAUGGGUGGAGACAUCAUAAACUAGAGACAAAGACGCGCGCCAAGAACUGAAUCGGUUCUCACCGUAAAACCCUAGCCCAUUUCAAGUACGAGCGAAUCAAGCAUAAUCAACAACAAUCAUAAUCAUUUCGUUGAUUAUUAGCAUCAAGGUACGAUCUUUGAACUUUAAACAGACAUUUACUGUUCAUUUUAAGGUUGCAUGCUCUCGUUACUGUUUGUGUGUUUGUAUUGCCUUGUGUGUUGUAAUUUUUUGUUGUUUCUAUGUUAAUAUAAACAGAAUGGGUCGAAUAGAUGUUCGUGUGCAUCAUCGAGGAUAUUUUGUGCACCCACCGAAUGGUAUUGUACAAUAUGUGGGGGGUAAGGUAGAUGAGUUGGUGGAAGAUACGGAGAAAAUGUGUUUUGCUGAUUUAGAACACUACUCGGUUGCGUUUGGAUACGAUACUGGUAGUUCAUUGGUAUAUUUUCAGAAUGAUGGUCAUUCCUUUGAUAAUAAUGUUAGGGUUUUAUAUAAUGAUGAUGGCAUAAAGGAGAUGAUAGAGAUAUGUAAACCAUUUGGUUGCAUAAAUUUGUUUGUCGAUCACUUUGAUCUUGAAGACUUGCAAACAGAAGAUGUUAUUAGGGAAGAGAAAUUGAUGGGUGAAAAGGAGUUGGGUGAUAGUUCCUUUGAGGAUGAUCCAGAUUAUGUUGCAGAGGGCCAAGAUUCCGAGAGUGAUGAGUCUGAGUUUUACACUGAUGGCAGUGAUGGGGAGUUAAUGAAAAAUGUUAAUAAUAGGAGAAUUAGAAAAGCAGCUGAGGCUAACAAAAUAAAUUUUGAAUUAAGGAGAACAAUGAUCAAAGAAAGGGAGAAAAAUAUUGAGGAAGAAGACUACUUGAGUGAUGAACUAAUGUCUUUAUCGUCAUCAAGUGAGGAUGAGGCUGUGAAGAAGGGUUACAUAGGUCCACCACCUGUGAAAAAUUCUAAGAAAAGGAAGCAUUCUUUCUAUAAUCCAAAGAAGAUAACAGAUGGGAUUAAGUUCUCUCCGGGCAUGAGGUUUGGUUCUAUGGAAGAAUUCANAAAAUUGGACUACAAUGAUGAUUGAAAUAUGAAUUAGAAUACCUCCAAACAAACAUACUGUAGGUUUAAUUGUUACUAGACUUUUACAUUUCGGGCAUUCACUCUUUCAGCCAUAUUCACUUGCCCCAAUGAAAUUGAUCUUUUAUCCUGCGAAUUUGCAGAACUUGGACAUUUCCCUAGUAGGAUACAGAUAAAUGUACAAGACUUUGCAGUGUGGAUAACUGAUGCACAAGGGUCUAUUCAUCUAAAACUAAUUAGACUUGCCUGCCCUGUUUCAUAAGUUAGCAUUAGAUACAUUUUUUUUGCCCGCCUUGUUUUAUAAGUUAGCAUUAGAUGACAUUUCUUUUUCCUGGCCUUUCAGUGACAUUGGGGGUAGAUGUCAAUUUCUGGCAGUUGUCUGAAGUCAUGGUCAAGCCCCGAUUAAAGGUUUGCGUAACAAAUAAAUUUGAACCACCAAGUUAAUUAUCUCUGAAAUUAGGGUUUUGACAGUCGACUCCCAAAACUAGCGGUCACUUCUCCAUUCUUCACUUUCAUCCGCUUUAUCCACCAAAUCAUUUCGCUCUCCCAUCUUCUCUAUUAUUUACCAGUAUACUGUUUUUCAAUAAAAUCGAGUGUUGCUUAACCUCGAAGAUUCCAAUCGAGUUUUAUUCUCGGAUCUGUUUCGGAUUUGAACUUGGACUUGAUUGUUUUCUGAAUAAAUCAGAUUUUUUGAAAUCAAAGGCCGGGUUGUGCUUUCCCGUCUCGCCAUUUGACGUGUGUUGAUUUAGUACCUGAUUUUUGGGUGAUUCUGUGUUGUUAUCUUUGUGGUUGUUAUGUUUUUUGGUGUCAUCAAUGAGAAUGAUUGGGAUGGAGUUUUUGGAGAUCUGGCUUAUCGCAUUAUUAAUACUUUCGGCAUGUCUAUAGCUGGCUCCCUCCAUGUAGAUAGCUGGGGUAUGCUUAGAACGGUGGCGAUCGCAUGUGCUCACCUUUCACAAAUUAUAGUUGUUCAAUAUUAUUCGAGGACUCUUGUUCCUCAUUGCUUAGUUUUUACAACUGAGUCGCAUGAACACCGCAACAGCCAUGGAACUAUUGUGAAGGUCAAUUGUGAAGCUACCAUUUUCGGGAUUGAUGUAGGCUAGAUUACUCGAGAAGCCUUUGUAUUCAUUUUCAAUUUCAAGAAUCCUUGGAUUCAGCGUGUUAAGCAGUCUAGAAACAAUGCGGCUAUUUGUUUAGCUCGUUUUAUUGUUUAUCAACCUGAUUGCAUUGUGAGGUGGAGAUUUGUCCCGACUAGACUUGUUUUAAUUUAAUGGAAUGAAUUUGCAUUUUGUCAAAAAAAAUAAAAAUUUGAACCACCAAAAUACAGCAAAAAUGUAUAGAACUUGCUAAGAAGGAAGCAUGAAAUGACAAAAGGAAUCAAUUUCUAUAUAUAGAUUGGUCGGCAAGGUGCCAUGUAAGCACAUUGAGUUGAAGAGUGGUAAAUCUGUAAAGAUAUUUGAAAGUUUACUCUCUCUGCAAUGCAAGGCAGGAUACUUCCGGUCUAAGACUGAGGUUGUGUUCACUUGAAAUGAAUGGAAUGGAGGUAGAACUCUAAAAUGGUGUUGAUCAGAAAAAAUGUAUAUAAUUUUCAUUCUCUCAAUCAUUUCAUUGUCACUAUUUUAACGGGUUAAUUAUCAACUGGAUCACUUAUUCCAGUCUAAUGUAUCAUCCGCAUCACUACGAAAACCACUCAUUAGACUAAUGAUUGCAUGCCGUUAAAUCAAAUUAAAAUGGAUGUUAAAGUUAACAUUUUCCGUUAAGCUCUAGUGACAUGGCGCUUAUGUGGACCAAAGAAAUAAAAUAAGCUUAAACUUAACAAAUAAACUAAAAAGAAACUAAAAGAAAUAAAAAAGAAAACAAAAGAAAAACACUGGAUCAAAAGAAAUGGGUGGAGACAUCAUAAACUAGAGACAAAGACGCGCGCCAAGAACUGAAUCGGUUCUCACCGUAAAACCCUAGCCCAUUUCAAGUACGAGCGAAUCAAGCAUAAUCAACAACAAUCAUAAUCAUUUCGUUGAUUAUUAGCAUCAAGGUACGAUCUUUGAACUUUAAACAGACAUUUACUGUUCAUUUUAAGGUUGCAUGCUCUCGUUACUGUUUGUGUGUUUGUAUUGCCUUGUGUGUUGUAAUUUUUUGUUGUUUCUAUGUUAAUAUAAACAGAAUGGGUCGAAUAGAUGUUCGUGUGCAUCAUCGAGGAUAUUUUGUGCACCCACCGAAUGGUAUUGUACAAUAUGUGGGGGGUAAGGUAGAUGAGUUGGUGGAAGAUACGGAGAAAAUGUGUUUUGCUGAUUUAGAACACUACUCGGUUGCGUUUGGAUACGAUACUGGUAGUUCAUUGGUAUAUUUUCAGAAUGAUGGUCAUUCCUUUGAUAAUAAUGUUAGGGUUUUAUAUAAUGAUGAUGGCAUAAAGGAGAUGAUAGAGAUAUGUAAACCAUUUGGUUGCAUAAAUUUGUUUGUCGAUCACUUUGAUCUUGAAGACUUGCAAACAGAAGAUGUUAUUAGGGAAGAGAAAUUGAUGGGUGAAAAGGAGUUGGGUGAUAGUUCCUUUGAGGAUGAUCCAGAUUAUGUUGCAGAGGGCCAAGAUUCCGAGAGUGAUGAGUCUGAGUUUUACACUGAUGGCAGUGAUGGGGAGUUAAUGAAAAAUGUUAAUAAUAGGAGAAUUAGAAAAGCAGCUGAGGCUAACAAAAUAAAUUUUGAAUUGGUCACAAAUAUGGGUGAUUUGUUGAGAUGAAGAAGGGGGCUGUGACUCCACAUUUAUUGGAGUCACAUCAAUCUGACUUUGAGAAGUUAAAGGCAUAAAAUCCAGAAUGGAUGCCUGUGUGUGUGCAGAGUGCUUCAGUUUUUCACUUCUCAGCUUCUUUCUCCCAUAAGCUUUUAUUGGUGAAGAAGUGGUGUCCCUCCCCCUUUUUGUACUGUGUCCCUGGUUGAGGACUAUUUUCAAUAGCAACAUCCUUUUGGGAGGAUGCUGCUAGGGAUGAGUUUAAUUCCAUAUUAACAUCUACAGUCUUUUGGGAGACUGCAGAGUGGCCAGGCUGGUCAGCACACACCUUUCCAUCCUUAUUCUUAGGGCUUCUUUUAUGUUCACCCUUUCCCUCCCCCUCACAACCUCCAAUCACACUCCCCUCAGGUUUGUGUUUCUUGGAUUUUACAACAGAUGCCUUUUGGGAGGCAUCUGAGGUUGGUUUAGAAAGGAGAAUUAGAAAAGCAGCUGAGGCUAACAAAAUAAAUUUUGAAUUAAGGAGAACAAUGAUCAAAGAAAGGGAGAAAAAUAUUGAGGAAGAAGACUACUUGAGUGAUGAACUAAUGUCUUUAUCGUCAUCAAGUGAGGAUGAGGCUGUGAAGAAGGGUUACAUAGGUCCACCACCUGUGAAAAAUUCUAAGAAAAGGAAGCAUUCUUUCUAUAAUCCAAAGAAGAUAACAGAUGGGAUUAAGUUCUCUCCGGGCAUGAGAUUUGGUUCUAUGGAAGAAUUCACGAGGGCUGUUACAAACUAUGGAUUAAGUGAGAGAAGGGCCGUUCAAUUUAACACUAAUGAUCCACACAGGGCACAAGUUGUGUGUGAGACCAAAUGUCCUUUCUACAUCUGGUGUAGUAGAAUAAAGGACUCUGAAACGGUGGAGAUAAAAACACUAGUGAAUGAGCAUUUGUGUACAAAACCAUAUAACAACAAGCUUGCAUCUGUCAAGCACUUAACAGAAAUUUAUGGUGAGAGGAUUAGGAAAAACCCCACUUGGAAAAUUAAAGAAAUGGUUGAAACAGUUAGACAUGAUCUGAAGAUAGAAGUGUCAAGGAUAAAACUUAUAAGAGUAAGAAAAGUUGCACUAGAAGGUGUUUUCGAGAGUUUGAAGCAACAUUACUCAAGGGUCAGAGAUUUUGGCUACCAAAUUCUGCUCAACAAUCCACAGAACAGGGUUGACAUAAGAACUACAAGAUUAAAUGAAAGUGAUCCUAACAAAUUCAAAAGAAUUCACAUAUGCUAUCAUGCUUUGAAGGAGGGUUGGAAGCAAGGUUGUAGGCCAAUUUUGGGACUGGAUGGGUGUUUCCUUAAGACAGUAUGUGGAGGACAAAUGUUAUCUGCUGUGGGGAGGGACGGAAACAACCAGAUGUAUCCGGUAGCUUAUGCUGUAGUUGAGAGUGGAAAUGCAGACACCUGGAAGUGGUUUAUUGAUUUGCUUAGGGAUGAUCUGAGCCUUGGGGAUGGAAAGGGAUACACAAUAAUAUCCGAUCAGCAGAAGGUAUGGUUUUGUUAUGUAUUUCAUUUAGUUUCUUUGUUGGUGUGUUGUCGACUGAAAUUGGUGUGAUUUUUCUGAUUUUUCUUGUAACACAAGGCCUAGAGUUGGCUGUGAAAGAAUAUUUACCGAAAAUUGAACACAGAAAUUGUCGCAGGCAUCUAUGCACUAACUUCAGGAAUAGGUAAAUUUAGUCUAAUUUAAUUUUCAGUUAAUUACCUUCUUGCAUUUUAUUAGCUGGUUGUAACUUGAAAACUAUAAUUGAAUUGAAUUGUAGGUUUAAAGCUAAUCAUCUUAGAAAUUUGUUUUGGACAAUAUCUUGUGCAACACACAAGGUUGCACAUCAAAGAGCAAUGAAAGCCAUGGAGAGAGCCUCUAAGCCUGCUUACGAAGCACUUGUACAAAAAGAUCCAAAGACAUGGUGCAAGGCUUUUUUUGAGACUCAUUCUUGCACUGAUAAUGUUGAAAAUAAUAUGUCAGAGUCUUUUAAUGCUUGGAUUAUCAAUGAAAGGUAUGUUUUGAACUAAUAUAAUUGCUGCACUAAGAUGCUUCGAUGAAAAAAAUUAAUGCACCGUCUUUCUUUUUUAUAGAUUUUUACCCCUGCUUGACAUGUUGCAAGAGAUUCACUACAAGUUGAUGGUUAGAAUCAGAGAAAAUAGGGGGUCCAUGGAAGGCAGUGAGUUUCAAAUUUGUCCGAGAAUUAAAAAAAAGCUAGACAUUGCAGUUACACAAUCAAGGGAAUGGAGGGCUAGUUGGGAUGGCAUGAGAACAUUUGUGGUAUGAAUCUAAAUUUAGACUCCUCAAUUUUAUGUUUUUUACGUAUGUUUUUUGUGAAAAAUUAGUACUCUCAAUUAUUAUGUAGGUAAAAAAUGGAAGUAGUACUUUGACUGUGGACUUGGUUGAUAGAAAAUGUGAUUGUAGAGUGUUUGAUUUGACUGGCAUACCGUGUGCUCAUGCGGUGGCAGCAAUACACAGCAGAAGAGAGGAUCCACAGGCUUAUGUAUCCAGGUAUUAUACUAGAGAAAUGUACUUGGCAUCUUAUAAUCAACCUCUUGCUGCAUUGAAAGGUGAAGAAUUUUGGGAGAGUCACUCUACAGAGGAAUUGUUGCCACCAUACAUACCAAAGAAAUUAAGAGGAAGACCCAAGAAACAACGAAGAAGAGAAGAGUGGGAAGGUGGAAAUAGAAGUAGAAGCAGCCAACCAAAAAUUCAGAGAGCACCAUCAGGAAAGAAACAACAUUGCAGCCUUUGUAGGCAGCCAGGACAUAGGUGUACCAGAUGUCCUCUAAAAAAUGCACCUAAUGUCAAAGAAGGUGCACCUAAUAAUGCACCAAUUGUUGAAGAAAGUGCAUCUAAAAAUGCAAGUAAUGUUGAAGAGAAUGGUACUACUGCAGAGGUGAUAAAAGAACUGCCAGGCAAAACUUCAAAAAAUCAACCAGUUAAGAGGCCAAAACUACCAGUAAGGAGAAAGGAGAAGGGAAUCCUGAUCAAGGAGCCAGAAGUAUGCUCACAACAUAAACAUCAAGAAACACAGUAUGGUAAAGGCAAGGAAAAAGUUGUGGUGCAGCAUAAAGUCAAAACAAGGAGGCCUUAUCUUAAUCUUCAGAACUCAAAGCUAUCACAGGGAAGUGUUCAAGCUUCACAGCAAUCACAGGUCUAGUGGCAGCAACAAAUAUGUUUGCUCUUUUGCAAUGGAACAUCCACUGAUUUCAAUUUUCUUUUAAAACAAUAAUAUGUACGUUUAUGUUUGGUCUAGGGAACCAUAAUGUUGAACAGACUAGUUUGCUUUUUCUUUUGAAACUGAAAUAUUUAUGCUUGUCUUUAAAUUUUAUUCAAAAUUUCCAACUCUUGAUUCUUUCAAUUCUACUAGAAAGUAAAUAAAUCAAAUACAAAAAAAAAAUUCUAUUAAUAAAACUAGAUAGUAAAUAAAUCAAAUAAAAAAAAUAAAAUAAAAGAUUUUCUAUUAAUAACUAGAAAGUAAAUAAAUUAGAUACAAAAAAAUAAAAUAAAAGAUUUUCUAUUAAUAACACUAGAAUGGUAAAUAAAUCAAAUACAAAAAAAAUAAAAUAAAAGAUUUUCUAUUAAUGAAACUAGAAAAUAAAUAAAUCAAAUACGAAAAAAUAAAAUAAAGAUUUUCUAUUAAUAAAACUAGAAAAUAAAUAAAUCAAAUACAAAAAAAUAAAAGAAAUAUUUUCUAUUAAUAAAAAUAGAAAAUAAAUUUAUUUCAAAAAAAAUUAGAAAGUAAAUAAAUCAAAUACAAAAAAAUAAGAUAAAAGAUUUUUAUUAAUAACACUAGAAAGUAAAUAAAUUAAAUAAAAAAUAAAACAAAGAAUUUCUAUUAAUAAAACUGGAAAGUAAAUAAAUUAAAAAUAAAAUAAAAGAUUUUAUAGUAAUAACUCUAUAAGGCUAUAAAGUUAUUAAGCCCCUGAUGCACACUUAAAUCUACUCGGCCAUGAAUGAAGCGAAGGAGAGUACACAGUCAGCAGCCACCUCACCUAUCGUUAAGCCACCUCACCUGCCGUUAGUUUUCUUAAUUUCAUUUAACGGAAUGUUACUGUUAGUCUAACGAGUGGUUUAUGUGAGACCAAAAUUUUCACAGUGAUGCGGAUGAUACAUGAGGCUGGAAUAAGUGAUUCAGUUGAUAAUUAACCUCAAUUUUAACUAUAAUUCUAACCCACAUGUUUUGACGGAAUGGUCAUUCCAUUUUUACAUCAUGUUUCUUUACAAUCUUUCUCACAAGAAAUUUAUUAUCUCAUACUUUCUUCUUUUUUCUUAAAACUUCUCCAUAAUUUUUCAUUCUAUUUUCCACUCGUAACAUUCCAUCCAAGUGAACACAGCCUGAGUCUUCGCUGACAUUGCAUUCUGUUUCAAUUUCACAAAGGUCCUUAUCGUUGUUUAAAUGGAUGGAAGAAUUGCCAUUCAAGUGGUUUGGAGACAUUUUCCAAGUUGGACACAAAGAUAUUAUUAUUUUUUUUUUUUACAAAGACACAAAAGAUAUUAUUAUUUUCAAGUGUAGAUAAACGCAAACACAGACAGAGUGAUGAUCCUAGAUUGUUUAGUGUCUUAUUUUUAUUUUAAAAUUUGAUUUUACAAAAUUGUAUAGGAUCAUUAUUAAAGAUUAUUUAUUUAAUAAUUUUUAUACCUAAUAAGCGAUAAAUAUCAAAAAAAUAAAUAUCCAAACAAUUAAAUUUUUAUCAUUCUUACUAUAGACACCAUAUAUAUUUGUAUUGUGAAUUUGUGAUCUUAUUAGGACUUCUCUCGGAGACAUUAAUAUUUUAGAUUAGUUUAUUAGUUCUAUCAUACACUCUGAUAUAAGUUUUCAUUUGGAGCAUGAAAUAAAUUACAGUCAUGGACACAUUGACUAAUUUAUAUUGGGCCUUGCUCAAAGAGUCCAAAUUUCACUAAUUUAGUAACUUUUUUUUAUUUAUGUGAAUAUCUAUAUGUAAAUAUAUAAACAUAUAUAAUAAAAAUAUUUAAAUUUAUAUAAUGUGCGGUUGGCGGUUGCGGUUGGUUUUUUGCGGUUUUAAAAAAAAUGAAUCCGCAACCAAACCGCAAAUUAAUGGUUAUUAAAAAAUCCAUCCGCGACCGCCCACAUUGUGCGGUUAUCCAUAAUACACGGAUCGGUUGCGGGUGGUUGUUGCGGUUGAUGCGGUUGAGCGGAUUGAAUGUACAGCCCUAGUUCUUUCCAUUAAUAUUUUCAUAUUUCAGAGACUAUUGGAGCAAGAAUGAAGAUUCACCAUACAACGAACACAUGAUGAGUACUGUCUUACUGCAGGCAAACUCUUAGCAUAAAGGAACUUAGAUUCAUAUUCAUAAUUUUAUUACUAAGUUACAUCCUUCAAUGUUUUUAUUUUAGAACAAAAAUAGAAACCUGCACAAUGUAUUUCAUUAACCGUGCUAUAUAUUUAUAGUGAUCCAAGGACUUCAAGUGCUAGAUAUCAAACCUGCAUUCAUCUCUGUCUGUAGUGAAUCGAGUGGUACUUUGCUGUUGGUAUAACAAAAUACCCACCAAGAAAUGCUGUUAAUACCGACGAAAUCAAGCCAAGUGGGAAUCCAAUCCACACUCCUGUCCACAAGAACAAUGGCUCUUUUUCAUCAUCAUCCUCUUCUUGUCCUUCAUUUGAUGUUGGCUCGCCUUUCGAACAAUUCACUCUGAUUUGCAUCCCACAUAAUCCACUGUUGUUGGCAAAAUAACUGGGAUCAUUCAUCGUGUCCAUCUGUCCACCCCGCGGGAUUUUACCACUUAGCUUGUUGUUACUCACAUCUAACACGGAUAGUUGAUCCAACUUCUUCAAUGAUAGUGGAAUUGUACCAGAGAUAUUGUUGUAAGACAGGUCCAACGUCUCUAUACUUUCUAGAUCCCCAAAACUUUGUGGUAUAUAUCCUGAGAGUUCAUUGUAGGAGAGGUUAAGUAGCUUCAGUCCUUUGAGGUUUCCUAAUGAAUCUGGAACAUCACCUGAAAACUUAUUGUUUGACAAGUCUAGGAAAGUAUAAUUAUGUCGACUAUGACUUGAGAGACCUUGCAUAGCAUUCUUCCAGUUCACUGUUAAGUCAUUCAUCUCGAUUGUAAUGGUGUACGUACCACUGAUUAAUGAAAGUGUGGCCUCGAUCCAGUUCACUUCUAUCUCACCAUUACCAUCGGCUACAAUGUAUCCUGAAGGGAAUCCACUCAUUCCCGGUAGAUUUCCCAACUCUGAAGGGAUUCUUCCGACAAGACUGUUACUUGAGAGAUCAAGAAAUUGGAGGUGACUUCUGUUGUAGAAUGACUUGGACGACAAUGGGCCAUGUAGUGAGUUGUUACGUAAACUCAGAAACUGAAGGUUGAAGAAUUGAGAUAUAAAUUCUGGAAAAUAACCUGUAAUAUUGUUGUCAUGUAGAUCAAGACAUUCAAGGUUUAAAACAUCAGUGAGGUUCCUAGGAAAGCUUCCAGAAAACUUAUUUUUCCCUAGUGCAAGAAAACUAGUUCCAGUGAAAAAUGACGCGGGAAUGUCACCUGAUAGUUCAUUUGAGGAGAGAUCAACAUAUGAUGGUGACAAAUUAGUUUUGAAAACCGCGAGUGUGUUGCCAGAGAGUCUGUUUCUUGACAAGUCUAGUAGCAUUAGUGUAGGGAGAUCUGCGAUGGAUUUCGGGAUUGACCCCGAAAAAUUGUUUCCAGAAAGCAUUAAUACCUUCAUCUUUAAAGCAUGACCGAUAUUUCGUGGCAACUCCCCUGAGAAAUUGUUUCUUGAAAGAUCCAAAAGGGUUAAAUUUUGACUCUGAAAAAGGGAAAAGGGAAAAGGGUAUUGAGCCCGUAAGUUUGUUCCGUCAGAGUAGUAGAUUUUGUUAUUUUACACCAACUAUGAGAAAGAUUGUAGAAGGGGGGGGUUGAAUACAAUCUUUUACAAAUUUAAAAGAUUCAAGAAUGAUACACUAAAACACAGUAAACAGAAAAACACCAAGUAUUAAAAAUACGGGUGGAUUGAAUGAUCCACCCGUGAGAUUUUAUAUAGAAGAAUCUGUGGAUUGUUUUACAAUUCGCACAGCUGCUGGUUCAUCACUCAACAAGUUCUAACUCUCAGAUUUUUCUCUCAAGUAAUUUGAACAAGUUCAACUGAUGCUACUAACUUGGUUAUAUACUCCAAGUUUUACAAAGCUUUUAGCUAGAUUACAAAAUGCACUCUAAUCUAAAAACAAUGCUGCACAACUUUGUCUUAUGCAUGCUUUCUGAGAUGUCUUCAUCUUUGACCAUCAUCUUGAUUUGAUCCAGAUUGCACUGCAUGAGAUAAGUAUGUUUCUGCUUCUUCUUUAUUUUCCUAAUUAGGCUUCCAUGUCUAUUUUAGUGUAAUUCGAUCCAUGUGAUUUGUCAGACUUAAGCUCUAGUCACUUUCAACUGCUCUUUGCUUCAUCAGUUGAAAGUUCUGGUUGCUUUCUNNNNNNNNNNNNNNNNNNNNNNNNNNNNNNNNNNNNNNNNNNNNNNNNNNNNNNNNNNNNNNNNNNNNNNNNNNNNNNNNNNNNNNNNNNNNNNNNNNNNNNNNNNNNNNNNNNNNNNNNNNNNNNNNNNNNNNNNNNNNNNNNNNNNNNNNNNNNNNNNNNNNNNNNNNNNNNNNNNNNNNNNNNNNNNNNNNNNNNNNNNNNNNNNNNNNNNNNNNNNNNNNNNNNNNNNNNNNNNNNNNNNNNNNNNNNNNNNNNNNNNNNNNNNNNNNNNNNNNNNNNNNNNNNNNNNNNNNNNNNNNNNNNNNNNNNNNNNNNNNNNNNNNNNNNNNNNNNNNNNNNNNNNNNNNNNNNNNNNNNNNNNNNNNNNNNNNNNNNNNNNNNNNNNNNNNNNNNNNNNNNNNNNNNNNNNNNNNNNNNNNNNNNNNNNNNNNNNNNNNNNNNNNNNNNNNNNNNNNNNNNNNNNNNNNNNNNNNNNNNNNNNNNNNNNNNNNNNNNNNNNNNNNNNNNNNNNNNNNNNNNNNNNNNNNNNNNNNNNNNNNNNNNNNNNNNNNNNNNNNNNNNNNNNNNNNNNNNNNNNNNNNNNNNNNNNNNNNNNNNNNNNNNNNNNNNNNNNNNNNNNNNNNNNNNNNNNNNNNNNNNNNNNNNNNNNNNNNNNNNNNNNNNNNNNNNNNNNNNNNNNNNNNNNNNNNNNNNNNNNNNNNNNNNNNNNNNNNNNNNNNNNNNNNNNNNNNNNNNNNNNNNNNNNNNNNNNNNNNNNNNNNNNNNNNNNNNNNNNNNNNNNNNNNNNNNNNNNNNNNNNNNNNNNNNNNNNNNNNNNNNNNNNNNNNNNNNNNNNNNNNNNNNNNNNNNNNNNNNNNNNNNNNNNNNNNNNNNNNNNNNNNNNNNNNNNNNNNNNNNNNNNNNNNNNNNNNNNNNNNNNNNNNNNNNNNNNNNNNNNNNNNNNNNNNNNNNNNNNNNNNNNNNNNNNNNNNNNNNNNNNNNNNNNNNNNNNNNNNNNNNNNNNNNNNNNNNNNNNNNNNNNNNNNNNNNNNNNNNNNNNNNNNNNNNNNNNNNNNNNNNNNNNNNNNNNNNNNNNNNNNNNNNNNNNNNNNNNNNNNNNNNNNNNNNNNNNNNNNNNNNNNNNNNNNNNNNNNNNNNNNNNNNNNNNNNNNNNNNNNNNNNNNNNNNNNNNNNNNNNNNNNNNNNNNNNNNNNNNNNNNNNNNNNNNNNNNNNNNNNNNNNNNNNNNNNNNNNNNNNNNNNNNNNNNNNNNNNNNNNNNNNNNNNNNNNNNNNNNNNNNNNNNNNNNNNNNNNNNNNNNNNNNNNNNNNNNNNNNNNNNNNNNNNNNNNNNNNNNNNNNNNNNNNNNNNNNNNNNNNNNNNNNNNNNNNNNNNNNNNNNNNNNNNNNNNNNNNNNNNNNNNNNNNNNNNNNNNNNNNNNNNNNNNNNNNNNNNNNNNNNNNNNNNNNNNNNNNNNNNNNNNNNNNNNNNNNNNNNNNNNNNNNNNNNNNNNNNNNNNNNNNNNNNNNNNNNNNNNNNNNNNNNNNNNNNNNNNNNNNNNNNNNNNNNNNNNNNNNNNNNNNNNNNNNNNNNNNNNNNNNNNNNNNNNNNNNNNNNNNNNNNNNNNNNNNNNNNNNNNNNNNNNNNNNNNNNNNNNNNNNNNNNNNNNNNNNNNNNNNNNNNNNNNNNNNNNNNNNNNNNNNNNNNNNNNNNNNNNNNNNNNNNNNNNNNNNNNNNNNNNNNNNNNNNNNNNNNNNNNNNNNNNNNNNNNNNNNNNNNNNNNNNNNNNNNNNNNNNNNNNNNNNNNNNNNNNNNNNNNNNNNNNNNNNNNNNNNNNNNNNNNNNNNNNNNNNNNNNNNNNNNNNNNNNNNNNNNNNNNNNNNNNNNNNNNNNNNNNNNNNNNNNNNNNNNNNNNNNNNNNNNNNNNNNNNNNNNNNNNNNNNNNNNNNNNNNNNNNNNNNNNNNNNNNNNNNNNNNNNNNNNNNNNNNNNNNNNNNNNNNNNNNNNNNNNNNNNNNNNNNNNNNNNNNNNNNNNNNNNNNNNNNNNNNNNNNNNNNNNNNNNNNNNNNNNNNNNNNNNNNNNNNNNNNNNNNNNNNNNNNNNNNNNNNNNNNNNNNNNNNNNNNNNNNNNNNNNNNNNNNNNNNNNNNNNNNNNNNNNNNNNNNNNNNNNNNNNNNNNNNNNNNNNNNNNNNNNNNNNNNNNNNNNNNNNNNNNNNNNNNNNNNNNNNNNNNNNNNNNNNNNNNNNNNNNNNNNNNNNNNNNNNNNNNNNNNNNNNNNNNNNNNNNNNNNNNNNNNNNNNNNNNNNNNNNNNNNNNNNNNNNNNNNNNNNNNNNNNNNNNNNNNNNNNNNNNNNNNNNNNNNNNNNNNNNNNNNNNNNNNNNNNNNNNNNNNNNNNNNNNNNNNNNNNNNNNNNNNNNNNNNNNNNNNNNNNNNNNNNNNNNNNNNNNNNNNNNNNNNNNNNNNNNNNNNNNNNNNNNNNNNNNNNNNNNNNNNNNNNNNNNNNNNNNNNNNNNNNNNNNNNNNNNNNNNNNNNNNNNNNNNNNNNNNNNNNNNNNNNNNNNNNNNNNNNNNNNNNNNNNNNNNNNNNNNNNNNNNNNNNNNNNNNNNNNNNNNNNNNNNNNNNNNNNNNNNNNNNNNNNNNNNNNNNNNNNNNNNNNNNNNNNNNNNNNNNNNNNNNNNNNNNNNNNNNNNNNNNNNNNNNNNNNNNNNNNNNNNNNNNNNNNNNNNNNNNNNNNNNNNNNNNNNNNNNNNNNNNNNNNNNNNNNNNNNNNNNNNNNNNNNNNNNNNNNNNNNNNNNNNNNNNNNNNNNNNNNNNNNNNNNAAACUAGCAACCUUGAGUUGAACUUUAGGUCUGAAAAAUCUCCUAACACCUUGAUUGUCCCUAAAUUCCAUGACUGGAGUAGGUUCAUGGUGAAUUUUCUUUCCAGUGUAGGGAAUUUUCAGCCUUCUUUGUAGACUAGCAUCUGAGUUCCAUUCCUUCCUGAUCUCAAGGAUUCUCUUUAGUACCAUUUGCUUUGCAGGUGGUGUAAAUCCUCCAGUCCUCUUCAUAGAUCCAUAUAUUUUUGUUAGAGAACUGAAUCCCUCAGAAUCCAGAACUCUGUGAAGAGGCCAGAUGACAUCACCCUUGUUUUUGUAAGAGAAUACCAAUCUUUCAGGUAACUUUGAAGUUGCUUCUAUUCCUCUUACUUCUUGAAGAUCAUCCAGCUCCAGAUCCAACUCAGAAAUUUCUUCAAUGUUAGCAAUGAUGAGAUAGUCAUCAGGGUUCUCAGGUUCUUUUGGAGGUUUAGGAGGGUUAGCCAUUCUCUUAGCCACAGACUUGACCUUUUUCUUUGGCUUGGAGGAUUCUUGGACAAGAAAAGCUGGUAUUGGAAUAUCUUCCAAGUCAAUUGGCUCCUCCUUUGGCAUUAUUGGCUCAUCAUGGAAGUUGACAUCUGGAUGUACUACAGUGGUAUCCUUGAUUGGAGAAGAAGGCUUUGAGAUAGGCUUUUCUGGCACUUCUUCUCUUCUCUUGGCUGCCUCAGGCAUCUUAGUUUUAGAUUUGACUCUCUUUUUCUUUGGAGAAGAUUCAAGAGGCAAUCCUUUCUCAUUUAAAAGCUCAGCUGCCAACUCCUCUUCCAGCUCAAUAGCAAACCUUUCAUCCACCUCUAUUUGGUUUAAAGAGAGUUGGGAUUCAAACUCCUCUUUUUCACAUUCUCUGGCCACCUCUUCAGCUUUUGCAAAUGAGUAAUGAGGAUGGCCAGUUCCAAUAAACAGCUUCUGGCCUUCUCUGUAGAUGAUGGCAAAAUGAGCCUUUAAGGCCACAUCUGCACAAUCUUUAUAACUUUUGAUUUCUUGGCCCAAAAGCUUGUAUUCAUUUUUGUCAGGCCUGGCUAGUGGAAAGUAGAUUGAGCUUGAGUCUUUUCCAGGCCUGGAGUAACCACAAUUGUUUGGAAACAGAAUUGGCUUGAACUCAUUCAGAAAUGAUGGCUCACCCUUUUCUGUCUUGGAGGGAAUAACAAUCUCAGGUGUAAUUACCCUGAGAAUUGUGGUUGUGGUUGGAAAAGAGAUUUGAGCUGUGGUGGCUGUAGAAGAUGUAGAUGAUUUCUUGCCCAAUUGAGCCACUCUCUUUGCAAUGGAGUCCAAUUCUUUCAUCCUUGCAAUCUUCUGCUUUUCCCUUUCAGUGUGGAAAGGGGGAGGAAUUUGACUGAUCAAUUCUGCAGGAGUUGGUAAUUCUUUCUCCCCCUUUUUGUUAGCAGCAAGUGUAGGGGAUGGACUGGGAAGUGAAACACCAGAGGCAAGAAGAAGAUGUUGAAGCAGUCCAGUCUGAAUUCUUUGAUGCUGCAACAUCUCAUCCAUUCUAGAGUUUAAGGUGUAGACAUUUCCUUCCAGAGCUUCCACUUGCUUCUCCAAUUGUAGUUGUUUUUGCUCAGAUGCAGAAAGAGCUGAUUUGACCUGAGCUGGAAGCUUUUCAUCAAUUUGCUUGGUCAGAUCAGUCUUAACAGAGGCAAUAAGAGAAUUGAGAUGCUCUAUCUCAUGCUGAAAAUGAAGAGAUUGAAACUUGUGAAGCUUGAGGUUUUCUAGAGCUUGACUGGCAAUGGUGGCAGAGAUGGCUGGAGAGGAGGAUGAGCUUCCAGGUUGUGAUUGAAGAAUGGUGGAGGCUUGCCUUUCCAGCUCCAUGCUAACAACAAUUGCAUUGGCAGACUGCAUGGAGAGCCAUGAAGGUAGAGAGGUUGUAGGUUGUUCACCAAGGGAUUCCUCAAGAGCAUCAUUGAGGUCUUCAUCACUAUCAUCAUAAUGAAAAUCAUCUCCAGCAUUGGCAGGCAGAGCUGUAAGUGCCUCCUUUGCUCUAAGCAAAAAAGAUGUAGUAUAAAUAAGAUUAAGCUGCUUCUCAGCUGCUUGAUUAUCCAAUCUUGCAAAAUCUUGAAUGUAAGACAUCCCAUGAGUAAAAGUCUCAGGGUCUAGUGAAACACCAUCCAAUAUGGAUCUGUAUUCAGCUUGAAAUUCUUGUUCUCUAAACCCUUCACUGACACCUGCAUUUCUCUCAAUAUCUCUCUUUUCUUGCAUCAAGGGCUCCCCUUGGCUCACCACACAACUCACCUCUCCCUCACUUACCCUUACUAAAGGGUCACUCUGAUCCUUUCCUUUUUCCUGGCUAGAAGAAAAUGCCAGACUCUCCACACCCUCUCCCUCCUUUUUCCUGGCUAGAAGAAAAUGCCAGACUCUCCACACCCUCUCCUUUUGCCAGCUCACUAGGCUGCCUCUCCACUCCAUAGCUCACUCCACUCAAUCCUAGAAGUGUUUGUGCUACCAUGUGAUCAACUGCUGUAGAAAGAGGUAAAUUAAUUGAAGUAGCAGCAGUUGUCAACUGAUGAGAGACAUCAGUUGAAACAUGAGUAGAAGAGGCAUUCAACUGAUGAGAGCUGUUAAGCAGAUCAGUUGAAGGACAAACACUUGUCAACUGAUGAGGGAGAUCAGUUGAAGAAAAUGAAGAAAUAGGUUUAGAAGCUGUGACAGUUGAGUCUGUGGUGAUUGAUUUUAAAGGAAAAUCCACAGAACACACUGUCUCAGUAGAAGGAAAUGGAAGAGAAAGAUCCAACAAAUCAUCAAAAUGAUGAUGAUCAAUCUCAGAUGGGGGCUUCUCCAUGAAAUCCAAAGAUGGCUGAGGGAGAUCAGUUGAAGAAAAUGAAGAAAUAGGUUUAGAGGCUGUGAUAGUUGAGUCUGUGGUGAUUGAUUUUAAAGGAAAAUCCACAGAACACACUGUCUCAGUAGAAGGAAAUGGAAGAGAAAGAUCCAACAAAUCAUCAAAAUGAUGAUGAUCAAUCUCAGAUGGGGGCUUCUCCAUGAAAUCCAAAGAUGGAGAAUUUACAAGUGUGGUGUGAAUCAAUUCCACAUCCACAGAAGAGGUUGGGGAUUGUGUUUGAGUUGGAGAAAUAGUAAGAUCAUGAAUAUGGGUAAUUGGAUUUACUGAAGAAGGGGGCUGUGACUCCACAUUUAUUGGAGUCACAUCAAUCUGACUUUGAGAAGAUAAAGGCAUAGAGUCCAGAGUGGAUGCCUGUGUGUGUGCAGAGUGCUUCAGUUUAUCACUUCUUAGCUUCUUUCUCCCAUAGGCUUUUAUUGGUGAAGAAGUGGUGUCCCUCCCCCUUUUUAACUGUGUCCCUGGUUGAGGACUAUUUUCAAUAGCAACAUCCUUUUGGGAGGAUGCUGCUAGGGAUGAGCUUAAAUCCAUAUUAACAUCUACAGUCUUUUGGGAGACUGCAGAGUGGCUAGGCUGGUUAGCACUCACCUCUCCAUCCUUAUCCUUAGGGUUUCUUUGAUGAUCACCCUUUCCCUCCCCCUCACUUCCUCCAAUCACACUCCCCUCAGGCUUGUGUUUCUUAGUUUUUACAACAGAUGCCUUUUGGGAGGCAUCUGAGGUUGGUUUAGAAGACUUGGUUUUAGAGGGUUUUGCUACUUGUGUAGGCUGUUGAUGGGCCUCUUCAACAGCCCUGAUAGCAGAAAGCAAAGAAGUUGAGGGUUGAGAGAGAGUAGUAGGAAAGCCAUGUACCUCUUUUUGCUUUCCAGCCUCCAUUAUUGGCAGGUACACCACCUCCAAGGAGGGGUACAAAUUCAUCCUGAAGAGGUCUUUAAAGACUCUCUUUUCCUGCACAAAACUAGGAAGCUUGGCUUCCUUGUUAGUAAUAACCAGCUUUUUGUUGAGAUGAUUAGCUAGCAUCAUAAGAAACCUGACAUAAUAAAUAUUCCUAGGUCUACUAGUUUUAUCACCUAGUUUCUCCCCAAUUUCUUGGAUCAUCAAACCACCAAAAUUGAAAUAUUCAUUAGUCAGGUACAUGUAAAGCAUUUGUAAAAUCUGGGAAGUGAGAGCAUUGAAAUUACUAAUUUUACCAGAAAAUGCCUUAAUAAAAGCAUCACAUAAAUAACUCCAUUCUCUCCUAAGACCCCUUCUUUCUAUUUUACCUAAGGCAUCAGUUGGCAAAACAUAAUUCAUGGCAUAAAGUAAAUUAACCAACUGAUUAUCACUAGGCAAAGAUAAAACAGUAUCUUCAGGAAUCUUAAAGCAUGCUUUCAUAACAUCAGCAUUGACAGAAUGAAUUUCAUUAUUGACAGAGAAAGUUAGAGUUUCAUGCUCACUAUUAAACUCUGCAGAGGUCCACAUCUCCUCCACUAUUUCAUGGUAGAUGGUAGGAGCUUCAAGCAUAGCAUAAGAGAGCUGGCUUGACUUGAUGAACUCCAUCAUCCUGUGAUACUCCUUCUCCUCCACAGCCUUGGUAUCCACAAAUGACGCGAAGUUGUUCUUCUCAUAAAUAAACCCACUUGGUGCAGUAUACUUCUUCAUUGGUGCCAUUGUAGUUACAGAGAAAGCUUGAGGAAAAAUUAGAGUUUGCUUUUGCACAGAGAGAGAAGAGAACUUGAAGAAUUCGAAAGAGUGAGAUGAAAAGAAAUGAAAAUAAAUUAAAACACUUAAAUACUUUCUCAGAAAAUUGCUGUGAUUGGCUGAGAAAUUACCGUUGAGAAGAAAUUACUCUUAUUUAUCUCUACAAAAAUUACACACACGAUCGUGUGUAUAAAGUAGGUGAGAGACAAAAGAAAUUUCAACGGCUCAGAUCUGAUAAUACUUUCAACGGAUGAAAUAAGCGCCUCUUUAAACUUCCUAUUCAACUGAUGAAGAUCAGUUGAAGGCGUCUUCAACUGGUGUCAUCAGUUGAAUGAAAAACAACGCAAGAGGAUAUUGUUUCAAGCAUCAGUUGAAACAAUUUCACUAGUUCAUCAGUUGAAAUAUUAUAGACUUUAUCCAGAAUUAUAAUUAAUUCAAUUUUGAUAAAUCAAAAUUAAUCAAAUUCUGGCUGCCAAAUUACAGAAAAAUUCACUCUAAAUUAGGAGAAAUUUAACAUACCUAAUUUACUUACCAACCUUGUGAAUGUGGAUUCAUCAAGAGGCUUUGUGAAAAUAUCUGCAAUCUGUUCUUCACUUGGAACAAAAUGCAUUUCAACAGUACCAGCCAUCACAUGUUCUCUUAUGAAGUGGUAUUUGAUGUCAAUGUGCUUGGUUCUUGAGUGUUGUACUGGAUUUUCAGUUAUAGCAAUAGCACUGGUGUUGUCACAAAAUAUUGGGAUUUUUGAGAGAUUUAAUCCAUAAUCAAGUAAUUGAUUUCUCAUCCACAAUAAUUGUGCACAACAGCUUCCAGCUGCAAUGUACUCAGCCUCAGCUGUAGAGGUUGAUACAGAAUUUUGCUUUUUGCUAAACCAAGAAAUCAAUCUGUCACCAAGAAAUUGACAGGUGCCUGUUGUACUUUUUCUAUCAAUUUUGCAUCCUGCAAAAUCAGCAUCUGAAUAUCCAAUUAGAUCAAAUCCAGAGUCUUUAGGGUACCAAAUACCAAGAUUUGGUGUUCCCUUAAGAUAUCUGAAUAUUCUUUUUAUAGCAAUAAGAUGUGAUUCUUUAGGAUCAGAUUGAAAUCUAGCACAGAGGCAUGUAGAAAACAUAAUAUCUGGUCUACUAGCUGUCAAAUAUAAAAGAGAACCAACCAUGCCUCUAUAAUUAGAGAUGUCCACAGAUUUCUCAUUAGGACUUAACUCUAAUUUGGUGGCUGUUGGCAUGGGAGUCUUAGCUUCUUUGCAAUCCAAUAAAUCAAACUUUUUAAGUAGAUCAUAGAUGUACUUAGUUUGAUUUAUGAAUAUACCUUCCUUUACUUGUUUAACUUGUAAACCAAGAAAGUAGGUGAGCUCUCCCAUCAUGCUCAUUUCAUACUGACUUUUCAUUAGAUUAGCAAACUUCUUGCAAAGUUUCUCAUCUGUAGAACCAAAAAUUAUAUCAUCUACAUAAAUUUGAACCAGAAUAAAGGCACCAUUUACAUUUCUGUAAAAUAGUGUUUUAUCCACAGUUCCUCUGGAAAAAUGAUUAUCUAACAAGAAUUGAGACAGAGUGUCAUACCAUGCCCUUGGUGCUUGCUUUAGUCCAUAGAGUGCUUUUAAUAAAAAGUAAACAUACUCUGGAAAUUCUGGAUCUUCAAAACCAGGAGGCUGACUGACAUAUACCUCCUCUUCCAGUUCACCAUUUAGAAAAGCACUCUUGACAUCCAUUUGAUAAACUUUAAAGUUUGCAUGAGCAGCAUAGGCCAGGAAGAUUCUUAUUGCUUCCAGUCUUGCAACUGGUGCAAAGGUCUCAUCAAAAUCAAUUCCUUCAGAUUGAGAGUAUCCUUUAGCAACAAGCCUUGCCUUGUUUCUGGUGACAACUCCAUUCUCAUCCACCUUGUUUCUGAAUACCCACCUUGUUCCUACAAUUGUUCUGUUUUUAGGUUUGGGUACCAGCUUCCAUACAUUGUUUCUCUCAAAUUGAUUUAAUUCUUCUUGCAUAGCAAGAACCCAAUCAGCAUCUUUGAGAGCAUCUUCUAUGACUUUAGGUUCAUCCUGUGAAAGGAAUGCACUGUACAAACACUCAUCUUGAGUUGCUCUUCUUGUUUGUACAGAUGCAUUUGCAUCUCCAAUAAUUAGCUCAAAAGGAUGAUCCCUUGUCCACUUUCUUUGUGGUGGAAGUGAUUGUCUUGAUGAUGUGGCUUCAUUAUUGAAGUUCAGGUUUCCAUGUUGGAAAGCUCCCCCUAAAUUUGACAUCUCAUUAUUUCUAGACUGAUUGAAACUUUGAGACAUUCUUUCAACUGAUGAUCCUUGAGGUGUUUCAACUGAUCCCUCCAAUGUAGUUUCAACUGAUGCUUCAGUUGAAUUUCCAAUUGCAGUUGUUUCUUGCACCAGAGAGUCAUCAGUUGGAAUAUUAAUUCCAGGAUUAAUUCCAACAUUUUGAAUAAUGUCAUCAUCAUCAUCACUGUCAUACAGAUCACCUUCACCUUCAUUUUCAAAUCUGAGAUUAUCAUGAAAUCCUUCAUCUGAGAAUCCUUGAAUCUUCUUAUCAUCAAAAACCACAUGGAUUGAUUCCAUAACAAUGUUGGUUCUCAGAUUAUAUACUCUAAAUGAUUUUCCAUCAGAGUAUCCAACAAAAAUAGCUUCAUCUGCCUUGGCCUCAAAUUUUCCAAGAUUUUCACCUUGAUUUCUUAGAACAUAACACUUGCAUCCAAAUACAUGAAGAAAGCUAAUUGUUGGCUUCUUUCCUUUGAAGAGUUGAAAGGGAGUUAGAUUAUGAGGUUUGGUAAUUAGUGAAAUGUUUUGAGUGAAACAAGCAGUGUUCACAGCUUCAGCCCAAAAAUAGGUUGGAAGUUGAGCUUCAUUAAUCAUGGUUCUUGCAGCCUCAAUAAGAGUUCUAUUCUUCCUUUCAACAACACCAUUUUGUUGUGGAGUUCUUGGUGCAGAGAACUCAUGAAUAAUUCCCUCUUCUUCACAAAAUUCUUUCAUCACAGAGUUCUUGAAUUCUGUUCCAUUGUCACUUCUUAUCCUUCCAACUUUGACAUCUGGAUUGUUGUUUAAUGCCUUGAUAUGAUUGAUGAUGAUUUUCCCAGCUUCAUCCUUAGAAUGCAGGAAGAAAGUCCAAGUAAAUUUUGAAAAAUCAUCAACAAUCACUAAGCAAUAUUUCUUCUUUGAAAUGGACAUUAUGUUGACUGGUCCAAAUAAAUCCAUAUGCAAGAGCUGAAGGGGCUUCACAAUUGAUGAAAGAGAUUUGCUUUUGAAAGAGCUUCUCUUUUGCUUUCCUAGCUGACAAGCUCCACAAAGUCCAUCUUUGGAGAAUUCCAGCUUAGGUAGACCUCUUACCAAGUCCUUCUUUACUAACUCAUUCAAGGUUUUGAAAUUUAGAUGAGACAAUCUCUUAUGCCAUAGCCAACUGUCAUCUGAGCUUGCUUUGCUGAGAAGGCAAGUGAUAGAUUCAGACUUUACAGAAUUGAAGUCAGCUACAUACACAUUUCCUUUCCUUUGUCCAAUCAGAACCACAUUGUUGUCAUCUCCUUUGGUGACAACACAGGCUGCAGGAGUGAAAUUAACUUUGUAACCUUUGUCACAGAGCUGACUGAUGCUAAGCAAGUUGUGCUUAAGACCAGACACCAAUGCAACUUCAUCAAUGAUGACAUUCUCUUUUGCAAUCAAGCCAUAUCCCAUAGUAUAUCCUUUGCUGUCAUCUCCAAAGGUAAUGCUAGGGCCAGCUUUCUCCACAAACUUUGUGAGCAGGGAGGAAUCACCAGUCAUGUGCCUGGAGCAUCCACUAUCCAAGUACCACAAAUUCUUCUUGUGGUUUCCCUGCACACAUUUCACAAACAGAUCAAGUUGAUUUUGGUACCCAAAUUGCUUUGGGUCCAGAUUUGUUAGUCUUAGCAGCCUUUUCCACUUUCUCAACCUUUUCCUUGGAUUGAAUUGGUUCAAUCUUUGGUUUUGGUUGAGAAAUUGGAACAUCAACUCUGUUUUCAAACACAGGCCUUUGAGACAUGCAUAAAUUGUUCAUUCCAUGCAAGUUUGAAUGAAAUUGAGGCAUGUUAAAGGCAUUGAAAUAAGGAUUGAACAUAUAUGGCAUGUUAGGCUGAGAAUAAGGAUUGUGAGGCAAUAAACCAGAUAAAAUUACAUGGCAUUGGAUAUUUACAAUUAGCCAUCCUAUUCUACCCAUCCGUUGAUAAUUCCCAAAGACAAGUAAUGUAACAAUUACAACUGAAAUUUGAUAAAGAUUCUAAGUAAGACAUGUUACAAAAUGUUUAUGUUAUCAUCAAAAAUUAUUGAUUCCUAACAGAUUUUCAAUUUCCAUCUCUGCAAUCCAAAGUGGGAAGUUUCCUGUGAGCUGAUUGUCACUUAGUUCGAGUAAAUUAAGAUGCUUUUGAGUGGAAAUCCAUUCCGGAAUCUCUGCAGAUAUUUUACAUGAUUUGAGAGAGAGUUGGGAAAGCAUACACUUGGGAACUAUUUUGAGGUUGUUAUUCCAAAUGAAUUUGUUUCGUCCAAGAUACAAAUUCUUCAAACUCUCAAUGUCAAAUAACCAGGAUGGGAUUUCUCCUGAAAGCAUGUUAUCUUCCAGCUGAAGGGUUUCCAAUUUGCUCAAGUUCCGUAUUGAUGGUGGAAUUAAUCCAGUGAAACUGUUCCCACUCAAUUCCAAAAUGGAAAUGUGAAACAAGGUUCCAAUCCCAUUCGGAAUAUGCAUCUCCAAAUAAUUAUUACUCACGUCCAAUUUUUCCAAUCCUUUCAAAUUGAGAAUGGAAUCUGGAAUCGGACCCAAAAGUUUGUUCCGGCUGACAGAAAAUUGCUGCAAUCUGGUGAGGUUUCCUAUCCGGACAGGGAUAUUUCCAUCAAUAGAAUUCCGAUCCAACUUCAAUGACCUUAGAUUUCCAAGCUUGCCAAUUUCUCUACUUAAACCAUCCUUUAAUGAGUUAUCACUCAAAUCAAGAGACUGCAGAAACCGCAACUGGAAGAGUUGUGCUGGGAUUGAGCCAUUAAGACUAUUCUGACUCAUGUCGAGGUAAGUUAGUUUUGUGAGAUUUGCCAACCCUUCACCAGAAAUUUCACCCUGUAUCCCAGUGUGGGAGAUAUUAAGAAACCUUAAGGAUCUAAUGCCAUAAAUGGGGUCCAAGAUUCGUAUAUCCACCGGUCUGGAUUCAUCAUGCAUAUGUAGAUCGCCAAGGUGCAGAGCUGUUAUGUCACGAGAAUGAGAACUGCAAACAACUCUAGACCACUUACAACAGUCAAAAAUGGAGUCCCAAGACUCCAAACCAAAGGAUGUCGAGUUUGAGGUUUCGUAGCUGUUGAGCAAGGAGGAUUUGAAGUGGAGAAGGGAUUGUUUGUGAUGAGCAGGACAAGAUAAACAUGGUACGAGCAAGAAAAUGAAAGACAAACGCACAAAUAAUUCGAUCAUGCUUAGCGGCUUGGCCAUUGUGUUUUAUCUGUCUCCUCCUUGUGAAAUGGAGUUGGUGUACACGCAUUAAAUAAGCUUUUGUAAAACGACCAGGGUGAAUGCCAAAUCGAGUCAAAAUUUGAAUACUAAAUAUGACCUCACAAUAAGGUCAAAGUCAACUAAUGAGACGAUGAGAUAAGACUCAUCGGGAAGAGGGAAACAGCCGGGAAUAAACUAAGGCGGUAAGACCCCUAAAGGAAUCCAUGCCACGUAAUUUGACAAUUUAAUUGACAAAAUAAUCUUAUCCGAAAUCCGAAAUUUUGGAUUUAUCAAACCCGAUUUUUUGGAUUUGGAUUCGGAUAUGGAUUUAAUUUUUAAACCCGAAAAAUUUUUGGAUUUAAAUUUGGAUAUUUGAUAUAUUGGGUAUACCGAUCCGAAUUCGAUACAAACCCGAAAUCAAAAAAAAACCCGAAUAUAUAAUAUUAAUAUAUAUAUAUAUAUAUAUAUAUAUAUAUACACACAUAUACAUAUAGAGGAAAGUUCUAUGGAGACCAUAUUAUUUGGAGACCAAAAAGACUAGAUCACAACCAUUCAUUUACUUUAAAUCCAACUUCUCAUCAUUUUUUAUCAGUUUAUAUCUUUUUUUUAAAACAGGUCACGUGCUUUCUUUAACAAGCAGAUGUUCCUUCCCGUUUUUUAGGAAUGUAGAUAGACCAAUUAUCCUGCAUUUCGUCCCAUCUUUGUAUCUCUCAUUUUUUUUCAUAAGUUAUUAGUAUUUUUUGUUUUCUUGUUUAAAUCAUUUUAAUUUUUUUCAGAAAAGCGUUAGCAGCAGUUACAUGACUUUCAUUUUUUCAAUAAUCGAUUAUUCAUCUUGUCCUUUACUAAUAUUCGAUCCAGUGUUCAGAUUUCUACACUACUGUGUUAUUGAGAGUCACAACAUUAUUACAAGCGAUAUUGUGAAUUUUUUUAAAUUUAAGCAAAUCAAUAGGGUAUUAUUAAAUUUAAAAUUAAAUUGGUGUUCAAUAGCAAGAUGGAAAAAGACAAAAGAUAAGAAAGAGUGAGCCAAUCUAUUGAGUUGUGAAAAAAUCCAAGUUAAAAAUGUUGCAAAAUCUCAAAACCACAUUAUAGAGCAUUGUCUUGCAAUUAGAUAUUUUAUUUCAAACUAUAACAAAGGAAACACCAACAUAGAACAAUCAUGUCUACCUUGUUGUCCUGCAUUCAUUCAAGCAUAAUAUAUAAAGACCAGUAACUUUACAUUACAGCAUGACACCAAAGUUUACUUAUUUAAAACAAAUAUCACAUACUAUACCAAUGCACCUCAUGGCUCAACACGCAAGACAUUGUCCACCAUAUUAUAGAGCAUUGUCUUGCAAAUAUAUAUUUUACCCCCAAACAAUAAUAAAAGGAACACCAACAUAGAACAAUCAUGUCUACCUCAAUAUCCUUGCUCUGUUCCAACAUAGAACAAUCAUGUCUACCUCAAUAUCCUUGCUUUGCCAAACACAAAUUCAUUUUUUUUCUAACAAACUUCGUUCUUCAUCCUACCAUUUUUGGAGACACAAUCCUUGCUUGCUCCACCCUGAACAAAUCUCAAAUAUUUAAGAUUAAAUAUUUUUCGAGAUCUGUAAUCAUAUUAAAACUCAUGGAUCCCUUUUAUUCUGCAGUUGCAAUUCAAUUCCAAAUCAACUGUAGAACCAUAGUUGAAUUUCGUCCUCCAACACCAACUAUUAAGAUAUAUUGAAUCCCACCGAAAGCGCUACAAAAUCUCUAUAGUUUAGCAAUGACACCGAUCUUCAGAAUAAACAAUCCAAAUUGGUUGUUCUGCUUCUCUUACAUUCAACUGCAAUAUUGUACGAAAUUUACCGGGAGAACAAUUAACGAAUUUUAAAAACAGUGGACAACCAAAUUACAAUGAAUUCAAUGCAGUACAGAGAAAUUGUUCUCACCUUCACUCAUUUUUAGAACUUCCAUUUGUCUCUUGAAAAGGCCCAAUUACAAGGAUGAAGAACCCUAAAAGCUUCGUAAAUCACGUUUGUCCUGCAACGAUCAUCGCACACAAUCCUAUGAAAUCUAGUAGAAACAGGGGAGGUUUUGCAAGAUUAAAAAGUUCAAUACAAAAAAAUACUACAGCUUGUCUUGCACUUUAAAUGCAGGACAAAAAAAAUACUACAGCUUGUCUUGCGCUUUAAUUAAAAAGUUUGCAAAAUCGAAGACAAAAGCUAUGCAGUGUUUUAGACUCGAAAUCUGGUCUUUUUUUAUUAUAAGAUGCUAUAACUAUUCCAAGUGCCAUUGAGCUUCCUCUAAUUCCUACCAGUCAAGCAGCUUUGUAUUAAUAAACUUUCAAUGUAUGAACAAUAAAUCCUUUAUAGAGAAUGUGAAGGAUAAUCAACAGGUAAUCUAUCAGGAGUAAAGAAACAAACUAGAAAAAUUAGAAGAAGAUAAAAUGACUGCGAGAACACAUUGCAAGCCCAAAAAUAAGAGAUUUUAAUAUAUUUCUUUGAAGACUUUUGACAAACAGAUGGUGGGUGAGCACACCAUAAAACUAGACAAAUCAUAACAUAGCAUCAACCUUUCUAUGCCUUAUUAAAAAGGGUUGUCUUGCACAUAACAAAUACCAAUCACAUAACAAAUAUCAGCAUGCAACUGAUUAAAGAAAGGUGAGAGUUCUAUGCCUUGACUCAUGCUUGCACUUGCUCUCUGCCUAGCUGCGUUAUUGUCCGGCAUUCUCUCUGAAAAUCAACAAGGUAUGUGAAUGUGAAAAUCAGCAAGAAUCGCGAUUAUCUUGCAGAGGUUAAUUUGAAAACCCUAACUGCUGUAGAUACGCUCGCCAAUCUCGUAUACGAUAUAUUCCCUCCGCUUGCUGUUUUAUUUUUAAAGAUUUUAAUUAAUAUAUAAAUUUUUAAUCUUGGCCUUUAGAUUAGUCUAUCAUCCAACGGUAGAGACCCAAGUCUCUAAUGACUCUAAAUAUAAUUGUCCCCAUAGAGCCCAACUCUCUCUCUCUCUCUCUAUAUAUAUAUAUAUAUAUAUAUAUGGGGUUAAGUUCUAGGGAGACAUCUCUUAUCAAGAGACUAAUAGACUGAAUAUCAGCCAUUGAUCAGACCAAUAUUCUAUUUAUCAGCUCAGGGGCACACCAGUCAAAUUACGAAGUGCAUUAUACUGGGCAAAUUUCAAUGAUACAAAUCGUAUACGAUCUGCUAAGGAAAGUUGGAGAUUCUUUUGAUGUCUCGCGUCAAUCAUGGGAUUCUCUAAAUUUGGAAGCUCUUAAGGGCUGCAUAUCUAUGAUAUACUCAAAAUCAAUAUUUGAACUGCUGAAGAAAUUUGGAGAGAGUCCUAAUGUCAAUGUCGAUCGAAGCUGAGAUGGACGACAAAAGGUUUGUUCUUACGCUUGAUCUUUGUGAAUCAUAGUUUAUAUAUGUUUUUGCUUACAAAACAUUUUAAGGAAUCUUGUAUCUUAUGUUUUUUUAGGUGUUUUCGUUCCGGGCCUGAUAGACCCAUUGUUAGGUUUAGACCACAAUUCUAGGCCUGAUAGGUCGAUUGUUAGAUUUAAACCUUGUAUGCUUGUUGAUGUUUUGUCCUCAUUAUCUCAUGAUAAAAAAACAUGGAUAAAAAAUCAUGACCAAUAUCAGAACCGCAAAAGAAAGUUGUAGAGAACCCUAAUAUCAAACGUCGAUUGCAGCAGACUUGGAUGAAGGAAUGUUUGUUCUUGCUUUGUUGAUGUGAAAUAUAAUUUUUAUAGUUUUCUGAUUAUACGAACUACUUGGAGAACAUUAUAAAGAAUUGUGUAUCUUAUGUUUUUAUGUAUUUUUUGUCCAGUCAUGAGAGGUCGAUUGUUAGGUUUGUUUGGAAGUUGAUUGUUGGCUGCCUAUAUAUAUUGGGUCUGGGCCUUUCCUUGUUAUGUCUUCAAGUUUGUUCUCUGAUGGGAAAAUAUUAUGUCUGCCGGUAUGUUUUGUCGGGGAUGUAAAAAUUUGUUUAUGAUUGUGUCUUUGAUUUUCUGGAGAUGCUUUAGACUUCUGUUGGUAGUUCGCUUUCUGGGGAUGCUUUAAAUUCAGCAGGCAGAUUAUUUUGCUUGAGUCAGGAUGUUAUUCAAUAAUGUAUGAUCGCUUGCCUUGGGGUUCAGCUCUACUCCUGAGGGGCAUUUUCCAUGCCAGUAUUUGUUUUUUUUUCUUUGGAUGGUUUUUUCAGCUGUUAUGAAGGCUGGAGUCAUUUGCUGCUGGUCUGUGCCAUGAGGCUGGGGGGUUUUAUUUGUUGAUUUGGUCGACGCAGGAGGUUGCGCUUCAUUAUUUAAUGUGGGGUUGUUGAAUUAAUUGGUUUGCAUCAUCUCUGCUACAUGAAUAUUUAUUUGCAGUUUAGAGCAUGGUGGUAGUUUUUUCUCUAUGAUUCUGUAGUUUGUUGGUUACUAUGGGUGCUUUGAUGAGGACUGGUGAUCACGAUAUGAUAUAGUGAUGAAUUGGUUCUAGUCUGUUCUGUGAGUAAUUUUAUUAAUUUUUUGUAAUGAUACCAUGUCGAUAUUAAAUAGAAUACGUGUUACUGGUUAUCAGAAUUGAUUCUGUAAAAUUCUGCCCAACGAUAUUUACAAUGAAUUAUUAAAACGCUGGUUGUUAAUGCUGAGUUCAAACCAAAUUUUACUGUUCUGCUAGUAAUAUCUUUAUAUAUGUGUUGUUCAAAUAAGUAUUCUAUAGUUGAUCUUAUAGAACCAUAAAAUUUAAGAAUAACAUGUUUAAUCUAAAUCACAAAAUUUUAAAAAUUAUAUUAUAUAAAUUCAUGGCUUUGAUUGCUAUCGUGCUAACUCAAAUCAUAUGUGAUAGUUUUAGAAAUUAAAUCUUUAAAAGAUUCAUUACAGUAUUCCUCCAAAUAGCUUUCCAUUUAUUUAUUUAACAGAACUUAAUAAUAUAUUCUUCACUAGAAUACGUUAAACCGAAGAAUCCAUGAACAUAUUAAAGAAUCAAAAACACUUUAAAGAAACAUAAAUUAUAUAUAAAAGGGAAAAUAGAUUUUUUUGCCACUCAACUUAUAGUGUUUUUAGAAACUUACCACCCAACUAAUUUUUUUAUUCUUUUAGUCACUAAUGUUAGGUUUGGUUUUAUUUUUAGCCACCAACUUAGGUUUGGAUUUGAUUACCAGCAUUAUGAUAAUUUUUUUGUCACUAAACUUAUUGCGUUUUUAGAAACUAACCACUGAACUAUAAUUUUUUUAUUUUACUCACUAGUGUUAGAUUUAGCUCUUUUUUUUUGUCACUGAAGUUAGAUUCAGAUUUGAUUAUUAGCAUUACAUUUUAUGUGUAUCAUUAUUAAUAUAUAGUGGUAGUCGGUAAUAUUUUGAUGAUUUGAUAUAUGUUUGUAUUUUUAUAUGUAGUACUUUUUAUGUCUUCAAGGCCGCUUACCUUGGAUGAUAAGAAUUUUACACGCAUUAUAUGGCCUUUAAAAGAUGUAGUUUCAUAUAUAACUUUAUUUUUUUCCUUCCGAAUGAAAAUUCAGCGUUUGAAUUUUUACACACAAAAAUAAGUUAUGAUACUAUGUUUUAUAAGAAUCUUAAAUACAUGCUAAGCACUAGAGAAAAUUUGUAAACUAAUGAGAGGGACGGAGGGAGUAAUAAUAAUAUAAAAUGAUGCAUUAUAUAUAGAGGACAAUCAUCGAAAAUUAAGUUUUCUUCUCUAUUUAUUUAUCUCGAAAAUUGUAAUAAGAUAAAGUUAUUAAAAUUUUUGAAGAUAUAUUUAAGAAAGAUCUUAGACUGAGCUAGUCCAUUGAAAGUUUAAUAGCGAAAGAUUGAUGCGUCAUAUCACUCAAUUACACUUUAUCUUAUGAGAGAGGGUGAAUUGUUUGAAGUCAUUGAUUUCAUAUUCAUGAUUUAUUGAAUUUUUAGAAUCUAAUUACUAUUAUUCCUGAUUUUAAUUUUUCAUCGGCUCAUUUUAUAUUACUAUUGCUAUAUAUAAGGAUAUAAACAUACGACACAUCAUCAAAAUAUUAGAUACUAUCACUAUGUAUAAAUGAUGAUACAAAAAAUUAUCAUAAUGCUAGUAAUCAAAUCCAAACCUAAGCUGGUGGCUAAAAACAAAACCAAACCUAACAUUAGUGACUAAAAGAAUAAAAAAAUUAGUUGGGUGGUAAGUUUCUAAAAACACUAUAAGUUGAGUGGCAAAAAAAUCUAUUUUCCCAAUAUAAAAAAAAUAUUUGGCAAUGAGUUGGAGGCGACUUCUGUUGUCCAAUGAGUUGGACGGCAAUGAGCCAUGUAGCGAGUUGUUACGUAAACUCAGAAACUGAAGGAUGAAGAAUCGUGAUAUAAAAUCUGGAAAAUAACCUGUAGUAUUGUUGUCAUGUAGAUCAAGACAUUCAAGGUUUACAUCAACAGUGAGGUUCCUAGGAAAACUUCCAGAAAACUUAUUUUUCCCUAGUGCAAGAAAACUAGUUCCAGUGAAAAAUGACGCGGGAAUGUCACCGGAUAGUUCAUUUGAGGAGAGAUCAACAUAUGAUGGUGACAAAUUAGUUUUGAAAACCGGGAGUGUGUUGCCAGAGAGUCUGUUUCUUGACAAGUCUAGUAGCAUUAGUGUAGGGAGAUCUGCGAUGGAUUUCGGGAUCGACCCCGAAAAAUUGUUUCUAGAAAGCAUUAACACCUUCAACUUUAAAGCAUGAUCGAUAUUUUGUGGCAACUCCCCUGAAAAUUUGUUUCUUGAAAGAUCCAAAAGGGUUAAAUUUUGACUCUGAAAAAGGGAAAAGGGUAUUGAGCCCGUAAGUUUGUUCCGUGAGAGUAGUAGAUUUUCAAUUUCCAUCUCUGCAAUCCAAAGUGGGAAGUAACCUGUGAGCUGAUUGUCACUCAGUUCAAGUAAGUUAAGAUUCUUUUGAGUGGAAAUCCAUUCUGGAAUGUCUGCAGAUAUUUUACAUGAUUUGAGAGAGAGUUGGGAAAGCAUACACUUGGGAACUAUUUUGAGGUUGUUAUUCCAAAUGAAUUUGUUUCGUCCAAGAUACAAAUUCUUCAAACUCUCAAUGUCAGAUUAUUUCUCCUGAAAUAAUCUGGUGAGGUUUCCUAUCUGGACAGGAAUAUUUCCAUCAAUAGAAUUCCGAUCCAACUUCAAUGAUCUCAGAUUUUCAAGCUUGCCAAUUUCUCUACUUAAACCAUCCUUUAAUGAGUUAUCACUCAAAUCAAGAGACUGCAGAAACCGCAACUGAAAAAGUUGUGCUGGGAUUGUGCCAUUAAGAAAAUUCUACCUCAUGUCGAGGUAAAUUAGUUUUGUGAGAUUAGCCAACCCUUCACCAGAAAUUUCGCCUUCUAUCCCAGUGUAGGAGAUAUUAAGAAACCUUAAUGAUCUAAUGCCAUAAAUGGGGUCCAAGAUUCGUAUAUCCACCGGUCUGAAUUCAUCAUGCAUAUGUAGAUCGCCAAGGUGCAGAGCUGUUAUGUGACGAGCAUGAGAACUGCAAACAACUCUAGUCCACUUACAACAGUCAGAAAUGGAGUCCCAAGACUCCAAGCCAAAGGAUGUCGAGUUUGAGGUUUCGUAGCUGGUCAGCAAGGAGGAUUUGAAGUGAAGAAGAGAUUGUUUGUGAUAAGCAGGACAAGAUAAGCAUGGCACGAGCAAGAAUAUGAAAGACAACCGCACAAGUAAUUCGAUCAUGCUUAGUGGCUCGGCCAUUUUUUUUACUUUUAUUGGUUCUGCUUCUUGUGACUGGAGCUGCUUUUUUAACCAUAUAUAAUUGUAUUACGGUUUACUAGAUGGCUCAAAAAGUUUCAUCGUUGAUUUUUUUGAAUGAUUGUUUAUUACUGAUUGAUAAGCUAGUAAUUGAUUGACUUGUUUCUCAUUAAAGCUUUUGAGAAUUCGGAACAUGACAGAUAAAUUAUAUUGAUAUCUAUACGAGAAGUACCUAAAAAACCUCGUGACCGAUUAAAAAACCUCGCUUCGAUCAAAAACCGUUUGACAGGCUAGUCAUUGAUUGUCUUGUCUCUUAUUUAGCUCUGUUUAUCUUCUUCCUUGUUACUCAAAGGCCUCAGCAAGGCAAGGAUACUUUUAGUCUUCGAUUGAGUCUAUGAUUAACAAAGGUCCUUGUAAUCGUUUAAAUUUGUAAUGUUUAGUCAAAAUUUAAUCAAUUUUACUCCUUGACAACCAAAAUGGACAUGUAAAAUGGGACGAAGGGAUUAAUAUUGGCCGGACAGGGAGUAGUCAUCUUAAUUGUUUACAAAUUAUUCAUGUAAUUUCAUAUUACAAAUUGUAUAGUGUUUCUCCAAUAUCAUCACAUUGUCAUCACAAGGAACGACUAAGACCGGAUAUCGGAUCCACUCUUAAAUUUUGGAUGGAGUAACCAGUUUUCGGAUGGCAAAAUUGACACGGUUCAAGUUAAUUAGUUAAUUAUGUCAUCAAAGUGAGUAGUGAAGAAGCUUAAUAGUAGUAAUUAGUUAACAGUUUUACAAAUAGAAUUGUAUUGUUCGUUUAAUGUUGUCAGUAGGGGCAUGUAAAACCAGAUAUCGGAUCCGCUACUAAAAGUCUGAAAUCCAGAUCAAAUAACUUCCCAACAAUUGUGGAUUUUACCAGAGAUAUUGUUCUUAUAUUUGUCCAAUGAUCGACCAAGCAAUCAAGGCAAUGACAACAAUAGAACUAGAGAAGCAACAUAUCUUCUGAAGUGAAGAAGAGAUUGUUUGUGAUAAGCAGGACAAGAUAAGCAUGGCACGAGCAAGAAUAUGAAAGACAACCGCACAAGUAAUUCGAUCAUGCUUAGUGGCUCGGCCAUUUUUUUUACUUUUAUUGGUUCUGCUUCUUGUGACUGGAGCUGCUUUUUUAACCAUAUAUAAUUGUAUUACGGUUUACUAGAUGGCUCAAAAAGUUUCAUCGUUGAUUUUUUUGAAUGAUUGUUUAUUACUGAUUGAUAAGCUAGUAAUUGAUUGACUUGUUUCUCAUUAAAGCUUUUGAGAAUUCGGAACAUGACAGAUAAAUUAUAUUGAUAUCUAUACGAGAAGUACCUAAAAAACCUCGUGACCGAUUAAAAAACCUCGCUUCGAUCAAAAACCGUUUGACAGGCUAGUCAUUGAUUGUCUUGUCUCUUAUUUAGCUCUGUUUAUCUUCUUCCUUGUUACUCAAAGGCCUCAGCAAGGCAAGGAUACUUUUAGUCUUCGAUUGAGUCUAUGAUUAACAAAGGUCCUUGUAAUCGUUUAAAUUUGUAAUGUUUAGUCAAAAUUUAAUCAAUUUUACUCCUUGACAACCAAAAUGGACAUGUAAAAUGGGACGAAGGGAUUAAUAUUGGCCGGACAGGGAGUAGUCAUCUUAAUUGUUUACAAAUUAUUCAUGUAAUUUCAUAUUACAAAUUGUAUAGUGUUUCUCCAAUAUCAUCACAUUGUCAUCACAAGGAACGACUAAGACCGGAUAUCGGAUCCACUCUUAAAUUUUGGAUGGAGUAACCAGUUUUCGGAUGGCAAAAUUGACACGGUUCAAGUUAAUUAGUUAAUUAUGUCAUCAAAGUGAGUAGUGAAGAAGCUUAAUAGUAGUAAUUAGUUAACAGUUUUACAAAUAGAAUUGUAUUGUUCGUUUAAUGUUGUCAGUAGGGGCAUGUAAAACCAGAUAUCGGAUCCGCUACUAAAAGUCUGAAAUCCAGAUCAAAUAACUUCCCAACAAUUGUGGAUUUUACCAGAGAUAUUGUUCUUAUAUUUGUCCAAUGAUCGACCAAGCAAUCAAGGCAAUGACAACAAUAGAACUAGAGAAGCAACAUAUCUUCAAACGCUCACUUUCGACUUCCAAUUUGGAGCGAGUCAAUCUCCACGCCACCAGUCACAUCUUUUUAAUUUUUUGUAUCAGGUCACCACCACCAAGUGGUUGAUUGCUAAGGUUUUCCAUGCAGAAAAUUCUUGCACGAGGCCCCAUUCGUAUAGACAAUCGCCUUCUGUGUACAUAACUGCUUUGUGAGAAUAAAAGACUUGCAGUGAGUCAACUAAGAUAUAUGCCCAAGCACAGUAUUAUAGUUGAUUCGGUAAUAAUCGAUAAAAUAAUAUCUUCAUUAAAGUAAUAUUUUUGGCCCCAACAUAAUGCAGAUAGUGUAUUUUUCUCUCGAAAAAGUAAUAUUUUUGUUGGUCCCAUCAUUAUUACUUUUAAAGAGAUUUAACUAUAACUGAUUAACAAAAUGACUUUUCUUUUACUUCUACGAAAUGUUUAAGGAAUUUUUUAUAAUUCCAAUAUUUUGAUUUGCAGGAUAUCUGAUUCGGCUUAAAAAUUCAGAUCAAAUAACCAGUUUUUCGAUGGAAAGAAUUGUUAGGAGUGUACCAAAUUGGUUGUGGAAAGGACAGAUAGUUAGACUAUAAACAGCCAAAUAACUAUAUUAAUAUGAAGUUUUGAGAGAUGUUAAAAAAUAAAUCUGGGCGAACUAGCGGACAAUAUCAUACUUGCUUAGCAGGGAUGUGUCAAGAAACUUCCAGUCAACGUGUGAGUCGUUCCCAGCAAUCCAUCCUGUCAACUCCACAAACGUCGUUAAAAUGAAGCAUUGGAUUGCCAGUCAAGUGGUUGCAAGACCAUUUUCAGGUAGGACACAAAGUAAUUAUUGAUUUGGUGCCCAAGACUCAGUCUCUUUGUGUUUUGUGUGCCCUGUUGUAACGCAAGUUACUAUCUUUCCAUGACUUCUUUUUCUUCCCUUAUACUUCCUCCGCCCCCUGAGUCAAAUACAUUGAGGGAUGGGGAUGUGCACUUCAAUACUGCUAUUAGUUUUAUAAUUUAUUUUUAAGAAUUUUCACAUAAUUUCAUGUCAAAAAUCGUAUAGUAUUAUUGAUAUCAGGUUUUAGAAUUGCGGUUAUAGAUAUCAGCUAGUGACAUGUAGUGGGAUGACUCGCAGAUGCAGCAUGAUCUAAAGAACCUAUGUACAGUGUUUUUCAUUGUCAUGGUUUUCAUAAACUGUUAAAGUAAAAAAUGCAAAAGUACACGAAAGUGUCAAAUUUUUAAUAUUUUGACGUUUACUAGUAAUCUUUUCUAUAUAUUAUGUUUAUACAGCAUUGGAAUUAAAAUUAACAAAUCACAUCAUAAUAUAAGUAGUAAGUUACAACCCACAGUGUUUUUAUUAUAGAACAAAGAUAACAACCUGAACAAUGUACUCCAGGGGCUUCAAGUGCUAGAUUAAACACUGCACUCAUCUUUUCCUAUAGUGAAUCGAGUGGUACUUUGUUGUUGGUAUAAUAAAAUACCCACCAAGAAAUGCUGUUAAUACUGAUGAAAUCAAACCAAGUGGAAAUCCAAUCCACACUCCUGUCCACAAGAACCCUGGCUCUUUCUCACCAUUAUCAUCACCUUCUCCUUCUCCUUGUGCAUCAUCUGGUGUUGGCUCGUCUUCUGAACAUUUCACUCUGAUUUGCAUCCCAUAUAAUCCACUGUUGUUAGCAAAAUUAAUCGGAUUAUUCAUUGUGUCCAUUUGUCCACCCUGUGGGAUUUUACCACUUAGCUUGUUGUGUUGCUCACAUCUAACAUAGAGAGUUGUUUUAGUCUCCUAAAAUAUUGUGGACUUGUACCAUAGAUAUUGUUACUAGAUAAAUCCAAUGCCUCUAUACUCUCUAUAUCCCCAAACUUUGGGGUAUAUAUCCGGAGAGUCUUUUGUCAGAUAUGUUGAGUGAUUUCAGUCCCUUGAGAUUUCCUAAGGAAACUGGAAUAUCACCUGACAGCUUAUUCUUUGACAAGUCUAGCAAAGUGUAGAGAUCUCGGUUAUGACUUGAGAGACCUUGUACAGCAUUUUUCCAAUUCACCAUUAGAUCAUUGAUCUCCAAUGUAAUGCUGAACAUGUCAUCAAAUGACGUAACUGUGGCCUUAAUUAUAUCCACCUGCAAUUCAUCAUUGAAGUUAAAAAAACUCACAUAUUCAACCACUUCUCCGCUCAUUCCCCUUAGAUAUCCCAAAUCGGAAGGGAUACUUCCAACAAGAUGGUUACUUGAGAGAUCAAGAAUUUGCAGCAUACUUUGGUUGGAGAACGAGUUGGGUGGUAAUGAGCCAUGUAAAGAGUUAUUUCGUACACUAAGAACUUGAAGGCUGGAUAUUUGGGAUAGAAAUUCAGGAAAGCUACCAGUGAUGUUGUUGUCAUGGAGAUCAAGAUAUAUGAGCUCAUUCAUAUUUGUUAGCUCCUUGGGCAACUUGCCGGAGAGCUUAUUUUCCCCUAAUGCAAGAAUACGAGUUCCGGUGCAAAAUGACACUGGAAUUUGACCUGACAGUUCAUUGGAGGAGAAAUCAAUAUAAGCAAGUGAGCCAUUAGGAUCAAAAAAUGGAAAUUUGUUGCCAGAGAAUCUGUUUCUUGACAAGUCUAGUAUCUCUAGUUACCACAUUGCAUGUUGUAGUGAUCAAGGGCUUUAAGUGCUAGUUAACACAUUGCAUUUAUCUGUCCCUGUAGUGAAUCGAAAUAAAACAGUGAUUUAUAAAAACACAACUGAUCCAGAGGAUUUAAGUGCUAGAUAACAAUGCAUUCCCUAAUGUCUAUAGUGAAUUGAGUGGUACUUUGGUGUUGUUAUGACAAAAUACCCGCUAAGAAAUGCUGUUAAUACUGAUGAAAUAAAAGCAAGGGGAAAUCCAAUCCAGAAUCCUGUCUACAAGAACCAUGGCUCAUGUUUACCAUCAUCAUCUUCUUUUUCUUCUUCUUAUGUCUCCUCAGGUGUUCGCUCAUCUUCUGAACAUUUUACGCUGAUAAGCAUCCCACAUAAUCCACUGUUAUUAGCAAAGCUCAGAUCAGUCAUAGUAUCCAAUUGAGUACUCCGUGGGAUCUUACCGCCUAGCUUGUUGUUACUCACAUCUAAUACAGAUAUCUGUUUUAGCUUCGUAAAAGAUUGAGGAAUUGUGCCGGAGAUAUUGUUAUUGGAAAGGUCCUAGGUUUCUACACUCUCUAGAUCUCCUAAACUUUCUGGUAUAAAUCCGGAGAGUAUAUUGUUGGAGAGGUUAAGUAGCUUUACUCCUUUGAGAUUUCCCAGUGAAGCAGGAAUUUUACCUGUCAGCUCAUUAUUUGACAAGUCUAGCAAAGAAUAGAUGUGUUGGUUGUGACUCGAGAGACCUCGUGCAACAUUUUUCCAGUUCACCAUUAGGUCAUUCAUCUCCAUUGUAAAGGUGAAGAUGCCACUAAAUGUAAUUGUAGCCUCAAUCCACUCCACCUUCAUUUCAUCGUCAAUAUCCUGGCAAAUUUUAUAACUAGCACUGAUUCCGGUCAUUCCCAUCAGAUAAUUUCCCCAGUCCCAAGGAAUACUUCCAGCAAGAUUGUUGCUUGAGAGAUCAAGAAUUCUGAGGCUCGAAAAUGAGUUGGAUGGGAGAGAACCAUGUAGACAGUUGUUACGUAGAAUCAGAACUUGAAGGGAGGGUAAAUUGGACAUAAAAUCUAGAAAAUUACCUGUUAUGUUGUUGUCAUGGAGAUCAAGAUAUUCAAGCCAUCUCAGAUUCAUGAGGUCCCUAGGCAAAAUGCCAGAGAACUUAUUUUUCCCUAGUGCAACUAUGCUAGUUUUUGCACAAAAAAAUGAAGGAAUGUCACCAGAUAGUUCAUUAGAGGACAGAUCAACAUAGAAUAGCGAGCAUUUAAGAGUACUAGCAAUUGGAAAUGCGUUGCCAGAGAAUCUAUUUCUCGACAAGUCCAGUAGCAAUAGUUGAGAAAUAUUUGCUAUGGAUUUCGGGAUGAGCCCUGAAAAAUUGUUUCCAGAAAGCAUAAGUACUUUGAUCUUAUUAGCAUCACCUAUAUUUUCUGGUAGCUUCCCCGAGAAAUCAUUUUUUGAAAGAGCCAAAACUGAUGAAUUCGAAUUUUGAAGAAGGCGAGAAGGAAUUGAUCCAGUAAGCUGAUUACGUGACAGUAUUAUACUUUUAAUUUCCAUCUCCGCAAGCCAAAGGGGGAAUUUUCCAGUGAGCUGAUUGUCACUUAGUUCUAGCAUAUCAAGAUUUUUUUGGGUGGAAAUCCAUUCUGGAAUGUCUCCGGAAAUUUUACAUGAUUUGAGAGAUAGUUGAGAAAGCAUACACUUGAGAACUAAUUUGACAUUGUUGUUCCAAAUCAAUCUGUUUCCUCCAAGAUUCAAAAUUCGGAGACUCUCAAUGUCAAAUAAACGAGAGGGGAUUUCUCCAGAAAGCAUAUUAUCAUCGAGGAGAAGUGUUUCUAAUUUGCUCAAGUGUUUCUAAUAUUUGUCAAAUUAAUAUAAAACUAUAACAGAGAUUUUAAUUAGUUUGGUGCGAUUAGCCAAUCCUUUGCCUGGAAUUUCGCCUUCAAUCCAAUUAAAGGAGAUCUAAUUCCAUAAAUGGGGUCCAAAAUUCUUGAAUCUGGACCAUGAAAGUAGUUUGAAAGAGGGAUAUUGUCGAGGUGUAGAGCUGUAAUGUGAUGGGAAUGCGAACUGCAAACAACUCUAUUCCAGGUACAACAAUCAGAAAUGGAGUUCCAUGACUCCAUUCCAAAAGAAGAUGAGUUCGAGGUUUCGUAGAAUAUGAGUAAGGAAGAUUUGAAGUGGAGAAGGGAUUGUUUCUGAUGAGCAGGAGAAGACACCACGCAUGGCGUUAUCAUGAAAAUCAAAGGGACUAUUAUUUUGAUCAGGCUCAGUGGCUUGCUCAUUGUUGUCCUCGCUUGUUUUUCAAAGUCUGGUCAUUAAUGUGAGAAUGUAAGAACCUAGGAACUUUCUUAAACUGUAACUGAUUUUGGUUUGAAAUGUAAAACUUCUACGGCUUCUACUUUGUUUUACUGGUUUAUGAAGCAGAGUUGAUUUUAACAGAAUGGCUGUUAUUGUUGAAUUAAGAGUCUUUACAUUUAACUUCCAGGUCUCCGAGUGAGUCAACUGAGAUAUAUAUGCUCAGCAUAGUAGUAAUUACUCAAUACCUAAGAAUAUAUUAACUGCUCGCUAAUGACUUUUCUUUUCCUUUUCUUAUAGUCUACCGAUUAGGUUUUUUUUUUUUUGAUAGAAUAGUCUUUGAUUAGUUGUUUACAGAAUUUUCAUGUAAUUUCAUGUUACAAACCAUACAGUGUUUCUCCGAUAUCAUCACAUCAUCAUGACAACGAACGACUAAGACCAGAUAUCGGAUCCACUCUUUAAUCUUGGAUGGAAUAACCGGUUUUCGGAUGGCAAAAAUGACAUGGUUCGAGUUGAUUAGCUAAGUAUGUCUGCAAAGAGAGUUAAAGAAAAGUGAAGAAGCUUAAUAGUUACUGCAGUAAAUAGUUCUCCUCGCCAAGAGUUUGGUUACAUUGUUUUUGCGCUCCCCUUCAUCGAUAGUAGAUAAAUAAUUACUAAAACACAACAUUAUGUUACAUUUAAGUGUAUAGGAAGAUUGUGAACAACAGUGUGGUUUCAUCAGUGCCUAUAGUGAAUUGAGUGGUAUUUUGGUGUUGGUAUAACAAAAUACCCACUAAGAAAGGCUGUUAAUACUGAUGAAAUGAAGCCAAGGGGGAAUCCAAUCCACGCUCCUGUCCACAGGAACCAUGGCUCUUGUUCAACAUCAUCAUCCUCUUCUUGCACAUCGUCUGGUGUUGGCUCAUCUUCGGAACAUUUGACCUUGAUUUGCAUCCCACACAGUCCACUGUUGUUAGCAAAAUAACUCAGAUCAUUUAUUGUGUCCAUUUGUCCUCCUCGUGGGAUUUUGCCACUUAGCUUGUUGUUGCUCACAUCUAGCACAGACAGUUGUUUUAGCUUACUGAAUGAUUGUGGAAUUGUACCAGAGAUAUUGUUGUUAGAAAGGUCCAAUGUCUCUAUACUUUGUAGAUCUCCAAAACUUUGUGGUAUAUAUCCUGAGAGUUUAUUGUAGGAGAGGUUGAGUAGCUUCAGUCGUUUGAGGUUUCCUAAUGAAUCUGGAACAUCACCUGAAAACUUAUUGUUCGACAAGUCUAGUAAAGUAUAAAUACGUCGGUUAUGACUUGAGAGACCUUGCAUCGCAUUCUUCCAGUUCACUGUUAAAUCAUUCAUCUCGAUUUCAAUGGUGUACAUGCCACUGAAUAAUGAAACUGUGGCCUCGAUCCAGUUCAACUCUAUUUCACCUAUACUAUCGGAUACUGAAUAUACUUCAUCGAUUCCACUCAUUCCCGACAGAUUUCCCAACUCAGAAGGGAUACUUCCAACAAGAUUAUUACUUGAGAGAUCAAGAAUUUGGAGGCUUCUUCCGUUGUAGAAAGAGUUGGAUGGCAAUGAGCCAUGUAGCGAGUUGUUACGUAAACUCAGAACCUGAAGGUUGGAGAACUGUGAAAUAAAAUCUGGAAAAUAACCUGUAAUAUUGUUGUCAUGUAGAUCAAGAUAUUCAGUAAUUUGAACAUUUGUGAGGUUCCUAGGUAAGCUUCCAGAGAACUUAUUUUUCCCUAGUGCAAGAAUACUAAUUCUACUGAAAUAUGACACAGGAAUGUCACCGGAUAGUUCAUUAGAGGAGAGAUCAACAUAUGCUGGUGACCAAUAAGGACCAAAAACCGGGAGUGUGUUGCCAGAGAGUCUGUUUCUUGACAAGUCUAGCAGAAUUAGUGAAGGGAUAUCUACAAUGGAUUUGGGGAUCGACCCUGAAAAAUUGUUUCUAGAAAGCAUCAGUACCGUCAUCUUCAAAGCAUGACCAAUAUUUUGUGGCAACUCCCCUGAAAAGUUGUUUCUUGAAAGAUCCAAUACGGAUAAAUUGUGAGACUGAAAAAGGGGGAAAGGUAUUGACCCAGUUAGUUUGUUCCGUGCCAGUAGUAGACUUUCGAUUUCCAUCUCUGCAAUCCAAAGUGGGAAGUUUCCUGUGAGCUGAUUAUCACUCAGUUCGAGUAAAUUAAGAUUCUUUUGAGUGGAAAUCCAUUCCGGAAGGUCUGCAGAAAUUUUACAUGAUUUCAGAGAGAGUUGUGAAAGCAUACACUUGGGAACUAUUUUGACGUUGUUAUUCCAAAUGAAUUUGUUUCGUCCAAGAUACAAAUUCUUCAAACUCUCGAUGUCAAAUAACCAGGAGGGAAUUUCUCCUGAAAGCAUGUUAUCUUCCAGCUGAAGGGUUUCCAAUUUGCUCAAGUUCCGUAUUGAUGGUGGAAUUAAUCCUGUGAUACUAUUCCCACUCAAUUCCAAAAUGGAAAUGUGAAACAAGGUUCCAAUCCCAUUCGGAAUAUGCAUCUCCAAACAAUAAUAAUUCGCGUCCAGUUUUUCCAAUCCUUUCAAAUUGAGAAUGGAAUCUGGAAUCGGACCCAAAAGUUUGUUGCGGCUGACAGAAAAUUUCUGCAAUCUGGUGAGGUUUCCUAUCUGGACAGGGAUAUUUCCAUCAAUAGAAUUCCGAUCCAACUUCAAUGACCUUAGAUUUUCAAGCUUGCCAAUUUCUCUACUUAAACCAUCCUUUAAUGAGUUAUCACUCAAAUCAAGAGACUGCAGAAACCGCAACUGGAAGAGUUGAGCUGGGAUUGAGCCAUUAAGACCAUUCUGACUCAUGUCGAGGUAAGUUAGUUUUGUGAGAUUUGCCAACCCUUCACCAGAAAUUUCACCUUCUAUCCCAGUGUGAGAGAUAUUAAGAAACCUUAAGGAUCUAAUGUCAAAAAUGGGGUCCAAGAUUCGUAUGUCCACUGGGCUGUAUUCACCAUGCAUAUGUAGAUCGCCAAGGUGCAGAGCUGUUAUGUCACGAGAAUAAGAACUGCAAACAACUCUAGUCCACUUACAACAGUCAGAAAUGGAGUCCCAUGACUCCAAACCAAAGGACGACGAGUUUGAGGUGUGGUAGUUGUUGAGCAAGGAGGAUUUGAAGUGGAGAAGGGAUUGUUUCUGAUAAGCAGGACAACAUAAGCAUGGCACGACUAAGAAUAUGAAAGACAACCGCACAAGUAGUUUGAUCAUGCUUAGCAGCUUGGCCAUUGUGUUUUAUCUAUCUUGUUCUUGUGUAAUAGAGCUGGUGUACACGCAUUAAAUAAGCUUUUGUAAAACGACCAGGGUGAAUGCCAUUUCUCGCCCGCAUUCCAGACUUCCAGUUAUGUGCACUGUGUACACGCAUAUACAAGCCGUACUAAAUCGAGUCAAACUUUGAAUACUAAAUAUGACCUCAAAAUAAGGUCAAAGUCAACAAAUGAGAUCACUCACGGGGAUAAGCUUCAUCGUCAAGAGGGAAACAAAACAGCCAGGAAUGAGCUAAGGCCUCUGAAUGAAUCCAUGCCGCGUAAUCUGAUAAUCGGAAUGACAAAAUAAUCCGAUCCGAAAGUUAAAAUUUUGGAAAUAUCGAACCUGAGAUUUUGGAUUUGGAUUCGGAUACGGACUUAAUUUUUAAACCCGAAAAUUUUUGAAUUUAGAUUUGGAUAUUAUGUAUACUAGUUUAUAACCGGUGCCAAGCACGAGAUUAUAUAAAAUUUUCAAGUUUAUUACUUACCGGAAAUAUAAUAUUUUUGAUAUAGUUAUUUAAAUUAUUAUUGUUGAGAUACAAAACUUAUUAUGCAUCAACAUAUUAAUAUUUAAUUAUGUUUAAGUUUUAUUUUUCAAAACACAAUUCUCAGAAUACAUGUUAUUAUAUGAAUUUAUUUUAGAAUGGUACGUUUUAUUUUAAUAAAAUCAUUAUGUUGUUUUUGAUUCUAAAUAGAUGGAAAAAAAUUCAACAUAAGCACAUAUAAAUUGGCUGAGAGGGUAUUCAAUCUUUAAUAAAACUUAAUAUUUUUAAUUAAUAAUGUUUUAGACGUCUAAUAAAUAUUAUUAAAUGUAACGCAAAGUUCUUGUAAAUUUAAUAUUGAUGGAUAUUUGUCAAAUUAAUAUAAAACUAUAACAGAGAUUUUAAUUAGUUUGGUGAGAUUAGGCCAACUCCAACCAUAGAUCCAAAUUUGGAUCACCAAAUGAUCCAAAUUUGGGGCGGGAUCCAAAUCCUAUUCCAACUAUGUGAUCCAAAUAUAGAUCCAAAUUCAUCCAUCCUUAUAAUAUUCAUAUACUUUAAUUUUAAAUAUUUUAAAAAAUGAUUAACUAAUUUCAUCAUUAAUUAUAAAAAUAUAAUUAAGGAAUAGACAAAGAUAAAAUAUUACAAAAUAAUUCAAAAAAGUUAAACCGGUACAUAAAUAUGAAUUAAAAAUGUUACAUUAAAAUACCAAUUCUCAGAAUUAGUAUAUUUUUCCCACAAAUUCUCAGUUAGUGCAUUUCGAAUUUCAAGAUGAACAAUAUUUGUCUUUGAUUUUUCUGUAGCGAUUGAUAAAUUGUUGAAAUUUCAUGUAUUUUGAAAUUUUAUUUAUUUUGAAAUUUUAAUUUGUAAUUAAUCAUUGUUUAUUUAUAUUCAAAUCUUAAUUAAUCUAUCUUUAAUAACAUUAACAAAAUCAUCAAAUAAUAAAAGUAAUAAUAUUUUUAUGUUAAAAAGAUUUGUAUCAGUGAAUAGUAGUGAUCCAAAUUUGGACCAUCCAAAUUUUGAUCACUGUUUAGUCCACGGUAGGAGUGGUUUGGGCCAGAAUUGCCCCAAAUUUGGAUUUUUGAAUUGGAGUUGGAGAUGCCCUUAGCCAAUCCUGAGCCAGGAAUUUCGCCUUUAAUCCAAUUAAAGGAGAUAUCAAGAAGCAAUAAGGAUCUCUUAAAAAAAAAAAAAAAAAAAGAAGCAAUAAGGAUCUAAUGCCCAUUAUGGGGUCCAAAAUUCUUGAAUCUGGACCAGGAAAGUAGUUUGGAAGAGGGAUAUUGUCGAGGUGUAGAGCUGUAAUGUGACGGGAAUGGGAACUGCAAACAACUCUAUUCCAGGUACAACAAUCAGAAAUGGAGUUCCAUGACUCCAAUCCAAAAGAAGAUGAGUUCGAGGUUUUGUAGAAUAUGAGUAAGGAGGAUUUGAAGCGGAGAAGGGAUUGUUUCUGAUGAGCAGGACAAGACACCACGCAUGGCGUUAACAUGAAAAUCAAAGGGAGUAUUAUUUUGAUCAGGCUCAGUGGCUUGCUCAUUGUUGUCCUUGCUUGUUUUUCAAAGUUUGGUUAUUAAUGUAAGAAUUAAUGUAAGAACCUAGGAACAUAUAAAUAUUAGUUUGGCAAGUAAAAUAAUUAAAUAACUAUACUUUCUUAAACUAUGGCUAAUUUUGGUUUAAAAAUGUUAAACUUCUGCGGCUUCUAGUUUAGUAGUUUGUUUUACUGGUUUAUGAAGCAGAGUUGAUUUUAACAGAAUGGCUGUUAUUGUUGAAUUAAGAGUCUUUACAUUCAACUUCCAGGUCUCCGACUGAGUCAACUGAGAUAUAUAUGCUCUGCAUAGUAGUAAUUAAUCAAUACCUAAGAAUAUUUUAACUGCUCGCUAAUGACUUUUCUUUUCCUUUCCUUAUAGUCUACCGAUUAGGUUGGUUUUUUGUUUUUUUCGACAGAAUAGUCUUUGAUUAGUUGUUUACAGAAUUUUCAUGUAAUUUCAUGUUACAAACCAUACAGUGUUUCUCCGAUAUCAUCACAUCGUCAUGACAACGAACGACUAAGACCGGAUAUCGGAUCCACUCUUUAAUCUUGGAUGAAACAACCGGUUUUCAGAUUGCAAAAAUGACUCGUUCAAGUUGAUUAGCUAAGUAUGUCUGCAAAGCGUGAGUUAAAGAAAAGUGAAGAAGCUUAAUAGUUACUGUAGUAAAUAGUUUUCCUUGCUAAGAGUUUGGUUACAUUGUUUUAGCGCUCACCUUCAUCGAUAGUUGUUUAUAAGUCGUGGUAGACUUAUUGUUUCUUUGGGAUGAGGAGAUUGAAAAUUCUUUGUUCAAAUAAUUUUUCAGUCCUAUUCUAGAAAGAUUUUACAUAUAUACUCCUGCUACUUAGAUUGACAAUUAUAUACUCCUGCUACUUAGGCCCCAUUUGAUAACGGGCGGAUGACUUCAAACUGCACUGGUGCUUCAUUUUGUUUCGUUAAGACUGUUUGUUAAGUUUCUUGGCAGCUGAACGACUCCAGAAAUCAACCGAACGAGAGAGGUUAAAAAAGUUGUAUGAACCCUCGAGAUAGCCCACGGCAUAAUAUGUGUUUCGGUUUAUUUAUCUUGUCAUACUAAUUUUCUUUUCGAAAGAUCUCAUAACAAAUAUUAUUUGUAUUAAUUAUACAUAAGUUUUUUAUUAUUGAAAAGUUUACGAUAAAAAAAUUAUAUUUUGUCAUCUUAAUUUAUAUAUUAAUUAAUAAAAGUUUAAUAAAGCAUAUGAUAAUGGUUAACAGUUAUAACUAAAUUAAAUUUAAUGAAGUAAAACAUUAUAAAAUCAAUACCCUAAAUUUAUAAAAUUAUAUAAAUCUGUAUACAGAUUUUUUCAAAGAAAAAUUCACAAACAACAUUAUCCUUUUGGUCCAAAUUAGUUAUCAUUCAGAAAUUUUUAGUCAUUCAGAAAAAUUUAUUCAGAUUUAACAAAUAACCUCUUAGAUUGACAAUUUAUACACUCUUCCAUGUGGUAGUAAUAUACAAGUAUUAUAUAUUUUGUAAUCCUGUGUGUUUUUUAUAAAGAUUAUACUCCAAAAUGUUUAUCAUGUAGCAAGCUUCAAAUUUAAGCUAUUUUAGCAUAAAAGUUGUUUAAAGUACUCCUAAUCCUACUUUUCACUUAAUAAUUACUAGAUUAGUACUGAUAGAUGUUGUAUCCAGGUCGAGUUCUUACAAAAGGUCCGCCAACUCCUUUCAGUAGGCUAUAUACAUGGCCUGUAAUAUCUUUCGUUUCAUGCAGUUGGUUAUUAAUAGAGACCAGAGAGAUCGAAGAAGUAAAAAAGGAUGUAUUUUCCUUCUCUUCCGGGGAGAAAAAGAACUUUAUAAAUCUUUAUAAAAUACUAAUACUAUGAAACUUUAAAACUUUAUAAAUCAGGGAAGAAAGUUUUAAUAAAACUAUAUAAAAACUGUCAUUACACUAACAGUUUAGAAGCUAGCUAGUAACAGAUUUAUAAAACUUUAUCCAAAAUAUUAAAAAUUAAAACUUUAAGUAGAUAAAUAAUUACUAAAAACAACAUUAUAUUACAUGAAAGUGUAUAGGAAGAUUGUGAACAACAGUGUGGUUUCAUCUGUGCCUAUAGUGAAUUGAGUUGUAUUUUGGUGGUGGCAAAACAAAGUACCCAAAUAGUAUGGCUGUUGAUACUGAUGAAAUGAAGCCAAGAGGGAAUCCGAUCCACACUCCGGUCCACAGGAACCAUGGCUCUGUUCAACAUCAUCAUCCUCUUCUUGCACAUCAUCUGGUGUUGGCUCAUCUCCUGAACAUUUCACCCUGAUUUGCAUCCCACAUAACCCACUGUUGUUAGCAAAAUAAGUAGGAUCAUUCAUCGUGUCCAUUUGUCCACCCCGCGGGAUUUUACCACUUAGCUUGUUGUUACUCACAUCUAACACGGAUAGUUGCUCUAACUUCCUAAAUGAUUGUGGAAUUGUACCAGAGAUAUUGUUGUAAGACAGGUCCAAUGUCUCUAUACUUUCUAGAUCCCCAAAACUUUGUGGUAUAUAUCCUGAAAGUUUAUUGUAGGAGAGGUUGAGUAGCUUCAGUCCUUUGAGGUUUCCUAAUGAAUCUGGAACGUCACCUGAAAACUUAUUGUUCGACAAGUCUAGUAAAGUAUAAAUAUGUCGGUUAUGACUUGAGAGACCUUGCAUAGCAUUCUUCCAGUUCACUGUUAACUCAUUCAUCUCGAUUGUAAAGGUGUACAUGCUGGUGAAUAAUGUAACUGUGGCGUCUAACCAGUUCACCUGUAUCUCACCUAUACUAUUGUAUAUCGUGUAUCCUGAAGAGAAUCCACUCAUUCUUGGUAGGUUUCCCAACUCUGAAGGGAUUCUUCCAACAAGACUGUUGCUUGAAAGAUCAAGAAUUUGGAGACGACUUUCUUUGGAGAAUGAGUUGGACGGCAAUGAGCCAUGUAGCGAGUUGUUACGUAAACUCAGAACACUACAAGAAAAGCGGCUAUUUUCGACCGGUUAAUUUCGACCGGCGCCUAUUUUCGACCGUAACUGGUCGAAAUUAUUUAUUUCGACCAAACUCGGUCGAAAAUAUUUCCGGUCGAAAUUAGUUGGUCGAAAAUAUUGCCGGUCGAAUUUAGUUGGUCGAAAAUAGGCAUAAAUUCGACCGUUUUUUAGUUGGUCGAAAAUUUUGAGGGGAAAAUAAAGGGGGGAAAGUUCCCGCCCAAAAGAAUUCAAACUAAUUUCAACCAUUUUUGGUCGAAUUUAUUAUUUUCGACCAUUUCUGGUCGAAUUUAAUAAUUUCGACCACUUUUGGUCGAAUUUAUUUUGACCACAAAAUGAAUGCGGGAAAGUUCCCGCCCAAAAAUUUAGAGCGGGAAAAUUACCGCCUAAUUCUGUUCAAAAAAUUUUGAACUAAUUUCGACCAUUUCUGGUCGAAUUUAUUAUUUUCGACCAGAGUUGGUCGAAUUUAUUAUUUUCGACCAUUUCUGGUCGAAUUUAUUAUUUUCGACCAGUUCUGGUCGAAUUUAUUAAAUCGGCCAAAAAUAAUUGAAUUUAUAAUUUUUAAUAAAAUCACAAAUGUUGCUAGUCUAAUACAAAUCAUAAAAAUUAUCGGUUGGAUCAGUGAUUCUUAUAAUCAAAUUUUGCGAUUAUACUUAUAAUCAUAAAAAUGGUCGAAUUUUGCGAUUGGAUCAGUGAUAAUUAUUUCAUAAAAAUUCAAAUGACAAUUCCGGACUAAACACUAGUACAAAAAACUAGUCAAAUUAUUGGUUGACUCUUAUAAUCUCAAAUCAUAUUAAUUUAAUAAUUUUUGAAAUUGUAGAAAUAUAAUUAUAAUUAAUCAAUAUACAUGUAAUACUCAGAUUAUCAGUUCAAACUAUUAAACUAGAAGUAUACACAAUUUACAUGUAAUACUCAGAUUAUCAGUUGACAGUUAUAAUUUCAAAUCAAUUAAAUUUAAAUAUUUUUGAAAAUUUAGGUGUAAAAUAUAAACAUCUUAACAUCUAUAAGGUUGGAUCAUCUAUAAUUAUUUGAAAAAAAUUUCAAACAACUAAAGAAGGAAGUAAUACUGCAAUUAUGAGUUGAAUGUUAUUAUUUCAAAUCAUAUAAAUUUAAUGUUUGUUGAAAAUUUAAGAAUAUGACUAAAAUAUAUACAUCUUAACAUCUAUAAGGUUGGAUUAUCGAUAAUUAUUUUUAAAAAAAAUUCAAACUAAUAAACUAUAAGUAUACACAAUUUACAUGUAAUAGUCAAACUAUCAGUUGACUGUUAUAAUCUCAAAUCAAUUAAAUUUAAUAUUUUUAAAAAAUUUAGGUAUAUGACUAAAAUAUAGACAUCUUAACAUCUAAAAGGUUGGAUCAGCGAUAUUUAUUUUUAAAAAUUUCAAGCUAUUAAACCUGAAGUAUACACAAUUUACAUGUAGUAGUCAAAUUAUGAGUUUACUGAUAUCAAUUAAAUUUAAUAUUUUUUGAAAAUUUAGGAAUAUAAACUAAAAUAUAGACAUCUUAACGUCUAUAAGUUUGGAUUAUCGAUAAUUAUUUUAAAAAAUUUCAAACGACUAAACAAGGAGUAUACAUCAUUUAGAAGUAAUACUACAAUUAUCAGUUGACUGUUAUAAUUUUAAAUCAUAUAAAUUUAAUAUUUUUUGAAAAUUUAGGAAUAUGACUAAAAUAUAGACAUCUUAACAUCUAUGAGGUUGGAUCAUCGAUAAUUAUUUUUAAAAAAUUCAAACUACUAAACGAGAAGUAUACAACAUUUAGAUGUAAUAGUCAAAUUUUCAGUUGACUAUUAAAAUCUCAAGUCAUAUAAAAUUAAUAUUUUUUGAAAAUUUAGUAAUAAGACUAAAAUAUAUACAUCUUAACAUCUAUAUGAUUGGAUUAUCGAUAAUUUUAAGAAAAUUCAUACUACUAAACCAAGAAUAUACACCGUUUAGAUUAUUAAAUCCGUACUUUCUCAAAAUAUAAAAAAAAUUAUAUAUAUUUUUUAUAUUCAUAUGUAGAAAAAUAUUUUUAAAUAUUUUUUAUAUUGUUUAAUAUUUUUUUUACAUUAUUAAAAUACCUAUCUAUUCAACGUUUGAAAGUUUAGAUACAGUAAAUCGAUAAAUAAAAUUCAAUCUCCCCACUAAAACAUUAUAAGUUAAAUUCUUAAAACCGAGCCUAAUUAAUUGAGCUUUUUUUUAUCAAUGUAAUCCACUUAACCCAUAAGCUCGAAACCCAAAUAAAACUGGGGUCAGUGUCCUCUGCAUAUCAAAUAAUCAGUCUCCAUAACUACGAACCUCAAAAUCUCUCCCCCUCAAUCUCUCUCUCUCUUCUCUCUCUCUCUCUGUGGAAAUCAAUCGAUCUGCAGCCGCGAGAAAGCGAGAAGGACUUGCUCCGAGAGAGAGUUGGAAGGCUCAUCUCAGGACCUACGGUCCAGGCUCUCGCACUUGGUAAUCUCUCUCUCUCGCUCCAUCCAUCGGCGGCCCUGGUGGCGCACGCAACCUGUUCGAUAUUUUGUCUCAGAGAAUCAGGGAUUUGGAUUGGGGCAUUUUCAGAAGGGACUGUUGGUGGGGUUGCAAGGAGCUGUUUGGAUUUGUAUUCUUUUUCAUUUUGGGUUUGGUUUUUCCGGUAGAAGUGGAGGCCAUGUUGGUGCUUUCAGAAUCGGAGAUUGAGGAUUGGUGCCCGGGAAAUGAAGGUUAAUAAAUUCACAUUAGUGCUUUUGCUUGUACAUAUGCAGAGUACAUAAGUUUGUGUAUAUCUUCAAGUUUGUUGUAGAUACAAACAAAGUUAUUUAUGGGUUUGAGUUGAGUUGAGUUUAGAUUUUGUUUGAUACAUGCUUUGUUUUAAACCUCUUGGAUGUCUCUGGACUUUUUAUGUAUAAGUAUUUAUGGUGUUCUUCAAGAAUCAUGGUACUAUUGCUGCCUUAAAAUUGUUUGUUGGUUUAUGUGUUCGUCUCGCAUACUGCAUACUGCAUAGUGCAGCAGUCUGCUACUAUUUUUUUUUAAAAUGUGGUAUGCUAAUUUCGACCGUAUUUGGUCGAAUUUAGCAUCUAUAAAUUCGACCAAUUUCGGUUGAAAAUAUACAUUUUGGCGGCAAAUUUGAAUUUUUUGAAAUAUUUUGACAAAAGUUUGAAAUUUUCAAAUUUCCGCCGAAUUUAUAAUUUCGACCAGAUUUGGUCGAAAUUAAUUUCGACCGUAUUUGGUCGAAAAUAAAUAUUUUCGACCGGGUUUUUAAUUUCGACUAGCUUAUAUUCGACCAACUUUUUCCGGUCGAAAAUAAUUAUUUUCGACCAAAUACGGUCGAAAAUAGCUAUUUUCGACCAGAAUUUGACGGUCGAAAAUAGCCGCUUUUCUUGUAGUGGAAACUGUAAGAUGGAGAAUCGUGAAAUAAAAUCCAGAAAAUCACCUGUAAUAUUGUUGUCAUGUAGAUCAAGAUAUUCAAGGUUUACAAAAUGAGUGACGUUCUUAGGAAAUCCAGAAAACUUAUUUUUCCCUAGUGCAAGAAUACUAGUUCCUCUGCCAAAUGACGUGGGCAUGUCACCAGAUAGUUCAUUAGAGGAGAGAUCAACAUAUCGUGGUGAGCGAUAAGUACCCAUAACAGGGAACAUGUUGCCAGAGAGUCUGUUUCUUGACAAGUCUAGUACCAUUAGUGAAGGGAUGUCUACAAUGGAUUUCGGGAUCGACCCCAUAAAAUUGUUGCCAGAAAGCAUAAGUACCUUCAGCUUUAGAGCAUGACCGAUAUUUUGAGGCAACUCCCCUGAAAAAUUGUUUCUUGAAAGAUCCAAAACGGAUAGAUCUUGAGACUGAAAAAGGGGAAAGGGUAUUGACCCAGUUAGUCUGUUCCGUGAAAAUAGAAGACAUUCAAUUUCCAUCUCUGCAAUCCAAAGUGGGAAGUUUCCUGUGAGCUGAUUGUCACUAAGUUCGAGUAAAUUAAGAUUCUUUUGAGUGGAAAUCCAUUCCGGAAUGUCUGCAGAAAUUUUACAUGAUUUGAGAGAGAGUUGGGAAAGCAUACACUUGGGAACUAUUUUGACGUGGUUAUUCCAAAUGAACUUGUUUCCUCCAAGAUACAAAUUCUUCAAACUGUCAAUGUCAAAUAACCAGGAGGGGAUUUCUCCUGAAAGCAUGUUAUCUUCCAGCCGAAGUGUUUCCAAUUUGCUCAAGUUCCGAAUUGAUAGUGGGAUUGAUCCUGUUAAACGGUUCACACCCAAUACCAAAAUUGAAAUGUGGAACAAGGUUCCGAUUCUAUUUGGAAUAUGCAUCUCCAAAUAAUUAUUACUUGCAUCCAGUUUUUCCAAUUCUUUCAAAUUAAGAAUUGACUCUGGUAUCCGACCCAAAAAUUUGUUGUGGCUGAUAGAAAAUUGUUGCAAUCUGGUGAGAUUUCCUAUCUGGACAGGGAUAUUUCCAUCAAUGGAAUUCCGAUCCAACUUCAAAGACCUUAAAUCUUCAAGCUUGCCAAUUUCUCUACUUAAACCAUCCUUUAACGAGUUAUCACUCAAAUCAAGAGACUGCAGAAACCGCAACUGGAAAAGUUGUGCUGGGAUUGAGCCAUUAAGUAAAUUCUGACUCAUGUCGAGGUGAAUUAGUUUUGUGAGAUUAGCCAACCCUUCACCAGAAAUUUCACCUUGUACCCAAGUGUAGGAGAUAUUAAGAAACCUUAAGGAUCUAAUGCCAUAAAUGGGGUCCAAUACUCGUACGUUCAUGGAGGAUUUACUACCAUCCAUGCAGAGAUCGUCAAGGUGCAGAGCUAUUAUAUCACGAGAAUGAGAACUGCAAACAACUCUAGUCCACUUACAACAGUCAGAAAUGGAGUCCCAUGACUCCAAGCCAAAGGACGAUGAGUUUGAGGUGUUGUAGCUGUUGAGCAAGGAGGAUUUGAAGUGGAGAAGGGAUUGUUUCUGAUAAGCAGGACAACAUAAGCAUGGCACGAGAAAGAAUAUGAAAGACAACCGCACAAGUAGUUUGAUCAUGCUUAGCGGCGUGGCCAUUCGGUUUUAUGUAUAUCGUUCUUGUGUAAUGGAGCUGGUUGUUCUAUAUUAUAGAUGGCUGAAAAUUUUCAUUUUCUUUGUUAGAAAAUCACCUUUGAUUGUUUUAUGUUGAGUUGACAUGGAGGGGUUUUCUAAUAAGGAAUGACAGAAGAUCUUAGUAAUCUGUUAAUUUUAUUACAGAUUAAUAAGCUAGUAAUAACACACUUUGACAAUUUUUAAGAAUCCGAAACAUGACUGAUAGUGAUAUCAGUAUCAGAAGUCAUGUUAAACAUCAUCAUGAAGAAAUAAUUGACAUAAAUUUAAGUUGUUUUGUGACCUGUUCUUAGCUAGCUAAAGACGUUUCUGAGUUUAACUAAAUUUAAUUGUAUAUAUUGAGUUUUCAACUGAAGAGGAGACUCUUAAGAUUCAUGUAAACAAUAAUUCUAGAUCAUUGACUUGUUAGUUUAUUUAACAGUCUUCUUUCUAUGUAUACAUAAGAUAUUAGACGAAAAUGAACGGGAGUUUCUUAUACUCUGAAGAAAGACCCAGAGUUCCAAGUCAGAAGAUGCAGCGGUAAAUAAGCUUUUUGUAAAACCACCAGAAUGAUUGCCAUUUCCCCCACACGCAUUUCAGUUAUGUGCAUGGUGUACACGCAUAUACAAGCAGUACAAAAACGAGGCAACCUCUGAAUACUAAAUAUGACCUCAAAAUAAGAUCAAAGUCCACCAGUGACACGACGGGGUAUAAGCUUCAUCAUCGAGAGGGACAUGGGCGGAUCUAUUAAGAGGCACGAGGGACACGUGCCCCUCUAAAUUAUUUUUUUACAUUUUUUCACCAUUCUAAAUUUUAUGAAAUUAUAGAAGUGCCCCCUGAAAAUCUGAAAAUAUAUAGGUGUUUUUCAAAAAUUGCCCCCCUAAGAAAAUAUUUCUAGACCCGCCCCUGGAGAGGGAAACAGUCCAGAUCACCGGUUAUCCGGUUAAGCCCCUAGAUGAAUCCAUGCUGCGUAAUCUGGCAGGAAAGAAAGAUGCGUAAUUGCUGAUUUCUCUUUUACAUACGCAUCCACGGAACGCGAGAGUUGCGCGCACGCACAGAGAUUAUGCGCAUUAGGGGUUGAGCACGGUUCGGUUUGGACGGUUUUGGAGGUCCAAACCGAACCAAACCGAAUUUUUCAAUUUGAAAAAUGUACAAAUUAUAACUAAACCGAAUGUUGUAAAAACCAAUCCAAACCAAACCGAUUCUUAACGGUUUGGUUCGGUUUGGUUUCGGUUUAAGACCAAAAUAUUAAAAAUAUCAUAAACUUUUAUUAAUUUAAAAUAAUUCUACGUGUUCCCUUUUUUUUGUCACUUAACAACAUACUUAAUAAAAGAUAAAUAUAGGGUCUGAAGAUCGAUGAUUUUGAGUUUUUGAGGUUCACAGUAUCCUAUUCGGAUUAGAAAGCUCAACCUAAUCAGACUUUAAUUCGAAUGCAAAGUCAGAUGAUGCCUCUAUAUAUAAACAGGGGUGUUGGGUGUUGACAUAUCGAUAGACAAAAGCAAUGGCUGGUGCUUUUGAUUCAGAACACCUCUUGGCAGAAAUCCUGAAAAGACUACCUCCAAAAUCUCUAGCACAAUGCACUUGUGUGGAGAAAUCAUGGUAUGAUCUUAUACAAUCUCCUAAUUUCAAAGCUCUGUACUCUGAUUCUAAUCAAUUUAUUUAUAUGCUUGCAAAACUAUUUAAUGGGGGCUUUGCUUUAUAUAGAAUGGAUCCACUACUUCACCCGCGAUUUAGUAGCAAUAGUUCCGACUCUACUUAUCUUCAUGACUUGCGUCCUCUUCUUGUUUUCCCCACAGAUUCGCAUUUAGGAGACAAUUAUUUCAAGUGCAUAAAAUUAGGUUCCAAGAUAUAUUUCUAUGGACUUGCAUUGUCGUCGGGUAAUAAAUACACUAGCUUUUAUACCAUGGAAGAAAAGGAUCUUAUGAGUAUAGAACCUAGUGAAGACAAUGUCAUUACGAAUUUUAAACAUCUUUUAACUAAAAUUAAAAAUCCCAUGCAUGAGUUAAAGCUUUUUCCGAUUGUUUUUGUUGCCAAUGACAAACUCUAUAUUCUAUCUGGGUGCUUUCUCGAUACCAUAUUUGAAGUCUUUUCUCCUGCUGACGGGACUUGGCAAGUGUUGCCCAAUCCAGAAGAUGAUGCAUUAGAGUUUCAUUAUUAUGCUGAUGGGGUUUCUUAUCUUGUCAUGGAACAAGAGCAAAUAGUCUAUUUUGCUACUACUAGACUACUCUCGUCCUUCAAUCUACAAACACAUCAAUGGGCUAUACACACAUAUUUUAAUAGUCCAACUCCUGCACCUUUUACAUUUGGUCAACAAAAAUUUCGUUACAUAUGUAAUCCAAUAAUCGGUAAAUUGGCUUUUGGUAUACUCCCCGAUCAGCUUGUUAGUUAUGUCUGUGCAUCAAAGAUGACCUCCCGUGGUGAAGAAUUUAUGCAACCAUACUUGGCACCUGACAAAGCCUUCCUGGAAGUGUUACGAUAUUCUAGGUUCACCUACAUGUUCAAACAGUGUUCCACCGACUACAUUGUUGCGUUUCAGGACUCUGAUGGCAAGCAACAACUCUGUAUUAUAACCUACGGCUGCAGGCCACUUGAGAAGAGGUUUUCUCCUUAUGAAACAACCUGCUAUGUCGCCUUAAGCUUUUAUGACAUCCCAGGUGAUUUUUAUACCUCAGAAGACCGACAUUUCCACGAACCUGAUGUUUAUGCUUCCUAUGCAGAUGAGAAGACAAAAGAUGGUGGCGUGAUCAGGAGGUACUUCAGUGCCAAAUUUCUGUAUACUAAGCACUUCAUCAUCAAUAAUUUUUCCUUUGGAACAAUUGAAACAUGUUUUCUCUGAUUAAUGUGGCCAAUACAUGCUUAUUGCUUCAUUCAUCUGAUGCGGGACAGUGUUCUUCCCUACUUCUGCACAUAUUGCCAAGAGUGCUUCUUCAUCUGGGAUUUCUAUUUCAGAUAUAUAGAGAUUAUAGAGUUUGAAGUUGCCUGUCCUUUUGAGCAUUGAACUUCUC